rnacentral:lncRNA from 1 species
GGCAAAAGCGGAGAUUUAUCGCACCAAACCUCAUCAAUAUACUGAACUAUUAUCAGAGACUCACAAAUGGGCUUUCCAUUGUGGAUCAGAACUGGGAUUUUCUUAUGAACUGGGUUCAUCUCAAGAAGCAAAGGGCUCUUGUUCCACAGGUCCUCCUCUCUAUAUUCAUACUUGAGACCCUUCUCUGCCAGGGCAACUCUGACCCUCAUACCAAACAUGCUAGGCCAGAAAUCCAACAAGAUAAUCUCGUCUGCCAUUGCUACUAAUGUGAUUGAUAAGAUUCAAUCUCUUUAGUAUUGAUGAACAACACAGGGCAAAUUGCUGAGUAUUUAUAGCAAAUUUCAGAGAGUGGGUUAAACCCUUGGAUACUUCUAGGAGGUGGUGAUGCUCAUUCCUUAUCUCAGCUUUCAUUUUCAUUUUCCAUUCUAUCUGGGUUUCGUAUCUCCAGAAUUUGUGAAUUAUGCAAACUUUUGUUAUGGCAUGGUAAAAUAUAGAAGCGUCACGAUAGUUGGUUGCUUCCACGACAUCUCAUUGCUUUGAUCAUUCCACGUCAUCGCUUUCGCCAGCCCUGUCAAUUAAGUACACUGGUCCUCCGCAUAAUUUCCACCACAAAAAUGAUGUUGCAAGGAAAAAAAAUGAUAUUGUAGGGAAAAGAAAAUAGAACUUGUAUACUUUUAGAUCGACAAGUCACUAUUGGUCCCUUCCUUAGUUCUUAGAUUCCUGAAAUUAAAUAAAUAUUUAAACUUUAUGUGUAUUAUAAAUAUUUAAAAUUUCAGUGGUGAUUGUAUUUUUAUCUAAGAUCUAAUUUUUUUUUUAAUUUGAAUAAAUUAAGUAUUGUUAAAUAUUUAAAUUUUUUAUAUUUUAAUUAUUAGUAAAUGUUAAUAAAUAUUAAAUUACUGAUCUUUUACAUUACAAAAAUAUUUAUAAAAUAUAAUAUUUUAUUUCUUGUUAAAUUAGUUUGCAAUCCAGCAUAUUUUUUAAUAUUUAAAUAUCAUAAUUCAUUAACAUAUUAAAAUUUUAUAAUAAAUAAUUAUGUAAUUGAUAAGAAAUUGGUAGUAUGAUAAUAAGUAUAAUUAUGGGGUAUUUGGUAAACUCAAUAAUUAUUAUUUAAUGACUUAAGUUGAUUUUAAGUAAAAUUAUAUUUAAGUUAUUGACUUAAAACUUAUCACUUAAUUUUUACUUUAAAUAUUAAGGUUGUUUAAUAAAAUUAAUUUAAAAUUUAUUCUAAAUCAUCAAAUUGAUAUACUUAACCCCAUAAUUAUAAUGAGGGUAAAUGAGAUCGAGUAACGAUGGAAGUUGUAUAAUAGCAAAAGAAAUCGUGGAACUAAGAUAAAUGAGGGUAAAAAGAUAAAAUGAAAACAUGGAUUUAAGAAUAAAUUAAUUAUUUUUACUUAUUACUUAAAGUUGUUUUUUACUUUUAAGUUAUACCAUUAAAUUAUUUUACCAGCUGUAUUUAAUUUGUUUAAUAACUUGAAUUAAGUUAUUAAGUUGAUUUACCAAAUUCCCACUUAGACUUGUUAGAAACUAUUAGAACUUUUUCUAAGUUAGUAUAUGUUUAGAUUUGAAGAUUUGUGAUUGAAAUAUAUAUUCUUUUUUAAAUUAAUCAUUGAUUUUUGGAAUUUUAUCGGAGUAUCAACUUUUAAUUUAUAUUUUUUAAAAUUAUUAAUUCUAAUAAAUAUUUAGAUGAAUGUGAAUUAUGCUUUAGAAUUUUGAUUAAAAAAAUCUUAUUAGAAUUGAUAACUAUUUUUAUUUUUUAUAAAGCUGAAUUUUAAAAAUUUAUAUUAAAUAUUUUUCUAAUUUAAAUUUUAUGAUUUUUAGUGUAAUUUACUUUUUAAUUUUGAAUGAGUAAUCAAUAAUAAUUUGCGGAAUUCAAUUUUAUUAAGAAUGGGAUAAAUUAUGGGGUAAAAAUAAUGGAAACAUGUGGGGAUUUGAAAUUUUGUAAAUUUAUCUUUUAGCUAUCAAUUUAUGAGAAAAUUUUAAAUCUGAUUUUUCUUUAAAAAAAAUGAAAAAUGAAAAUGAAAAAAAAAAAACAAAAAAAAAAAUCAAAUAUAUUUGAUGCUUUUUGUGAAUGACAACUUUGUUAAUUUCUAAUAAAUUUAUUUCUCACUCAAAUUAUAUAAAAUUAACAUAGUUUAACUAUUUUUUAAAACAAGUUAUCUAUUCUUUUUUAAAGGAAUUUAGUUUAAAUUUUUGUGAAAAUUUGUAUUUAAGCAAGUACUCUUAAUUAAUGAUUAAAAGCUUUUUUAUUUUUUAGUUUUUCCCCAUAAAGAAUUAAAUAUUAUAAUUAAUCCUAGUUUUUUCAAACUCUUAUAAAUAGGAGACUUGGGUCAAUGAAAUGGAUACCUCAAAGUUAUUUUAGAAAUCUGUCUUUUCUCUAAUUCUAGUCUCUCCAAAAGAAAACUUUUUUUUAUCAUCUAAAAGGUAUGUGAUAAACUUCUACUUUUAUAUUAUUUUCUAUUUAAUUUAUCCUUUUUUCGAUGAAGAAACUAGAAAAUAUUUUUUUAUAGACAAAAAUUAUGAAAAAAAAAAAUCGCAACUAGAAGUUAUAAAAAAAAAUGUAAAAUAUGUACAAUUGUAUAGCUAGAGGUUAUAUGAGAAAUUAUAAAGUUAUAAAAAUAUAAAGAACGACUUACAUGUAAUUUCUAAUUUCUUUUAAUCAUAAUGAUAUAACCAAAUGUUACACAAAACAAAAUUGUAUAGUCAAAAGUUAAAUAAUGAAUAUUUCAUAGCCUAAAGAUGUAUACAAAUUUACACAUUUUUGUUAUGAUAAAAAUAAUCCAUAGCCAAAAACUAUGUAAGGUAUCAAUUUGUAAUUUUUAUUUUGUUAAUUCUACAUGAUGUUCAUGCAUUUCUUUUUUACCAUAUUUAUAAUAAUCCUUUAGCGAUAAAAUAUAACAAAAUCUUAAAUCAUUAUGCUUUUAUUAAUGAAUAUAAACCUGAUAAAAUAUUGUUAGAUAAUUUUAUUCAUUUAUUUAUAAUUUAUUUUGGUAAAUUGAAAUAUUAUUCUAAUUAAAUUAUUUCAAAUAUAGUUUUCAAAUAAUGUCAAAUCUUACCAAGUUUGAGUUUGUUACACUCCCUAUUUCAGGCAAAACUAUUUAUAUGGAUUUUAGAUGCUAAAAUUCACCUAAACGAUAUGAAUCUUGAAAAGACCAUUAAAGAAUAAAAUGAGGCAUCCUCACAAGAUCGCACUGGAGCAUUAAUAUUCCUUCAUUAUCACAUUGAUGAAGGAAUAAAAGGUGAAUUCCUUACAAUCAAAGAAUUUUCAUCCUUUGAAAUAAUCUAAUGGAAUGAUACUUUGAUCCUUUGGAAUAAUAUAACAUAAUGAUAUGGCCACCACGAGAUUAUAAUCCUUCCAAAAGCACAUCAUGAUUGGAUGCACUUGAGAUUACAAAAUUUCAAGUCUGUCAAUGACCACAACUCGACUUUAUUCAAAAGUUGUUCACAAUUUAUAUGGAGAAAAAAUCAUUAAAGAAUAUAUCCUUGAAAAGACAUUUACUAUUUUCCAUGCCUCGAAUGUACUCCUAUGGCAACAAUAUCAAGAGCAUAAUUUCACUAAAUAUUUUGAAUUAGUUUAAUGUCUUCUUAUGGCUAAACAAAAUAAUGAACUUCUACUUAAGAAUCAUCAAUCUCAUACUAUUAGGUCUGUGUCAUUACUUGAAGCAAAUGUCACAUCCGUCCAAGCUCCUAGACAUUGAGUUGGACUUGGACAUGAACAAGGCUAAGGACACAGUCAUGGUCAUGGUAAACAUAAUUCUUGGUACCAUGGUAAUUAUAGUCAUUAGAAUAGACAAAACAAUUCAAACCAUUAGAAGUGGAAUAAUUCAAAGGUGCAACCUAAAAAGGAUAUAUAUAUAUAUAUAAUCACAAAACAAACAUGAUAAUAAGAAUGAAUGCUAUAGAUAUGGUAUGAAAAGGAUGUAUGUAGGAUUUAGAAAUGACCUACGAGGAACAGGAAGACCUCAAAUUCAUUAUGAGGCUUCUAUAAUUUAAUAUUUAGACCCAAAUAAGAAUGGAUAGAACCAUGGUCCACCUUAAAAGAAAAGUUUUUUUUUUUUUUUGAAGAAUUUACAUACUUUUCUUAAGAAUGUACGUAUUUUUCUUAAGGAUGUACGUAGACUUUGAAAAUGACAAACGAGGAAUGGGCAGCCUCAAAAUUAUUACAAGGCUUCCAUAAAUUAAUAUUAAAAACCUAAAUAAGGCGAAAUAAGGUCACAAUCUGCUUUUAAAAAAACGCACAUAUUUUGUUUUUUUAAGAAUGUACAUGUUUUCCAUAAAAAUAUAUGUAUCUUUUCUUAAGAAUGUUCUUAAGGUUUAGAAAAGCCUAACAAGGAAAAGAAAGACCUCUAAUUCAUUCUCAGGCUUCCAUAAGUGAAUACCUAGACCUAAAUAAGGUCAAAUAGGAUUAUAGUCUUAAGAUAGAGCUCUUAAGAGCAUAACAUGGUGUAUUAAGUUUGAAAUUCAUUAUUUAUUUAAUGAUGUUCCCAUUUCACUUUUAUCUAUCUUUAUUCCAUGUAUUAUAUUUUAUGAGAAGUCUUGUCAGCAUCUUUUGCAUUGUACAUGACUUAGGUGCAUUAGGAGUUGCACAGAAGAUCUUUAAGCCAUGGGUUCCUUGCAAAUAAUUGACUUGUUCACAACCGGUUUAUGGGUCUAGGCAACCCUUUAGAAGUUGUAGUGCACCACCUCCUAAUUAGAGGGAUGGUUGGUCUUCGUUAUCGGGAUGGGUUUCCCAUGGUGAGUACACUACUAUGUAUGAUUACAUGUUGGACAAGACCUACGAUGAGCCAUGACUUAAGACUAUCAAGUAGUCAUGACCUCACCAAGCUACUUCAUUGUGUUAUCUCUCAACCUUGAGAGAAUAUCGAGAUUGUGUUAAAAUUAGCAAUGACUUUUACCUAUGAGUGAGAUCGUAAGUUGGAUCAUAUAUUCCCUAUGGAUUGGGUCACUGUUGAUGGAAGUCGGUAACAAUAGGUAUUCUCAAUAGACACCAUGAUAUCUCAUGGGAUUGAGACAACGUGUCCCCUUGGGUGAUCCUAAGGGGAUGUGUUCAUGGAAACUAUGGCCAUAAUAGUUCCUUAAGUAGAACUUGACACAGGCUCUUUGAGAGCUAAGACAUGUCAAUUGAAUAUACAAUAGGAGGAUUUGUAACUCAAGGAUAGUAGAGGUAGUCUUGAAAGGUUGAUAGCUUUCACCUUGUUAGGCUAGAACACCAGUUCAUGGGGAGAGUGAACACAAUGGAUACUAGGUCACAGACCCGAGUACAUAGUGUCUCGUUGUUAUUUACAUAGGAUAUUGGAGUUCAAUUGAUUCUUUGUAAUAAGAUGUUGAAUCAACUUCAUAAUUGGAUCCUGAGGGAGUUAGUACUCUUAUGGAUCCUAAUGGUCCCCGCUCUAAGCUUAUAUAUCUUUUUGGCAUAGUUAUGAGUGUCGAAUUGACUCUAGGUUCACUUUUGUGCAUAAGGGCAUUUCGAUAAUUAUGCAAGAUUGCAUAAGGGUAAGUGAACAAAGUCUAUAGAUUGAGCUAAUUAAUUAAUUAGUAGGCCCUAUUAGGUUAAUUAAUCCAUUAGGAUCCAUUUUGGGAUAAAUUAAGUUAUCCAAAUCCAUGUGGGCUCAAGUCACUUAAGCCUAGUUAGGAACCCUAUAAAUACCCCCUAGGGGUUAGAGUCUUCAUCACUUUUGUCUUCCACCAUUUAGACAGAAAGAGAGCAAUAGCCUCUACCUUUCGUUCUUCCCUAUUGAAAGUGUGCCAAGAAUAAAUUUGAGUCAUCAGGCAAAAGACCAUGGGUUUACGAGACUUCCAACAACUUCAAUGUCAUCUUCAACACUUGCAAUUUAAGGUUUGAAACAUCCAAACCUAAAGGUUAGCACUUUAACCAUAAAGAUCAAUUUAAAAAAAUAAAUAAAUAAAUUGGUAUUGUUUCCGUUCCUUAGAUCUACGAUGCCAACACACAGUUCGCUUGAAAAAAAUGCAAGUAUUUUCUUCAAAAUAUAUAUAUUUGUUCAGAAUGUAUGUAUUUUUGUAAAAGAUGUACCUUAGGUAGGGUUCCACCAUGCCAAAUGAGGUUUGGGAAGCUUUCAAAUACAUUUCGUAGAGUACAUAAGUCAAAUCUUAGACCCAAAUGAGUGUGAAUCUGUCAUGUUAAGUUGAAAUCAAAUGUACAUAUCUUUCUUAAGGUGUUAUAUUUUUCUAAAAAAUGAACUUAUGAGUGUUUAGCUAGGUUGGCAAUUCCGGAAAAAAUUUCUAAGUGUCCCCUAACUUGGUUUACCAAUCCCUCUUCGGACUACAUGACCUUUGAAGAUUAAGACUUUGCUAAAAGGUCGAGGUAUGUAGCCAAGUCUGUAGUGAUUAAAUGUGAGCCAACCCUAUUUUUUCAUCUUUAAAUGAGUAAAGAAAGCUGAGAGAAAUAUUGUUGGUGCAAGGCUUUUGUUCCCCUGUUUCUAGAUCGAUCCAGGUAUAGGGGCAAAUCAAUCCAACUAACCUAUUUUUAAGAUCAAUUUUCAACCUUUGGAUUAAGGUUUCACUCUCAUUUAAAAUCAAAUCUCCCCCAUUUCUGGAAAUGGUGACUGUAGUAUCCGUAAGAGAUUUUUUUUCUUUCCUCACCAUUUAGAAGGUGUUUACCUAUGAAGAAAAUCCAUCCAAGUUUUCCAAGAAUUUUUUUUAAAAAAAUGGAUUUUCUGAAAAUGAACAAGGGUUGAUUUCUAAAACAUUCAUAUUUCAUUCUCUUGGUUUUGUGCAAAAACCCAUUUUCUUCUUGUAUGAAUUCAAGAAGAAAUCGAGCUUAGUGCAAACUCCAAGUGUGUCCCGAAAGAAGAAGCUAAGAAGCUGAAAAUGAAGGUACUAGUCAAGUGGUUUGGGAAAGAUUGGUUGGCUUGAGCAAGGUAAAACCUUGUAUUCAGAUUUUAUUUUUCAUAGUGGAUGUUUUCAAUCAGUAAUAGGCCCGUGGUUUUUUAUCUCUUCGGAGAUUUUUCAUGUAAAUUUAUGGUGUCUCAUUGUCUCCCUUUCUCUUCUUAGCAUCAGUUUUCAAUUUCAACAAUUUAUUAUAAUUUUGAUUGUCUACUAUUUGAUUGAAUGAUGAAGAGAAAUGACUAUGAAUCAUCUUUGAAGUUGUUUCUAAUUGUUAAUCAUUGAUAUUUUGAGGUAUAUUGAUCUUGCUUUUAUCAAAAUUUAGUUUAAGUUGAUUUGGGUUUGGGAGUGUUAGAUCAUGUGCAUGUGAAUUACAUUUGAAUAUUGUUAGGGAGUGUUGUUGCAUUCAUAUAUGCAUGUGAUUUAUAAUUUGUGUUUUUGAGACUGUGUGAAGAGAAGAAAAAUAUUCAAAAAGUUUUAAGGUUUGCUAAUUUGAGUUGAGAUUUUGUUUAAUUGGUCAAAACACCUAUUCAACCUCCCUUAGGUGUAUUCCACUAUUGAGAUUCACCUUUUCAAUUGGUAUCAGAGAGGGUUUUUAAAGCAAAAAUCAUUUUCGAUCCUUAAAUCUCAAUCAGGGAACCUCAUUAAGAGGGAGCUUCCAUUAGAAGACCACCUUUCUUAACCAGUGAAAAUUUUUCUCAUUGAAAAGUGAGAAUGCAAUAUUUUCUCAAAAUGCAAAGUGAUAAAAUUUGGAAUGUCGUUGAAUUUGGUUAGUCUCCACCUAAGGUGUUAGAUAGAGAAGGUAAAUUAACAAAUGUUAUCAAGCCAAAAUUGAAAUGUGAUAGAAGUGAAAAUGAAGCAAGUGAGAAUAAAGCUAGAGCCAUGUUCUCCAUCUUCAAUGCCAUUAGUACGAAUGAAUUUCAUAGCAUUGCCACAUGCACUUUGGUUAAAGAAGGCUUAGGAUAUCCUCUAAGUGACUCAUGAAGGAACUAAUGUCGUGAAAAUGUCCAAGCUUCAAAUGUUGACAUCUAGGUUUGAGACCAUUAGGAUGGAUGAUCAUGAAACUUUUAGAGAAUUUCAUGCAAAAUUGAUGGAUAUUGUGAAUUCUAACUUCAAUCUAGGUGAAUCCAUCUCUAACUGAAAGAUAGUUAGAAAAAUUUUAAGAUCUCUUCCAGAUAAAUUUAGAGCUAANGUUACCGCCAUUGAAGAGUCUAAAGAUGUGGAUUCCUUGAAGAUAGAUGAACUUGUAGGUUCUCUCCAAACCUUUGAGAUGAUGCUUGUAUCACCUAGGAAAGCUAAGGGAAUUGCUUUAAAAGCUAUUAAAUAAGAGUCCCUAAGUUUCGAAAGUGAGAAUGAUGUCAAAGGGUGAGCUUACUAAGUUUACUAAAAAAAUUAAGAAGUACAUGAAAUUCAGAAAAUCCAAGAAAGAAUCAAAUGAUGGUAAAAAUGGAGGAACUCUAUUAGAAAAAAAGAAGAAUAUGGAGAAAUGUGUGAAAAAAGAGUUGGUGAUUGAGUGCUUUAAAUGUGGAGGAAAUGGGCAUUAUGCCGCCAAAUGUCCCUCAAAGAAAAAAAAAAUGAAAGAAGGUCAUGCAAGUCACUUGAAGCAACAUAGAAUCUUGUCAAUCAAGUGAAAAAGAAUCCAAUGGAAGUGAAGAAUACACUAACUUCAUAGCCUUUGCUGCAAGUGUCAAUGAGAAACCACUCAAGAAAGAGGUCUUAAGUGAGUCAUGAGUCAAGUGACUCCAAUGAUGAUGACAUGAAUUUUGACAUAGCAUAUGAGACUUUGUAUAAGGAAUGCUUGAGCCUUAAACAAGAACAAGUCAAGUGGAAGGCUUCUAAGAAUAUUCUAAUCAAUGAGAUUGAUGUCUUGAAGGGAGAAAAGAAGGCUUUGCUUGAAAAAAUUGGAUUUCUUGAAAAUGACCAUUUGGAAGUGAAAAAAAAAAUAUUAUGUAUUGAAAAGUGAAUCAAAUGUUCAAGGAUGAGUUAAGUCUUAAGAAGAAAGAAUCACAUCCUAGCUCUAAGAGGAUUAAUGAGUUGAUCAAUUUAAGGCGUAAAUCUUUUGAUAAACAAGGCUUAGGAUUUGUUGAUGCAAAUACUACUCCAAGUAGUGGUAAAACAAUUUUUGUUAAGCCUUGUGAAAAAUAAUAUCCUAAGAAAACUCAUUCUCAAAUCAAGUUUCAUUGCAAUCAUUGUGGCAAAAUGGGACACAUUUUUCAUAGAUGUUGUACAAGAUUGUUUGAUAACUUUCAAAGGAAGUUGACCAACCUAAUGAAUGAAUGUUAUGCUUUGAAGAAUAGGUUAUUGAAUGAGAAUAAGAGAGUGUCCAAGAAGUGCUCAAAGAUCCCUCAUAAUGGUGAGUUGAAAGGAAGCACUUUGAAUGAAAAGACAAGUCUCAAAUGUUAAACAAAUUUGGGUGUGAAUGAAUUAGUUGAAGUGUUUUGUUGUCCAUACCGCACUUAGAGCUAGUGAGUCACACUCAUGGCAUCUUGAUAGUAGAUGUUCACAUCAUAUGACUAGAAAUAAAUCUUUGUUCACUUCAUUCACUGAAUUUGAUGGAGGAAAUGUGACAUUUGGAGAUGGUAAUGUGGCUAGGGUGAAAGACAAAGGUACCAUUUGUGCCCCUGACAUUCCUAAUCUUGAAGAGGUCUUAUAUGAAGGUUUAAAGGCUAACUUAAUUAGCACAAGCCAAAUGUGUGGGAAUGAGUUCAAUGUAAAAUUUUCACAAACUUUUUGCAAGGUGUUUGACUUGAAUGAUGUAAGUGUGAUGAUUGGCUUGAGAACUUGUGAUAAUUGCUAUGUUGUUAGUAAAAAAUCUCCUUCAUCCUCUUCUCUCGUGUGUGGAAGUUCUAAAAUUGCAUGUGUUAAUCACUUGUUGCAACAUAGAUUGUUACAAAAUGAAAAAGAGCAUCCCAUUGUAAAAGUUAGGAUUGGUAGGGGGGAUUUGAUGAUGCCAAUGUUAUUGAUAGGCUAGAGAACCAUGUUCUUCAUUAUAGAUAAAAACAUGUGGACAUUAAGCAUCACUGCAUUCAAGACUUGGUAGAAGACAAGGUUGUUUACUAGAGGUUUUCCCUAUAGAGAGUCAAAUUGCUAACAAUGUUACUAAACCUUUGGACAUUUCUAGGUUUGAAUCACUUAGGAGCCCCAUAGGUUUAUAUAUUCUCUGUUUAACUGCCUCUAGAACUUGUCUAGGACUCCUCUUGCAUAUCCUUGAGUCCUAGUUGUCUUCCUAAGUUCCCAAAUAUCAUCAACUUGAUGUUCUUUUUGUUUUGGUUCAAUAUUUUCUCCAUUUUUCAUAAAUUUUCAACAAUUGUUGAGUUCAUGAGAGUGACAUGCUUAUUCAUUUUGUUUAAAAGUUAAAUUAACUCAUAAUGAUCUUAAAAGCUUCAAGAUGUAUUUAUCUCCAUGGCUUGUUUGAUAAACAUGAUAUUGAAUCCUUGCUAUUUUGAUUUGGUUAGAUAAACUACAAAUGAUUAGCUUCAUUUCUAUUAAGUGAGUAAGAGCUCAUUGUUGGACCUUGUGUUUGCAUAAUGGUGAAUAAUGCUCUUUAAAGUCUAAAUGAAAACUUAUACCCAUUUAAUGAGCUUUAAAGAGUGAGUAAAGACACCUGGAAUAUCCUUGAGAGGUUGAGAUGAUCAGUCUUUGAUUGUUUGUCCUCUCUUUGAAAUUAAUUUUUUUUUAAAUGAAAAAGAAAAGAAAAAGAAAAUAUGAAGUUUCCCGGAAUGGAUAUGGCUCCGUGGCAAUGUUUCAAGAAUUAAAAAGCCUCCAUUGCAAGAGUGGGACAUCCCUUAUGUUGUUAUGUUGUAAAGACAUCCUUAGAGAUCCUCAAGUCAAAAAUUGAUCUUAAGGGUAAAACUUAAAGCUUUGUAUUCCUUUCAAUGCUAAAUGUGAAAAGCAAAUAGUGUAUGAAUUUUAUUAAAGGGAUGUGAUUAGGUCAUGUUGAACAGAAAUCUGGCCAAGAGAGAUGCAAAUUGACUUUGAUUACUACUCAAAAAGUACUCUUUUAUAGCUUGAAACUAACUGUUUUAAACACUUUUGAGUAGUAGUUAAUACAUUUUAACUCAAUUGGCACAUUAAGAAACCUAGCAAGGGUUACUAAUCAAUUUUUCGCAAGUUUUGGUGUUUUUGGUAGCUAUUUGAUCAUUGAAACAAGCCAAGAAUGAGGGAGAAUUUUGUGAAAUCCAUGGCAAUGCAAGUUAAAGCUCAAAUACAUGAAGAAUCCAAGCUUUGGAGCACUUCAUAGCCCUUUUCCAAGCCAAUUAGAGAUGCAAGAAGGGAAACCAGAGGAAGAAAUCCAACAACCAGCAUUUCCGCAUGGCUGUGCGAAAUUUCGCACACCAUACGAAACCACUUGAGGCAACCAAAAAAUUUCUCACAUCAUGCGAAAUUUCCCAAGGUAUGCGAAAUCUUCCUGUGCACCAACUCCGUUAGAUUUUUAUCUCUAGAUAUUUUAUGUAAUUUCCUAUUUUCUCCUUAUAAUCAACUUAGAUAUUUUCAUAUAUAUUUUUUUAUAUAUUUAGUGUGUGUAACAUCUUUUGAUAUAGACACACAGGGAUGUAAUCAGAGAACGCUUGUAAAUUCCCCGUAGUAAGAAAUAUACAAAGCUUUUGCUCUGUCUUUUCUUUUCAUUUUGUUUUCACUCUUCUUUCUAGUCAAACAACCUCUAAGGAUGAUUUCUCAGGGGAUGAGUGGCUAGGUUUUACGUUUCUUGGAGCUAUGGAAGCUAGGUGAAGGACUCGAAUGCAAAGAUGGGAGUUGUCCUUACUCUAAAUGAAAGUAGUUGUUAACCAUUAAUGGUUUUUAUUUUAAGGUUUAGCUUUAAAUCCCUUAAAAGCACCUUGAAUGGCCAAUACUUGGUAAGCUUUUUGAAUUCUAUGGAUGCUUAGUGCUAGAUCCAUGGAUGUCUAUUAGUUAUCAUUUAUGAGCUAUUGGAAGGUGGUUCAAGGUGAGAGUCUUUAGUGUGUCAAGCCAUUAAUGGGAAGCAACUAUUAUUUUUCAUGAACCCUUUGGAUCAAAUCUUAAUUGCUAAAAAUAAAAUCGGUUCGGGAGAUAACCAUCCUUAUAUUAUUGUCCCCAACGCGAGGAAAAGAUCCGGAAUCUCCCCCUUUGUCUAAGGAACCCAAUCCUAGUGACCUAAAGCUCCAAGAGACCUUUUCUUUGUAGUCAACUUCACCUAUUAUUUUUGCUUAACUUAAAAUCAAUCUUUGCAACCACAAUUCCAUUUUCUUUAAAAGCUAAUUUUCAUAAGGAAAAACACCAUUUUAUUUCCUUCACUAAAGUCAAUUGUACGAUGAAAACCCAUCCUUGUGGACGAUCCUAGAGCCACUAUACUAUGUUAGCUAUGCUACCCUAGUGUGAGGUGAUUUAGGUUUUAUAAAUUUUGUUGAUAACACCCGUCUAAGCCAGAAUCAAAUGGCAUGACUACAAUGGGGAUGAAUCAGACUUCUUGGAACAUUAUCUUGAAUUUCUCUAGGAAGGAAGAGUAUCUUGAAAAUGAUUUUUGGCUCAUAAAUGAAUAUAGGUUUCUAAGUGGAAAUUAUUUAACAUUAUCACCAUUUUAUGGUGUCAUGAGUGAGUUUUUUUUAGCUUAAGCUUCCUUGUUAGAGUGUUGAUAAUCAUUUGUUUUUUACCUAUUCAUUUGAUAAAUUUGGAAAGUACUUCAAUCUCUAUGUUUAUUAAUUUUGUCUAUUGUUAUGUUCUUGGAAGCAUUUUUGUUCAAUGUGAAUCAAUUCUAACUCAUUAAUUGAAAGAUAAGUAUGUCAUCCUAUUGUAUCUCAUCUUUGGUCGAUCAAUUUUCAUUUUUUGGAAAGCCUAUUCGUGUAUUUCUUGUGAUUUUUCGAUAGUUUUUGCCUAAGUCAUUUUUCAAUUGGGUGUCGAUCGAUCUACUGAAUUUGUGGAUCGAUCCAUUAUGUGCACAAUGUAGUGACCGAGAGCCCUUGAAUGAAUCUUGGAUCGAUCCACCAAGAUCGAUACCACCUAGUACUUGUCUCUCACACACUUAGCCAUUUUUUUCAAAUUUGGUUUGUUCAAACCUAUGUGACUGUGUAUCAUCAAGAGCACAAUUGAAAAUUGGAUCGAUCCACCAAGGUCGAUACCACAUAUGCAUUUGUGAAAAAUUCCAUUUUUGCCCCCAACUAGUUAUACUCAUAUGGUUUAAUGGAUGAGGGGUAUUUUCAUAAUUAAAAGUAAAAAAUUGAAAAAGUCAAAAUUCCUAAAUCUGUUUUUCCCAAUUCAUUUCUUUCAAAAGCCCUAGGUCUUUUGUUUCAAAGAAGAGAACUUCUCUACUCUAAGCUUCUCUUUAGCCAUCAUCGUCGAUCCAUCAUUCUGGCCACUACCAUCAAAAGUCUCUACCACUAGAAACCUUUAUCGUCAGACUUCCUUAUCUGGUGAGCGUUUCAGGUCUGGCCAAUCCCACUAGACAGCCUCGUCAAAUAGCCUAGAAUUGUUGUGUUGCUCAACUCAUGUCAUCAGCUUGUGUGUCUCUUCUUAGUGCGUCGGUGUUUUCGAAAAUUGCCUUCUACAUAGUAUGUGUUGGCUAGGACCUCCUGUGUGCAUCACUAGAUUGUAUCUCAUUCAAUUGGGAUUCCAUUCCAGCAGUUGGAAAUUCCAAUCAGCCCUUAGGACUGUGUUUUUCACAGCACAAUCAACACAACGCAAUCUACACUUCUGGAAAUUGUGUUCUACAUAGCCCAUUUCUCUUGUUUUUUUUUCUACUAUUUUCCAAUGUCCGUGUCUUCAAUGCAACUUAUUUGCAAGAGUUCUCAUUUCCGGCAACCAUUAUUGUUUGAUUUAUCCAUUUUUUUCUCUUCUAUUAGUCUCAUUUGGAACUUCUCUGCUCUAAGCUUCUCUUUAGCCAUCAUCGUCGGUCCAUCAUUCCGGCCACUACCAUCAAAAGUCUCUACCACUGGAAACCUUUAUCGUCAGACUUCCCUAUCUGGUGAGCGUUUCAAGUCUGGCCAAUCCCACUAGACAGCCUCGUCAAAUAGCCUAGAAUUGUUGUGUUGCUCAGCUCAUGUCGUCGGCAUGUGUGUUUCUUCUUAGUGCGUCGGUGUUUUCAAAAAUUGCCUUCUACAUAGUAUGUGUUGGCUAGGACCUCCUGUGUGCAUCACUAGAUUGUAUCUCAUGCAAUUGGGAUUCUGUUCCAGCAGUUGGAAAUUCCAAUCAGCCCUUAGGACUGUGUUUUUCACAGUACAAUGAACACAACGCAAUCUACACUUCUGGAAAUUGUGUUCUACAUAACCCAUUUCUCUUAUUUUUUUCUCUACUAUUUUCCAAUGUUCGUGUUCUCAAUGCAACUUAUUUGCAAGAGUUCUCAUUUCCGAAAACCAUUAUUGUUUGAUUUAUCUAUUCUUCUCUCUUCUAUUAGUCUCAUUUGGAUUAUUUAUUUAUUUAUUUAUUUUUAUUUUUUUGUAGAGUCCUCUCACAGUAGUUUUAAUAGUUUGAGAUUUCAUUUUUGCCUUGGAGUGUUCCUAGUUUCUAGGAAUGCUAAUCCUAGGCUUUGGUUGUUCAUUUUGAGUGGUCUUCAUACAUUUUCAUGCUUGAAAUCUAUUUUCAUGGUGAUAAAGCAUUUUUUGAAAGUUUUUAAUUGAAACCAUGUGAUAGGAUUCAAGAGGAGAUUCUCAUAUCCUGUGAUGGGAGUCAAGGGAAGAUUCUUGUAUCCUAUAAUUUUUUUUUCUGGAAUGUUGAUAUGGAUACUUGGUGAUAUGUGAAUAUUUGAUUUUUGGGUAUUUGACAUUUUGUUGAAAAGUGGAUGUUUGUUGAUUUGGAUGUGAGAUAUUCUGCUAUUGAAUUCUCAUCCAUUUGUCGUUUUUCUUGGAUAGAAAAUGGGAAAUUAUAACUUUUUGUCUCCUGCUAGGACAAAAAGGAGAAAACAUUUUACAUGGAUGUUGAUAUGACAUGUAGUUGAUCAUGACGGCUUCUUUGUGUUUUGUUGCUUUGGAUAUUUGAUAUGUUGAUCAUGAUCACCUUUUUUGUAUAUUGAUGGAUAUUUGACACGUUUUUGAACUCAUGAAUGCAUAUUAAUUAUCUUUAGACAAGUUAUUUUUGUGGAUAUAUGUGGAUAUUUGUGUGUCAAUUCAUUUGAAACUUAUGGAAGUGUCUUGGUAAUAUGUGCAAGUGCUACUAAUGUUUUUUCUUGAGAUUUAUUUGCAGGAUUUGUAGUACCUUUAGUUAGGUUUUGAGUGAGUGAGUGGCCUUGUAUGAGAGUUGGGUGGGACUUACUUGUAUUCAUUUGUGUUGUAAAGGGUUUUGUCCCAGAAUUUUCAAAUGGGGAGAUUUUGAGUGUUUAGCUAGGUUGGUAAUUCCGGACAAAAUUCCUAAGUGUCCCCUAACUCGGUUUACAAAUCCCUCUUCGAACUACUUGACCUUUGAAGAUUAAAACUUUGCUAAGAGGCUGAGGUAUGUAGCCGAGUGUGUGGUGAUUGAAUGUGAAUCAACCCUGUUUUUUCAUCUUUAAAUGAGUUAAGAAAACAAGGAGAAAUAUUGUUAGUGCAAGGCUUUUGUUCCCCUUAUUAUGGAUUGAUCUAGGUGCAAGGGCAAAUUGAUCCAACUAACCUAUUUUUAAGAUCAAUUUUCAACCCUUGGAUUAAGGGUUUCUUUCUCAUUUAAAAUCAAAUAUCUCCCAUCUCUAGAAGUGGUGACUACAACAACUAUGAGAGAGUUUUUUCUUUCUUCACCAUUUUAAGGGUGUUUACCUACGAAGAAAAUCCAUCCAAGUUUUCUAAGAAAUUUUUUUAAAAUGGAUUUUCUGAAAAAAAAAAAAAAAAAAAAAAAAAACAUAGGGUGAUUUUUGAAACAUUCAUAUGUAAUUCUCUUGGUUUUGCGCAAAAACCCUUUUUUUUUCUUAUGUGAAUUCAAGAAGAGGCCGAGAUCGAGCUUGGUGUAGACUCCAAAUGUGCUCUAAAAUAAGAAUGUGAGAAAGUGAAAGUGAAGGUACUAGUCAAGUGGUCCGGGAAGGAUUGGUUGGCUUGAGCUAGGUAAAACCUUGUAUUUAGUUUUUAUUCUUCAUAGUAGAUGUUUUCAAUUGAUAAUAGGCCCAUGGUUUUUUAUCUCUUCGAAAAAUUUUCAUGUAAAUUUAUGGUGUCUCAUUGUCUCAUUUUCUCUUCUUAGCAUCAUUUUUUAGUUUCAACAAUUUAUUAUAAUUUUGAUUGUCUAGUAUUUGAUUGAAUGAUAAAGAGAAAUGGCUAUGAAUCAUCUUUGAAGUUGUUUCUAAUUGUUAAUCAUUGAUAUUUUGAGGUAUAUUGAUCUUGUUUUUAUCAUAAUUUAGUUUAAGUUGAUUUGGGUUUGGGAGUAUUAGAUCAUGUGCAUGUGAAUUUCAUUUGAAUAUUGUUGGGGAGUGUUGUUGCAUUCAUAUAUUCAUUUGAUUUAUAAUUUGUUUUUGAGACUAUGUGAAGAGAAGAAAAAUAUUCAAGAAGUUUUAAGGUUUACUAAUUUGAGUUGAGAUUUUGUUUAAUUGGUCAAAACACCUAUUCAACCCCUUUAGGUGUAUUCCACUAUUGAGAUUCGCCUUUUCAGAACCUAUACUUCUACCAUGCUACAUGAAGUUUUGGAAGGCAUAAAAUACAUUUUGAGGCAUAUAUAAGUCAAAUCUUAUAUCCAAAUUAGGUUGAAUUGGGUCAUGGUUAACCUCAAAUCAAAUAUAUGCAUUUUUCUUACGAAUGUAUAUAUAUAUAUAUAUAUAUAUAUAUAUUUAAGAAUAUAGUUAUUAUUGUAAAGGAUGUAUUUUUUCUUAAGAAUAUACUUUUUUUUGUAACAGAUGUACCUAGGGUUCUCCCAUGCCAAAUAGGGUUUGGGAAUGCAUCAUGAGGUAUAUAAAAGUUAAAAUUUAGACUCAAAAUAGGUCGAAUAAGGGAAUGAUUCAACUCAAAUCAGAUGUAAAUACUUUUCUAAACUUUUAUGCAUUUUUUUAAAGCAUGUACACAAAGUUAUAUCAUGUUGAAUAGGGUAUAAGAAGACCUCAAAUGCAUUCCAAGACCUACAUAAGUGAAAUCCCACACCCGAAUUAGGUUGAAUGAGGAUAAGAAUCCACAAUGAAAUGAAAUGUACAUGUUUUUAUACUAGAUGUACCUAUUUUUCUAAAGGAUGUACUUAUUUUUAAAAAAAAGAUAUAUGUAUUUUAAGAAAUAUAAAAUUUAAUUAAAGAAAUGUUAAUACAAUUUUUAUGAAAAUAAUUUUUUUUCUAUUUUAUGUAUAUAAAAAAGUUAAAGAUUUUAAUUAAAAAGUUAGAACCAUGAUCAAUUUUAAAUCAUAUGAAAAAUUAAAACGAAUGUUAAUAUGAAAGUUCAAAAAUUUAAAUUAAAAUGAUAUAACAAAAAUAUUUUUAGUUUAUUUAAAUGUUAUAAUUUUACAUGCCCUAUCAAUGUCUUGUCAAAUUUUUUUAGUACAAAAUGGAAUAAUAAGUGAAUACUCUUUUAUUUCUUUAAUACAAAAAAUACAAACCAAGCAUCUCUCAAAAUCUUGUUCCUUGCUCUUGAAUAUAAAGUAAGAUAAGCUCGUGAACUUAUUCACAGUAAAAGUUUUGCUAACCUACAGUCACGCAACACAUGAAGGCAUUAUUCGACUUUAUUCAGGCAUCGAACACAAUUCGGCAAAGCUGCUAUAUGUCUUUUGAAGUGAUUUUCAUUUGUCAGCAACUUGUUGUGCAAAGCCAGCCACAAAAAGGAUCUAAUCCUUUGGGAACCCCUUCAUUUCCACAAGGCCAUCCAAUUCUUAUUCAAUUCUAUCCAGCAACUCUCUUCAAUCAGUUCAUAAGUCGACUUGGUAGUUGACAACGCUGACAUGAAGGCCAAAAAUAGUGGAGGAUUGUACAAGAGCACAUAGCACUUGACCCAAAUUCUCAAAAUUUGCUGUUGAAAAGUUUUUAGCCUAUUUGGCCAUUUCAUUAAAAAAAAAAAUUUAAAUUAAAAAAAAACUAUUUUUAAAAAUUCAUAAAAUUGUUUGUUAGUUGUUUUCUAUUUGUAAUUUUUAAAAAUAAAGUGAAAUAAAAAAACAUAUUUUAUAAAACAAAUAGAAAUUGUUUUCACCAAUUUUUAAAGACAAAAGAAAAAUAUAGAGGAAUUAAAAAAACUAUAAAAACCAAAUAAGAUUGAAGAUGAUAUCAUUCUUCUUUACCUCUUUCUACUAUCUAAUACUGAUACUGAAAAUCUUCAAAUAUAAUAUUCUUUUAAAUUACAUGUGUUUUUAUGAAUUUCAUUUAAUUUAAGAAAUUUUUCAUUGAUAAAAUAAAUUCUAAAUCAAAUUAUACUUUAUACAUAAAAUUUACUAAUGUUUAAAAAUAACUUAAAAGUUAAAAACUGAUUUAGUUAGUACUAUAAAGUCAUGAAACUCACUAACAUUGGAAUGCCAUAUAGCAAAAUUCAUUUGAAUGUCUUGGCUAGUUUUUUCUUUGCAUAUAAUCAUAUUUUUACAAUUUUUUUCACUUAGUAAAUAAUCACCAAAUCAAGUAUGACUUAAUGCAUUGAAUUUAUUAACAAGUCUAAGUAAUUCUUAAAAAUAAAUUGAAACGCAAAUAGUGAUCCAAUUAAUACCAUAAAUUUAUGGACAAAAAUUGAACUUGAAUGACUUUAUUGUUUCCAAUUUUGUUUCAUUGGACAAAUAAACUUAAAAUUAAACCAAACUUAAUGUGUUGAAUUCAUUAAUAAAUUUAGUAAUUUCUAAAAAAAACUUAAAACUCAAACAAUGAUGUAAUUAAUAUUAAAAAUUUAUUGAUGAAAAUUGGUCUAAAACUACUCUAUUAUUUUUCUUCUACAUGGAAUCAUAUUUUCCCAAUUUUAUUUUACUAUAUAAAUAAACUCAAAAUUAAACAAAACUUAACAGUCUAGUAAUUUUUAAAUUAGAAUAAUAUUUGAAAUAAUUUAAUUAGAAUAAUAUUGAUUCGACUCAUGGUAGCUUAGCUUUAAAGGCGUAUCAACAAAAUUUAUACCUUGAAUACUAUUACUAAAGUAGCCAAGCUACUAUAGCAUAGUGGUUCUAGGAUCGUUCACUGGGAAGGGUUUUCGCAAACACAAGUGAUAUUCAAAUUAGGAAAAUAGGUGAUUUUCUUAUGGAUGUUAGCUUUAAAAGAAGAUGUAAAUGUUUUAGAAAGAUUUAAACUAAUCUAAGCUAACAUUAAAGACUAAAAUGAAAGGGUGUAAAAACAAGUUUCUCAAAGAUAGGAUAGCUAUGCUCUGGCUCUUAUGCAAAUUGGAAAUCUCAGGAUAGGCUCCUCGCGUUGGGGUUGCAACUAUGGUGAUGCUUGCUUCCCGAACCGGUAUGGAUUUAGCAAAUCAAGUUUUAAUCCUUUAAAAUGGCAAAACAGAUGGUAGUGAAUUUCAUCAAUGGUUAUUCACCUUAGACUUCCUUUGAAUGGCUCGUAAGAGAUAACUAAUGGUCUAAAGCCAAAAGCUUACCAAAUAUUGGCAACUCAAAGUCAUUCCAGGUGAUAAACUUACCUUUCAAUGGCCAUUGAAAUUGGUUCUAACGGAUUAAUGCAAAACUUGGAAUUGAAAACCUCACCUUCCAAUAGCUCGUAGGAGAUAACUAAUGGAUAGUAAUCCAAAAGCUUAUCAAGUAUUGGCCGUUGGAAGUUGUCCAAAGGAAAUAAAAACCAAACUUUGCAUUAAUGAACCUUUAAUGAAAAACGACUACCUUACCUUCCAGGUGCGAGAAAUUUCCAUGGGAGUGCAUCCAAGCCAUCACAUAACAUCCAUACUUUGAGAAACUAAAAGUUUUAGCCAAUCAUCCUCUGAGGAAAAGCCCUCAGAGGCUGUUUGGCUACUAAGAAAAUAGAAACAGGGAAGAACAGGAGAAAAGAGCAAAACAGAGCAAGGCUCUGUAUAUUCUAUAUAUUGAUCGAUUUAUAAUUACAACGGAUGCAAGGGAAUAUAUAUAGAGAAGUUUUUCCAAUCCUUCCUAGCUAAGAAAUCUUAUGAUUCGUGGAUUACAAGGAGAAGAAUGGAAAUUUAUACAAAAAUAUCUAAAAGAAAAGAUCUCGUGUGGAGUCGGUAGAAACAGGGGAAAAUUCGCACGUUGGAGUUCCAAUUUCGCACGUUGAUUUGAGGUGUGCGAAAUUCUCGCACAGUGGACUGAGGAAUUCGCACCUUGAACAGUGGUGUGCGAAAUUGUCCCUCAGCUUGAUGCAGUUGUCUUCCGAAGGCCAUAUCUUUCUCAAUUCAGCUCCAAAUCGUACAUGGUUUGAACCGUUGGAUUCUUGACUUUCUGAGCUUUGAAAUGGUAUAUAGCAUGUAGAAAAUGGACUUCGGGAAGUGCUCCAAAAGUGCCAAAGAAGACUGCAGUUGCUGUCCUCUGUUUUCCUCUUUGCUUCUUUUUGCUUCUCUUUCCUCUUCUCCAUUGUUCUUUCCUUGCAUACUUUGAACGAAUUUGGCAAAGGGCUAUGGAGCUCCAAAGCUUGGUUCUUCAUGAAUUUGAGCUUCCAAAAGCUUUGCCAUAACUUGUCCAAGUAGCUCCUCUAUCAUUUGGCAUGCUUGAAUUGAUUCAUAAGCUGAUAUAAACAUGUAAACUUGCCACAAAAUGGUUAAAACCAAUUACUAAGGACCUUAAUGAAUUAAUUGGGUUAAAUGAAUAUGAUUACUACGCAAAGGUGCUUAAAACCAUUAUAAUUAGGUCUACAAAAUAACACUUUUUGGUAGUAAUCAAAUAUUUUAAUUUAUUAAAAUAAAUCAUAAAUAAAUGAAUAAAAUUAUCUAACAAUAUUUUAUCAAGUUAAUAUUUGUUAAUAAAACUAUAACAAUUUAAGAUUUUGUUAGAUUUUAUCGCUAUAGGAUUAUUAUAAAUGUGGUUUAAAAAAAUGCAUGAACAUCAUGUAAUAUUAACAAAAUAAAAAUUACGAAUUGAUCGCUCUAUGGAUUAUUUUUAUCAUAACAAAAAUGUGUAAAAUUGUAUACACCUUUUAGGCUAUGAAAUAUUCAUUAUCUAACUUAUGAGUGUACAAUUUUGUUUUCUCUAACUUUUGAUUAUACAUUAUAAUUAAAAGAAAUUAGAAAUUACAUUGAAGGUUGUUUUUUAGAUUUUUUUUAACUUUAUAAUUUAUAAUAUAAACUCCAGCUAUACAAUUGUAUAUAUUUUUUAUAACUUCUAGUUGUGAUCUACAAUGACUCUAUUGUUUCUCUUCUAUAUGAAACUAUAUUUUUUAUUUAUUUAUUUCACUAGACAAAUAAAAUCCAAAUUAAACAAAACUUAAUCCCUUAAAAUAAUUAAUGAGUUUAGUAAUUUUUAAAAUAACUUAAAACUUAAAUAGUGGUUCAAUUAAUAUUAAAAAUUUAUGGAUAAAAAUUGGGUUUUAAUGAGUCUACUUUUUUUCUAUACAUACUUAUAUUUUUAUAAAUUUUUUUAUUAAAGAAUAAACUUCAAAUCAAGUAAUUGAAUUCACUAACAGGUUAAUUUUUUUAUUUUUUUUUAAGUUACAACCUAGUAAAUAGAUCUAAUCACUAUAAGAAAUAAUAUAUGAAAACCAAUUGUAGACCCCAAAAUUUGUCCUAAUUUUAUUUUUACAUUGAUAUUGAGUUCAAUUUUAUCCUUAGAUUUAAAUUUCGAUUACAUCUUAAUUGUUUAACCCACUUACACUAUUUUUUUUAUUUUUUCUCUCAUCUCUCCUCUCUCUUCAUCUUUCUCCUCAUUCUACCUACUCCACCUACUUCCCUUACCCAUUUCCUUCUCUUACACGUCUAAGCCACUCCCCAUACCCCCUCCAAGCUUUUUUUUUUUUUUUUUAUCAUCUUUCUCUACUCUCCUCUCUUCACUUUUUUUUUCUCUCCAUCAUUCCUUCUUCGGGCUCCCUUCCAACACCACAACCACUCCACAACCCACACACCAGACACGGUCAACUUCCCCAUCUCCUCUCUUCCUUCUUUCUUUUUUUUUUUUCCUUCCCCUCAACUCUCACACAUGACGGUCCCCAUUUUCUCUUUCAUUUCUUUUCUCCUUCUCACAGUCCUUCCCUCUACAUUGCCAUUUUCCAAAAACUCCCACUGUCACACGCUCCCCAUCUUCCUUCAUUUUUUUUUCCUGUUUUUUUUCUCUUCUUUCUUCUUUCCUUUUCCCCUCUCCACACUCCACGGCCACUAUUGGCCCUCCACUGCCCGCCACUACCAGUAGCCACUGCCAACAACCACCACCCGCCACUGUCUGCCAGUCAUUGCCAACUAGCAAUCCUACCAUCCAUAGUUCUAAAAAAAAUGGGUAAAUUUCUGAGAAGAAAAAGGCUAUGCUUAGUUAAGAAAAACACCCAAAAGGGAGGGUGAAUUGGGUUUUUAAAAUCUUUUCAAUCACAACAAAUUUAAACAAAAUAUAAGCAAAGCAAAGAGAUAGAGUUUAGAGAAUUCAAACUCGGGUUUAUAGUGGUUUGGCACUUCCUUGCCUACGUCCACUCUCUUCAACCUCCUAACCGAGUGAGGAUUCCACUAACUUGAAGCUUCAACCAAGCUUCCAAUCUUCUUACACUUGGAUUCCGGUUUCAAUGGGCUCUUACACAACCUCUUCAAGAUUCAACCCUUUUGAAGGCUUUAACACUUAGAUUGUUACAAGAUAUAAUCACUCAACCUAGCUUAAAGAUGGCUCAAAUACAAGACAAAGCUAGGAUGACAAACAAGAGUGCACUAAAGGAUAUGCAAGUGGUGAUUUAAUGCACUAUGAAAUAAAUGAGAGCUUUUUUUAUCAAGAACAGGUAGGUAGGCUUUGAAUGCAAGUGUUAUCUUCACAAUAAAUGAAGUGGAGCUCUCAAUUUAUAGGUUUCUAAGCUCGGGAGUCAAAAACAACAAAAGGCAACCUCGACCGGUUCACUAGCCGUUGAAGCAUUUAAUGCAUGACAGGUUACCGUUGCCUCAACCGGACCUCGAUCAAUAAGGGAAUCACCUCGACCGGGAAGAGAAGGCUACUGGGAGAGAGAGAAGGUUUUUGACCUUCCUCGACUGGACGACCUCAACCGGUUCUCGACCGGACGACCUCAACCGGUCGACCAGUUCCUCAACCGGUUGACCGGUUGGCCAUAGCCUCGACCGAUUGAGCCUUUUUGGCCCCGAAAAACCUAUUUUUUUAUUUCUUUCUUUUCUAACACUUAGGCAAGGUCUUUAGGUAAAUUAUUAAGCCAAUUUUGAAACAUUUUGCCUAAGGUAAAUUAGUUAAAAACUCGGGUUUUAAUGAAAUCGAUGUUUUAAAGAAUAAACCGAGUUUUCUAAGAUGCAUGAAACGUAUGAAAAUCCUAAGUGCACUCAUGCAUUCAUCUUACAUUAGGUUCCUAUGAUCACAAGUCUUCCAAGCGUCUCGAUCUUGUAUGCAUUUGGUCUUUUGAUGAAUUUUUGAGUUUAUACCUGAGAUUCUUAGACAUUAAACCAAUUAGUCACUUAACCAUGGUUUGUUAUCAUCAAAACCCGAUUAGGAGAACCCUUGGGCUAACAAUUUCCUUUUUACUUUAUUUUAUUUUGAUUUUUGUAUCUUUAUUUUUUUAUUUUCGUUUGCACAGUAAUUGAUUUAGACUUGGAUCUAUUGCUUAUUAGUUAUUUAUUUGGGCUUAUUGGAUUGGGUUUGAGAUAUUAUUUUCUUUGGUCAUGUGUAUUAUUAAUGUGGGUUUGUUGAUUGAUAUGAAUUUUUGACCCAUAAUGUGGGUAUGAAUUUUGGGCCCACAAUGUUGGUGGAAUUUGAUUGAUGACUUGAAUAUUUGAUAUGAGCCUGACCAAUUUAAACUAUUUAAUUUGGAUAUGGGACAAUUAUGGUGUAUAUUAAAUUAGGCUUGGAUUAUGAGAUAUUAAAUUUAGGCCUAAUUGAAUUUAUUUUAUUUUGUGAUAUUUUGGGCUUGGCUAAUUGUGUUGUAUUUUGAUUAUUAAUUUGAAAAUUUUGGAUUAAGAUUUAUAGCAUGUGAGAUGUUUUUGUUAGGUUAUAUUUGUUCAUUUGUGCCCAUUUUGAUUGACAAAAUUUAUGAGACUAAUUUGAAAUUUGAAUUUGAGUUUGAAUAUUUGUUUGGGAUUUUGUACAUCUUUGGAUAUUUACAUUUGAGCUAUUUUGUUUUUGCAUGGGCCUAUUCUACAAUUCUGUUGGCUGAGUACAAAUUUAUGAUACACGGAGCACGAAAUUUUAUGGAAGAAUAAAAAAGUUGUAUGAAGACAUUAAACUAGUUAUAAGCUUAUUUGGGUACACAUUUUAUUUCCCACUUUUAUUUGAUUUUAUUUCUAUUAGUUCUUGUAAAUAUUCGUUUGUAUAUAUUUAUUGUGUACAGAAUUGAAUAUUUAACAAAUCAAAAUUUUCAUUUAAAUAAGAGGAAUAAUUCAGUAAAUAUGUUCUAAUAAAAUAAUAAUUUUAAAAUAUUCUUCUUAAUAAAAGAAAGUUUUUUUUAUUAAUAAAAAUUCAUAAAAAUGCUUUUAGAAAAAUUCAAAAAAAUUGUUUUUAAUAGAAUUUGAAAAAUUAUUUUUAAUAAUAAUUGUCCAAAAAUGUCUUUGUUUAAUAAAAAUUGUCCAAAAAUUGUUUUGUAAAUAAAGUUGUCCCAAAAAUUAAUUUUUAAUUAAAAAUUCUUUUGCAAAUAAAGUUAUAUUCUUUUUAAUAAUUUGUACAAGUCACUUUUCUUUUACUACAAGAAAACUUAUUUUUCCUGACAAAAAUUUAGGGGCGAAUUGUAAUUUUGUCGCUAAAAAUUACUUUUACCGAUGAAAUUUUAGAUAUCGUUGCUAAUGUCAAAUUUAUGAAAACUUUUUGUAACGAAUUUGAAUUUUUCGUUGCCAAAAGAUAUUGCGGGAAAAUUUGGCGGCUUUUUUUGGCGCAAACGCUAUUGUGAUGAAAAAAAUACUAUUUGCCAACGAAAAUAUUUGUUACUAAAUACAAUUUUUUUGUGACGAAAAUAAUUUCCUUACUAAAAGUUACAAAUUUUUAUCCAUAUUUGCUUACAAAAUGGUUUCAUCAGUAAAUAUAUUAUUUUCUGACAAAAUGAGUAAUUUUGUCACUGAAUAGUGUUGCUAAAUUGUAAUAUUAAUAAGUCAUAUUGACAAAUAGAUAAAAGGUUUAUGCUAUAAAAUAAUAAUACGUAUUUUUUGAGACUUGAUAUUUAAAUUACAAUAUUUUAUUUAUAUAUAUAAUAAUAAUACUAAUUAAAGAUUCAUAAAAUUAAAUACUAGAAUAUAGAUUUAUAGAAAUUUAAAUGUUUUGUUAUGUAAUAAUAGUAUUGUUAUGAAAUAAUAAAAAGGUAAAUUAUUUAAGCAAUUAAUUUUUAUAGUGUAAUAUAUAUGUUAUAUUUUUUUUAUAUAGAUAAUAACAAAUAAUCCAAGAUAUAAUAUAAAUUUAUUUAAAUUUCAAUAUUAUUAUAUGAUGUUAACCAAACAUAAAUAAUUUUAAAUCUUUUUUAUUAUACAAUGUAAAAGUUAUUUUUGCAAGUUUAAUAUAGUAGUAUUGAACUUAAAUUAGCUAUGAAUAAGUAAUGAUCCUCUAAUUUGUUCUCAUUCAAAAUCAUGUCGUCUGAAGUAAAUUUAUACUAAUAUUUAACUACCUAGUUUAAAUUAAUAGAUUUUUAUAAUUAUUACUUGGUUUUUAAAUAGUUGUUCAGAAUUGAAAUUAUCAAAUAAAUUACCUAGUGUCUAUAAAAACAUUAUAUUUGCAUAGAAUUUCAAAUAAUACUUGUGUGUAUAAAAAAUAUCAUAUAUUAUCAAUACAUAUAUGAUUGCAAUUAAAUAUUAUAUGAUAUGAUAUAUGGCAUUAUAUGCCUCACUACUAUAAUAUUAAUAACAAAAUAAAAAAUGUGUCAUAUAUAUAUACACAUAUUAUAAUGGGUAUAUGAAGAAAUUAAUAUAUGAAUGAUAUAAAUUGUAACAUUUUAUAAUAAUCAACAGUAUUUGAAAGCAUAUUUAAUGUUAAAAUGAUAAUUUAUUUACUUUAUAAUAAGUGAAUAAUUAUUAUAUUUUUAUUUCAUUCAUGAUUUUUGUGCUUUCAAUAAUAAAUUAAAUGGAAAAUAAAAUUAAAUAUUGAAAAUUAAUAGAAUUAUUAAAACUUUAUCUUAAUAUUUUAAUAUUUAAAAUGUAUAUAAAAUUUAGGUGUAAACAUAAUUAUAUAUAAUGUAGGCACUUUAAUAACUCAAAUGAAUGACUAUCCUAGUGGUGUAUAGUUAACUUCGUAAGCUUGGGAAGUCUGAACACUUUAUUGAUCUCAUUAUAAAUUUUUAUUUUUAAUUGUUAAAUAUUAAUUUAUCAUAAAUGAUUACUUAUUAAAAAUAAAAUCAUAAAUUAUAUCACAAAAUAGUAAAUGUUGUAUACUAACUUGUAAAGAAGUUUUUAUAUUUGUAUACAAUUUUUUAAUAAAACAUGUAAAACAAAUAUAGUUAUAAAAAUAAUUGUAACAUAUAAUAAAAUAGUAUAUCAUUUACAUUUAUAGUGUUUUAUUGCAUUUGAUAUUUUUGUUUGAAAUAUAAGAGAAAGAAAAUGAAAAAUAUAAAGAUGACUUGUUGACACGAAUUGUUGCACUUAGGCUUAUUCACUUUGAAAGUAAAUUUAUACUAAUAUUUAAUUACCUAGAUUAACCUAAUAAAAAUAUUUUUUUUAAUUAUUGUUUAGUUUUUAAAUAAUUGUUAAUAUUAGAAAUUAUCAAAUAAUAACCUAAUUUUUGUCAAGAUAUUCUAUUGACGUAAAUUCCAAAUAUGGUUUAUGUUUAUAAAGAUAUCAUAUAUCAUUAAUGAAUAUAUGAUUGUAAGUUAAAUAUCAUAUGAUACAAUACAUUGUACCAUAUGCAUAACUACUAUAUUAUUAUUUUAGAAAAUAAAAAAUGCAUUAUAUAUUAGUAAUAUAUUAUAUACAUAAAAACAAAAAUUGUAAGGUAUCUAACCACUUCUUAAUUAACAAUUGAUUAGUUUAAUUUUUAAAUAAUUUUAUGAUGUAUUAAUGAUCUUUAGCUUAACUACUAAAAUAAGAUAAUAAAUUAUGCCACAAAAGUAGCAACUAUUAUAGCUACUAAUUUGUUAAGGAUUGUUUUACACUUUUAUAUGUUUUUUAAUAAAAUAUUUAAUCUAUGAUUUUUAUUCCUUGCUUUAAAUUUCAAUUUUUAUUUUACUCUAAUUUCUAAUAUAUAAAUUCUGAUUUUUAAAUUUUUAAUUUUUAAUUUCUAAAUUUUAAAUAAUACAAAACUCAUAAAUCUUACAUUUUAUUUUUAGUCAAUUUUGUAAUUUAUAAAUUCUAAUUUUUUUAUUUUCUAAAUUUUCUAAAUUUUAAAUAAUAAAUAGUCCCAAUAAUAGGCAAAUAAUAAAGUUUCAAUUUUAUUUUUAAUCUAAUUUUUAAUUUAUAUUUUAAAUUUUUAAAUUUUUAAAUUCUAAAUUUUAAAUAAUAUAAAACAUAUAACAUCAUGAAAUGCAUUAAAUGCGCCGAGUUGUAGCAGCAUGCUACUGAGAUUUGGUUGUAGAGACGGCACAAUGGAUGGUAUGGAGUAUUGGUUGGGAAAUGAAAUGAAAAGAAAGUGAAAUAAAAAAGAAAAAAACAAAUCUCCCAAGCACCCACGUAGCACUGGGACUUUGAAAAGUGAGAAGACUUUCUCACCAACUCUCCAUCAUUUGCCUACAACUUUGAAAAUGAAAAAGAGCAUUACUUCCCACCACAUCUCUAACAUCUACCAUAACCUCCUGAACCUUCCACCAUUUUCACCAUCUCAUCUACCUUCUUAAAAAAUUGUUUCCCACUUGCAAGCCAUAUUCACCAUUCUCCACCAAAGUUUACCGAGCCGGCAAAGCUUCUUAUCUACCAUUUUCAUCGGUCUGUUAUACUACAGAAAUCUACCACUNNNNNNNNNNNNNNNNNNNNNNNNNNNNNNNNNNNNNNNNNNNNNNNNNNNNNNNNNNNNNNNNNNNNNNNNNNNNNNNNNNNNNNNNNNNNNNNNNNNNNNNNNNNNNNNNNNNNNNNNNNNNNNNNNNNNNNNNNNNNNNNNNNNNNNNNNNNNNNNNNNNNNNNNNNNNNNNNNNNNNNNNNNNNNNNNNNNNNNNNNNNNNNNNNNNNNNNNNNNNNNNNNNNNNNNNNNNNNNNNNNNNNNNNNNNNNNNNNNNNNNNNNNNNNNNNNNNNNNNNNNNNNNNNNNNNNNNNNNNNNNNNNNNNNNNNNNNNNNNNNNNNNNNNNNNNNNNNNNNNNNNNNNNNNNNNNNNNNNNNNNNNNNNNNNNNNNNNNNNNNNNNNNNNNNNNNNNNNNNNNNNNNNNNNNNNNNNNNNNNNNNNNNNNNNNNNNNNNNNNNNNNNNNNNNNNNNNNNNNNNNNNNNNNNNNNNNNNNNNNNNNNNNNNNNNNNNNNNNNNNNNNNNNNNNNNNNNNNNNNNNNNNNNNNNNNNNNNNNNNNNNNNNNNNNNNNNNNNNNNNNNNNNNNNNNNNNNNNNNNNNNNNNNNNNNNNNNNNNNNNNNNNNNNNNNNNNNNNNNNNNNNNNNNNNNNNNNNNNNNNNNNNNNNNNNNNNNNNNNNNNNNNNNNNNNNNNNNNNNNNNNNNNNNNNNNNNNNNNNNNNNNNNNNNNNNNNNNNNNNNNNNNNNNNNNNNNNNNNNNNNNNNNNNNNNNNNNNNNNNNNNNNNNNNNNNNNNNNNNNNNNNNNNNNNNNNNNNNNNNNNNNNNNNNNNNNNNNNNNNNNNNNNNNNNNNNNNNNNNNNNNNNNNNNNNNNNNNNNNNNNNNNNNNNNNNNNNNNNNNNNNNNNNNNNNNNNNNNNNNNNNNNNNNNNNNNNNNNNNNNNNNNNNNNNNNNNNNNNNNNNNNNNNNNNNNNNNNNNNNNNNNNNNNNNNNNNNNNNNNNNNNNNNNNNNNNNNNNNNNNNNNNNNNNNNNNNNNNNNNNNNNNNNNNNNNNNNNNNNNNNNNNNNNNNNNNNNNNNNNNNNNNNNNNNNNNNNNNNNNNNNNNNNNNNNNNNNNNNNNNNNNNNNNNNNNNNNNNNNNNNNNNNNNNNNNNNNNNNNNNNNNNNNNNNNNNNNNNNNNNNNNNNNNNNNNNNNNNNNNNNNNNNNNNNNNNNNNNNNNNNNNNNNNNNNNNNNNNNNNNNNNNNNNNNNNNNNNNNNNNNNNNNNNNNNNNNNNNNNNNNNNNNNNNNNNNNNNNNNNNNNNNNNNNNNNNNNNNNNNNNNNNNNNNNNNNNNNNNNNNNNNNNNNNNNNNNNNNNNNNNNNNNNNNNNNNNNNNNNNNNNNNNNNNNNNNNNNNNNNNNNNNNNNNNNNNNNNNNNNNNNNNNNNNNNNNNNNNNNNNNNNNNNNNNNNNNNNNNNNNNNNNNNNNNNNNNNNNNNNNNNNNNNNNNNNNNNNNNNNNNNNNNNNNNNNNNNNNNNNNNNNNNNNNNNNNNNNNNNNNNNNNNNNNNNNNNNNNNNNNNNNNNNNNNNNNNNNNNNNNNNNNNNNNNNNNNNNNNNNNNNNNNNNNNNNNNNNNNNNNNNNNNNNNNNNNNNNNNNNNNNNNNNNNNNNNNNNNNNNNNNNNNNNNNNNNNNNNNNNNNNNNNNNNNNNNNNNNNNNNNNNNNNNNNNNNNNNNNNNNNNNNNNNNNNNNNNNNNNNNNNNNNNNNNNNNNNNNNNNNNNNNNNNNNNNNNNNNNNNNNNNNNNNNNNNNNNNNNNNNNNNNNNNNNNNNNNNNNNNNNNNNNNNNNNNNNNNNNNNNNNNNNNNNNNNNNNNNNNNNNNNNNNNNNNNNNNNNNNNNNNNNNNNNNNNNNNNNNNNNNNNNNNNNNNNNNNNNNNNNNNNNNNNNNNNNNNNNNNNNNNNNNNNNNNNNNNNNNNNNNNNNNNNNNNNNNNNNNNNNNNNNNNNNNNNNNNNNNNNNNNNNNNNNNNNNNNNNNNNNNNNNNNNNNNNNNNNNNNNNNNNNNNNNNNNNNNNNNNNNNNNNNNNNNNNNNNNNNNNNNNNNNNNNNNNNNNNNNNNNNNNNNNNNNNNNNNNNNNNNNNNNNNNNNNNNNNNNNNNNNNNNNNNNNNNNNNNNNNNNNNNNNNNNNNNNNNNNNNNNNNNNNNNNNNNNNNNNNNNNNNNNNNNNNNNNNNNNNNNNNNNNNNNNNNNNNNNNNNNNNNNNNNNNNNNNNNNNNNNNNNNNNNNNNNNNNNNNNNNNNNNNNNNNNNNNNNNNNNNNNNNNNNNNNNNNNNNNNNNNNNNNNNNNNNNNNNNNNNNNNNNNNNNNNNNNNNNNNNNNNNNNNNNNNNNNNNNNNNNNNNNNNNNNNNNNNNNNNNNNNNNNNNNNNNNNNNNNNNNNNNNNNNNNNNNNNNNNNNNNNNNNNNNNNNNNNNNNNNNNNNNNNNNNNNNNNNNNNNNNNNNNNNNNNNNNNNNNNNNNNNNNNNNNNNNNNNNNNNNNNNNNNNNNNNNNNNNNNNNNNNNNNNNNNNNNNNNNNNNNNNNNNNNNNNNNNNNNNNNNNNNNNNNNNNNNNNNNNNNNNNNNNNNNNNNNNNNNNNNNNNNNNNNNNNNNNNNNNNNNNNNNNNNNNNNNNNNNNNNNNNNNNNNNNNNNNNNNNNNNNNNNNNNNNNNNNNNNNNNNNNNNNNNNNNNNNNNNNNNNNNNNNNNNNNNNNNNNNNNNNNNNNNNNNNNNNNNNNNNNNNNNNNNNNNNNNNNNNNNNNNNNNNNNNNNNNNNNNNNNNNNNNNNNNNNNNNNNNNNNNNNNNNNNNNNNNNNNNNNNNNNNNNNNNNNNNNNNNNNNNNNNNNNNNNNNNNNNNNNNNNNNNNNNNNNNNNNNNNNNNNNNNNNNNNNNNNNNNNNNNNNNNNNNNNNNNNNNNNNNNNNNNNNNNNNNNNNNNNNNNNNNNNNNNNNNNNNNNNNNNNNNNNNNNNNNNNNNNNNNNNNNNNNNNNNNNNNNNNNNNNNNNNNNNNNNNNNNNNNNNNNNNNNNNNNNNNNNNNNNNNNNNNNNNNNNNNNNNNNNNNNNNNNNNNNNNNNNNNNNNNNNNNNNNNNNNNNNNNNNNNNNNNNNNNNNNNNNNNNNNNNNNNNNNNNNNNNNNNNNNNNNNNNNNNNNNNNNNNNNNNNNNNNNNNNNNNNNNNNNNNNNNNNNNNNNNNNNNNNNNNNNNNNNNNNNNNNNNNNNNNNNNNNNNNNNNNNNNNNNNNNNNNNNNNNNNNNNNNNNNNNNNNNNNNNNNNNNNNNNNNNNNNNNNNNNNNNNNNNNNNNNNNNNNNNNNNNNNNNNNNNNNNNNNNNNNNNNNNNNNNNNNNNNNNNNNNNNNNNNNNNNNNNNNNNNNNNNNNNNNNNNNNNNNNNNNNNNNNNNNNNNNNNNNNNNNNNNNNNNNNNNNNNNNNNNNNNNNNNNNNNNNNNNNNNNNNNNNNNNNNNNNNNNNNNNNNNNNNNNNNNNNNNNNNNNNNNNNNNNNNNNNNNNNNNNNNNNNNNNNNNNNNNNNNNNNNNNNNNNNNNNNNNNNNNNNNNNNNNNNNNNNNNNNNNNNNNNNNNNNNNNNNNNNNNNNNNNNNNNNNNNNNNNNNNNNNNNNNNNNNNNNNNNNNNNNNNNNNNNNNNNNNNNNNNNNNNNNNNNNNNNNNNNNNNNNNNNNNNNNNNNNNNNNNNNNNNNNNNNNNNNNNNNNNNNNNNNNNNNNNNNNNNNNNNNNNNNNNNNNNNNNNNNNNNNNNNNNNNNNNNNNNNNNNNNNNNNNNNNNNNNNNNNNNNNNNNNNNNNNNNNNNNNNNNNNNNNNNNNNNNNNNNNNNNNNNNNNNNNNNNNNNNNNNNNNNNNNNNNNNNNNNNNNNNNNNNNNNNNNNNNNNNNNNNNNNNNNNNNNNNNNNNNNNNNNNNNNNNNNNNNNNNNNNNNNNNNNNNNNNNNNNNNNNNNNNNNNNNNNNNNNNNNNNNNNNNNNNNNNNNNNNNNNNNNNNNNNNNNNNNNNNNNNNNNNNNNNNNNNNNNNNNNNNNNNNNNNNNNNNNNNNNNNNNNNNNNNNNNNNNNNNNNNNNNNNNNNNNNNNNNNNNNNNNNNNNNNNNNNNNNNNNNNNNNNNNNNNNNNNNNNNNNNNNNNNNNNNNNNNNNNNNNNNNNNNNNNNNNNNNNNNNNNNNNNNNNNNNNNNNNNNNNNNNNNNNNNNNNNNNNNNNNNNNNNNNNNNNNNNNNNNNNNNNNNNNNNNNNNNNNNNNNNNNNNNNNNNNNNNNNNNNNNNNNNNNNNNNNNNNNNNNNNNNNNNNNNNNNNNNNNNNNNNNNNNNGUUCUAGAAGUUAUCAAAAAUGGAUUUUCCAUGGGGAAGAACAUGAAUCUCAACCUAAUGAGCAAAAUGAUAUUGGUGUUGAUACAGAAAUUGUUGACGCUACUGAUGCUGAUAUCCUUAAUGAAGUUGCGGAUGCAUUAAAUGAUGCAUGUGGACACAUAGACAAUGAUAUUAACUUAGAGGAAUCUACUACUCAUGGAAAAUUUGAUUACUUACUUGGUGAAGCUAAUAAAGAAUUGUAUCUAGGUUGUAAAAAGUUUUCUGCUUUGACAUUCCUUGUGAAGUUAAUGCAUAUUAAAGUCCUCAAUCGUUGGAGUGACAAGUCUUUUGACAUGUUACUCCAAGUUUUAGUUGAUGUUUUUCCAGAAAGAUCAAACAUUCCAAAGACAUACUAUGAUGCUAAGAAGAUGUUAAGAGAUUUGGGCUUAGGAUAUGAUUCAAUCCAUGCAUGCAAGUAUGAUUGUGCAUUGUUUUGGAAGGAGAAUGAGACUCUUGAUAAAUGUUCAAUGUGUGAUGAGCCACGAUAUAAGUUCUGUAAUGGAAAAGGUAAAAAAAUUCCUCAAAAAGUAUUGUGUCAUUUUCCACUAAAAUCAAGGCUACAAAGGUUAUUCAUGUCAAGGCAUACAGCAUCAGCUAUGAGGUGGCAUAAAGAAAACUGAAUCAGUGAGGAGGGAGUCCUAAGGCAUCCAGCAGAUUCUGAAGCUUGGAAGGAUAUGGACACCCAAUUCCCUUGGUUUUCGCAAGAACCUCGAAAUGUUAGAUUAGGGCUUGCAACAAAUGGUUUCAAUCCAUUUGGGAGCAUGAGUAAUAGUUAUAGCAUGUGGCCAAUUGUUCUUGUGCCAUACAAUAUGGCACCAUGGAGAUGUAUGAAAGAGAUGUUUUUCAUGUUAUCAUUACUAAUUCUAGGCCCACAAGCCUUAGGGAGAGAUAUUGAUGUAUACCUACGUCCUUUGAUAGAAGAAUUAAAAGAGUUAUGGCAUGAAGGUGUUCAAACAUUUGACAUGUCAACAGGAGAAAACUUUCGCAUGCAUGCAUGUGUUUUAUGGACAAUAAAUGACAUUCCUGCUUAUGGGAACUUGGCUGGGUGGAGUACAAAAGGAUAUAAAGCAUGUCCAGUUUGUAAUGAAGACACAUCGUCACUAAGUAUUAGAAGUAAAAUAUGUUACAUGGGUCAUCGACGUUUUUUACCUCUUGAUCAUGGAUGGCGAAGGAGUAAACAACACGAUGGUAAGCCGGAGUUUCGACCACCGCCAAGAAUGUUCUCUAGUGAUGAAAUAUUGCAACAAUUGUGUUGUCUUAAACAUCAGAAGCCUAGUAAGCAUCCAAACAACGUUGAUAGAAAGCAAAAACGGGUGCCUGAAGAAUUAAAUUGGACAAAAAAAAGUAUUUUCUUUGAGUUGGAGUACUGGUCAAAGUUGAAGUUGAGACAUAAUAUUGAUGUUAUGCAUGUUGAAAAGAAUGUAUGUGAUAGUGUUGUGGGAACUUUGUUAAAUAUUGUAGGAAAAACAAAAGAUAUAAACAAAGCUCGCUUAGAUUUGGCUGAUAUGAAUAUAAGGAAAGAAUUGCAUUUGCAAAUACAAGGGAACAAAUUGGUAAAACCCCAUGCAUGCUACACAUUGACUGUAGAGGAAAGGAAAGAGUUCUGUAAGUUUCUAAAGUCUGUUAAAUUUCCAGAUGGUUAUGCUGCAAAUUUAUCUAGAAAUGUUAGCAUCAAUGAUGGGAAGAUCUCAGGGUUAAAGAGUCAUGAUUGUCAUGUUUUGCUGCAAAAAUUACUCCCUAUCGCUAUUCGUCCAUAUUUUAAUAAAGAUUUGUGUACAACACUGGUUGAGUUGUGUAGUUUUUUCCAAAAGUUAUGUGCAAAGACCUUGUACAUGAAUGAUUUGGAAAAAUUAGAAGAAGGGAUUGUCUUAAUAUUGUGUAAGCUUGAAAGGAUAUUCCCACCAGCUUUCUUUGAUGUCAUGGUUCACUUGAUGGUACAUUUACCACGUGAGGCCAAACUUGCUGGACUAGUUAGUUAUCGAUGGAUGUAUCCAUUUAAGAGGUACAUUUUUACCUUUUUUGUUUAUUAAUAUUCUCAUCUAACUAUGUUACACAAUACAUGUGUUAAGGCUUAUUUAUUAACACUAUUUCUAUUUAGGAACUUAGGAACAUUGAAAAGAUAUGUGAGAAAUAAAGCUCGACCAGAAGGUUCAAUUGCAAAGGCAUACAUCGUGAAUGAAGCUUUAAUGUUUUGUUCAAUGUAUCUUACUGGAAUUGAAACACGUUUUAAUCGAAGUGAAAGGAACGAAGAUCGAUUUGAACAUCGAGUACAAGAAUGUCUUUCCAUAUUUUCAUAGCAAGCUCAACCAUUAGGCUGUCGAUAACAUCUCCAAUUUUCGAAGGAAGAGUUAACUAAGGCACAUUGGUAUAUCAUGAAUAAUUGCCCAGAGUUGAGACCAUACUUAGAGUAAGUUUUAGAAUCAACAUUAAAGAUAUUUCUUUAAUACCUCGUUACUUAAUAUCUAUUUAAUGAUGUAGUGAACAUACAAAAGAAUUGGAGAGGACAAGUUCACAUAACUUAGAGAAACGACAAGAACAAGAGUUUCCUAAGUGGCUUGCAGAUCGUGUAAGUUUUAUUUGUGUAAUUUGCUUGCUACAAUAUAGUUGUAAUGAACUAAUAUAAUUUUAAUAAUAUUUGAUAUUAAACUAUAAAUAAUUAUGUACAUUUAUAUUGUAGAUGAAAGCUUUGCAUGUUAAACAAUCACCAGAAGCAACUGAUGAACUAUACUCAUUAGCGUGUGGACUAGAUAAUCGAGUCCACACAUACAUGGGUUGUAUUGUUAAUGGAGUUCGCUUCCAUACAAAAGAUCAUGAUGAUCGGCGUAUCACCCAAAAUAGUGGGAUAUGUGUUUCUGGGGAGCAUGAUGGUGAGGAGGUUGAUUUCUAUGGUGUUUUAUCAAAUGUGGUUGUUUUGAACUAUGUCUUGGGGUAUAAGGUUAUUCUUUUCAAGUGCACAUGGUUCGACACAAACCAAAAGAAGAAGAGAAUAAAACAUGACUAUAAUUUUACCACAAUCCAAGUUAUCUCCACCUGGUAUGACAAUGAUCCUUUUAUACUUGCUACACAAACACAACAAGUUUUCUACCUAGAUGACUACAAAAAUGGUCAUAAUUGGAAAGUAGUACAAAAAGUGAAUCAUAGACACAUGUGGGAUGUACCAGAAAGGGAUACUAAUAUAGAAAUCGAUGAAGAAGUGUGCGGGGGAAGUGAUGAAGAAGCUUACCAAGAUAAUGAAUCUCAUGAGCUUAACUGGUUUGUAGAGCAAGAUGAUGGAUUUGAAUUUCAACGAUCUGACCGCUUAAACAUUGAUCUAGAAGUUGUUAAUGAUAAUGUUUUGAUUUUAGAGAACAUGAAUGACAAUGAUGAUAACUUCAUAUGUGAUGACAUUGAGGAAGAAGAUGAAACACUAGAUGAUUAUGCUAAUGAGAAUGAAAUGUGGCUUUCAAGUGAUAGUGAAAGUGAAAGUGAUUAAAGAGACUGGUAAGCUACAUUUUAUUUACUUUAUUAUAUGUUAAAUAACAUAAUGUAAUCUAGGUCUAGUUCUUUAAAUUUNNNNNNNNNNNNNNNNNNNNNNNNNNNNNNNNNNNNNNNNNNNNNNNNNNNNNNNNNNNNNNNNNNNNNNNNNNNNNNNNNNNNNNNNNNNNNNNNNNNNNNNNNNNNNNNNNNNNNNNNNNNNNNNNNNNNNNNNNNNNNNNNNNNNNNNNNNNNNNNNNNNNNNNNNNNNNNNNNNNNNNNNNNNNNNNNNNNNNNNNNNNNNNNNNNNNNNNNNNNNNNNNNNNNNNNNNNNNNNNNNNNNNNNNNNNNNNNNNNNNNNNNNNNNNNNNNNNNNNNNNNNNNNNNNNNNNNNNNNNNNNNNNNNNNNNNNNNNNNNNNNNNNNNNNNNNNNNNNNNNNNNNNNNNNNNNNNNNNNNNNNNNNNNNNNNNNNNNNNNNNNNNNNNNNNNNNNNNNNNNNNNNNNNNNNNNNNNNNNNNNNNNNNNNNNNNNNNNNNNNNNNNNNNNNNNNNNNNNNNNNNNNNNNNNNNNNNNNNNNNNNNNNNNNNNNNNNNNNNNNNNNNNNNNNNNNNNNNNNNNNNNNNNNNNNNNNNNNNNNNNNNNNNNNNNNNNNNNNNNNNNNNNNNNNNNNNNNNNNNNNNNNNNNNNNNNNNNNNNNNNNNNNNNNNNNNNNNNNNNNNNNNNNNNNNNNNNNNNNNNNNNNNNNNNNNNNNNNNNNNNNNNNNNNNNNNNNNNNNNNNNNNNNNNNNNNNNNNNNNNNNNNNNNNNNNNNNNNNNNNNNNNNNNNNNNNNNNNNNNNNNNNNNNNNNNNNNNNNNNNNNNNNNNNNNNNNNNNNNNNNNNNNNNNNNNNNNNNNNNNNNNNNNNNNNNNNNNNNNNNNNNNNNNNNNNNNNNNNNNNNNNNNNNNNNNNNNNNNNNNNNNNNNNNNNNNNNNNNNNNNNNNNNNNNNNNNNNNNNNNNNNNNNNNNNNNNNNNNNNNNNNNNNNNNNNNNNNNNNNNNNNNNNNNNNNNNNNNNNNNNNNNNNNNNNNNNNNNNNNNNNNNNNNNNNNNNNNNNNNNNNNNNNNNNNNNNNNNNNNNNNNNNNNNNNNNNNNNNNNNNNNNNNNNNNNNNNNNNNNNNNNNNNNNNNNNNNNNNNNNNNNNNNNNNNNNNNNNNNNNNNNNNNNNNNNNNNNNNNNNNNNNNNNNNNNNNNNNNNNNNNNNNNNNNNNNNNNNNNNNNNNNNNNNNNNNNNNNNNNNNNNNNNNNNNNNNNNNNNNNNNNNNNNNNNNNNNNNNNNNNNNNNNNNNNNNNNNNNNNNNNNNNNNNNNNNNNNNNNNNNNNNNNNNNNNNNNNNNNNNNNNNNNNNNNNNNNNNNNNNNNNNNNNNNNNNNNNNNNNNNNNNNNNNNNNNNNNNNNNNNNNNNNNNNNNNNNNNNNNNNNNNNNNNNNNNNNNNNNNNNNNNNNNNNNNNNNNNNNNNNNNNNNNNNNNNNNNNNNNNNNNNNNNNNNNNNNNNNNNNNNNNNNNNNNNNNNNNNNNNNNNNNNNNNNNNNNNNNNNNNNNNNNNNNNNNNNNNNNNNNNNNNNNNNNNNNNNNNNNNNNNNNNNNNNNNNNNNNNNNNNNNNNNNNNNNNNNNNNNNNNNNNNNNNNNNNNNNNNNNNNNNNNNNNNNNNNNNNNNNNNNNNNNNNNNNNNNNNNNNNNNNNNNNNNNNNNNNNNNNNNNNNNNNNNNNNNNNNNNNNNNNNNNNNNNNNNNNNNNNNNNNNNNNNNNNNNNNNNNNNNNNNNNNNNNNNNNNNNNNNNNNNNNNNNNNNNNNNNNNNNNNNNNNNNNNNNNNNNNNNNNNNNNNNNNNNNNNNNNNNNNNNNNNNNNNNNNNNNNNNNNNNNNNNNNNNNNNNNNNNNNNNNNNNNNNNNNNNNNNNNNNNNNNNNNNNNNNNNNNNNNNNNNNNNNNNNNNNNNNNNNNNNNNNNNNNNNNNNNNNNNNNNNNNNNNNNNNNNNNNNNNNNNNNNNNNNNNNNNNNNNNNNNNNNNNNNNNNNNNNNNNNNNNNNNNNNNNNNNNNNNNNNNNNNNNNNNNNNNNNNNNNNNNNNNNNNNNNNNNNNNNNNNNNNNNNNNNNNNNNNNNNNNNNNNNNNNNNNNNNNNNNNNNNNNNNNNNNNNNNNNNNNNNNNNNNNNNNNNNNNNNNNNNNNNNNNNNNNNNNNNNNNNNNNNNNNNNNNNNNNNNNNNNNNNNNNNNNNNNNNNNNNNNNNNNNNNNNNNNNNNNNNNNNNNNNNNNNNNNNNNNNNNNNNNNNNNNNNNNNNNNNNNNNNNNNNNNNNNNNNNNNNNNNNNNNNNNNNNNNNNNNNNNNNNNNNNNNNNNNNNNNNNNNNNNNNNNNNNNNNNNNNNNNNNNNNNNNNNNNNNNNNNNNNNNNNNNNNNNNNNNNNNNNNNNNNNNNNNNNNNNNNNNNNNNNNNNNNNNNNNNNNNNNNNNNNNNNNNNNNNNNNNNNNNNNNNNNNNNNNNNNNNNNNNNNNNNNNNNNNNNNNNNNNNNNNNNNNNNNNNNNNNNNNNNNNNNNNNNNNNNNNNNNNNNNNNNNNNNNNNNNNNNNNNNNNNNNNNNNNNNNNNNNNNNNNNNNNNNNNNNNNNNNNNNNNNNNNNNNNNNNNNNNNNNNNNNNNNNNNNNNNNNNNNNNNNNNNNNNNNNNNNNNNNNNNNNNNNNNNNNNNNNNNNNNNNNNNNNNNNNNNNNNNNNNNNNNNNNNNNNNNNNNNNNNNNNNNNNNNNNNNNNNNNNNNNNNNNNNNNNNNNNNNNNNNNNNNNNNNNNNNNNNNNNNNNNNNNNNNNNNNNNNNNNNNNNNNNNNNNNNNNNNNNNNNNNNNNNNNNNNNNNNNNNNNNNNNNNNNNNNNNNNNNNNNNNNNNNNNNNNNNNNNNNNNNNNNNNNNNNNNNNNNNNNNNNNNNNNNNNNNNNNNNNNNNNNNNNNNNNNNNNNNNNNNNNNNNNNNNNNNNNNNNNNNNNNNNNNNNNNNNNNNNNNNNNNNNNNNNNNNNNNNNNNNNNNNNNNNNNNNNNNNNNNNNNNNNNNNNNNNNNNNNNNNNNNNNNNNNNNNNNNNNNNNNNNNNNNNNNNNNNNNNNNNNNNNNNNNNNNNNNNNNNNNNNNNNNNNNNNNNNNNNNNNNNNNNNNNNNNNNNNNNNNNNNNNNNNNNNNNNNNNNNNNNNNNNNNNNNNNNNNNNNNNNNNNNNNNNNNNNNNNNNNNNNNNNNNNNNNNNNNNNNNNNNNNNNNNNNNNNNNNNNNNNNNNNNNNNNNNNNNNNNNNNNNNNNNNNNNNNNNNNNNNNNNNNNNNNNNNNNNNNNNNNNNNNNNNNNNNNNNNNNNNNNNNNNNNNNNNNNNNNNNNNNNNNNNNNNNNNNNNNNNNNNNNNNNNNNNNNNNNNNNNNNNNNNNNNNNNNNNNNNNNNNNNNNNNNNNNNNNNNNNNNNNNNNNNNNNNNNNNNNNNNNNNNNNNNNNNNNNNNNNNNNNNNNNNNNNNNNNNNNNNNNNNNNNNNNNNNNNNNNNNNNNNNNNNNNNNNNNNNNNNNNNNNNNNNNNNNNNNNNNNNNNNNNNNNNNNNNNNNNNNNNNNNNNNNNNNNNNNNNNNNNNNNNNNNNNNNNNNNNNNNNNNNNNNNNNNNNNNNNNNNNNNNNNNNNNNNNNNNNNNNNNNNNNNNNNNNNNNNNNNNNNNNNNNNNNNNNNNNNNNNNNNNNNNNNNNNNNNNNNNNNNNNNNNNNNNNNNNNNNNNNNNNNNNNNNNNNNNNNNNNNNNNNNNNNNNNNNNNNNNNNNNNNNNNNNNNNNNNNNNNNNNNNNNNNNNNNNNNNNNNNNNNNNNNNNNNNNNNNNNNNNNNNNNNNNNNNNNNNNNNNNNNNNNNNNNNNNNNNNNNNNNNNNNNNNNNNNNNNNNNNNNNNNNNNNNNNNNNNNNNNNNNNNNNNNNNNNNNNNNNNNNNNNNNNNNNNNNNNNNNNNNNNNNNNNNNNNNNNNNNNNNNNNNNNNNNNNNNNNNNNNNNNNNNNNNNNNNNNNNNNNNNNNNNNNNNNNNNNNNNNNNNNNNNNNNNNNNNNNNNNNNNNNNNNNNNNNNNNNNNNNNNNNNNNNNNNNNNNNNNNNNNNNNNNNNNNNNNNNNNNNNNNNNNNNNNNNNNNNNNNNNNNNNNNNNNNNNNNNNNNNNNNNNNNNNNNNNNNNNNNNNNNNNNNNNNNNNNNNNNNNNNNNNNNNNNNNNNNNNNNNNNNNNNNNNNNNNNNNNNNNNNNNNNNNNNNNNNNNNNNNNNNNNNNNNNNNNNNNNNNNNNNNNNNNNNNNNNNNNNNNNNNNNNNNNNNNNNNNNNNNNNNNNNNNNNNNNNNNNNNNNNNNNNNNNNNNNNNNNNNNNNNNNNNNNNNNNNNNNNNNNNNNNNNNNNNNNNNNNNNNNNNNNNNNNNNNNNNNNNNNNNNNNNNNNNNNNNNNNNNNNNNNNNNNNNNNNNNNNNNNNNNNNNNNNNNNNNNNNNNNNNNNNNNNNNNNNNNNNNNNNNNNNNNNNNNNNNNNNNNNNNNNNNNNNNNNNNNNNNNNNNNNNNNNNNNNNNNNNNNNNNNNNNNNNNNNNNNNNNNNNNNNNNNNNNNNNNNNNNNNNNNNNNNNNNNNNNNNNNNNNNNNNNNNNNNNNNNNNNNNNNNNNNNNNNNNNNNNNNNNNNNNNNNNNNNNNNNNNNNNNNNNNNNNNNNNNNNNNNNNNNNNNNNNNNNNNNNNNNNNNNNNNNNNNNNNNNNNNNNNNNNNNNNNNNNNNNNNNNNNNNNNNNNNNNNNNNNNNNNNNNNNNNNNNNNNNNNNNNNNNNNNNNNNNNNNNNNNNNNNNNNNNNNNNNNNNNNNNNNNNNNNNNNNNNNNNNNNNNNNNNNNNNNNNNNNNNNNNNNNNNNNNNNNNNNNNNNNNNNNNNNNNNNNNNNNNNNNNNNNNNNNNNNNNNNNNNNNNNNNNNNNNNNNNNNNNNNNNNNNNNNNNNNNNNNNNNNNNNNNNNNNNNNNNNNNNNNNNNNNNNNNNNNNNNNNNNNNNNNNNNNNNNNNNNNNNNNNNNNNNNNNNNNNNNNNNNNNNNNNNNNNNNNNNNNNNNNNNNNNNNNNNNNNNNNNNNNNNNNNNNNNNNNNNNNNNNNNNNNNNNNNNNNNNNNNNNNNNNNNNNNNNNNNNNNNNNNNNNNNNNNNNNNNNNNNNNNNNNNNNNNNNNNNNNNNNNNNNNNNNNNNNNNNNNNNNNNNNNNNNNNNNNNNNNNNNNNNNNNNNNNNNNNNNNNNNNNNNNNNNNNNNNNNNNNNNNNNNNNNNNNNNNNNNNNNNNNNNNNNNNNNNNNNNNNNNNNNNNNNNNNNNNNNNNNNNNNNNNNNNNNNNNNNNNNNNNNNNNNNNNNNNNNNNNNNNNNNNNNNNNNNNNNNNNNNNNNNNNNNNNNNNNNNNNNNNNNNNNNNNNNNNNNNNNNNNNNNNNNNNNNNNNNNNNNNNNNNNNNNNNNNNNNNNNNNNNNNNNNNNNNNNNNNNNNNNNNNNNNNNNNNNNNNNNNNNNNNNNNNNNNNNNNNNNNNNNNNNNNNNNNNNNNNNNNNNNNNNNNNNNNNNNNNNNNNNNNNNNNNNNNNNNNNNNNNNNNNNNNNNNNNNNNNNNNNNNNNNNNNNNNNNNNNNNNNNNNNNNNNNNNNNNNNNNNNNNNNNNNNNNNNNNNNNNNNNNNNNNNNNNNNNNNNNNNNNNNNNNNNNNNNNNNNNNNNNNNNNNNNNNNNNNNNNNNNNNNNNNNNNNNNNNNNNNNNNNNNNNNNNNNNNNNNNNNNNNNNNNNNNNNNNNNNNNNNNNNNNNNNNNNNNNNNNNNNNNNNNNNNNNNNNNNNNNNNNNNNNNNNNNNNNNNNNNNNNNNNNNNNNNNNNNNNNNNNNNNNNNNNNNNNNNNNNNNNNNNNNNNNNNNNNNNNNNNNNNNNNNNNNNNNNNNNNNNNNNNNNNNNNNNNNNNNNNNNNNNNNNNNNNNNNNNNNNNNNNNNNNNNNNNNNNNNNNNNNNNNNNNNNNNNNNNNNNNNNNNNNNNNNNNNNNNNNNNNNNNNNNNNNNNNNNNNNNNNNNNNNNNNNNNNNNNNNNNNNNNNNNNNNNNNNNNNNNNNNNNNNNNNNNNNNNNNNNNNNNNNNNNNNNNNNNNNNNNNNNNNNNNNNNNNNNNNNNNNNNNNNNNNNNNNNNNNNNNNNNNNNNNNNNNNNNNNNNNNNNNNNNNNNNNNNNNNNNNNNNNNNNNNNNNNNNNNNNNNNNNNNNNNNNNNNNNNNNNNNNNNNNNNNNNNNNNNNNNNNNNNNNNNNNNNNNNNNNNNNNNNNNNNNNNNNNNNNNNNNNNNNNNNNNNNNNNNNNNNNNNNNNNNNNNNNNNNNNNNNNNNNNNNNNNNNNNNNNNNNNNNNNNNNNNNNNNNNNNNNNNNNNNNNNNNNNNNNNNNNNNNNNNNNNNNNNNNNNNNNNNNNNNNNNNNNNNNNNNNNNNNNNNNNNNNNNNNNNNNNNNNNNNNNNNNNNNNNNNNNNNNNNNNNNNNNNNNNNNNNNNNNNNNNNNNNNNNNNNNNNNNNNNNNNNNNNNNNNNNNNNNNNNNNNNNNNNNNNNNNNNNNNNNNNNNNNNNNNNNNNNNNNNNNNNNNNNNNNNNNNNNNNNNNNNNNNNNNNNNNNNNNNNNNNNNNNNNNNNNNNNNNNNNNNNNNNNNNNNNNNNNNNNNNNNNNNNNNNNNNNNNNNNNNNNNNNNNNNNNNNNNNNNNNNNNNNNNNNNNNNNNNNNNNNNNNNNNNNNNNNNNNNNNNNNNNNNNNNNNNNNNNNNNNNNNNNNNNNNNNNNNNNNNNNNNNNNNNNNNNNNNNNNNNNNNNNNNNNNCUUAGUGAACCGUCAAAACCAGGCCCUGGGAGAUUGUUUGAGACCAUACAAGGAUUUUUGGAGUCUACAAACCUUGUUGAAAUUUGAUGUUGUCUCAAGUCCAGCAGGAAUCUCCAUGUAAACUUCUUCCUCUAAGUCACCAUUGAGGAAGGCACUCUUCACAUCAAGUUGGUGAAGCGACCAAUCAAGAUUAGCUGCCAAGGAUAAAAGUAUACGAACAGUAUUGAGGUUGGCAACUGGAGCAAAAGUUUCUUGAUAGUCAAUGCCAUAGGAUUGGGUGAAUCCUUUGGCGACCAACCGAGCCUUAUACCUGUCCAUAUUACCAUCUACCUUGUAUUUUACUGUGAAAAUCCACUUACACCCAACUGGUUUCUUACCUCUUGGGAGGUCAGUAAUUUCCCACGUACCAUUCUUUUCUAGCGCCCGAACUUCCUCAUCGACUGCCGCCUUCCACUUAGGAUACUUGAAAGCUUCCUGAAUAUUCCGAGGAACUUGUAUCUCUGUGAUGCUAGAAGUGAAUGCACGAAACGUAGGUGAUAGCUUAUCAUAAGAAAUAAAAUUUCCAAUGGGAUGCUGAGUGCAUGAUCUAACUCCUUUCCUCCAAGCUAUGGGCAUAUUAAGAAUAUCAUUUUCUAACUCGAAAUCAACAGUACCAUCAAGAGCGUUGUUACCUGGAAGUUUGCUUGGAUUAGGACCCGGUUCAGCCUCAUGGGUUUGUUGAGAAAGUGCUCCUUCCUCCGUUUCCUCUUGGAUGUGCUCCUUAUCCCACAAGUCAACAAUGGACUCAGGCUUAUUAAAUGACUCUGGAGGAAUGUGAUUUUCAGUGGUGAUGGGUGACUCACUGAAUGACUCAAGAUCCCAAAAUUGAUAUUCCUGAGUUGAAUUCUCCCCCUGAAUAUCGUUUUUGGGAUAGUAAGGCUGGGUUUCAAAAAAUGUGAUAUCCAUUGAAUUGUAGAAUUUUCUUGUGACUGGAGAGUAACACUUAUACCCUUUUUGAUUUGAAGAAUACCCAAGAAAGAUGCACUUGAGUGACCUAGGAUCAAGUUUACUUCUUUUUUGUUGAUUGAUAUGAACAAAGACAGAGCACCCGAAAAUUUUGGGUGGGACGGUGGAGAUGAGACGAGUAGUCGGAAAGGAUUUUAGGAGUGUUUGACAAGGUGUUUGGAAUUUUAGUACCCUAGACGGCAUCCUAUUGAUGAGGUAGGCUGCCGUAAGGACAGCUUGCCCCCAGAAUAAUUUUGGAACAUUCAUGGAGAACAUUAGUGAUCUAGCCACCUCUAACAAAUGCCUAUUUUUCCUUUCAGCGAUUUCGUUUUGUUGUGGGGUAUCAACACAUGAACUUAAGUGAACUAUCCCUUCUUGUGCUAGAAAUUCUCCUAGAAUGGAGUUGAAAUAAUCCCUAGCAUUAUCAGACUUUAGAAUUUGUAUUUUUGACUGGAAUUGGGUCUGAAUCAUAUUUUUAAAAUUUUUGAAAAUUUGACUCGUUUCAGAUUUUUCUUUCAUGAGGAAUACCCAAGUUAAUCUAGUGUGAUCAUCUAUGAAUGAGACAAACCACCUAGUACCAGUUACAUUUUUUAUUCUUGACGGACCCCAGAUAUCGCUAUGAUCAUGAGAUGGACUAGACUCUUNNNNNNNNNNNNNNNNNNNNNNNNNNNNNNNNNNNNNNNNNNNNNNNNNNNNNNNNNNNNNNNNNNNNNNNNNNNNNNNNNNNNNNNNNNNNNNNNNNNNGGGAAGUGAUGAAGAAGCUUACCAAGAUAAUGAAUCUCAUGAGCUUAACUGGUUUGUAGAGCAAGAUGAUGGAUUUGAAUUUCAACGAUCUGACCGCUUAAACAUUGAUCUAGAAGUUGUUAAUGAUAAUGUUUUGAUUUUAGAGAACAUGAAUGACAAUGAUGAUAACUUCAUAUGUGAUGACAUUGAGGAAGAAGAUGAAACACUAGAUGAUUAUGCUAAUGAGAAUGAAAUGUGGCUUUCAAGUGAUAGUGAAAGUGAAAGUGAUUAAAGAGACUGGUAAGCUACAUUUUAUUUACUUUAUUAUAUGUUAAAUAACAUAAUGUAAUCUAGGUCUAGUUCUUUAAAUUUAUGUUAUGUGUUGUGAUAUUCCUUUUUUAUUAUUAUUUAUUUGUCUUUAUUGUUAUUUUAUUAUAGAUGACUCCUGGACGAAAGCGGUCACCUUCUGAGUUAACUCAACCACCCACAACAACACCCAUGACUCCUUUUUAUGUCGAUGUUCCAAUGCACACAUCCAAUGAGGGCACUAGUAGUUGUAAGAAACUUCUUACAUUUAUAUAUUUUACUUAUUAUAAUUUUGUAAGAUAUUUUUUUUUUAAAUUUUAAAUUAUAAUGAGUUGUAAUUUAAUUUUAGUCUUUUUAUUAACUCUUAUUAAUUGUUAAAGUUUAAUCAAUAAUUUCAUGGUAGCACCUAAUAAAGAAAUUUAAGAGGCAAAACUAGAGGUGUCAUUCUUGACAAACUUAUUGAAGCUAAUGGGGGCAAACCUCUUCCGAUCACAAUCAAGCCAUCUAAUGGGAAGCAAACAGGAAAAUAUUGUGAGAAAUUGUCAAAUGAGAUUGGGUUAAUAGUGAGACAACAUGCACCUGUUAGAGUGGAAAAAUGGAACCAAAUGCCUCGAGCUGAGAUCAAUACAAUGCUUGAUCGAAUCAAGGUAAAGUUGCUUGAAAUAUAUAUAUAUUUUUUAGCUUGUAAUUAUAACUAAUUGUUGGUUAUCUCUAAACUUACUUUAUCUCAUAUUAGUUCUUCCCUUGUUUGACUAUGAAGGAAAAGUUUGCCCUAGAUUUGACACAAGAGCAUGUGAAGAAAAGUUUAGAAAAACAAUUAUCUGACCGCUUUAGAAAUUGGAGAUGUGAUUUGCACAAGCACUUCAAAAAGUUCCCAACUGUGGUGGAGGCUAAGCGAAAUCCUCAUGAAUCUGUGUCAAAUCAGGAAGAUUGGGACUACUUUUGUGAUAGAUUUUCAAGUGAAGAAUUUAAGGUAAAGUUUUCAAUGAAUAAUCAUUCAAACCUAUUUCUUAUUGAAUAUUCUACUAACUAUAUUUAUAUUAUUUUCAAUAAUAACUAUUAUUACAGCGUCGUUCAGCAAUCAAUUCAGUAAAUAGAUCAAAGAUGCCUUUUCAUCAUCGAGGAGGCUCUCGUUCAUUUAUCCAACAUGGUCUACAAGUGGUAAAAUAUAAAACUAAGGUUCUUUAGUUAUUCAUAUAACUUAUAAUUCUUAAUAUUAAUGCAUAAUACUUGACAGCCAACAGAGAAUGGAGAGAUGGUUGGCCAAAUUGAACUAUUCAAACUAGUUCAUUGGAAAAGUCAAGAUGGAUGGAUAAAUCAAGAGGCUAGAUAUUAUUAUGUAAGAUUAUUUUGAUAGCUUUCUAUGUUUAAAUCAUGUUUGGGAUUAUGAAUCUUUGUGGAAGUGUCAUCGUGAUAGUUUAUUUACCAUGUUUUGAUAAAUAAGGCACUUCCUUGGUAGUUUUCAUAAAUCUAUAAAUUUUGAUUUGGUUAUUGAUUGCUUGGGUGUUCAAUGUUGUUAAAUUGAUUAAUAGCAGGGAAAAUUUGGCAAAGUCUAAAAAUUAGGAGAGACUAUGCCAAAAUUUCUAUUGAAAUUUUAUCUUACCAACUUAUUAUUAUAACUUUUCUUACUCAAAAUUACAUUUAAGAUUAUUAGUACUUGUAAAGUAUUAUUAUAUCAACUUGUAUACUAGAUUCUUAUUUCAAUUUUUAUAUUAUUUAGUGUGUGAUUACAAGCUAAUUAGGUUCUUCUUAGGUAGAAUCCUUGAAGUAAACUUUUGUUUGGGCAUUAACUAAUCAUAAAUCUUUAUUGUUAAAUAUUUGAUUAUGUGGUUGGUAAAAAUUUGUGGAAAUAGUAAAGAAUUAAAGAGGGAUUAGUAUAUUAUUAACUUGAAUAUAUAAUAGGUCAAAUUUUGGAAAAAAAACUAAGAAAUAUAAGAGAAUAUGCCAAAAUUUAAAUAGGAUUUUUAACUUGUUAACUUCUUGUUAUAAUUUUCUUUGCUUAAAAUUAAGUUGAGAUUCUAUGUACUUUUCAAUUUUUACCAUUUUAUUAUGUAUAUAAGAAUCUUGUUUAUGUGAUAACAAGUUUAGAUACUUUUUUUAGCCAUUUCUUUGCUUAAAAUGAAGUUUAGGAUUAUAUGUGCUUGUGGGGUGUUACAAUAUUUGUAUAAAAAAUAUCAUAUCCUUAUUUGAAAUCUAAUAUUAAGGGACUAUUCCAAAAUUUAAUUAGGAUUUUUAACUUAUUAACUUCUUGUUGUAAUUUUCUUUACUUAUAAUUAAGUUGAGAUUCUAACUACUUUUCAAUUUUUAUCAUUUUAGUAUGUAUAUAAGAAUCUUGUUUAUGUGAUAACAAGUUUAGAUACUUUUUUAGGCAUUUAUUUGCUUAAAAUGAAUUUUAGGAUUAUAUGUGCUUGUGGGGUGUUAUAAUAUUUGUAUAAAAAUAUCAUAUCCUUAUUUGAAAUCUAAUAUUAAGGGACUAUUCCAAAAUUUAAUUAGGAUUUUUAACUUGUGAACUUCUUGUUAUAAUUUUCUUUACUUAUAAUUAAGUUGAGAUUCUAACUACUUUUCAAUUUUUAUCAUUUUAGUAUGUAUAUAAGAAUCUUGUUUAUGUGAUAACAAGUUUAGAUAUUUUUUUAGGCAUUUCUUUGCUUAAAAUUAAGUUUAGGAUUAUGUGUGCUUGUAGGGUGUUACAAUGUUUGUAUAAAAAUACCAUAUUCUUAUUUGAAAUCUAAUAUUAAGGGACUAUGCCAAAAUUUAAAUAGGAUUUUUAACUUUAUAACUACUUGUUAUAAUUUUCUUUACUUAUAAUUAAGUUGAGAUUCUAACUAAUUUUCAAUUUUUAUCAUUUUAGUAUGUAUAUAGGAAUCUUGUUUAUGUGAUAACAAGUUUAGAUCAUUUUUUAGGUAUUUCUUUGCUUAAAAUUAAGUUUAGGAUUAUGUGUGUUUGUGGGGUGCUACAAUGUUUGUAUAAAAAUACCAUAUUCUUGUUUGAAAUAUAAUAUUAAGGGACUAUGCUGAAAUUUAAAUAGGAUUUUUAACUUACUAUCUUCUUGUUAUAAUUUUCUUUACUUAAAAUUAAGUUAAGAUUCUAACUACUUUUGAAUUUUCACCAUUUUAGUAUGUAUAUAUUAUUCUUGUUUAUGUGAUAACAUGUUUAUAAACACUUUUUUAGGCAUUUCUUAGCUUAAAAUUAAGUUUAGGAUUAUGUGUGCUUAUGGGAUGUUACAAUGUUUGUAUAAAAAUACUAUAUUCUUGUUUGAAAUCUACUAUUAUUUACCAUAUAAUAACAAAUUAAGGCACUUGGAUGUUUUGUUGUGCUAAAAAUCAAUUUGAUUAUUAACUAAUUUGAAAUUCCAAUGCUUAUAUUUAUUAUAUAUAGUAGGUAUAAUUUAAAAAAUAUCUACUAAAUAUGGGAGAUCAUGCCCAAAUUUAAUGGAAAUUUUAAUUUACUAACUUAUUAAUUAUGUUUUGGUUCUUUUUUUUUUGUUUUAUUUUUUAUUUUGCAUAUAUAGGAGAAGAUGUUGGAGCUUUAACGCCAGCCUAUUGCAGAAGGAGCUGUGGCUAUGACUGAGGUAGAAAUUUGUGAGAAAGUUUUGGGACAAAAAUCAGGAUAUGUCAAGGGCCUUGGUUUUGGCCCUAAACCAAUCUCAUUUUCUAAAUCUAAACCAUCAUCUUCUGAGCGUGAAAAUGAGUUGGAGCAUAGACUUAUUGAGACUCAACUACUUGUGGAGACUCAACAACAAUAACUUGAGACUCAACAAGAUCGAAUUGACCAAUUGGAGGCCUUCGUACAAAAACAAAAUCAACAACAUCAUCAACAAUUUGAAGAAAUAUUGCGUCAUCUAUGAUCAAGCCAAGGGUCCUCAUGAUCCCUUUUUUUAUGAUGUGCAUAUGAUGGACGUUCAUUUCUUUUUUUUGCCUAUGCUAAUAUAGUUGUUUUGUGAUAGACAUUUUGUUAAACUAAUACUUUAUUUUGUUUUGUAGUUAUAUUAGCGUAGAUAUUAUACUACUAUGAUCACAUGUUAUGGUUACAUAUAUUAAUUACCAAUGAAGUUAUGUGAUAUAUAUUUUGAUUUUUGUAAGCAGGUUUCAGAAUUAACCUUUCUAUUAUAAUUAAUGUUUUAAAUACCAAAUGCCAUACAUUUGUAAUAUGAAAAAUAAAAAAUGUAAAUACAUUUCCUGACAAAAAAAAAAAAUUGUUACUAAAGAUAUUUCCUGAUGAAAUAUUUUUGUUGCUGAAGAUUGUUGUAUCAUCCACAACUAAUUUAUAAUUCACUGGCAUACGUUUUAGGGACAAAAUCAUUUUGUAAAUAAAAGGAUUUAGCAACGAAAUGAAUUUGUCAGUAUUAAUGAUAAAUAUUUUAGUUCAAAAAAAUCCUUUAGCAAUGAAAUAUCUAUUUCAUCAAGAAAAACUUUUAGUGACAAAAUGGAACUUUCGUUGGGAUUGCAAAGCAUAGGGAGACGAAAUUAAAUUGUUACAAAAAAUAUUUGGCAGCAAAAUAAAUUUGUUAGCACUAAGUAUUGACGACUUUGAGGACAAAAAUUUAUAUUUUUUAGUGGCAAAAAUUCUUAUUUUUGUUAAUGAAAAAUUUCGUUGGGGAAAAUAUUUAGUAACAAAAUUUUUAUUUCAUCAGGGAAAAUAUUGGGCGACGAAAUAGGAUUUUUGUCGGGAAACUUUUAGCGACGGGUCUAAGGCAACGAAUGUGACACGAAACAUUUUUCGUUGGGAAAUAUUUUUGCAGACGAAAUUUCGACUUUUAGUGACAAAAUAUUUUAUCAUUGAAAGUUAAUUUUCUUGUAGUUAAAUGAAAACAAAUUGAAAUACUUUUGUAAAUAAAAUUGUAAUUUUUUUUUGUAAAAGCAAGUAAAAAUCAUUUUUGUUGCCAAAUUGAAAUUUUGCAAUAAAUUAUUUUGAUAUAAUAAGUGAAAAUAAAUUUUUUUGAAAAUUAAAUACAAAUGAAAUUGAAUUAAAUCAUUAAUUAAAAAUAAAUUGAAACUUCUUUUUUGGCAAUAAAAAAAAAUUAAAAUCAUUAAUUUAAAAUCAUUUUUAAUAAAUACUUUGAAAUUUCUUGAAAAUUAUUUUUUUAAUAUUUUUUUUUAGUUCAAUAAAUCAUUUUGCAUAAUUCUCUUAUUAUUUAUUUUGUGUAUUCUUGUAAUUAGAUUUCAUCAUUAUUUUUGUGUAUAUUAAUUUUCACCAUGACUUGUACAUACUCAUUUACAUGAUUAUUUUUCUUGGUAUCCAUAAUUAAUUAAUUAAUCAUCACAAUUUCCUUAAUUCAUUUAGUAGAGGGCAUACGUAUACAAGCUUAGAGGGGUGUUACAGCUCAUUACAAUACCUUCCCGAUAUGUAACGGGGGACUCAAACUCAAUUUUUCACAAACUUGUUUUUACUUCGAGAGUCACAUUUAAGGUUUUUCUUUUUUAUUUUGUUUUUCCCUUAAAAAAAUAAAACAAAAAUCAGUAACGACUUUAAGUCUUUUUUAAAAAAUCAUAUUUUUUACCAAAUAAAUAAAAAACGAGUCUCGUUGUCGAGUGGAGACGCACAUGAAAAACGUAGGUCCACACCGAUAUAUUAUAUUAUUUUUUAAUUUAUUUAUAAUUUAAAACUAAUUUCAUUUUUUAUAAGACCUCAAUUAAAUUUCUAUUAAUUAAAUUUAGAAUAUUUUUACAAAAUCAAUAUAGAAAAAUUAUUUAAAAAAAAAAAAAAAAAAACCAACUUGUAGACUCCUUCUCUUGAGCUCUAUUUUUUUUAUGGUCUGAAACAAGGGGGCAUGGCAUGACCCAAGGGAGAAAUUUUCGAUUUUUUAGUGAAGGAGGGGACACCUCCCAAGAAGGUAGCUGCCUUGGACGUGUGGCAAGGGAGAUUGGCUGCCCAUGAAAGUGGUUGCAAGCCCAUGCUUGCUGUGAGGUGAAUAGGAGAGUGGGUGGUGGCUUGCCAAGGAAGGGAAAAAGAGAGAGAAAAAAGGGGAGUUAGAGCUGAGGGCAAGGGUGGAGCCAGAGAGAAAGGAGAAGCCCGAAUGAGAAGAAGGGAGAGGUACGACAUUUACCAUGACUCUUUGGACUCACUUGAUGUAUAUAAUCUCCUUAUUUUUCUCUUAAUAGUUUCGAGUAGAUUAUUCGAACAUAUGUUUCGUUUUAUGGUUCAUAGUUAUGGUUUGGAUGCUACUAUCUCUUUCAUAUUUUUGGUUUGUUUUGAGAGCAAUGAAGCUCUGUUUUAACCUCCUCCUCAUGGCCAUUACCGUGCUCAUCAUCCACCCCCAAUACCCACAUCGUCACGCACCAAUAUACCAGCUCCAUUUCAUCACCAUCCCACGUUCCAUGCAUGGCUGUCACCCUCACCCAUCCUCCCAAUCACCUUUUCUCUCUCUACCCGCCAUACCCAUCCUUCACCCGCAUGCGCGGAACCUGGUAUAUUUGGCUGCCCACCAUGCCCGCGUUCAGCUCAUCUCCACAGGAACCCCCAAAGCCGCCCGUCUACACGCGUGUGUCCCAUGCAUGCAAGCCGCCCCAUCCCUCAUUUUUUUUUGCUGCAUGCACCGCGUCGACAAGGCGUCUGCUCCUCACCAGCCACCAUCACCCGCUCCAGCCAUGCGGGCAUUUGCACCAGCCACCAUGGCGGCAGCAUCUCUUGGAUGCCAUGGGACUACCACCAUUGCUCCUUGAAGACUUUGAAGACUAAAAUAUGAAGAAUUUGAAGACAAACUAUGGAGGAACACAGACUCAAUUCAUUCUGUGAUUCUUUUUUUUUUUUUUACAAUGAAAGAAAGCAUAAAUAAAUAGCCUACAGAUAUGAGAUAAUUCCGGAAUGGUACACUAUCACUGGACGGAAUUUCCCUUACAUGGAAAGUGUUACAUGGAAAGUGAAUAAACUACCUUGCUAGAAUUACUCCUAAAUCAAUUAUAAUAAAGGUUGUACAUUACACUAAUUCAGGGAAGUAAACAGAGGAUGCUAAAUAUGGGGAGGAACAUGCACAGGCAGGAAGGCGACGUGGGCUUGAUUUCCAACACUCCCCCUCAAGCCGCGUUGUAGAUGUUGAUCAUUCCAAGUUUUUCUGUCAGAUCUUCGAAGUUAACUCGAGCAAGAGCUUUUGUGAGAAUGUCAGCCGUUUGAUAGUUUGUCGGAGUGUAGCUGACUUUGAAAACUCCUUCUUCAAUCUUUUCCUUGAUAAAGUGUCGAUCUAUCUCCACGUGCUUAGUUCGAUCAUGAUGAACCGGAUUCUUAGCGAUACUGAUGGCAGCUUGAUUGUCGCAGUAUAACACCAUGGGAUGCUUCAAUGGAACCCAUAAUUCUUCUAGCAGCCUGUUCAACCAGAUUUCCUCGCAGAUACCUUGUUCCAUAGCACGAAAUUCUGCCUCAGCACUGCUACGGGCUACCACUGACUGUUUCUUGCUUCGCCAUGUAACCAAGUUCCCCUAGACAAAUGAACAAUAGCCUGAAGUUGAUCUCCGAUCAGUCACUGAACCUGCCCAAUCUGCAUUUGAAAAAAUCUCAAUCUCUUUCUUUGUUGUUCUUUGAAAGAAAAGACCCUUUCCCGGUGUCAUCUUGAGGCACCUCAAUAUUCUGAUCACAGUAGUCAUGUGUUUUUCGGUUGGAUUAUUCAUGAAUUGACUUACCACACUAACGGAGAAGCCGAUGUCUGGCCUUGUAUGAGAAAGAUAGAUGAGUUUCCCCACAAGACGUUGAUAUCUUCCUUUAUCAACUGGCGCACUUCCAUCACUUUCUUCCAGUUUGACAGUUGUAUCCAUAGGUGUUUCUGCUGGCUUGCAUCCUAGCAUUCCUGUUUCAUUCAAUAAGUCCAGAACGUAUUUGCGUUGUGAGACUGCUAUACCUUUCUUUGACCUAGCAAUCUCCAUUCCGAGAAAGUACUUGAGGUUUCCAAGAUCCUUGAUCUCAAAUUCCUUUGUCAGUAAUUUUUUAAGUAAGUCAAUUUUCUCUUCAUGAUCACCUGUCACNNNNNNNNNNNNNNNNNNNNNNNNNNNNNNNNNNNNNNNNNNNNNNNNNNNNNNNNNNNNNNNNNNNNNNNNNNNNNNNNNNNNNNNNNNNNNNNNNNNNGAUAGUGCCACAACAUAAUUGCACUAUUGUUAUUUUGACAUGAAACCGAAAAAGAAUUACUACCAACUGCCAUUUGAGGUUGUUCUUGUGGAUCGUGGCGCUCCUUAAGGAUGUAGAGUCCAGAGCAUUCCUCAGCAUUGCCAAUCGUCUUCCCCGAAUCCAAAUCCUGAAAUUCACAGUGAGUGGAGGAAAAAUUAGUAAUACACCUCUUUUCCUUAGUGAGUUUACUAAUUGACAAUAGAUUACAGUCCAAGUUAGGAACAAGGAGAACAGAGUUGAGAGUAAGAUCCCUUGAUAGCACAACUGAACCUGUUCCGGCAACCUUUGAUAGUGAACCAUCUACUAUUCGGACUGUUAAAUUAUUUGGACAUGAGCUAUAUGUAUCAAAAAUUGUCGCAUCUCCCGUCAUAUGAUCAGAUGCUCUUGAAUCCACGAUCCAAGGUUUUUUACGUUUCUUACCAGCAGUGAAGGCACUCAAAAAAUUACCUUUGUGAGCCAAGGUUCCGGAACCAAUGACCUGGUUGGAAGAUGAGCCAGUUUGUGACUGUACUGACAAAAGAGGAGACAGUAGUUUCUGAAGCAUCUCCAUUUGCUCCUUAUUAAAAGGGCUAGCUUCAGGUUGUGGCGAUUGUUCAUCGGUAGCCACAUGAUUGCCUCGUCCUUCUUUCUCAGGUGGUUGACGUGGCUUCCAAUCUACUGGCUUUCCAUGAAUCUUCCAACAAGUUUCUCUUGAGUGUCCCGGCUUUCUGCAAUGAUCACACCAAGGUCUACCUCCUUUAAUUUUUUGACGGUUGUCAAAAGGAGCGAAUUGAGUCUUAAGAGCCGAGCUUUCUGCCAUAUUCAAUUGUUGAUGGGAUCCCAUCAUGAGAUUUUUCCGACUUUCUUAGCAACGGACUUCAGAGAAUGCCUCUCUGAGGCUAGGUAGAGGUUUUACUCCCAUGAUUCUUCCUCUAAUUUCAUCAAGAUUUUUGUUCAAGCCUAACAAAAAUUUAAACACACGUUUCCCUUCGACAAUCUUUUUAUACAACAAACCAUCUGUAACACAAUUCCAGUUAUGAACCUCAAACGUAUCAAGUUGACGCUGAUUCGUCCCUAGCAGUGGAAGUGGCAAUGACACCAUUUGAUUCGAGGUUCGAUCCCCGGCAACGGCGCCAUUUGAUUCGUCCCUAGCAGCGGAAGUGGCAAUGGCACCAUCUGAUUCGGGGUUCGAUCCCCGGCAACGGCGCCAUUUGAUUCGUGCCUAAUUGGUGUCUCAGCUGAUUCGUGUCCAGCUGGUGCUCCUUGAUUGAGGGAUUAAUCAACAAAAUUUAUAACCUAUUACACCAUAUACUAGGGUAGCAAAGACAAAGCUACUAUAGCAUAGUGGCUCUAGGAUCGUUCACUAGGAUGGGUUUUCACUUCACAAAUGAUGUUAAUUCAAAGUUGAAUUGGUGCCUUUUCAUUUCAAGGUUAGCUUUAAAAGAAAACAUAAAGAUGCUUGAAUGAAAAAAAUUUGGUUUUAAACUAACCAAAAAUAGUAACUGAUUUUACUUAUAAAGAAAAGUGUUUCUUGGAGUUCAGAUCACUAGGCUCGUUCCUCAUACAAAAUGGAGAGUUCCGGUCACUUGUUUAUUUUCCUCGCAUUAGAGAAUUAACAUAUAGUUCCUUCUCCAACCGGUGUUGUACAGAUGCUUCCCAUUAAUGGGUUCAAACACUAAAUCUCUCUCACUGAUGCAUCUUGCAAUGGUUCAUGCCUCUCACGAGCACUUACCAUUCAAGAUGAUCUUUAACCUUGGAUUUCCCUUCUCAAACUCGCAAGAGAUAACUAAUGGAUGUCUCCUUGGAGUCCAAAAGCUUACCAAGUGUUGGCUAUUCUAGAAAAUCCUACCUACAAGUCACCUCCCAAAGGCUCGCAAGGGGUAAACUAGUGCAUUUCCAUGGUUGGAAAUCACUUGCCUUACCAAGUGUUAGCCCAGGUGACUCUAAGGUGUUUUAAGUUAACUAAAAACAUAGAAAUCACUAACGGGUUACACUUUCUCUUCAUUAAAAACUAAAACAACAAAACUUCCAAAUUAUGCAUGUGGAAACUUACCCGGCUUUCCUCACUCCAAGAGACAAAAAGCUUAGCCUCUCAUCCUCUGUGGAAAAAUCCUCAGAGUUUGGUUGGCUAGAAAAUGAAAAUGAAAGAGAAGACAAGAAUAUAUAUCAAAAACAGAGCAAGUGCUCUGUUCGUUGAUUCUAUAUAUUGGAUUACAUGAUAUAUCUGAUUACAUGCCCCUCUUACAGUGGAUGCAAGAGAGUUUAUAUAGGAAUGUUUUUCCAACCUUCCCAACUAAGAAAUCUUAUGGUUGGUGGAUUACAAGGAGAGGAAUGGAAAUUUAUACAAAAAUAUCUUAAGAAAAGAUCUAAAAGAGUCGGUGGCAAAUAUCGGGAAGCAUUAAGGACCAUUUCGCAGGUGAAAAUGGUGUCUGCGAGAUUUCGCAGACACUCAAGAGGGCUGCGAAAUAUUUUCGCAUCAACAAGCUGAACUCGCAGGACUGCGAAAUUGGCUUCCACCUUGAGGUUCUCAGAGUUCCAGCUUGUGGCAUGUAUCGGGUAGCUUCAGGAGGAAUUCCAUAGCACUGUACAAAAAGGCUGCGAAAUUCUCGCAACAAAAGGCUGAAUUCGCAACACUUUGGAGUGAUCUGCUUGCAAUGGCUGUAACUCCUUCGUUUCAACUCCAAAUCGUGCACCGUUUGAAGCAUUGGAUUCUUGACUUCCUGAGCUUUGAAAUGGUAUAUAGAAUAUAUAAAAUGGACUUCGUGAAGUGUUCCAAAAGUGCGCAAGAAGACUGCAGUUGGCUUUCCUCUGUUUUCUUCACUCUGUUUUCCUCUUCUCCUUGCUUCUCUCCUUGCAUACUUUGAACGACUUUGGCAAAGGGCUAUGGAGCUCCAAAGCUUGGUUCUUCAUGAAUUUGAGCUCUUCAUUGCUUUGCCAUGGAUUCCAAAUAACUCUCCUCAAUCUUGGAUUGUUUUGGUGAUCAAAUUACUAACAAAAACACCAAAACUUACACAAUUUGAUUAGAAAUGAUUGCAAGGGUCCUUAACAUGUUAAUUGAGUUAAAAGGCAAUAACUACUACUCAAAAGUGUUUAAAAGGAUUAAUUACAAGCUACAAAAUAGCACUUUUUGAGUAGUAAUCACUCCCCCCAACCGACAUAUUGCUAGUCCCUUAGCAAUGAAGGUGAUAAAAACUAAGUAAACUAUAAUAAUAUACAUAAAAUGGAUCAUGCAAAUCACUCCAAAAAAUGAUAUGAGUGGCAUGAUGGACAUCCAUGGAUCAAUAAAGAUGUGAAACUCAACCUAUAAUAAGAGUUGUCAAAGCAUUCACUUGAUCAUAGAGUACAAAGAAUGGAUAUUAUGCAGGUUUAAGCAUCAAAAGAAUUUCCACUCUCAAAAGAUCCAAAUCAAAUUCUUCCACUAAAAGCUAAGUGUUAAUGUGAUUAGCUUCCGAGUAUAGUAUGGAUAACUAUCAUCUCCCCCCAACCUAAGUCUUUCUUUAAGCUUAGCAAAAUUAACCAUCUCUUGAUAGGCUAGGAACGCACCUCUUAUUCACAAUUCUUUUCACUUACUAAACUUAACCAAUUCACCCAUGUAACAAGCAGAGGAUCGGUGACUCCCAACCAAUAAAGGCUUAGGGCACCAGGCUUUAAAGGCUUUCGCCACCCCUUCGGACCAUGCUCAGGUUUCAAGGCAAGUAAAGAAGUUUAUUCUUUUUUUUUUUUUUCUUUUUCUUUUUUCUUUUUUCUUUUUCUUUUUCUUUUUCUACAAAGACUCAUUGGUCUUUAUGAGGUGUCCCAACACUAUUAAAGAGAGGUUAAGGGUGUCAAAUUAUGAUUUCUCAAGCUUAGAGGGUGAGAUAGUUUCACAUCUUAUAACCGGAAUCUAAUGUAUGUGUGUGCGAAUAGCUUAAGGUGGAAGAGAUAAGUUUGCAUGCAAUGGGAGUUUCAACAAUUCAUCAACUUUUAGAAGAGCAUAAUACAAACUCUAAGACUCAUGUAAUCAAGUUGAAACUCGACUUCUCUCAUUUAAUUUUGAGAGUUAAUCCUUAAUAUCCAUGGAGUUUAAAGCAAAAAUUUUAAAAAUUAAGCAAAAAACAACUAAAUUACCAAAAUAACUUAGCAUUAUUAACAAUACUUACUUCCUCAACUCUCCCCCCAACCAAGCUGAACAUUGUCCUCAAUGUGACAAAAGCGAUUAAAAAAUAGGGAGGAAGUGGUACCUCCUUAGUGACAUGGAGUCUGAGUCGUAUAGGAGAAACCACAUGUUUCAAAGAAAACAUAAAAGAGUUAGUGAGUAGAGGAAAUAAAAAAAUGCCAAGUUUAAACAAAAAAUGAUGUCUAUGUAUGAUGCAUCAUCAGUAAUACAUCCAAUCCCAGAAUAUAAGACAUCAAAACAUGGAAUUAUCUAUACUAAUAUAAUAUGUAAAGACAAAAAGUAAAGAGAUGAUCAUGUAAUGGUAAGGUCCUGUGGAGCUGAUGUGUCUGUGGUGGCCUCUUGAAUGGGUUGGAUCAGGAUUUUGGCCUCUGUUCUGGUAGUCUCCUUAAGUGGCAUGGUCUCCUCAGCUGGAGCUCUCAGUUAGAGCUAUGAGCUUUGAUGGUUUAAGGAGGUCAGAAAUGGAGUGAGAGGCUUGGUGUGUGUGAUCUCAAGGUGUGCGGGGCUCUCCUCUUCAGAUGCAUGGUUGCAGAGCUCUAUUGGCAUUUUAGCAACUUCCCUUGGCUUUGCAAAGUGUUUUUGCAAAUCACCCUCCAUUUUGCAAGUCAAUUUCGCAAUUUGAAGGCCCUUUCUAAGCUUGGAGGUGAUUUCAUAGCCAUUUCGAAGCUUGGAGAUCAUUUCGCAGAAAAGUGGCAUGUUCACAGACCAUUUUUUAAGCUUGGAGCAUUUUCGCAGCUCAUAGGUGAUUUCGCAGCCAUAUCGAAGCUUGGAGAUCAUUUCAUAGCCAUUUCAAAGCUCAAAAGUGAUUUCGCAGGUGUAUCGCAGCUUCAAAAUGAGGGGAAUUGUGCUGCAAAUGGCACUCGUGUGCCAAAAAGUGGUUUCGCAGCUGCGAAACACCCUUCCAAAUGGCGUCUCGGCUGCGAAAUUCCCGUUUAGCUUUGCGCGCUUGUCUUCAAACGGCCAUAACUUCUUCAUUUCAAAUCCAAAUCGAGUACCGUUUGAAGCUAUGGACUCCUGACUUCUCAAGAUUUGAAACGAGAUAUCAUGUGCAUAAUUUGAGCUCCAGAAAGUGCUUCAAAAAUGUGUCCAACAGUAGCGAAAUUGAGGUGCGACAUUUCCGUUCAUAGUUUGCACAGUCAUCUUCAAAUGGCCAUAACUUUUCUGUUUCAAAUCCAAAUCAAGUACCGUUUGAAGCUGUGGACUCUUGACUUCCCAAGCUUUCAAAUGAGAUAUUGUAUGAAUAAUUUGAACUUCGGGAAGUGAUCGAAAUGUGUCCAACAAUUGCCAAAAUGGGGGUGCGGCUGUGAAAUUGGGAUUUUUCAUGUUUUGGAACUUCGCAGCCGUUUCGUAGCUGCGAAAUGAGGGUUACUGUGCUGCGAAAUGGCACUCGUGUACCAAAACCGGCUUCGCAAUUGCGAAAUACCCUGCGGAAUGGAGCUUUGGCUGCGAAAUUGAGAAUUUUCACGCUUUGGAGCUUCGCAGCCGUUUCGCAGCUGCGAAAUGAGGGUCACUGUGCUGCGGAAUGGCACUCGUGUGCCAAAAGUGCUUUCGCAGCCGCGAAAUCCUUUGCGAAAUGGGACUUUUGUUGCGAAAUCAGCCUUUUUCACUUCGCAAUGCGUUUCGCAGCUGCGAAACAUAUGCUCCUGUGCUGCGAAGUGGCACUCGUGUGCCAAAAUGGGUUUCGCAGCUGCGAAAAUUUUCGCAGAGACUUCUACAGUGUUGCGGAAUGGUUUGGCAACAAAAUGCCGAUUUCGCAGAGGCUGCGAAAUCUCGCAGACCCUUGUUUUUCCCCUGUUUUCGCUCCGUUUGACUCCGAUUUUGCUCUGAUUUUUUUUCUUCAAUUUCUUUGCAAUUCCUCUUGAUUUUGAUCAUUCAAAAACCUAUAUUACAUCAAAACAAAUUAGAAUUAAAGCAUUGAAAUCAAAAUUAAAGCAUUGAAAUCCAAAUUAAAACAUUGAAAUCAAAAUUAAAACAAGAAAUUAACAAAACAAAAAGAUAUGGACUAGCUAGUCUUUAAAAAGACUAAGUCCAUCAAAAAAUUUGCUCAUGAUUUAGCUUGCCCGGAUCCCAUAUGAAGCUUACAUCCCUCACUUGAGACUUGGUUUGUAUGAUUUUGCCAUACAAAGCUUGGAGAAAAGGUGGAGGCAUGCGUUUCAUCAUUUCUUCCUUGAUGACUAUCCUCUGUGGUUCUCUUUGUACAUUAAUAUCAUAGCCAUCAUUCUCUAUGCUUUCCCCCUUUUUCUUUCCUUUGAUUUCCUCCCUAUUUUCUUUCUCUGUUUCACUCUCUUCCUUAUGCUCUAGCUUGCAUGUGGGCAGAUCAACCUCUUUACCACUCCUCAGAGUGAUCACUUCUUCAAUUUCCUUCACCAUUGAAGAUUCUCCCUCUUGAGCCUCCACUUCAUGGAUGCCCUUGGAAUUUUGACAAGGUUGAGAAGGAGAGUUUUCUUUCUCUUGCACUAUGUUGAGGUUGGCAAGCCUUGAGAUUGAAUCUUGGAGAAUAUCUAACUUUUGAGAUAGAUCAUUUUGCAUUUCAUCCAUCCUUUUAUUCAAAGUACUCUCCACUCUAUCAAUUCUUUGAUCGACUCGAGCAUUGGUGGCUUCUUGCUUUUCAAUAAAAUCUCCCAUGACCUUGCAAAGAUUCACCAUAGCUUGUUCAAGGUUUGAGGCUUGCUGUGGUGCUUGAGCAGGUUGCUGAUACUGAGGUGGCUGUGGUUUCCAAGAGAAAUUUGGAUGGUCCCUCCAAUUGGAAUUGUAGGUGUUGCAAUCACCAAACAUUUCCCUCUCGGCUGGAAUGGUAGGACACUCAUCCACCAAGUGCUCAUAUGAUAGACAAAUGGCACAAGGCAUAGCUUGCAAUGAUGACUGAGAGAUGGCUUGCACUUGUUGCAUAUUCGUCAUUUCUAGCUUUUCCAAUCUCCUUUCCAUAGCUGCAAUCUCUGCCUUCAUGUUCAUACCAUCAUUCAAAAUAUACAUCUCACCCUUAGCUUUAGGUUGAGAUGUCAUUCUUCCCAUAUCUCUAGCAUUUGGUUCAUUCCAUCCUCUUGAGACUUCAGCCACAUAACUCAUGAAGUUCAUGGCUUCCUCUGCUAUGGUAUUCAAUAUGGCAUGCACAACUAGCAAUUUAUGAAUUAAAAACAGAGAACACAAAAGAAAAUAAAAGAAAAACAAUUCAAAGAAAGAAAAUUAAGGUAAACUAAAAACUAAAUAAAAGGUAUACUAAAAUAUGAACAAUAAAGAAAUAAAAAGAGUUAGUAAAAGGAAAAGAAAAGUCACCAAACUUGUGAUGAAGAUCACAAGUACUCUAGAAAGGUGAUAUCACUGUAAAGUGGCACCAUCCCCGGCAACGGCGCCAUUUGAUUCGUCCCUAGCAGUGGAAGUGGCAAUGGCACCAUUUGAUUCGAGGUUCGAUCCCCGGCAACGGCGCCAUUUGAUUCGUCCCUAGCAGCGGAAGUGGCAAUGGCACCAUCUGAUUCAGGGUUCGAUCCCCGGCAACGGCGCCAUUUGAUUCGUGCCUAAUUGGUGUCUCAGCUGAUUCGUGUCCAGCUGGUGCUCCUUGAUUGAGGGAUUAAUCAACAAAAUUUAUAACCUAUUACACCAUAUACUAGGGUAGCAAAGACAAAGCUACUAUAGCAUAGUGGCUCUAGGAUCGUUCACUAGGAUGGGUUUUCACUUCACAAAUGAUGUUAAUUCAAAGUUGAAUUGGUGCCUUUUCAUUUCAAGGUUAGCUUUAAAAGAAAACAUAAAGAUGCUUGAAUGAAAAAAAUUUGGUUUUAAACUAACCAAAAAUAGUAACUGAUUUUACUUAUAAAGAAAAGUGUUUCUUGGAGUUCAGAUCACUAGGCUCGUUCCUCAUACAAAAUGGAGAGUUCCGGUCACUUGUUUAUUUUCCUCGCAUUAGAGAAUUAACAUAUAGUUCCUUCUCCAACCGGUGUUGUACAGAUGCUUCCCAUUAAUGGGUUCAAACACUAAAUCUCUCUCACUGAUGCAUCUUGCAAUGGUUCAUGCCUCUCACGAGCACUUACCAUUCAAGAUGAUCUUUAACCUUGGAUUUCCCUUCUCAAACUCGCAAGAGAUAACUAAUGGAUGUCUCCUUGGAGUCCAAAAGCUUACCAAGUGUUGGCUAUUCUAGAAAAUCCUACCUACAAGUCACCUCCCAAAGGCUCGCAAGGGGUAAACUAGUGCAUUUCCAUGGUUGGAAAUCACUUGCCUUACCAAGUGUUAGCCCAGGUGACUCUAAGGUGUUUUAAGUUAACUAAAAACAUAGAAAUCACUAACGGGUUACACUUUCUCUUCAUUAAAAACUAAAACAACAAAACUUCCAAAUUAUGCAUGUGGAAACUUACCCGGCUUUCCUCACUCCAAGAGACAAAAAGCUUAGCCUCUCAUCCUCUGUGGAAAAAUCCUCAGAGUUUGGUUGGCUAGAAAAUGAAAAUGAAAGAGAAGACAAGAAUAUAUAUCAAAAACAGAGCAAGUGCUCUGUUCGUUGAUUCUAUAUAUUGGAUUACAUUAUAUAUCUGAUUACAUGCCCCUCUUACAGUGGAUGCAAGAGAGUUUAUAUAGGAAUGUUUUUCCAACCUUCCCAACUAAGAAAUCUUAUGGUUGGUGGAUUACAAGGAGAGGAAUGGAAAUUUAUACAAAAAUAUCUUAAGAAAAGAUCUAAAAGAGUCGGUGGCAAAUAUCGGGAAGCAUUAAGGACCAUUUCGCAGGUGAAAAUGGUGUCUGCGAGAUUUCGCAGACACUCAAGAGGGCUGCGAAAUAUUUUCGCAUCAACAAGCUGAACUCGCAGGGCUGCGAAAUUGGCUUCCACCUUGAGGUUCUCAGAGUUCCAGCUUGUGGCAUGUAUCGGGUAGCUUCAGGAGGAAUUCCAUAGCACUGUACAAAAAGGCUACGAAAUUCUCGCAACAAAAGGCUGAUUUCGCAACACUUUGGAGUGAUCUGCUUGCAAUGGCUGUAACUCCUUCGUUUCAACUCCAAAUCGUGCACCGUUUGAAGCAUUGGAUUCUUGACUUCCUGAGCUUUGAAAUGUUAUAUAGAAUAUAGAAAAUGGACUUCGGUAAGUGUUCCAAAAGUGCGCAAGAAGACUGUAGCUGGCUUUCCUCUGUUUUCUUCACUCUGUUUUCCUCUUCUCCUUGCUUCUCUCCUUGCAUACUUUGAACGACUUUGGCAAAGGGCUAUGGAGCUCCAAAGCUUGGUUAUUCAUGAAUUUGAGCUCUUCAUUGCUUUGCCAUGGAUUCCAAAUAACUCUCCUCAAUCUUGGAUUGUUUUGGUAAUCAAAUUACUAACAAAAACACCAAAACUUACACAAUUUGAUUAGAAAUGAUUGCAAGGGUCCUUAACAUGUUAAUUGAGUUAAAAGGCAAUAACUACUACUCAAAAGUGUUUAAAAGGAUUAAUUACAAGCUACAAAAUAGCACUUUUUGAGUAGUAAUCAGACGCCAUAGACGAGUAAGAGUAUUGAAAUAUUCAGUUAACGUAAGGUUUCCUUGACGCAAAUCGUGGAGGAUGCCUUCAAUCUGGAUGAUUUCAGAUGUGUUUUCCUUGUCUGAGAAAGUUUCUUUUGCAGUGUCCCAGAUUUCUUUGGCAGUAUCAAAUGAUAGAAAAUUUUCACCAAUAUCAGUGGUCAUAGAGUUGACUAGCCAGGACAUGACCAUAUUAUUUUCUGCUAUCCACUUUUUGUAGGUUGAUGCUGUGGUUUUUGGUGCCACCGAAGCUCCGGUGAUGUAGUCAUCUUUCUCCUUUCCCUGUAUAAACAUUAAUAUGGACUGAGACCAUUGCAAAUAAUUUUGCUCAUUCAGUUUAUGGGCUGUGAUUGGAAGAUGAGAGGUUUCCAUCUGAUGAGAGGAUGAAGACGAUGAGAUGAUGAUAUCAGAAGUAGAGGAUGAUGAGUUGGUAGCCAUUCCAAAGGCUGGACCGUAUUUAGGCAUAAACUAGAAGAAUAGAAUUGAGUAGGAAAAAAAAAUACUGACUAAAGAUGAAGACGAUGAGACAGGAUUAAACCUGCUCUGAUACCAUGAAGAAUUUGAAGACAAACUAUGGAGGAACACAGACUCAAUUCAUUCUGUGAUUCUUUUUUUUUUUUUUUACAAUGAAAGAAAGCAUAAAUAAAUAGCCUACAGAUAUGAGAUAAUUCCGAAAUGGUACACUAUCACCGGACGGAAUUUCCCUUACAUGGAAAGUGUUACAUGGAAAGUGAAUAAACUACCUUGCUAGAAUUACUCCUAAAUCAAUUAUAAUAAAGGAUGUACAUUACACUAAUUCAGGGAAGUAAACAGAGGAUGCUAAAUAUGGGGAGGAGCAUGCACAGGCAGGAAGGCGACGUGGGCUUGAUUUCCAACACUCCUCUCUCCAUGGUGUCGCCGGUGGUGGGAGCUUCCUCUAAGGAUGAUAUCCAGGCGGAGAGGCAAGCUAUGAAGGAGAUGAAGUCUUGGGCUUGAGAAGAAGCCCAACCCAAGCAUGUUGAUGGAGCCAUGCCAUCUCAAAUAAGUGGGAUGUGAGGGGAAAUGAUGCCUUGGGCUUGCCCAUGGUGGGAAUGGAUUUGGGCUUAAGUUGAGGCACCAGGCCCAAGCUAUGAUGAUGAUGGUGCCUUGGGAAGAGAAUGUGUGAAGAAGAACCCAGCAUUUUGGACAAAUCCCUCAUCAUUAUCAAAAUCUGAGCCAAUCGCCAUGAAUCAAUGGAAAAAAAAUGCUUUAAAUCAACAGCAAAGACAUACCUUCUUGUCUACGUAGUCCGCCCAGAACCUGGCCUGAGCUCUCUGGUAUGGGUCACUAGGCAAAAGCGGAGAUUUAUCGUGCCAAACCUCAUCAAUAUACUGAACUAUUAUCAGAGACUCACAAAUGGGCUUUCCAUUGUGGAUCAGAACCGGGAUUUUCUUAUGAACUGGAUUCAUCUCAAGAAGCAGAGGGCUCUUAUUCCUAAGGUCCUCCUCUUUAUAUUCAUACUUGAGGCCCUUCUCUGCCAGGGCAAGUCUGACCCUAAUACCAAACAUGCUAGGCCAAAAAUCCAACAAGAUAAUCUCGUCUGUCAUUGCUCCUACUGUGAUCAAGUAUUGAUGAACAACCCAAGGGAUAUUGUCAAGUAUUUAUAGCAAAUCUCAGAGAGUGAGUCAAAACCUUGGACAUUUCUAGGAGGUGGUGAUGGCGUGAUGCUCAUUCCUUAUCUCAGCAUACACUUUCCUUCCAUAUUAUAUCCUUAUCUCGGUUUUCUUUCUCUCUCCAGAAUUCCAAAAUUUUAAGUUUUUCUAUAUUUUUUUAUCAGUCUAGAAUUUUUUUUUAUCAAAUCUCAGUUUAAUGUAUUCACUUUUUUUAUUAAAAAAAAUUAAAAAUGUCAGUUGAGAUAUUCUUAUAUUUUUAUCAUUUGUACAAAAAUAAUUUAAUUUUAAAAUUAAUAUCAUAUUUAAAUCCAAAAAUAUUAUCAGAUAGAAAGCAAUUUAGCGUUUUUUUAUAUAUAUAAUAUCUGCAUUCAAAAAAAAAAAAUCAGCACAUUUAUUUAUUUUUAAAAACUUAUUAAAUUUUAAUUUUACUAGUAAAUAAUAGAAAUUAAAAUAAUGAACUUGUGCCAUAAGUUUGUGAGAGAAGUAAACUUUGGUUAUGGAGCAUCCAAUGCUCUGGUUGCUUCCACGAGAGGUCAUUGCUGUCGUCAGCCCUGGUCAACUAAGUACACUUGUCCACUCCAUGAAAUAUAUUUAUGUUAUUUUUUAUUUUAAAUUUUUGGUAGGAGAACUCUUCGCUAUGAGAAAAAAACACACUCUCAAAUGUGGGAGAUUGUCAUAAAAAAAAAAUUAAUAAUAAAUAAUAAUAAAUACGGGGUGAUCUCACCACUUACAUAUCUCCUCCGUCAUAAAACCAGAAUCAUUGAAUAUGGUUCUAGUUUACUAUGGUUCUAGCUUUAUGGCUUGAUUAAAAUUUACAAUUUUUUGUUUGUAUUAAAAUAAAAUAGAUAUAUAUUUUUUCAUAAAAAAAUCAUAUUAAAUAUUUUAUUUUAAUUUUAAAAUAUUUUUAUAGUUCUUUGCUCUUAAUAGAUAAAGACAAAAGAUUUAUACUCUAUUUAGUAAUUAUUUUUUGAAAUAAUUUUCUGUUUUUGAAAACCAAAAAAGAAAAAAAAAAAACAAGAAAACAAGAAAACAAAUUUGACAAUUUUAAAAAAAAAAAAUUGAUCUUAAAAGCAAAAAUAUGGUAUUUUUGAAAACAUAUUUUAUUGGUUUUCACUUGAUUUUUUUAUGGUUAUUUAAAAAGUAAACAUGCAACAUAAAGAGUGAUUAAAAAUAAAACAUUACACAUAAAAUUUAUUAUUAAAAUAUAUUUAAAAAUAUAGAAAACAACUUAAAAAUAUUUCUAUUCCAAAACAAAUUUUUUGUCUAUAAAAUAUCAAAAAAGAAAUUUCAAAAACUAUUUUUAAAAAUUUAUUUUUCAGAAUUGUUUUAAAAAUAAGUACACCAUAUAUAUAUAUAUAUAUAUAUAUAUAUAUUAUGUAUGUGACUCAUUUGCUCUAAUUGGACAUGAUCUUCCAUUUUUGUAGGCCUAGGCUGACAUAAAGGGCUUUCACUUUUUUUAUGGGCUUGAGGCUUUCACAUAUCCCAUUCUACAUCCUAGAACCCUACGUACAUCAAUUGAAAAAAUAGAUACGUCGUAUUAAAAAAUAAGCACAUCUUAAAAAAUAAGUACAUCUAUACUUGACUCAUUUGUCCUAUUUUGGACAUGAGCUUUCAUUUUUAUAACUGACUCAUUUGGCCAAUUUUUUGAGGUCUUUGCAUAUCCCAUUUUGCAUAGAAGAACUUUGGGUAUAUCCUUCAGAAAAAAUAAAUACAUCAUAUUGUAAAAAUAAGUACAUUCCCUUAAAAAAUAAUUGGUACAUAUUAUUUUCAUUGUAUAGGUGACUUGUUUGGCUUAUUCUUGUUUGGCAUGUCUUAUCCAACUUGUUUUAAUACUUGUUUAUGUGACAUGAAACGAUGGAAUGGACUAGAAUCUCCCCUGUGACAUUUAGUCAACUUCAAAUAUCUUAGUAACUCUAGUUAGAAUUGUUGAUUAGGUCAUCUAUUUGAACUUUUAUGCACCCUAAUAUCUUGUGAAACACCCUCUAGGCUCUAUUAUAUGGUAGAUAGCUUUAGAAAAUGUCCCUUUUCUUUUUCAUAUGUAAAUUUUUGUCCUCAUCUGGAACCUCCUACAAACCCUUUCCAAUCCUUUACCACUUGGGCAAGCCUCAAGUGGUACCAUUAAAGUGAUAAGCUUUAGAAGAUGUUCUUAUCACUCUUUACUUCAAUUUUUCCUAGGUUUUUGCCAUAUCUAAGGAUGAAGCAACCAAAAUCCCUAAAACUUUUAAAAUUAGCUAGGCUUCUUUUAUUGUAAAGAGUUUGAGUAGCAUCAAUUUUAUAGUAAAUCUAUUAAUUAUGUAAUAAGUUGUAUUAACUUCCUCUACUCAAAACUGUUAAACUAAGCCAUUUCCAUUAAGCAUCUGGAUGCCAUAUGUUGAAGAGUUAUACUUUCUCUUUGUAAAUCUAUUUUGUUAUUAGUUUCUUGUAGGUUUUUAAAGGCAUAUGUACAUUAGAAGUUACUCAUUCAUUCAAUCCGUCCAUCUCCAAAGAACAUGAUGCUUCCUUCAUAUUCAAGAAGGCUUGUAAAUUUUGUUUCAUCACUGUGUUAAGCAACUAUGAUAAAUAAAUAAAUAAAAAACAGUAUGAGUUUUCUUCUAUUACCCAAAUUCUAUGAAAUUAUUUAGAAGCUCUUUUUGGGGUAAUUCAAUUUUCUGCUUUGUUCAAGGGGCUUUUUAUUUUCUUUCAUUUUAUUUUGAAAAUCAUUAGGUUUUCUUUUCUUGAUUCCCUUUUCCACUGUCCUGUUAAUCUGCAUUGAUAUUAUUUAUCUUAAUUAAAUUAGCAUCACAAAAAAUACUUUUAUUUACGUACGAUCUUUAUUAGAGAAUAUGAUAUAUAUUAUGAGUCCAAAUCUUAAUGAUACAAGCUUUUAGAAAAAUUGGUUUUGUCAAUAAGAUAUUAAAAUGUCAUUUAGUGAAAGAUCAUGAGUUUGAAUAUGUUUAUUUCUCUAAUUAAGCUUUUAAUUUUUUUUUUAAUAUAUAGGUUUAUGAGUUUGUUUUAAUACUUGUUUAUGUGACAUGAAACGAUGGAAUGGUAGUUAAAAACUCUUUUAUUUCUUUAAUACAAGAACACAGCUCAGCAAACCCACCAACCCUCAGAAAGGGAUUUCAACCGGAAAGAUUAACGAUACAAUUUCAAAGAAAAAACUUAAGCAAACAGCCAAACACUCAUAUAUAUUAUCUAAUAUUAACUAAACAACACUACUCAAUAGCCCAUGAUGUUUCCCUUUUACUCUAUACCAAGCUUCUUUCUUAUCCUCACAACAAAUCCAUGUGCCCCUUCUACUCUAUACCAAACCUCUUUCUCAUCCCCAUGAUAAAGCCAUGGACCUUGUGUGGGUCUUCCAGAGAAGACGACACGCUCUCCUUUUCCAUGCACCUCUUGGUCCAAGCUACCAACUUGGGGCACUCCGCCUCUAUGCUGAAGUUGCCAAAGGUCUCGUAUGCAUAAAACCAGCAAGAGAAGGUCACCAGGGCCACAUCCACAAACCCAAUUUUUUCACCCCCGAAGUAAGGCUUCUCUCCAAGCUCUCCUUCCAAAAGCUUGAGGCACUCUAUGAAUUCCUUCUUGCCUGUUUCCUGCUCUUCUCCUUUGGUUGACCAUAUCUUCCCUCCAAGUUCAUAGAGCUGUGGAAAACAAUAAAGUCAAAAGAGAGAAAAGGGUUAUUUUUUUGGAGCAUUUCAUCAAGUUUCAACUUUCCGUAUAGUUGGACAAGUUUAUUAAGGACCCUUCAGCAUAGAAAUCUCANNNNNNNNNNNNNNNNNNNNNNNNNNNNNNNNNNNNNNNNNNNNNNNNNNNNNNNNNNNNNNNNNNNNNNNNNNNNNNNNNNNNNNNNNNNNNNNNNNNNAAAAAAAAAAAAACAAAAAACAAAAAACAAAAAAACAAAAGAAAAUGCUUUAAAUCAACAGCAAAGACAUACCUUCUUGUCUACGUAGUCCGCCCAGAACCUGGCCUGAGCUCUCUGGUAUGGGUCACUAGGCAACAAUGGAGAUUUAUCCUUCCAAACCUCAUCAAUAUACUGAACUAUUAUCAGAGACUCACAAAUGGGCUUUCCAUUGUGGAUCAGAACCGGGAUUUUCUUAUGAACUGGGUUCAUCUCAAGCAGCAGAGGGCUCUUGUUCCUCAAGUCCUCCUGUCUAUAUUCAUACUUGAGGCCCUUCUCUGCCAGGGCAAGUCUGACCCUCAUACCAAACAUGCUAGGCCAGAAAUCCAACAAGAUAAUCUCGUCUGCCAUUGCUACUACUGUGAUCGAUAAGAUUCAAACUCAGUUAUUCAAGUAUUGAUGAACAACACAAGGGAAAUUGUCAGGUAUUUAUAGCAAAUCCCAGGGAGUGGGUUAAAACCUUGGAACUUCUAGGAGGUGGUGGUGCUCAUUGCUUAUCUCAGCAUUCAUUUUCCUUCCAUAUUAUGUUCUCAUCUCAGUUUCGUUUCUCACUCCAGAAUUCCCAUAUGUAUUUUUUUAUUAAAUAUAAUGCUUCCAGAGAGGUCAUUGCUUUGAUCAUUCCACGUCGUUGCUGUCGUCAGCCCAAGUCCAUUAAGUACACUGGUCCAUUCUUGCAUCCUUUUGGGCGGACAAGUCAAACUAUUUUAAACUUUGUGUUUAUUAUAACUCCUUAAAAUUUCUGUGAUGUUUGUAUUUUUAUCUAAGCUCUAAACUUGUUUUUAAAUUCCAAAUCUACUUUAUUUUUACGUAUGAAAAAUAUCUAUAAAAUUAAUUAUUUUAUUUCUUUUUAAAUUAAUUUGCAAUCUAAUAUAUUUUUUUAAACAUUUAAUUAUUAUAAUUUAUCAACAUAAUAAAAUUUUUAUAACAAUUAAUUAUAUAAUCAAUAAAAAAAAUAGUAAUAGGAUAGUAAGUACAAUUUCUAAUUAUAUGUUUAAAAAAUUUUUAAACAUCUUGAAAGUUGUGUGGUUUGAUGACAGUCAAAUACUUGUAAGUGUUUGUAUAAUAUUAAUAAGCAGUUGAUAUGGCUUAAUUUUCUUACAUCAUUAUAUUAUAGCUUCCUAUUAGCGCUNNNNNNNNNNNNNNNNNNNNNNNNNNNNNNNNNNNNNNNNNNNNNNNNNNNNNNNNNNNNNNNNNNNNNNNNNNNNNNNNNNNNNNNNNNNNNNNNNNNNGAAUCUUGUUUGACCUAAACUUCACCACCACAUCCAGGCAGCUUGCUUGGGCUGAGAUUUGGUGCAGGGAUGGGAGCCGAAGUGCUCCUGGAGAUGCAUCUGCAUAGACUGUCUUAUUUAGCUGUGAAUUUGUAAUAUGUAACUCUACUGGCAGCAAAGAUAAACAAUAAUGAUGAUGAUAACAAUGAUAUAAGGAAAAGGGUUCAAACUUCAACUCCCCCUCCAAACACUAAUCCCAUAAAUAUUACUAUACUCAGAUGGUUACAACUUAUUUUCGACACAAUAACAAAAUUAACUGAAAUAAAAUUAUUCUGGGACAUAUUCCUAAAUAAUAGAAAACGUUUACUUCUAGACUUCUUAGUUGAAAGCAAUACAAAAACCCAAAAACAACAAAUCAAUCUUUCAUGUUCUUAACAGUUACUGUUCAAACACUUUUUGUGAUCAAUAAAAUAACAAAAAACAAACAAAAAACAAAUAUGGAAAAUAAAAUAACUGAUUCUACAUCUCCACUGGUUUUAGCUACUAGUCAAACACCUUCUGGACUUGGUUCUGGUUGACAUUGGCAUGUUCCAUUGAGAAAACAGAGUCAGGAACCAGGAAUUUUAAUGCUUACAUCUUCUCAAUUAUAAAACAUGGUGAGUGAAUGAAAGUGAUGUGUCCUGGGCUUGUUCUGAGGGGUAGAUGGUUUGUGAUUAUCACACAGGGACCUUGUUUUAAAUUUGUGACUUAGAGUUUGGUUAUUUGCUAAUAUUUACUUGUGGGGUUGAAGCAAGGAGAAGGUUUGUGCAAAAAUAGGAUUAUCUUCAGUGAUUUUUAUGGGGCUCCAUACUAAUGGAUGGACCUUUUAAUGGACACCUGCACAUGUUCUUUGUUUCAAGAUUGUCAAUGAGAGCUAGCACAUACAUCAUGAAUAUUUAGCAUGGACAAGGUAUCCCUAUAGUAGUAAAGAGCAUACAAUCAAUGCUUGAAAUGUCCAGAUCACGUGCCUAAAAGGAUGGGGCUUACUUGUUGAAUAGGCAGAACUACAAAAAAUCAUGGUCUGAUAAAGAGUUAAGACUGAAUUCAUGAUAGUUGACACUGUUAACGAAAGCAAUAUUUCUAGCAGUCAUUGAUCAGUCAUGACAGUAAAGAUUGCACUAAUAAACUCACACAUUGUUUACAAGGGAACACCUACCUGGGGACAUACCACUUGGAGAGAUAAAACAGCUAGAGUAUGAAAUUUAAACCACACAAAUCCCAAGGUAACAUUUUUUUGACAAACCAUAUGUAUUUUUAAACAAGGAAAAAGGCAAAAUAUUCUACAAAAUUUCCUGCACAAACAAUGGGAAGGGGGCUCCAAAAUGAGUCAAAAAGAUGGUUUUAAUUUCACCAUACACACAUAAAGCAGUUUGUACUUGGCUUGAUACUCAACCUAUAAAAUAAGAUAUAUUUUUUUUAGUCUUCUCUUUUGGAGAAUAUUAAAAAUAGACAGAAAGAUUCAGAUGAAUUAGAUGUCUUCUGCUCCAAGCGUCCAACUAUCUUGGACUUGUUCAACUCUGGAUUCUGUUUCUUUUAUGGAACUCGGUUUCCUCAGAAAGAGGACACUGGGAAAAGACAAGCAAUUAAGAAAUGCAGUAUAUAUCAGAAAAUAUCCAAAGGCAACUGAUAUUAUAUUGUUGUUUUUCAGUAAAUAUCAUUUGUCAACCAAGAAAUGCACCAUCAGUGUAGUGCUACCAGUGCAACCAAGAGGACUGAACUGACACUUAGAUAAGAUUAUCGGAUUAAAUCAAAGAAUAAGCCUAUAUUAAGGUUAAGCAAAACCAUAUCCAAAAUGAGAUUUCAAAAUUUUAUUCCAAGGGCAGAUCGUACAACCGUUCUACUUCCAGAAACACAAACUAAAAGAACAUUAUAGAAUUCAGCAUAUAUGUGGAAUUCAAAAUCAAAUCCAACUUCUUAUAAUAAAAUAAAAUCAGCUAUUGAACAUAAAAAUUUGCAACAGAACAUUAUACCAUAAUAAUAUCAGAAACCAAAUAUUAUCUUUGUUGGCCUUCAACAAUUUGAAACUUUUCCCCAUUCUUAUUUGCAUGAUUUCUAAAACCCACAAUGAUUGGUUUUAUUUUGAAUGUAUUUUACUUAGUUUUAAAGCUGAAGGUAUGUUUUAUUCAUCAUUGGUGUGUUUAAGUGCAAGUGAAGUUCCAAGUUGGUCACUUGUCUUCUUCAUCUUCAAUAUUUGCUUUACAGCAUCUUAUUAGUUUCAUCCUCACCUCUUGCUACCAGAGAUGAAAAAUAAGAUACAAAGGCAUGCCUUACCUCUUGCCUUCAAAAUUACUCAUGUCUCUGUUCCCUCAGGAAGAGCCACCAUCAUCUCAAUCUCUCGUCCAGGCCAUGCCUAUGAAAAAAUGUGAAACUGUAAAAAGAAUUCCAUAAGAUGAAUUUUUAAGGCACAAAAUUUGGAGCUGUUAGUGUAAAGAAUCUAACCAUUGUCACAAACAUGGAAUAAUUCAUUCAAUCAAACACCAGCUUCAACAACUAUGCAUACCUUAGAGUGUAACUACUGAAAACGGAAUGGUAAAAUUAAAAUUUCUGCCCAAACAAAACUAGGGGAAAGAGUAAUAAAAACCAGUUCAAACUUCCAUGACAAACAUAUUGAAGAACAACUAAUAGAUCAAUUUCAUAAUUCUUUGAUCAAUUUGAGCAUUAAGAAUCAGGAGCAACUUAACAAUAUGAAAAGGUCAUAACACACUCAGUUACAAAUAACACCCAGAUAGAAUUUUGGAAAACCAAAUACAAUAUGUAAAAAAGGUUAGAUCAAAUGUCUGCAAUAGCUGGACAUCAAAUCAUACAAAGAUUUAGAUCAGAUAUUUGGAUCAUUGCAGGUAGCACAAUUCCGACUGGCCCCGUUGCAAUGAGAGCAAUGUACAAUUAUCUGUUCUCUAAAUUUGGCCUGAUUCGUUGCCGUCGAGGUCUUCCAAGACAACGUUUUGUAACAGGAGGAUCAAGAGAAACAUGCACAUAACCAUUUGGAUCAUGCACAUUUCCAUUUGAAUGAACUGUUGGCAGAUUCUGAAACUCAAGUGGAUGCAAAGUGCCAGAAUAAACCAUUUCCUGCUUGAACAAAUGAUACCAAUCAUCAACAAAUUCAUAAAUAUCUUGGUUCAUCUUCUGUAUCAUUGCGCAUGCAUGCUCACAUGGGAUGCCCGACAUCUGCCAAGCCAAACAAGUGCAAGUAUGCUGCCUCAAGUCAACACUUAUCUUUGCCUUCCCAUCUGAAAAUGUUUCGCUUUUGGCAAUGUUAUGCAAGAGUUUAUCCUCAGUUUUUGGGCCAAUGGAUCUUUCCCAACUCUGCAUUGUGGUUUUAUGCUCAACUAACAAAGAGGCUAGCAUAUCCAUGUGCUUCUCAAUGAAACUAAAUAUUGUGUGAUGUUGUUCUUCUUUGACCCAAGCACUAAAUGACCCAAAGAUAUUAGUAUUCAUUUUGUCCCAACGCUUUUUAGGGAACUUUGACAUCGCCCAGUGUUCAGGAUUGUUAUCUUCAACCCAUUUGGCCAAGUUAGCAUCAAAUCUCCUUAAGUUCUCCAUUGCACUGUUGUAACCAAUUUCUAACCUUGCAUAUGCAACAGCAUCAAGUAGUUUAAGAGCGUUAUCUUUACCUUCCCUUCCCAUCAUCAACUGGUGGCUAAAGUCCUCCUUUAGAUGACAAUAACAAUAUGCAUGGUUUUCAACUCCAAAAACCUCUGCAACACUACGAAUAAUCGCAUGAUGCCUUCCAGAAAUGAUGACCACCUCCAUUUCACCAACUAACUGCUUUAGCCUCUGUAAGAACCAAAACCAGUUAUAAUAAUUUUCCGAACUCACAAUGGCAUAUGCUAAUGGAAACAUGUCAUCAUCAGCAUCAUAUGCCAAGGCUGAAAACAAAGCACCUUUGUGUGGCCCACUCAAGUUGGAUGAGUUAAUGGAUAUGAUAGGUCGGCAUCCCAUUAAAAACCCAUGCACAAAAUCCAUGUGCAAUGAACAAUUGCAUGAAAUUACCUUCGUCUGAGGAAGUCCAUUCAGCAAUUGUCCCAGAAUUAGUUUCCAUUAACUGCUUACAUAACCAGGGCAGCAACUUAUAUGAAUUGUGUAGAAGACCAAAUAUUCUCUCCUUCGCCUUCUCUUUACAUUUCCAAGCUUGAUUGUAGGUCAAUUUCACUCCAUGCUGCCUUUCAAAAUCUUCACAGAUUUGACGGGGCAGGUAAUCAGGGUUAGCCCUUAUCAUAUCAUCAAUUAGAAGAGCCGCUUUAUUUGGUCGUAAUGCAGGCACUGAUGAAGACUCCUCCUGUGCAGAAUGAUUAUGUUAGUUUUCAAAUGUGUGCACUCUCACAAUUUUGGUAGCCCCAACACCACGAGCAGUUAUCUUCCAAGGACAUCCACCAGCUGUGCAACAUGCAGUCAUGUGCUUUAAAGAAUUCCUCUUGAACUUGUAGUUGAAUCGUCCAGCUAAGGAGGUAAGGUAUAGUGCAUUCCGGAAUUCAUCAGCAUUUGUAAAAAUUUCCCACUACCUGAUAUAGCCUUUCCAAGAGUACUUGAAACUGGAGGAAUUGCUUCUAACUCUAUGCAUCUUGAUGCAACUUCAUGUCUCUGAAUGAUGUUAUCAUCAUUUACACCUUGAGAUGAUGAUGAUGGCGAUGAAAAAUGAUUGUUGUCCACAUUAACACUGCACGAUUAACAUAUUCAUGUAAAGUUAGAAUAAAAAAGGAGGAUAAAAUUUAAUCAUGCUGAUAAGCAAGAUAAUAUGCAGGUGUGACUUACAAAGUGCUUUGUUCAUCUAUUACUCCUUGCUUUACUCCUCCAUUAUGAGCUUCAAAUGCAUAGACUCUUGAGAAACCGUCAUUGAAGAGGACCAUGCUAUAUAUGUCAUCAUCAUCAUCCAAUGGCUGGAGUAAAGAUUUAUCAAACUUCAAGGUGCACUUAAAUGACAGACUAGAUGGGUCAAUUUGGACUUUCUUACUUGCUUUAAAAACAAAUUCAGCAUGUGAGAUUCCUUGAUUAAUACAUAUGCCAUUAGUACAUCCACCUUUAUAAUUGAUGGACCCAUUGUCAGCCUUUAUGAUCUCCCCUCCAAAAUAAAGAUAGCAAUAUAUUGAUAUUACUUUCCAUUUACCUACUAUAAAAUAAUGCAACCAAUCCAUUAGUAUGUGCUAUACUUGUUCAAGCCUUCAAGGUAAAAACUACACUUAAUUUUGGUUCCAACGGUGAAAACUAAGUUCAAAUCAUGUAUAUAAGAAGGUUUAAAACAACACAACAUCCCAAAAAGUCUAAUAUAUGAUAACACUACACCCCAUAAUUUAUACCUUGUGCCUUUUUAGGAACUAAAGUUCCCUAGAAUUGAGGUAAGACGGUACGAAAAUCAAUUGGAAAUGAAAGCAAAGAGAUAGCAUAGAAUUUAAGAGUAGCAUAAAUCAUAAGUAAAUAUUAUUUAUAAUUUUGUUUUUUUUUCGAUAACUGAGGAACCUUCUAUGGCCAAGCCCUUAAGACUCUCCAUGGGGACCCAAACCUUGGGGUGUUGACCACACUCUAACAACCAGCACCAAGUAAAUCAAGGUAUCAUCAGUAGCAAGAUUCAGGGACCACACCUCCCAACAUUCGCCCUGACCAACUGGGCUACUCUGGCAGACUAAAUAUUAUUCAUAAUUUAAAAAGGAAAAAAGAAUCCGAAAGAGAAAACAGUACAAAGUGCCUAUUCUGAUUUGAAGCAGAGAAAAAAAAUGGAAGUUUGACCUUUUUGUUUUCUUAAGAUGUAUAAUAGCGGUUUGACUUCUAAUUCAAAAGUGUUACAAUAGUUAAGAAAGCCUUAAAAUUGCUAAUUGAAGUAGGUUCAUUAUUGUUAUUCAUUUCAAUACAAACAAAAGGUGGUUAAAGGGAUAUUGUAACCAAGUUUUGAACAAGAUAAGAACAAAAGUAAAAUUGUCAUUCUGAAACCAGCCUAGUUUCAACACAGCCAUAUUCCUGCUCUGGUUCACUCUAAUAAAUAAAAUUUCUUGUACAAUGGAACCACAUCUCAUGAGCUAGGGAACAUCUGGUUUGAAGGAAAGAGCUGCAAAUGCUACUUGGUCAUAGCUCUAUUUUAACUAGGUAUCCCUAUUUUUGACUAAUAUAAGGGAUAAAGUAAAAGAGCAUGCACAUGUGGACAAGCGCACACACACAGAGACAGAAAUUUAUAGGAAACUGCAUCAAUUCUACUAGAUUAUUCAUAUUUGAAGAAGGGGAAUGAAGUGUGGUACCAAAGCAAUUCAAUAUGUAAAAGUUUCACAUAUUUCAAUCACAAAAAUAUUUCUACUUCAAUGCAAUUUUUAAGAUGCUAAUAAACUUUCAGAAACCUUAGCAAGUAAUUUGCCAGGCCAAAAGAAGUAAUGAAUUGCAUUUACAUCCAUAUAAUAACAAAACAUCUAAAAAUCAAAGCAACAUCCUAUCUCCAUACAAACUCAUCCAGCUUGUAAUAGCAAUGACGAAGGAAGUUAAAGGAAUUAAAUCAAAUUUAUUAAUUCCGUUGAGAACAUAUAACAAAUGCAUGAGAGAGAGAGAGAGAGUAAAAAAACUUAUUUAAUAAAUGAAACUUUUUAAGGCCAUUAUUUAUUUUUCCCUGAGUAAACAAAAAUUUAGUAGCAUAAAUCAUGGACGGAUGCAUAUGUAUCUAUGUGUAUACAACCAUCAACUAAUAUUUAUCACUUAUCAGCACAAACAAUAAAAAUCUAGAACCAUGAUUCAUACACUCAAAACCCCAAAUCUGCAGGGGAAAAUGAUAGCAAAGCCUGCCAACUUUGUCUCCGGAUGAAACUCCUGAUAGAUUGCAACUUUUAGCAUACAUCUGUAUGAAGGCCCAAAAGAAAUAAUAUAAAAUCGAGUCCAUCGAUAAGGUAACAUGUCACAUAUGAAUCAAUCCCUUGAAAGUUAUACAUGGGACAAAUUUCAAAAUUCAUUCAUUUCUUGUAGCUACAAUUUGAACAAAAACUCGGGUUUCAUCUACUUGAUUCAGUAAAUACAACAAUAUUUAUAUCUCACAUGGGUCAAUGCAGUUUAAAACAUAUUUCUUAACCAUUAAAUUGCUUUGGGGUUCUGUUAUACAUACUUCAACAAAACUUUGUCUUAAAAAAUUUCUAACUCGUACUUUGUACACAGAAUAUAUGGUUACUUCAUUCUUUAUAUAGCCAAGAAGUAUUGUAGACAAACUAUAGCAGAUACAGCAUUAUUUUUAUGCAAUUAACUAGAUACAAUAAUUUAUAUUAAGCAGAAAGCCAUGGUCACCAAAAAGAGGGGACCAAAGAAAGAAUUAGGUCUCUAAAAUUACAGGCGAAAUUGCAUAAAACUUAAUGAAGUUCCUGAAAGGACGAAAUCGUGGCGAAAUUGUUACUGUGAUAAAUCACAUAAAUUAGGAAAUCAAACACCUCACAGGAACAACAAAUCUACCAAAAAGAGCAGAGCCAAAUAGUGAAAUUGAUAAUCUUUAUCAUUCAUUUUUUCAGUAGAAUUGAAGCUCUCACUACAAAAUUUUCCCUGAAGUUUGAUGGAAUUAAAGUCCCUGAAACUGGCAACAUUUUAGCAAAUGAAGCCUCCUCACGAAGACAAAAUGCACAACGAGGGUGUCUUUGAACUCGAAACAAAUUGAAGGCUAAAAAGAACAUAAAAAAUUACAGGGCCCUUCAAAAUCAUUAAAAAAAAAUUAUAUUAAAAUAGAAUCCAGUCCACAGCUGAUAAUGUACGAUAUUGGGCUGUUUGGAUGGUGAGAAGGUUAAAUAAAUAGGUGUUGGAACAUUUACCUAUAAGAGAAAGAAAAUGGGUAAACUUGGGUGACGGGCCUAGAGCCUCCUUUCAUUCAUGGUGUUUGAGUUAAGAAAUUUCUGAGGACUGUCGGAGAUUUUCCGAAAUUUUCCCGCCUUUAGGGUUCUGCUUUACAUGCAGGAGAGGUGAGAGGGUGCACGGAUGUCUAGUGUGGUGCAAAAUCCAGCAGCACUAUGCGUGUGUUGCGUUUUUGCUAAUUAAUAUAAUUAUUUUUUAUUCAAUAUUCAUAAAAAGUAAUAAAGGAAAAAAAUAUCAAUCCAAAACUACCCUACUCGCUCUUAUUUUAACCCAAAGUUUGAAAUCCAACAAAAUUGAUGUCAAAGUAUAAUUUGAAUACAAAAGUCAUUUUUACUAAAAUUAUUAUUAUUAUUUUAAAUAAUGUUAGAUUAGGUUUGACAGUGAUUUUAUAAAAUAUUUAUAAUCUUUUUAAUACUUUAAAAGAUAAAAUUUUUUUAAGUGUUACAAAGUUCAGAAACACUUCCUAAGAUUACUAUCAAACGCAUUUUUAAUAUCUAUGCUUGUUCCAUAUGGUAUAAGUGUCACAUUUUUUUUUUCUUUUUUAUAAAUUAUAAUUAAAAUAGUAAAAAGAAAAUCUUUGUUACUUCUAAUAGAGAUUAGAUAUUGAAAUAUUAAGUAUGUUUGUUAAUCUCUCAAUUUAUUUAGAACACAAAAAAAAAACAUGUUUAAUAAUAUAAAAUAGAAAACAUCAUGGUAUUUUUUGAGAAUAUCUUUUGGUUAUAUUCAAUUUUUUUCAUUAUUUGAUGAGAAUUGUUUUAAAAAAUAAUUAUACAAAUAUAAAAAAAAUGACUAAAGAUAAAAUAUUAUAAAUAAAAAUUAUUUUAAAACAUUUGAAGUUUUCAAAUAAAUUUUUAUUUUACAAAAUAUCAAAAAAUUAUUUUCAAAUUAUUUUCGAAAACACCUUGUAGAUAGUUUUUAUAACAAAGCUUUUUUUUUUUAUGCCUAAUGAAUACAGACAUUUGAAAAGGAAAAAAAAAAACUAUACAGUACUCAAUUUUUGUGAGAGUAGAGUUUGAGGUUAAAAUACCAUUUAAUUUAUUUAUUAAAACUAGUAAAAUCAAUUAUUAUUUUUAAAAAAAAAUUAAAAAAAUAUUUAUUUGAUAAUAUUAUAAUAAUUAAUUAAAAAAAAUUGUAAGAUAUUUAUUUUAAACAAAAUAUUUAUUUAACAUACAUGGUCACUAAUGUUGGACACCUUCCCACUUAGUAGAGUAACCUAGAAUAUUAAUACAUUAUAAUGAGAGUAGAUGAUAAAAAAAUUUGCAAAAGGAACUCAAAAUAAGUGACUUUCUACUACAAAGGGUGCUCAACAACAAGAGAAACCCAAAAGAUGGAAAACUAGGGCUAAAUUAUGAAGACUCUAUCAAAUCUACCAUGAAGCUGGAAUUUGCCUUUUCAAAAUUCAAUCCAUUCAAGGGCAACAACUCAAUUGCUCAUGAAAUGUUAUUGAAUUCAAAGACAUUAUUCAUUGAAGUAGUGAAAAAUACAUUGUUGAUCUAUGUAUCCCAAAUAUUAAGUGAUGGGAAGUAGUGAAAGUGCAUUGUUGAUCUAUGUUACCCCCAAAAAAUAAGUUGACCAUCACCUAGGAACUUUGGAGUCCUUAAUAAGAGCAUUAUGUCACAGACUUAGUCUUUUCCUAAGCUUGUGCAACACUUAGACAAGUCAAGACACUUGAUCUUGCUAAGUCAGCCUAUCUCCUAAUGUUUAGCUUGCUAGGCUAAGAUGCUCACGACUCGGAAGCUUGAGAAGGCGUAGUAGGCAACUCUUAAAGAAUGGAAGUUGUUAUUACUCAAGGAAACCUUUACAAGUGCUUUUGGGAACUCACUUGCUUGGUUAGGAAGUGAUUUGGGUGGUCCAUUGGCCAAAUGAGGCCCUCACCUAUUUAUAGGCACCAAUGGAACUCUCUGGAACCUUGGAGGGUUCCUUACAAAUUAAGAAGAUUCUAGAAUACCCUACACAAUUCUAUGUACAACCCUAUGUACAAGAGAUCUCUAGAAUUCUUUAGAAAGCCUUGGACUCCUCUCAUGCCUUCCACCAUAGUGUAGAGAUGUGUGGACAUCUAUAGGCAUCUCUAGAACCUUCCACACUCUUCCCUCUAAUAGCUUAGUGUAGAUGGCUCCAAGAGUCUCUAGAAGCUUCUUGGGCUCUAUAUAAAUCCAUGAGGAGGCUCAUUUGAAGCAUCCUAUGACACUCUCCCCAUCCUAUUCCGUUGACGUCUUUUUUGUUGCCUCUUUCUGAAACCUCUCGAUGUGUUUCCAGAACCUUCUCAAGGCAUCCGCAUAUUCCCAGCUUACAUGCCUCCUAGGUAGUCCUUUCCAUCGGACUAGAUACUCUAUCACAGGAGGGACCCUUAUUCUCCUGGUGACCCAUUCAACCAGGAUAUUUUUCACCUCCUUUUCUUGUGAGGCCUCGGAUGGAUGCAGAUCCUUGCACUUUCGAUGCUUGGAGUGCUGCUUCCUCUUACCCAUCAAGUUCACCUUUCCCUUGGUGACCUUGUCGAUGUAUGUGCGGGCUACCUUAGCUUGCUCCCCUUUUGCCUCCUUUACUUGCACCCUUGAUAGUAAGGAGGUCUUAGGCGUACUAGACUUUGGGUUGAAUUGGAGGGCACCUAGUAACUGCAUCAAGCCCAUAUGUGCUUCGUCCUCCUGUUCCCUCUCCUUGAUCAUGGCAUUGAGCGCCUUUCUCUUUGGACAAUCCCGUGCCCAAUGUGGAUCGUCACAUAGGAAGCAUUUGAUUUUAGGCGUAAACUCCUUCCUUUCCACCUUACCCCUUCCUUCUCGAACAUUAAGCGUCUUGCCUAAUCCCAUUCUAAGAGCAUUGUGGUCCCUUGAGACCUCAUCUCCCCCACCCGUGGCGUGGCUAUCCUCCAAAGACUCAACCUUGGAGGAGUCUCCCCUUUUGUAGUCCGUUAAAGACUCUGCUACUGCCAUAGUAGUGGCUAAGUCUUGAACACCUCGACGCCUUAAUUCCUGCUCGGCCCAUUCUUGUAGGUUAUCCAUGAAGUUGAAUAGCAACUCCUUCUUAGUCAUAUUAGGAAUCUCAAGCAUGAGUGAAGAGAAUUCCUUAACAUAGUCUCAUAUCGAGCCUAUAUGCUUGAGACGCCUCAUGUUUUUCCUAGCCAAGUAGGCCACGUCCUCAGGGUAGAAUUGCCUUUUGAUUUCCCUCUUGAAGUCUUCCCACGUCUCUAUGGUGCAAAUGUCUUUCUCCAUAUCGGCAAACCUCUAAUGCCACCAUAGAGUAGUUGUGUUAGUGAGGUAGAGGGUUGCAAUCCUUACCUUAGCCGCCUUAUUAUUUAGUGCGAUAGCCUUGAAGUAUUGCUCCAUAUGCCAUAAGAAGUUGUCCAACUCCUUAGCAUCCCGCUUGCCACUAAACCAUUGUGGCUUCAACACCUCCACCCUAGAUGCCUCUUAGGUGGCCAUGACUUGUGCCAACACAACAGCCUUAUAGAUGGCCAACUCCUGCCUAACCUCAUGGUCUUGGGACUCCAUUCAAGUGGCCAAGGCCUUUAUCCUUGACUCCAUGUUAGCAAGCAUGCUAAAGACCUUUUCUUGGAAAGACAUGAACUCCUCAUGUGACACCGGUUGAACUUGUGAGCCUAGCACCCCCUCACGAAGGUCUUAGAUAUGCUCCCUUAGAUCCUCAAUACCCUUCUCCAUGCCUUGCUCGAUCAAGUCCACCCCUUCCCGGGUGUCUGCCAUGGCUAGCUCCACCUUGGCUAGCCUUGCCUCCAUGUUGGCUAUGGCAUCACGAGACUUAUCCUUCCUGCCCUUGCCCCGUGCAGUAGGCUCGAUCUCCCUUCCACGGGUUUGCUCGCUAGUCUCCUCCAUGUUAGAGCCCAACAUGCUUUCUUUACUAUGCUCGUUUCAUAGCCGCGCUCUAGUAUCACUUGUCACAGACUUAGUCUUUUCCUAAGCUUGUGCAACACUUAGACAAGUCAAGACACUUGAUCUUGCCAAGUCAGCCUGUCUCCUAAUGUUUAGCUUGCUAAGCUAAGAUGCUCACGACUCGGAAGCUUGAGAAGGCGUAGUAGGCAACUCUUAAAGAAUGGAAGUUGUUAUUACUCAAGGAAGCCUUUACAAGUGCUUUUGGGAACUCACUUGCUUGGUUAGGAAGUGAUUUGGGUGGUCCCUUGGCCAAAUGAGGCCCUCACCUAUUUAUAGGCACCAAUGGAACUCUCUGGAACCUUGGAGGGUUCCUUACAAAUUAAGAAGAUUCUAGAAUACCCUACACAAUUCUAUGUACAACCCUAUGUACAAGAGAUCUCUAGAAUUCUCUAGAAAGCCUUGGACUCCUCUCAUGCCUUCCACCAUAGUGUAGAGAUGUGUGGACAUCUAUAGGCAUCUCUAGAACCUUCCACACUCUUCCCUCCAAUAGCUUAGUGUAGAUGGCUCCAAGAGUCUCCAGAAGCUUCUUGGGCUCUAUAUAAAUCCAUGAGAAGGCUCAUUUGAAGCAUCCUAUGACAAAUAGCUCAAAAUAAAAGAGGAAAUCCAAGUAUUGAAAAAAAGGUUAGUUUUCUAAAUGUAGUUGACAUCAUUUGAUAAGGUAGUGCCUUAAAAUUAUGCUAGUUCUAAAUAAUUUGAGAGGGCAUAUGCUCUAAAAAUGCAAAUGAUCUAAAUAUAGGAAGAGAAAUCCAAUGAGAAAAAGAAAAAGAAAGAAGACCGUUAUCAAAAGGAAUUUUGGAAUUCAUGAUAAAAAAAAAAGAAGGAAAGUGGCCUACUCACGUAAUCCAUUAUGCAACUCUACUAUGCCUACCUAUGGUCCACUAUAUUUGAUGCUAUUAUAGUUAAGUUAACCCUUGACACUACUAUAAUUGAGUUUGCUAUUGACAUUGUUGCAACUAAGUUCACUAUAUUACAACCAUACUCACUAUUAUAGUCUUCUUACAAACAUACUCAUUAUCCGUACAUCUUUCGAAGGAACCCUUCAAGAUCUCAACUCUUUUACCUAUUAAGUGUAUCUUAAAUGAGCCUUCUAACUAUUGAAUUUUGAAGGUAAGACAUUAAUUCUCUACAACAUCAUCGAGAUUCAUCUCCAAUAAGGGUGGAUCUACCUUAAGAAUAGUGUUUUCAUCAUGGAUCUACUUUAAGAAUAGUAUUUUCAUCAGACCUUAAUAAUUCUAAUAUGAUAAGUACCUAAAUUCCCUUUUGUUAUUUCAUUAUUUGUUGAUGUUUUGUGUUCAACUUAGUUUAGACUUAGUUUCAACCUUCUAGAAUAUUUAAAAACAACCACGGUUGAAAAUUUCUCUUUUUUUGUUGAAAUUUCGAUGAAAUAUCGGUUUCGGCGAUCGGCGAUACGAAAGAAGGGAGCGAAAUGUCGAUGGAGAAAUUUCAGCAAAUUUUGGUUAAAAUCGUCGAAAAAUUGGCUCAUAGCGAAAUUUCGACGAUUUUUCUUAACUUUUUCGAUUGGUCAACACGGGUUAACAUGCUACAGUGCUUCUGUUACAGUGAAAUGCUACAAUAUGCCAUUACAGUGAAAGCUUGAUAAAAAUCCAAAAUGCUAUAGUGUGCUACUAUAGUGAAAGCUUGAUAAAAAUCCCUUUUAGUUUGUUGUUGGGGAGACAAAAGCUUCAAUUGAGGUGUGGUGAACCAUUAGGGCAAGUAUGCCCUUUGUUAAAUAUGUUGCACCAAACAUAUUUAUAUUAAAAGUCAUCAAAUAAACAAAAUAUUAAAAGAACAUUUUAAAUAACAAAUUAAUUAUAAUUAUUUGGGAAAAUUGUGUUUUGGGCCUAGCUAGGCCCAAAAAUUAAUGUAUGGUCCAUAUAAGUUUCAUAUUUAAGCCCAACACCCAAUAAAAGAGUGGAAAUUGAGAGUAAGGAUAUUGUCUUUAAAAAAUCCCUAAAAUACCCUUGACUAUUAAAUGAAAAAACUAACCAAUCACCUCACCUUUCUCAUUCUCUCUUUGACUUUUUUGCCCUUCUCUCACCUAUUUAAUAGUGGAACCAACUUGAAUAAUUUUUCUUCAUCAAAUAUGAAAGAUGGUUAAAAAUUAUUAUUACCAAAUGUAUUUUUGAAGUGAAUAACUUUUAAAUACCUUAUCAAAUAUUAUUCUUUUUUUCAAACUUACAUAAUAUAUAAUAAAUAUCAUUCUUUAUUUCAAACCUAUAUUAUUUCUUUAUGUAUAUUAAAUAAUUUUUAAACACCUAAAAUAUUAGUAUUAUUUGUUUACUCUAACUUGUAAAUUAGAUAUUAUCAAAUAUUAUAUUUUUUCAAAUUUAUAGAACAUAUAAUAAAUACUUUUUAAAUACCUCAUAGAAUAUUAUUAAUUUUUUUUUCUAACUUGCAAAUUAGACACAUGGUGUUUAUUAUUAUUUUGAAUAUAAUGUAAAUACUCACAUGCAUAUAUAUAUAUAUUAAUCAAGAAGACAAUAUUUAUAAGACUAAUUUACCAACCUUCCAAUAAUUUUGAAAAUGUAAAUAGAGUAAUUGUCCGAAUUAAAGUCUUCAAAAAUAUUCAAAAUUUCUCCAUUCCAAAAUUACCUAAUUGCUCUCCACACUAAUCCUAAAUAUUUUUGAAUAAAGAUUUAAAUAUUUAAAACCAUUAAAAUAAAUACUUUCUUAUUAAAGCAAUUUUUUCAAAGUAAUAAGAUAAAAAUCAUGAAAUCUUCAAAACUAUAAUUACAACAAAUAUUUUUAACUUUAAAACUAAUUUCAUAAUUUAAAUUAAUGAUUUUAAAAAAUAAAAAUGUUAUAAAAAUAAUUUUUUUAUUUUUAAUGCCAUUUAAAUAUGAUUUUUUUAAUCUCUAUUGAUAACAAUGAAAUUAUAUUUACAAAGGCAAAAUAGUAAAAAUAUAUAUUUCAUUUAGUUUACUUAUAAUGAACAAUUCAAACAUGAAUGAUUUUAAUUUUAUUUCCUAAGUGUUAAUUUUUGUAGAGAAUGUCUUAAUGACAUAGUUUGGUAAAAAAAGAAAAACAAAAUUAUCAAUAAUCGUCUUAAUGUCAAAUUCAAGUUAUUUAAAAAUCGUAUAAAACCUAUUAGAAGUCUUGUACACCCUUGUACACUUAGCACAUUUCCCUUGUACAGUUAGUGUAAUAUCCUUGUACAGUUAGUGUAAUACCCUUGUACAAUGACACAAAUUUCAUAUAUCUCCUAAUUUAUAUAUCCAUGUAGGUGUAUUAAUCAUAUUUUCAAUGGUUUGGUUGAGAAAAUGGUGGAUGACUUAGGGUCAAAUUUUUUCCCCAAAUAUCAUUAUUGGGAAAAAUAUUAGAAUUUUCAUGUAAGAAUUAAAUAAAGUGCAUGACAUAGGUGUACAAUCAUUGGGUGACAAGGAAAAUAAAAAAGUAGUUUAGAGUCAAUUAAAAUCAUUCACAAAGGGUAAUAUUGUACACUUUUGUACAAUUAGUACAUUUCCCUUGUACAGUUAGUGUAAUACCCUUGUAUAAUGACACAAAUUUUAUAUCCCUCCUAAGUUAUGUGUCCACGUAGGAGUGUUUAACCAUAUUUUCAAUGAUUUAGUUGAGAAGAUGGUAGAUGAUUUAAGGUCAAAAUUUUUUUUCUCCAAAUAUUAUUAUUAUGGAAAAUAUUGGAAUUUCCAUGCGGGAAUUAAAUAAAGUGCAUGACAUAUAUGUACAAUUCAUGAGUGAUAAAAAAAUAAAAAUAAAGGAAUGACUCAUAAUCGAUUAUAAUAUUUCACAAAGGGUACCCUUGUACACCUUUGUACAGUUAGCACAUUUCUCUUAUACAGUUAGUGUAAUACAAUUGUACAGUGACGCAAUAAAUAAAUAAAUAAAAUUUAUUACUUUUUUAUUUUCAUAUAAAAAAAAUAGUACUAAACAAGGUUUUCAAUUUCAUUUUAAAAAAUAGUUUUCAUUUUUUAAUUAAAAAUAUUUUCAAAAGGAGACAAUAUAGAAAAUAAAAAUUAUUUUUAAAAAUAAAAAAUAAAAACUAGAAAAAUAUUUUAAAACCAAACUCAAAUAUAAUCUAUAUAAUAAUAAACAAAUUUGUAACAUUUCAUAUAACUUAUUACUAAAAAUCAUGUUCAAAAAGUUAUUAAAAUAAGGAAGAAAGAAGAUUAAAAAAAAAAUAAACAUUUUAUUUUAUAAUAGUAAAAAAAAACUUUAAAAUACAUUUUAAUAUAAAAAAAAUUAAAAUAGUGAAUAUAUUUAUUUUAAAUAGUUUUUUAUUCAUUAAAUUAUUUACUUCUAAAAUAUAAAAGACAAAAAUAAAUGUAAAAUGUAAUUUUUAUUUAUUUAAAUUAAUAUUUUUUUAGAAAGUAUUUUUCAAAAUAGUCUUUGAAUCAUUAAUAUAAUUUUUUUAUUUAUAAUUUAAAAAUAAAAAAAUAAUUUUGAUUUUUCAAUUAUUUAUAAAAGAGUUUAAAAAAAUAAUGAAAAAUCCAAAAAUGAUUAAAUAAGAAAGAAUAGUGGCAUGUGAAGAGUGGUAGAAUAAAGACAAAAAUGAGUCAAGUGGGUAUUUUUGUCUAUUCCUAUCUCAUAUCCUUGAAAUCAAUUAUAGGUGUUUGAAGGACUCUUUAUUAAUUACCAAAGCCAAAUGGGUCUAAAGCCCAAUUCUCCCUAAUUAUUUUAUAAUUAAAUAAAAUUUUUUCAUUUAAUUGAUUACCAAAAAUAUAAAAUUAUUAUGAUAAUUUUCUUCAUAGUGUUUUUAAUAUCAUUAAUAAAUUAAUUAAAUAUUAAAAAGUUAUACAUAUAUCACAAUUCAUUUUAUAUAAUUUAAUACAAUUGAAUUAAAUGAAUCAUAAUUUUAAUAUUAAAUAUAUUUUAAAAUUAGGCAUAUUAUAAUCAAAUAUCACAAUAUUAUUAUGAAAUAAUAUUUGAUAUAAUUUAAUAAUAAAUGUACACUUAUCAAAUUCUUCAGCAAAACAAUUUUGAAAUGUCUAUUAUAUUUCUAAUUACAUUUUUAUAAGGUUUUUCUUACAUUCCUAUGAAUUUUGAUUAAUUUUAGGUCUAUCGAUAUUUUUUUUUCCAAAAUAUCUGUCGAUAUAUCUCUGAUAUAUCCGUAAUUACCAAUAUUUUUAUCCUUAAAAACAACACAACACCACUUGUACCAAAGGCAUAACACCCACUAAAUUUAGUUAAGUCAUUGAGGGACCCCCAAUUACUUUGAAAGAUUGGAAUGACACGUGGAACCACUUAUAUUCCAUGGAUUUCUUAUGUUAAUGGGAUUUUUUAAAAUUUUUAUUUGGUAAUUGUUGUGAGUAUUAAGUGGUAAGGUAUGACAAAUUUGAUGAGGACAUUCUUUACAUUUAGAGAUCCUAGCAUAUGGGUUCAAUUUGUCUUACUCUUCAUUAAGAAUUAACUUUCAAGGAAAUGUAGUUAAGGAUAUCAAAUGGAGGUAUUCUACAUCAAUUUUGAUCUAAAAAUUUAAGGUUCUAGUCAGGCUGAGCUUUUACCUAAAAUUAUUUAAAAACGUUUUAGGAUCAUGAAAUUAUCAAAAAGUUUAAGCUUUACUUUGAUUAUGACCAUCAUUACAAGUAAUUAUAUAGUACAUGUCUUUCAAAAUUUGUGAUAAAUCAAUAUUUCUUGAAUAUGUUUAUUAUAUUUGCUUCUUAUUAAAAUGCAUUAUAUAUAUAUAUAUAUAUAUAUUAUUUGAAUGUUUUGCUCAAAACUAGAUUUUUCUUUGGAUAUUGGUACUUAGGUAGUUAAUUAACUUCUUGUUAAAUCUUGUAAAUGGCAUGAUUAUGAAUGAUGAAUGUAUUUACUUUUAACGUUAUAAUACACCCUAGACCAAAUUUUUAUGAGACGAGGUACAAUUGGCAUCCAAAUAACCUAGUUAAUGUGCCAUGUGAAAAAAGGGUUGCAACACUAGCAAGUAGCUAAUAUAUAAUGUGAAUGUGCUUAGUAUCAUGUGAGGAAGGACACUCUUAUUGAAUUGCCAUGUGAUCAAUUAUGUUGAUGGCUAUGAUGAUGGGCACAUAUCAUUAUGUGUAUGAUAAUUUUUUUUAAUGUAACUAUGAUUUUUGAAGAUUUGAUUAGGCUAAUUAAUUUGAGAAGUUAAGGACACAAGUCCAUGAAAACCAAAAACUCACUAUUCACCUUAGCACUAUUUAUCAAGCUUAGAUUUACAAUUACAAGAGAAUUAUACAUUAUUAAUACGAUAAUGAUAUUUAAUGUCAUCAAUCUUCACUUAAUUAGAAUGAUUAAAGGUUGUUUACAUAGACUUCUUGUUUUUUAUUUUAAAAUUUGAGAUGGUACACUUUUUCUAUAUCUUAAUUUUUAAAAAUUCAUUAUCCUUUUAAGCUAAAUUUUUAAAAAUUCUUUGAUUUUAUAUUUCAUUUGUUUUAUGAAAGUAAAAAACAAGAAAUGCAUCCAAAUAACAUAUUUAUUAUUCACUCAUAACUGUUCUUUCCCAAAGUAUUAAAAAAAUUUGGAUUCACUAGAAUCAAUAAAUAUGGUAUUUUAAUCGUAAAUUUCAUAGGUCUUGAAUCAAUUUUUAAAGUAAUCAAUGAAUUAAAAUAACAAUGAAUUCAUUGCAAACUCAAGUCAAUGCUUAAUUAACCUCAAUUUGAAUAAUUAUUUUGAAUAUAUUUAAAUGAGUCACAAAAUUCUAAUAGCAAGUACAAACAGACCAUCAUCAAGUUGAAUGUAUUCAAGCCAAACAACCUCCAAACUUCCUUUCUCUUCUUAAUCUAUUUUAGAAUCUAAGGAAGAUAACAUUUCAUUAAUCUAUUUCAGGAACCCCAAAAUAUUGAAGAGUGAAAAUAUGCUUGCUUUCUUAGCAAAUACUGAAUCCUAAAUCUAUGCAUAUCUUAACUACAAAAGAUUUUAUUAGUGCUUUAAAUAAUCUUAAUUGCCAUAUAUUUAGAUUGUGAUGUUAUAUCAUUCAUCUUUUGUUUAUUAUCUUCCUCUCUGAUUUAAAUUACUUAUUAUUUUUAGCAAUUUUUUUUACAAUUAAUUUUCAUUUUUAUUAUCGAAAAAAUAAAGUAUUUUUAUUUUAAUACAAUGAGAGUAAAGUUCCCAUACUAAAAAAGUCUACAUAAACUUUAGGUAUACUGGACUCUUAGAAAGGCCUCUAUAUAAAUGCUUAGCCCAUCACUCUUAUUUUCUUGCCUCUAAAUUGCCAUGGAUGUAGGGCAUAGGAAGCCACAAGAAGCUAUUGGAGAUGGAGAAAACAAGACUUCUUCCUAGAAGAGUCUUUUUAGGACAUGACUUCAUACAUAAAUAUAGUAUCCUAGGCAUUUUUAGACUUAAGGACUGCCUUUUGGAUUGAUCAAUCGAGACAAGUGAGAUUCACCUUCUCCAAGAGAAGAGCGAGACCACCAUGAAAAGGCAUCUCACUUGGUGGGACUUGGUGUGGAUAAGGUUUAGAUCAGUCGUAGGGUUUUGCAUAUUCAUCAUCACUUGUUAGGAAGCUUGUAAUAGUGUAAGACUCGCCAUAUAUAGUAUUAUCUUAUGUCGCUUUGGGUCUCUCAUAUCGCUUUCCCUACUUUAUUACACAUAAUUCACAGUUGAAAUACCAGUCGUAAGAGAUCCUUUCUUUUAUCUUGAGUAGAAUUAAGUGAUUUUGUUACUGUAGAGAACCUUAAAUUACUUCAUUCCCUGUCCUAGUAUUAGGUUAGGUGCAUAUUCCUAAUACUCUAGAUCUAAGCACAAUGGAAACAUGGCAUUAAAAAACAAUAAUAAAUAUAGAUCUAAAGAUAGUGAAUCUUUACCUAAGAUUUAGAUAUUCCCAGACUGAUUCCUGUUGAUGUGAAAAACUCUAAAUCCAUAGAAGAUCCUGUAAACCCCCAAUCUCCCACCCUACUACUCUUCCUUGAAGCUUGAUACUCAGAUGGUAGAAGUCUCUAGAAAGAAGAAUGGUGGUAGAAGAUUGAAGCCUUAACCUAUAAGGGGUAUUUACAUGGUUCAUAUUGGGUUUAAGUAAUUUGAACCCAUUUUAAGCUUGAGUCACUUAAUCUAACCCAAAAAGGUCUUAAUUGAUUAAUUAAACCAUUAAAUAUUUAAUUAAUCAAUUAGCCCAUUUCAAAUAUGUCGUCUACUUAUUCCUAUGCAACCUUAUGUAAUUACCAAUAUGCCCUUAUGCACAUAGGUGAACUAAGAGCUGAUCCAACCCUCAUAAGUUGUGUUAUCAAGGUUAUGAACUUAAAUUAGGGACUAUUGGAACCCAUAGAAUAGUAUUUUCAUGGCUCUCUUAGAAUCAUACUUUAAAGUUGACUCAACAUCUCACUACAAUGAGUCAACUGCAAUCCUAUACCCCAUGUAUAGUAUAAUGAGAUACUAUAUGCUUGGGUUCGUGACCUACCAUCCACUAUAUAUGGUUUCCCCAUUAAUUGAUAUCUGUAAUCUAACAAGGUGAAAGUUAUUAACUUCUCAAAAUUACCUCUACUAUCCUUCAUUUAGAAGUCCUCAUAUUAUGUGAUCAACUAACAUGUCUUAACUCAUAAAGAGCUCAAGUUCCAAUUAAAGAACUACUAUGGUCAUAGUUGAUCUAAACGCAUGUCCUUAGGAUAACCCAAGGCAACACACUAUCUCAAUCCUAUGAGAUAUCAUGGUGCCUUAUUGAGAAUAUUGGUCGCUAUUGACUUAUAUCAAUUGUGACCUAAUCCCUAAGGAAUGUAUGAUUAUUUUAGGAUCUCAUCUAUAGGUUCAAGCAUAUGCUAACAGUGAUACCGACUCAAUAUUCUUUUCAAGUUGAGAUAAAUACAAUACAAUACAACAACUUAAUGAAAUUAUAACUACUAGAUAGCCUUAUGUUAUAACUCAUCGUAGGCUCUGUCCAAUAUAUAAUCUAUACACACUAAUGCACUCGUCAUAGGAACCACAUCCCGUUGACUAAGACUAAUCAUCCCUUUAAUUAGGAGGUAGUACACUACAACUUCAAAUAGAUUGCCUAAGUUCACAAAUUGAUUGUGAACAAAUCAUUUACUUGCAACAAGCUCAUGACUUGGAUCUUCUGUACAACUUUUAAUGCACCUAAGUCAUGUACAAUAUAUGAGAUGCAAGUCAAAACACUUAUAAAGAAUAAUGAAUGGAAUAAGGAUAGAUGAAAGUGCAACUGAAAUAUAAUAUAAAUAAAUAGUCAAUUCUAAAGUUUGUUACAUCAUGUAAUGCUUUGAAGGGCUCUAUCUUAAUAGUUGGGUUCAUUAUAGCUAGGAACAUUCUCUUAGACGCCAUUCUUGGGGCAACUAGGUGGGUGAUUAUUAAUCAUUUGUUGCUCACAUGCAGUAACCUUUAUAUUAUCAUGUAUUGCUUUAUUUUUUACUAUUGAUAAUGAUGUUAGUUGAUUGAGGUUUGUAAACCUCAAGUCAGUUGUGUGAGGCUUUACCUUUUAUUUGGAUCAUGAUCUUAUAUUGAGCAUGCUUAUUUUUUAAUACAAGGUUAUAAUAGUUUUAGGUUAUGUUUGGAAACUGUCUUUGGUUAGUGCAUUGAUAUUGAUGGGAGUGUUGAAAGUGGAAGUAGGCUAGAAGGUUGAACCACAAUAAAUCUUAGUGUUAUGUAAUUAAUUUUGUUGAAAUUGUUUUAAUUGCAUUUGGGAGCUUUCUUCAUAUUAUACUUUAGAUUAGCCCUAGGCUCUGGCUUCAAGAGAAAAAGACCUCUUCUUUUGUACUCUAUCUACCAAUGUGGCUUAUUGCACAUCUACUUCAAAAAACUCUAACCAUAGUUCAAAUUCAUAAUCAUAUAUAGAACAUAAUAGAUGAAUAUUAUUUAUUGGUAUUGCUAUUAUUAUUCCUUCCACAUUAUUAUUAUUAUUAUUAUUAAGCAUUUACAAUAUCAAUUCAUAAGCAUGUCCAUGGUUUUGCAUUUUCAUUCCAUGCAUUGGAAAUGAUAAAUCAACUUUCCUUAAUCUUUCAUUUUGUUUCACAUUUUAUUGGAUUGAAAAAUAUGUUAAUUUGAGCAUGGACUUAUUUAUUUAUUUAUUUAUUUUUUUUGCAUUUCUUAUUAAAAAUCUUGUAAAGAUAAAUAGCUAUCUGAAGUAAUAUUUAAGAAAAAAAAAAGAGAAAAAAAAAAAGCAUUCUUCCUUAUGAAUAUUAUAUACCUCUUUAACUUCUUCUCAAGAUUAUAUUCAUAUCUUUUUUAACUCAAUCAUAAAGGAAAAGUUGACUCCACUCUAAAUAUCUAUCAAUCAUAUGAGGAAAAAUUGACUAUGAUGAUGAAAAUCAUAGCUAAAUAUCCAAAAAUUACAUUAUUAACUUGCAAAAUUUAUCGUGCACUCACUAAAUUUUUUAAACAUUGAAAAUGUUAAUUUCAUGGUGUUAUCCUAUUUAAUUAAUUAACUAUUUCAUCAUAUAAACUUCUUAAAUAUAGAAAGAAGAUCAUUUCCUACCAUUAUCCUACUUAAGUACCAUAAUUUUUUAUCCUAUAAUCUUUUUUAAACAUAAUAAUCGCAUGGCGCUGUCCUAUUUAAUUAGACCACCAUUAAGCUGCCCAACAUCUCAUUCCUUUCAUUUCUAUCUUCUGAAAUAUUUUUUGUUCAUAAAGAUUUUUGGCCAUGUAGAAGAAGCGAGCCAAAAGCCAUGAAAAGGUUGAGAUGAGAAAGAUGAAUAAUGAAGAAGAUCGCCUUGUUUCCUUCUUGAAGCAUAGAUCUGGGAUCUACAGAAAGGCAAGUGAGCUUUUUACCCUUUGUGGUACAGAAGUUGGUAUUUUAGCUUUCUCCCCAAAUGGGGAGCCAUUCUCAUUUGGUCAUUGAUGCGACUCAUGGUAGCUUAGCUUUAAAGGCGUAUCAACAAAAUUUAUACCUUGAAUACUAUUACUAAAGUAGCCAAGCUACUAUAGCAUAGUGGUUCUAGGAUCAUUCACUGGGAAGGGUUUUCGCAAACACAAGUGAUAUUCAAAUUAGGAAAAUAGGUGAUUUUCUUAUGGAUGUUAGCUUAAAAAGAAGAUGUAAAUGUUUUAGAAAGAUUUAAACUAAUCUAAGCUAACAUUAAAGACUAAAAUGAAAGGGUGUAAAAACAAGUUUCUCAAAGAUAGGAUAGCUAUGCUCUGGCUCUUAUGCAAAUUGGAAAUCUCAGGAUAGGCUCCUCGCGUUGGGGUUGCAACUAUGGUGAUGCUUGCUUCCCGAACCGGUAUGGAUUUAGCAAAUCAAGUUUUAAUCCUUUAAAAUGACAAAACAGAUGGUAGUGAAUUUCAUCCAUGGUUAUUCACCUUAGACUUCCUUUGAAUGGCUCGUAAGAGAUAACUAAUGGUCUAAAGCCAAAAGCUUAUCAAAUAUUGGCAACUCAAAGUCAUUCCAGGUGAUAAACUCACCUUUCAAUGGCCAUUGAAAUUGGUUCUAACGGAUUAAUACAAAACUUGGAAUUGAAAACCUCACCUUCCAAUAGCUCGUAGGAGAUAACUAAUGGAUAGAAAUCCAAAAGCUUAUCAAGUAUUGGCCGUUGGAAGUUGUCCAAAGGAAAUAAAAACCAAACUUUGCAUUAAUGAACCUUUAAUGAAAAAGGACUACCUUACCUUCCGGGUGCGAGAAAUUUCCAUGGGAUUGCAUUCAAGUCAUCACAUAACAUCCAUACUUUGAGAAACUAAAAGUUUUAGCCAAUCAUCCUCUGAGGAAAAGCCCUCAGAGGCUGUUUGGCUUCCAAGAAAAUAGAAAUGGGGAAGAGAAAAGAGAAAUGAGAGAGCUCUGUAUAUAUUCUCUAAGUGUUAAACGUAAUAUCUAUUCUAUAUGAUCCAAGAGGUGAUUUCCACCCCUUAUAUAGUCUUUACAAAAGCAAAAGCUUGUGAUUGGUUAGUUACAAGGAUAAGAAAGGAAAUUACAUCACAAAAUACAAAGGAAAAUAUCUAAAGUGGAGUCGGCAAAAGCAGAGGAAAAUUCGCAACACGCAUGGGUUAUGCGAAUUUUGAAGGUGUUAUGCGAAAUUUUCGCAUAACCUGGAGCAGUUGGCUUCCGAAGGCCAUAUCUUCCUCAUUUCAGCUCCAAAUCGUACACGGUUAGAAGUGUUGGAUUCUUUACUUCCAGAGCUUUGAAAUGGUAUAUAGCAUAUAAAAAAUGGACUUCGGAAAGUGCUCCAAAAGUGUGAAAGAAGACUGCAGCUGCUGUCCUCUGUUUUCCUCUUCUCCAUUGUUCUUUCCUUGCAUACUUUGAACGACUUUGGCAAAGGGAUAUGGAGCUCCAAAGCUUGGUUCUUCAUGAAUUUGAGCUUCCAAAAGCUUUGCCAUAACUUGUCCAAGUAUCUCCUCCAUCAUUUGGCAUGCUUGAAUUGAUUCAUAAGCUGAUAAAAACAUGUAAACUUGCCACAAAAUGGUUAAAACCAAUUACUAAGGACCUUAAUGAAUUAAUUGGGUUAAAUGAAUAUGAUUACUACUCAAAGGUGCUUAAAACCAUUAUAAUUAGGUCUACAAAAUAGCACUUUUUGGUAGUAAUCAGUCAUCCAUGUAUCAAGUCAGUUACUAAUAAGCUUUUAAGUGAAAUACCAUACACCAUGUGAUGGAACCCAAAAUCUUCUUGAGCCUUACCAUCGUGUUAGGCUUAAUGAGCUUCACCAUAACUAUAAAGAAGCUUGCAAGCAAAAGAAAGCAGCCAAGGAGCAAGAAAAAAAAAAUCAAGAAAAAAAGCCUGAUCAAAGGCUGGUGGGAAGAACCUAUUAUUGAGCUUGAUAUGGAUGGUCUCAGGCGAAGGUCAGAUCUAAUUCAAAAGCUUCAUAAGCAUGUGCAACUCCAAAUCAAGGAGCUAUAGACCAUGGAAUCAUGUUCAACUUUACCAUCUAAUACCCAAACAGUUGGCCAUGGCCAUGCUAAAUAAAUGUGCUUUGUAUUAUUGAGAGUCUUGAACAUUUCAGUAUCAAACGAUAAUGGUUCAAUGCUUUUAUUUUUGAGUAAUGGGUUUUGUGUUGGAGUAGCCAAAAAUGUGAUAUUGAUUGAUUAAGCUUCCUUUUUCCCCACCGAAAAGAAGUCUUUUAAUAGUUGAUGUGGGUGACAUAUCAUGUGAUUCUUGUGUAGAUUCCUUAUCUUCAUAAUAGUAGGGUCGUUUUAUAUUUGUCUGGUUUUUGACCCUUGACUCUUGUGUGAUUUCCAUCUUAAUGAUCCUAGUAGAAACAGAUGAGCAUGAUGCUCUUGAGGGUUCAUAUUUUGAAAUUUUAGGAAUUCGAGAAUGACUGAAUGAAUUUGUUAAGCCCCAAAUUCUAAAAUUAAAGUUUAAUUAAAUUAACAUAGGCCAACUCAGACUUUUUGCACUUGAGAUGUGAAUUAAGGAAGAAUUUGGUGAAGUUUAAAGUUUGAGGGCAAACCUAAUUCACCUGUGUUAUUUAAGUUUUUGAACAAAGAAGUUCCCUAUAUUUGGAAGAAUUCAUGUUUUUCCUAUUCAUGGACUUUGUGUAUCGGAAAACUUACACAUUUUAACUCCAUGGCCAACCUUUGUAAAAAGAGUAUGCUUGUAUGGGUAUUUUUUUAAAUCUCUCAGAAAAAUAAGCAUCCAUAUGACUAUACUAAGCUCUCAGAGCUUGUUUUAGUCUAUAUAGUGCCUUUUUAUUUUUAUUUUUAUAAUUUAUGAACUUUAUGCUCACUUUUAGGCUUCGCAUACUCAAGAGGUUUAUCGAUAAAAACCUGUUCUUAUAGAUCACCAAGCAAAAAUACUGAUUUUACAUCUAGUUGGAAGAUAGACCAUGAGUUUUAAGAAGUCAAUGUAAUAAAUAGCUCGAUUGCAUCAUGUCUUGCAAUAGGAGUAAAAACUUCUUUAUAAUCCACACUAAACUCUUGUUUAUAGCCUUUAGCUACUAAGUGCACCUUAUUCUUGCCAUCUUUGUCAUUCUCCUUCAAUGUUGUCUUGUAUACCCAUUUGACACCAAUUUUUUGUGGUCUCUUGGAAGAUCAAUUUACUCCCAAGUGCUAUUUUGGUUAAUAAUUUCAGUUUGUCUUUCAUAGCCUUCCUCCACUUUGAAAGUUGUAGGAUUGAAAUAUGAAAAUAGAGCAAAAUGUGUAAGCAGGUUCUCAAUGGGUCAAUUUCUAUUUCCUUGUAAUCAAUCAUCCACAUAGGUCUUCUUCAACCAUGUUUUGUCCUUUGUUUAUCACCUCUUUAGCUGCAAUUGGGCUUUGAGCAUCAACAAGGACAUUUUUGGGUAACUUCGAGUUAUUGAACAUUUCCCAUAGGUUGUUGCCUUAUGCCAUCAUCAUCAAAAUCUAUUGGAAUACGUUUUUCAACACCAUUCUUGUUCCAAAACCAAGUUCAUUCUUAAUAAAAAAAAUAUCGUGACUAAUAAUGAUUUUCUUUAUGCUAAGAUUAUAUAGCUUAUAAGCCUUUGACUGAUCAUUAAUACCAAGACAAAUGCAUAUUUCUCCCUUGUCAUCUAGCUUUUUCCUCUUCUCAUCUAGAACAUGGACAUGGGUAUAGGCUAUGCAACUAAAAAUUCUAAAGUGUUAGGGUCUUCAUCUGUUCCAUGUUUCCUAUAGUGUUAUAUUUUGAACAAUAAAUGUUGUACUUCUCUUCAAAAUAUGAAUGCUCCAGUUGAUAAUGUUAGGCUAGAAACUCUUCAAAACUCUAAUCCUUGCCAAAAGACUUCACACCUCGUUAAGAAUCGUGCAAUUAUUCCUCUCGCAUACAUCAUUUUAUUGAGGCUAAUAGGCCUCUAUAAGUUGUCUUUUGAUGCCAUGAGUCUCAUAAAAAUUUGCAAAUUCAUAUGAGUUAUAAUCUCCCCCAUAAUUAGUGUACAAUAUUUUUAUUAAGCUAUUGACUUCUUUCUCAACAAGUGCUUUAUAAAGUUUAGAUGCUGCAGACACCUCAAAUUUUUCCUACAAAAAAUACACCUAAAAUUUUCGAUUAAAAUUAUCAAUGAAGGUAAUUAUGUAUCUUUUACCUCCAUUAUUUGGAAGAUGGAUUUAUUUGUCCAUAAAAGUUAGAAUAAGCCAACUCUAACGUCUUCUUUGUUCUCCAUGACUUUCCUUAUGGAGAUUGAUUGUGGUGUUGUUGGCUAACAACACAUAUUCAACAAAAACUUGUUGAGAGCAUUCAAUUUGAGAAAGCUUAAUCACCAUAUUUUUUUGCUGCAAUGUCUUGAGACCAACAAAGUUUAGACGCCCAUAACAAAAAUGCCAAAGCCAUGCUACAUCCUUCAAUUGAGUAGACACUACAAGAAAUUUCACCCUCUACCACAAAAUUUUUGGCCAUCAAUAUAAUUUCAUCUCUAAAGAUGAUAUUGGGAGACAAAAUUCAAGUUUGUUAUGAAAAUUUGUGUCUAAAGUUUUAAUUGAAUGUGACAUGAGGCCAAAUUAUUUGUGACGACAUCAUAAAUUUUAACAACAAAAUAUUUCAUGGUGAAAAAUAUAUUGGGAGACAAAAACCUAGUGUUGUCCCAAAAGGUAAAUAAUGGGUAACAAAAUUAUGUUGUUGUAAAAUAGUUUUGGAGAGAAAAAUCUUAACAAUGGGAGACAAAAAUAUUGUCCUAAUAUCACUAGAUGAAGGAACAAAGAAAAUUAUUGGGGAGGAAAUUGUUUUAUUGUAAAAACUCAAUAUUGGAGACAAAACUAUUUCAUCCCCAUUAAAAUGCAUUUUCCUUUUUCAAAAUGAAUUUAUCAUUUUUAAAUUUAUUUAUACUAUUGAAUACUUAACAUGAUUUAUUUGUUUUUUGAGAAAGUUUCAUAAUACUUUAAUAUUUAUGAAACAACACAAUUAUUAUUAAAGAAAGUAAAUAUUAUUUAGAAAUAAUGUGAUAUUGUCAUAUUAUAAUAUUAAUAUAAAUAUAAAUAUAAAUAUAUAUAUAGUAUUAAAAUUUAAAUAUAAUGACAAUUUUUAUUAUAUUUAAAUUUUAAUAUAUAUAUAUAUAUAUAUAUAUAUAUAUAUAUCAAUAUGUAAUAAUAUUUAAAUUUUAAUACUAUGUGUAAUAAAGUAAGAAUUUAAAAUUUUUUUAGCUAAUGUUGAAUCUUCAAUUCUGGAUAUCAUACUCAUGAUAUGUGAAAUGUAAUAUUUGUUUAAUAAAAAUAUUAUUUUAUUUAGUAUAUAACUUGAAAUUAUAUAUAAAAGAAUUUAAUAUGGAUUAAAUUAAUUACCUAAAAAAAAAAAGGGUUACAAUGUUUGGACCAUAAUAUUAUUAGUCUUCUUCUUGUUCUUGAGUACAAAAACACAAAGAUUAAUCUAGAAUGUAUAAUAUGGUAAAAUUCUAAUCAUAAUAUAUUUUAUUUUUAUAAUAUUUUAUUUUAUUAAUGAAUUUAUAAGAUAAUAACAUUUUUUUUGUAAAUUCUAUUAUAAUAUAACCAUCUAUUAUUCUUCUAAUCUUAUACUUCCUAUAAAAUAACUUUUUUUCUUUUUCUCUAAAUAAUAAUUUCAUUUUCAUGUAAAUACUUUGAACAAUCCUUAAUAAUAUAUAAUAAAAUAAAACAAAAAUAGAUUGAGAUUCAUUUCCAUGUUUAUAACUUGAUAUUUUAUAUAUCUAAAAAUGUUCAAUUAGGAAUUAGGAUUAAAUUGAUUAUAUUAUGCAAAAAUAAAAAAAUUAGUUACCAUGUGAGAACCCUAAUUUUAUUAAUCUUCCUUAUGUUAUUUACAGAUAAAAAUCAAUCCAAAUUGCGAAUGUACAAAUAAAAUAAUUUUAGUUAAUAGUAUAAACAUUUAUUACUUACCUACUUUUGUUGUUCCCAUAAAAUCAUCUCAUGUCUUUAUUUGUAAGUAAUUGAUUUCAAUGUCAAUAUUCUAAAUUAAAGUAUAAAAUAAAUUAAAAAAUAUUACAUUAAAAUAACUUAUUUUGUAUAUAAAUUUUUAUUUUAUAUAUCUAUAAAAGUCAAAUUUGGAUUAAAUUGAUUAUACAAAAAUAUAAAAAGGGGUUUGACAACCAUAACACUAUUAGUCUUCUUCGUAUUAAAGUAGAAAAAUGAAUCCAAACUCUAAAUGUAAAAGAUAAUGAAAUUUUAAUAGUAAGUUACAUUGGCUUUUUCAUAAUAUUAUAUUUUAUUAUAAUUCAUAUAUGAAUUUAUAAGAUAAUGACAUUUUAAUAAUGAUUUAUUUCAAUUCUUCUUUUUUUUUUCUUCUUAAUUUUCUAAUUGAUUUUUUUUUAAAAGAAAUAUAAAAAUUUAUAUAUGACUUAAAGUUGAUAAAAAAAAUUCAUUUCUCUUUUAAUAAUUUAACAAUAUAAUGUUUUACCAAUCUCAUCUUUUCUAUAAAAUCAUCUCAUUUCCUUAAUUUUUUUAUAGAUAUUUCUUAUGGUUAUUCUUUAGAAAAAAAAAUUCUAAUGUUAACUAUAUAAGACAAUAAACUUAUAUUUUUAAAAAUUAAUCCUUUAUAAAAAAAGACUUUUAUAAAAGUUUUAGUUAAUUCUAUAAUAGUAUAAGUAUCUAUUAUUUACGCAAUCUUGUUGUAGACCCCCUUUGGUGGUAAAAGGCUCGGGGGGAGGUGAUUUCGAAAGACUUCUCAUUAUAUUUAGAAGGGGUAGGGGACCCCUAGCGGCUGAAGGAUGGACCCCUUCUCUAGGCACGGACGUGCAGCUGCAGGGGGGCGGUUGCAAGCCCAUGCUUGCUGAUGCAUGAACAGGGGAGGUGGGUGAUGGUUGGCUGAAGAGAGAAAACAGAGAAGAAGACGUCUACGAGGGGGGUGGUUUUUGCAGGAGAGACGACUAGUGAAGGAGGAGGAAGGAUCUUUCUGCUGAUAGCUUGUAAGUAUUGCUCUGUUUCAACUCCCUUUCACAUUUCCUUAUUCUUUUGUUGCAAAAUGAUUCAUGUUUGGUCCCAAGGUGGUGAUUGAUAGUCAUGCAUUAGUUUAUUUUCCGUUCGUUCUAUUGGUUUUUCAAUCUGUUGAUGAUGCAUGAAGUGAGGUUACAACAAUUAAAUCCUCAGACCUCUCAUCCUUGCUCGGUUUCUUAGCGAUCUCUUUCUCCAUACUUCUUAUGCUACCAACCCCCUGCUCAUGCACACGUGGACUGCACACCCACUCCUACCCUCCAUUUUCCCUUCUCAUUUUCCUCUCGUUCUUCUCACUCCUCAAAACACCAGAAGUAGACGUCUACCAGGAUAGCAGCCGAAGAUGCUCAAAACUUCAAUCCCCAUUUCGAGCCUACCGCCAAAGCUCCAAAAAUCCUAGCAAAUGGAGAGCCUCCGAUGCAGUUCUGAGAGCACGAGGCUCUCUUGCGGCGCUCCGGCGAGUCCCAUGCAUCUCGCGUUCCACGUGAAGGCGUCGCCAUCAACUCUCCCCUCACCGUCGCCGCCCUUUGAAAACACUCUACCCAGCCCGCCCGCUACACACUACAAGGAAAAUGUCAAAAGAUGACGCUUUUUAAGUGUCAAGAUAGAUAUAAGAUGACGCUUUUUAAAAGCGUCAUAUAUUAGACUGUCAUCUUUUUAAAUCGCAUACGUUGACACUUUUUAGAAGCGUCAUCUUCUUUGCACGUCAACCAUGACGCUCAUAGUAAGUGUCAUUAUUUGAAAUAUUGACGCUUUAUAAGUGUCAUCAUAUGUUAAUAAUUUCAUUCAUGUCAAUAUUGACACUCAAUGAAGUGUCAUUGUAUAGGUAGAAGCAACAUUGACACUCAAUAUAAGUGUCAUCUUAUAACUUUUUAUUUGUAGGAGCAACGUUGACACUUAAUAAAGCGUCAUUGUAUAAGUAGAAGCAACAUUGACACUCAAUAUAAGUGUCAUCUUAUAGCUUUUUUAUUUGUAGGAGCAACAUUGACACUCAUAAUAAGUGUCAUCGUAUAGCAUUUUAUACCUUGACACUAAAAAAAAUGCCAUGUUUUUUUAACAUCAACCUUGACGCUUUUGAGAGGUGUCAUCUUCUGUUUAUUCAAGUAAAGCAUGAUGCUUUAAAAAAGCGUCAUCUUAUCUCAUAUAAAAUUUUAAUAGCCCAGAAAUUAAAAUGUCCUAAUUAUGCCCUGUUUUAUAAUUUUCUAUCAACAAUUAAAUUAAUAAUAAAAACUUAAUUUAAGAAUCUCCAUUGACAAAAAGGAUCAAAUAUGGUCUUCCUUUUUCACUAUUACAAUUUAUCCAUAAACAUCAUAUAUAAUCAACAACUAAAACCAACAAUUUUACAACUUCUUCUUCUCAACUUUGAAUUGUUCAUAACCUUCACUACAUCUAGUUUUACAUCAUUUUUCUUCCAAGUGCAAAAGGAUGGUUGUAACUCACUUUCUAGAUGCUCAAUCUGCAAAAUAAUUGAGAGGGUUACAUAUUUAUUAGUAUUAACAAAUAGUUAAGAAGCAACUUUGUAAAUGAAAUGUGUAUAUGCCAAUUUUUAAAUUUCCAAAAUAUCUUUCUUCCAUUGCAAUAAAUUUCAAAAUAUCAAAAGAACUCAACAAACUCCAAUAAUUUUAUUACACCAAAUUUCUAAAUAUUUUAGAACUCUCAUUCUAUUUUUUUUUUUUAAAAAAAAGUUUUUAUCUCAUUGACUAUUUUGGUAUGAUUUUUAUCUUAUUUAUGAAACUUCAACCAUUAACAUCUUCUCAUUCUUCUUAUAGGUUGUACAAGACAUUAGAUGUUUUGCAUGAGAAGAAACUAAGGAAUGAAAAAAAAAAACAAAAAAAACUAGAAGUCCGAAAAAUUGUAAAAUUGUAAAUUAACAUAUUUAUGUAAAAUUAUAAAAUUGUGUUAAAAUAUCUAUGUUCUUCUUAUUGUAUUAGUAUAUCAACAUUUAAUAACAUGAGGAUAUCUAUUAUCUAAAUAUGGAACUUGCAUGAAAUGAUCUCUAAACAUGGAAUUGAUUCAUAAAACUUACAAUAACCACAUGUUACCUCAAAAUUCUUUUGAUGAUAUAUUUUGAAUUGUUUGUGGGUGUCCUUCAUCAAGAGUAGAAGUGAUGUUGUUAAUAGAAUGACCUAUGCCUUUUUGUACAACCUGAAGAAUAUAUAAUAAACAAUUUAACAACCAAUUAGUAAGAGGUGCUAUUUCCUUCCAUAGGCUUAUUUGUAAGAAGUCUUAAACUAACUUCCUAUUUUUUAAGUAAAAGAAAAUGGAAGUACAAGAUAUUAUAGACUUUAAGCCCAUUAGUAUAGUAGGAGACCUUUAUAAAUUUAGAUUAAAGAAGUUUAUAAAGCUAGUAAUCUUAAAGACCAAAAAUGCUUUUGUAGAGAAUAGACAAAUUCCUAAUUCAUGCACAUGUAAUGAAACUAAAGGCUCUACGAAAAUGAGCUUGGACAUGUAGGAAUUUUUGUAGCUAUGCUAUUGUAGGAUUUCUCCAAAUCUAACUGAUAAUAAUUUGUAGAGGAAAUAUACAAAAGUUGUUACACCUACCAUGUCUACUUGGCUUCACCUCUCAAUAUGCCAACUAUACAUCAAUCAUAAUAGAGCAACCCCCAAAAUGAUCCAUAUUGAAAACACUGCCAACUAGAAGUACAAAGAUAUACAUUAACAAAUUAUCAUUGUGAAUAAAUCCAUUAUAAAAUUAACAUUAACAAAAUAUUGACUACAUCUUUAAAAGAAUAUGAAGUUGUAUUAGACUAUAAGUUAUAAGAGGUACCUUCAAACAUGAGUAAUGAUUAACUGAGUCACUAACAUAACCCAAUCUGAUUGAACUUCAUUAAUUUCCAUUUCACUAUAUGAUUUCUUCCCGCAAAACUGAAUUGGAGUGACAUAUACAAUUCACUAAGUUCAAUUGACCAAAAAAAAAAAAAAAAUGCUAUAGUAAAAUGACCAACCAUAUGAAUUGAAUUGAGUGCAAACCUUUGAUGUUAGUUGGUUUGGAUUAGCAAUGAUUUCCUUCAUAUAUCUCAUCACGUAAUACCCACAUUCCACACUACCUGGUUGUCUUGGGCACUAUGGGAAAAGUAUCAACAAUUGCAAUAAACACUAGAAUGAUGUUCUUACUUCUUUAGCAUCUUAUUGAUGAUCAUAUUAAUAACCAUCCAUUUUCUAAUUUUGUCAUAAAUUAAGUGGUGAAGCAAUAUAUUUUAAUCUAAACAAAUAAGUACUUACAACCACUUUCACCCAAGUUGGCUCCCUCUUUGAUGUUUUCUGUUUUUCCGGUGGGUUGAUUCUCAUUGCCCUACAAAAAGAAUUAAAAAGAUGUUAUAUAGACACUAUCAAUUGUAUUAAAAUAGGAGAAAAUAUAUACUUACAUGUUAACUAUGUCCUUAAGAUCAUCACAUGGUUGACAGGCCAUUGGAUUAAGGUAAUAUGCAAUCAUUUUCUUCAUCUCCAAUGCCACUAACACCCAAUGGAAACUAAAGAAAAGAAAUGAAAAUUGUAAUAUAGUAUCCACAAAUUCAAACAUCACAAACUAACUUACAAACACCAUAUUGAUAUUUAGGAUAAAAGGUUACUCUGGGUUGUAUGGAAUAAGCAUAUAUUCAGCAUGCUUUGUAUUCUUUAGUCGAUCUGCAAUAACCCUUGACCUGUUUUCCUUGCUUCCCUCUCCCAUUCCAGCUUUUGAGACCAAUACUGGAUUGACAAAAACAUAUCGUUCGGCCUGCUAUGCAUCAAUCAACUUUCUAUGCAAAUGCUUGAUUAUAACCCACAUGACAAGUUAUCAACAAUCAUUAUAGGUCAUUAGAAAAUAACCUUCUAUCUCAUAAUCUUGUGAAAAGUCAUUCAAAAAUUAUAAAAUCCCUUACCAAAUGUAGUAUAAAAUACAAUUGGAUGACACUUCUUUUGAUGAUAUUAUCAUUUCCAUAUCUUCUUUCAUCAUGAAGGUCUUGAAACUCUCACCAAAAACAUCAUCUGGGAAGUUUAUAGGGUAUGUUCUUGAUGUACUCAGAAUGAGGCCAACCAAUGUCUCAAAAUUUUUCAUAUCUUGUGGUUUUUCACCCUUGGAUUUGACUUCAACUUCAUUUACUUUUUGUUUCUUUGCUUUCUUAGAUGCUUGUACAAUUAAGAACCAUGGUACAAAUCAAAUUAACUAGUUUAUAUAUAUAUAAAGUCACUAUAAACUUUGGUAAUUAAAUUUACUUACUAAGAUGGGAGUACGGAUGAUGACCAAAUUAGUUGGCCACAAAACUUGGUAACCAAUUGCAGCCCCAACAGUAGUAGUUUGUCCAGGAAUAGGAAUGGGAAGGGGUGCACUUGAAUCAUAAGGAGCAUCAACAACUACUAAAUAGUUGGGACCACAUUCAAGUAUAAUUGUUCCACCUGCCACUAUAUUUUCCUUGGUGCCUAUGGCUGUAGACCCCCAUUUUGGGAACCUCACUUUUGUGCAUAUUUUGCAGCUCUUUUUGCCAGGUGUCGCAGCUGUGAGCAGCCACGUGUCGACUCCCGUCUGGUUGCUAUGGCAUCAGAUGGUGGAAUCAAGGAGCAAAUAAGAGGUUGACACGUGUAAAGGAGAUUUUGCAGGCGGUUAGGAGGAGCGUAUGAGAGAGGGGAUAUUCUGCAGAAAGUGAGGUUGCUUUUGGGAGGUUGGUUAGGAGAUAUAUUCUAGGAGGGCAUAUCCGGGAGAGAACAAAAAUAAGAGAAAAGGGGAUUGGUUGGUGGAAAGGGGCUGCAGAGUGUAGUGGUGCUGGUGGCUGUUGCUGCAAAGAUGGUUGGAGGGGCAAAUCCGGGAGAGAAAAGAGAUAUCGCCUAGAAGAGGAAGGCAGCUAGGAAGGGAUGCAGGGGGGUGGAGAGUCUGUUAGAGGGGGAGCGUCUCUUGCAAGUGGGCAGGAUUUUCAUGCUGGUCUGAGAGAUUUUUCAGGCAGGGUGAGUGGAGAUAUUGAUUUUUGAGGGGAAGAGGAGAAGAUCUUUUGAGCUGAGGAAGGUAGCAGGCUGCUAAGGAUUUGGAGAGGGGAGAGCUUUUGUUUGGGUGUUUUUUUUGGGAGAAAGGAUUCUGGAGAGGAAGCAGUAAAGCUUCUUUUGUGAGAGAGAACGAGGGAGAGAGAACAGAGAAGGUGGGGGCAAAGAGCGAGAGGGGGAGCUUGGGAGAGUAUUCGUUUGGUGUGGAGCAGCAAACUGUGAGGGAGAAGUUGGAAGCUGCAAGAAAUGUGAGUUUUUGGAGAGCUUAGAGAGUGAUAUUUCUUUAGGGCAUUGCUUGACAAGCAAGCCGGACAGGAGAAGAAGUUUUCUUAGAGCUUGAGGAGAGCUCAGAGAGAAAACCAGAGGGAACUUGCUGGUGAGAAUAGGAGGGGAUAUCUUUUUCUUUUCUAGAGGUAGCAGAGUGGAGAGGAAACAAGUUUGAAGGUAAGCAUCUCGGGAGUAAAAGGACUUCCUCAGGUAUGAUUGCUAUAGGCUUAUUGAUUGUUUUUGGCUGUUUAUCACUCUCAUAUGUCUCUUGUUGAUAUUUGAAUAUUUGUUGAUUUGCUUGGGGUGGAUAAUGGAGGCCACUUAUUGCUUGUUGAAAUAUAAUCCUGCCUACAUGUUUACCACUGUUAACCUUAGUGUGUUUUGCUCCUAUUAUGAAAAUGCCCAUAGUUGCCUUUGAAAUGUUGUUUCUCACCUAAUCAGAGGGUUCACGGAUGACUCAUGAAGUGAAACCUCUGAAAAUCACCUUUACUCAUUUUCUUUUGCGUUCUUUUCAAUGGCCUUUUUCUUUGUUGUGACCAAUACUUUGCUUCUGGGCCUCGUUCAAUGUAAUGGUUGUAAAAAAAAGUAGAUCUGGGUCUGGCUGUGUACUCAUUCAGAGAUCAAAUAUGUUGGGAAGAGACUAUGAUUGGGUGAUGAGAUUCUACUAUGAGGUUCAAGGGAGGUUCAAUCGGUUCAAUGAUGCCACUCUGAAUUUGUUGAUAUCCUAUGUGUGUAGAAGAGAUGCUCAGUGGGACUCCUUUGGGUAUCAAAACUCUGUUUCUCCCAGAUAUCAGUGGCAUGCUUAAAGGUAUAUUAUCAAGUCCUGGCCUGGUUGUAAGUAUAUCUAUUUCAUCUGCUGGAUUCUUGCGAAGAAAUCUCCCUCUAGUAGUUCUGGGAAAUGGGAAGACGUCAAUGGGAAUGUGUCUGUGGUUUCUGCUCAUGAGAAUAUAUUGAGUGAUCAGCCUGAGUUGCUGCAGCGACUUGGAAAGGACCUUUCUUUUGUUCCAAUACUGAUCUAUGACCCAUUGAUAGAAGUCUACUUGGCAGAUUUUUGAAGAUGGAGAGGCUCGAAAACCAUCUAUGCAUACUGAUGUAGGUCCCGUGUCUGAGACAAGAGGUGCAGAAAAUACCGAUUAUGCUGAUUUUAAUAAUAAAAACGGUGGGAUUUCUUGGGUCUUUAUUGUGAUGGUUGCCCUAUGUCACUCCCUCAUGAGGAAGAAGACACCAAAACAGAAUAUCUCGGUGAAAUGAAUUAUGGUAUCAGCAGGGAAUGUCUCAAUGUCGUUACUGAUGAGUAAACUGACAUGGUUGCUGAGAAAGGCGUUUGUUUCGACAAGUCAACAACAGUUGAAAUCCUGGAAGCUGUUCAUAAUCCCUGUCCCGUGGCAUUUGAAUACCCAAGGCACCUGUCACUAAGCCAACCUCAUGACUCCCCAUCCGUAGUCCUACAGCCGCAAGUGUUGUUCCAUUCUUGCAUGGUCACUCACCAAAGUUUCCCUCUCCAUUGAAUCCAAAUAUCCUCACACCAAUCAAGCCCACCCACUAAUCCAAUCCAUCUUUCAUCCAUCCCACUCUCUACCCUACACGCAUGGCAAACCCAUUUUUUUCUUAAUAUCCAUCUAAACCCAUCUCUCACUCAUGUUCGUGUCUUACCCACGUUCCAGCUCACUACAUUUCUUCAUACCCAUUGCCUAUAGCCAUACCCAUAUUUCAUAAUCUCCCAUGCAUGUUCAUUUCUUGAAAACCCAUUAAACCCUCUGAACCCAUAUUUGUUUGGCCAUGUAUGGCCAUACAAGACGUUUCCACCAAGCUCAUUAUCCCUGGAUAUUCAUAUCCGUUUCCUGUAGUUGGGCACUUGUCCCAAUUCACGUGACUUCAAUGGAGGCUGUGUUGAUGGAAGAUGUCAUUGCUUUCUUGGAUUUCAUGGUCAUGAUUGCAGUGUAUACGAAUGGAUGCUUGGGCAUGAUAACUGCCUAUAGAAGGUCUAAGCCAUAUGCAGAUCCUGAUGCAAAGAAGAUUGAUGAUCAGGGUGAUGAGGAAGUGCCCAACAAGAUGCCGAGGAAUCCAAGAAGCUGCUACCAUACCCAUGUCACCAUGCCUUACAAAUCCACUCCGUUUCUCCACCACCUUUAUGGAUUCUACACCAUCACCUAUCUAUACUCAAACCGUUGCCCCAUUUCUCUCACUAAAUCCCGCCACCCAGUCCACUCAUUGAUUGAGGAGACCAUACCCAUAUGCAUGAUCGUUUUAACGCAUGCAUGACCUUCUUGAAAGACACGAAGAUGUUUGGCGCGCCUAGAGCUUGACUGGCCACAUGUGAUGAGAUUCUUCUUUGCUGCCUUCGUCACGAUGAAGCUGUGAGCAUGAUGAGAAACCUCUUUGAUCAGCGCGAAUUAGUUAGAUAUGAUGACGAGUGUAGUCUAUCACACAGAGCAACUUGUUAUUCUAGUUUGUACAAAUCGUAACAUCAAUAUGGGAAGGUAUUUAUGUGAAAGGAAGCUGCAGGUUGUGAAAUAUUAACAUUGGUCCAAAUGUAAGUGAUCCUGGCUAUUUAGAUUUGGUAAGAAUCCGCUUGCUUCAAAAGAUACAGGUGAGGGAAUGUGCUGAGUUACUUGGGAUAAGUCUAUCAUUUAGAGUCCCAUUUGAGAUUGUGGGUGAUGUCAUGCUUAUGCAACUCUCCUGCAUUCAGCAAAGAGACAAAUCAAUUGUGGAAACUCCAAGGUAGACGUCACGUGGCGCAUUGAUAGAUAUUUGUGGAGUUUUUCAACUAGUUCAAAGGUGUCAUUGCAUGAAGAAUAACUGUAGCCAAGGAAAGGGCUGAUCUGGACGUUCUCUAUAUCAGAGCAUCAAAAUGGGAAUAUCAAGGUGCCGCUAACACACUCAUCACUAUCAUGUUUGCACAAUCAAAAGAGGAUGGAGUCGACCUAAUCGAACACGGACAGACCCAGACUGAAGACUUGCUGAGAACAGAGGCUCAGGCUUUGGGGUUAAGGUAAUUUCAAUAUGCCUAGGGAUUCUCAUUUGUGCCACUCAGACUCAAAAUAACCUCUGUAAGAAAGGAAGAGGGAUGAGAAAGCUGGCUACAGAGAUUCAAAGGAGAGUCACUACGAUUCAAGCUUCUUGGAUAACAUGCUGUUCAGAGAGUUUGCCAUAGAGUUUUGAGUUUUUGUUGUGAAAAGAUGGAUGAGAAUAUGUCGGUUGGUUGUGAGUAAGAAUUUCUAUGCUCGGCAUGCCAAGUCAGUAAUAGUUGAAGAUGGGAUCUAAAGGGCAAGCAAGGCUCAUAGCAUCGUGGCCUGAUUCAGUGACUAUUCUGGCAUCCAGUCAAACCUUCAGGGCAUGUAUCGCAUGGUCACCUUCAGGCAUACUACUUUGCCCAUGUGUCCUUCUCACUUCCUCCUUUCAUCUAUUUUAAAAAAAUAAUUUCCCACACUCUCAUUCCUCAAAAAUAAUUUUUCAAUUUCCAUUUUGUAAAUAACUCUUCAAAUUUUGAUUUUCAGAUAAAUUUCAACUCUCCUCCUUCAUCCUUAGAACCCCUUUGGUUCCAAAGUCUCUUUUUCCAAUAAAUCUUUGUUGCCAUAUUUCCUUUCGGCAUACAAUUUUCACAAUUCUUUUGUUUUUUAAAAUGUUUUAAAAUAAGCUAAAAUCAAAUUCCAUAAUUCUAAGUGAUAGAGUUUGCGGAAUUGAUUUAUGCAAAAAUGAAUCGGGCUUUGAUGGAGGCCCCACAUAUUUGACUUCAUGAUUGAUUGACUGAUUGAUAGAUUUAUUUGCCAUGCUUGAUUGGUUUACUCUAUUCCUUGAUAUGCGCUUAAUUAUAUCUGUUCAUUGUUCACUAAUCAUGUUUCAUGAUAGCGCGUUCGUGAUUGCCGCCCAGGUGCGCAUCUAUUCAUAUUUCGCCUAUUCUUUAUACAUGCUUUACUUCUCAUAUUGUGCAUGAUCAAUUUGAGUAUUCAUCAAUUUUCUCAUUGAUUGCCAUGUUAGCUUCAUUCUAUUAGUAGAGACCCGACUUUAGGGACUUAGAGGGGUGCUACGGUUUUUACCGUACCUUCCCGAUAAGUAACCUGACCCCCGAACCCGAUCCGGUUUUUCACAGACCGCCUUUUCCAAAAUAAGGAGUCACACUUAGGGUUUUUCUUUCUUAUUUUGUUUACCCUUUAAAAAUAAAACAAAAAUAAGUGGCGACUCCAAGUCAUUUUUCUUAAUCAAAUAAAAUCAAUUUUUCAAAUAAAAAUCGAGCUCGCCAUCGAGUGGGAAACGCAUUGAGCCGAAAAUGCGGGGUCCACAAUGGCCAGCUCACAUUUUCUAACCUACAAAACUCAAUUCACAAUAAUCACUUCAAUAUUAGUGGGUUUAUACAAAACUAACAUAAAUGCAUUAUCAUCAUCAAUCACCUUAUAGCUCCUAUUACAAUGAUAAAUGCAAUUUCAUUUACAUUCAAUUGCAACAAACUUGCAUGAUAACAUUUCAGUCCAUUGCAUAUAACUCAACCCAUAAUUUAGACAUAUCCUAUUAUAUGUUGCCACAUCAAAGAAGACCAUAUAUGUUGCCACCAACAUUUGAAGUCAAUUCAAACAACAAAAUUAAAUUAAAUUAUUUCUCGUAUUAGAGGAAACUUUGUCAUCAAAUUAGCUUAAUUGAAUAAAUACCUUCUUCUGUGGUUCUAUUGCUUCUGGUGGGGUCACAUCUUCAACUUUACGGAUUGCCUUAUCCACUGCUUCUGGUAGGAGAAGUUGUUUUUGCUUCAUGUUUGAACUACUAACAUCAGAUUGGGGAGUAACAACUCCUACUUGAGUCAGUUUUGCUAGCACUUCUGCCUGAAAUAUUCUUUGUUCUUCUUUAGAUGCUGCUAUGAAAUCCCUGACAGCACGAUCUACAGCACUAUUGAAAUAUUGGCGAGGUGUGUAGUGCUUCCCUUUGGCCCUAACUCGACCACUAUACUCAGGAGUACCCAAUGCUUCCACAAGUAUAUCAUUACUUCCACUAACACUUCUACCAUUCUCUUGAGACACUUUCAAUAGCUUGUCCUUAAAAAAUAUUAAUUAUAAAGUUAAAUUGCAAAUUUGUUAUUGUAAAUAACUUAUUAUAAAUAUAUGUAAUUAAAAUUGAAAAAUAUUCACUUACUAUUUUCUCAAUUACUGGUAUGGCCACUUCAUCAAAGGUGUCGUCCUUUUUUUCCCUUGCUUUCUUCCAUAAUAUGCUUCGAUCAAUAGUUUCAGUUGAUCCACUUGCAACCAUCUUUCAAAAUAGGACAAUGUAUAAUAUAAUUAUCAUAUAACCCUAUUAUGUAUUAUGCAUAAAAUAAAUAAAAAACAAUUAAUAGGCUUAUACUUACCAUCUCUUCCUCAAGACCGGCAUAUCCUUUCCUACUUAGAUGGUGAUUAUAAAUGUUUCUCUUUCUUCUUUCUUUUUGAAUUUCUCGAUAUUCCUAUAAAUUAAAAUUUUAUAAUUAAUGAAUGUGAAUAAGAGGUAUGUAAAGAGUCUUAAUUAUACCUUAAAGUUGUCAGACAAUCUAUCUUUGACAAAUAUUGUCCAAUCUUCAUCCUCAAUAAAAGUAUAUUGAAUUGGUGGUCUUUUGAGGAGCUCCGGUUGGUCUUCGAAAGGAAGAAUGUACUUCACUGUUAGCAAGUUCUUAAAGGACCAAAAGCAUUUUCCCAUUGUUACCAUACAAUUCCUCCUGCUUUUAUGAUUUAAUGAAAAAGCAGUUUGCACAUUAAUACCAAACUUUAGUAAUUUCAAGAGGUUAAGAAUGAUAGACAUUUUGCAUCAAAGUGAUUUAAAUAAGAAAUGGUUACCUCAAUGUUGUCCCAUAACUUAUCCUUCAACUGUUUAGGUACAACAUGCCAAUUUUUAUAUCUUAUUGGCACCAUAGUGCGUGCUAACACGCCUAAGUAGCUUGUUAGAUGAACUGCUGAUUCUCCUAUGAAAAUGCCAUCAAGAUUGUACUUAACCGGCAACUUAACCCCCUUGCUUCUGUUUUUUAUAAUCAUAUGCUUCUGUGUCAUCCCUCUGUACUUCCUUUUUAUGGGUUUUUCUCCUUUCUUUGUCUCCAUUCUUGUAACAAAAAAAAAAUAAAAAAUGAUAAAGAUUAGUUAAAAUUAUAUUGCAUAUAACCUAGUCAAAGAAUAAUUGUAAAACAUAACUUUUCAAAGAAACAAAUCCAUAAUCAUUGUACAAUGAAAUGCAAUAGAUCAUGAAUUCAAUAGAUCUUUUUAGAAUUGUUCAUCAUAUAACAAGGAUAACACUUCAUUUAAACUUUUUUUUGUCCCGUUUUGUUUAACAUUUCAUUUAUUUUAAGCAACCCAAGGGCCUUUGUAUAAGAAAGCUAAAUUUGCAGUAGGAAUUUCCUAUAAGAAUCAACAUGGAAGGAGCACGUGGUUUCAACAAGUUCAUCAAGUCCAUAAGAACUUAUGAAAGCUUUUGGACUAUCGGUUUGCGUUACAUUAAGUUUGGAAAACACAACAUGCAUAUUGAUAAUAAAAAAUUUCAUAAUUUUUUUACUCACAAACAUAACUAAUUUAGUAUCUUCCAUGCACAAUUUAGGGAAAAGGUUUUAGUAAAUAUGUUAUUGGGAGAUGUUAAAGAAUGGUCAAUAUUUUGUGCAAAAAAAUAAAGAAAGGAUAAAAAUUACCUAUUUUGUGGCUGUUGCAACCCAUUCCAUGGCCUUUAUUCAUACAUUAGCAUUAAAAUACAGCUACAUAGAGGAUUUGUUCUCAAUCCAAAUCCCCUCACAAUCGCCUCGCAUACAUGUUGCAUCUGAGUCAUCCAUUACAUCAAGCGCUUCAAUUUGUGGCAAUGCCCCUAUAAAGGGAUGGUGUUUAAUCGAAUUGUCAACAAAGUCUUCACCUCCUUCCAUAUCCAAGAAAUCUUUUUGAGGAGUUGACAAAACAACUGACCAUCUUGGAUCAAGUUGGUCUUGCACAUAAAAUACUUGCUUAGCUUGGGAUGCCAAAAUGAAAGGAUCUGAUUUAUGAGCAAUUUUGCUAAAGUCAACUAAUGUAAAGCCAAGAUCAUCAACUUUUAUGCCAUUUUUAUUAUCAACCCUAUCACACUUGAAAACUGGUAUCCUAAACAUGGUAUAAUCAAGGUCCCAGAUCUCGGUAAUAAUGCCAUAGAAACAAAGCUCACCAAACACUGGAUUUUGAUCAUUUGCACUUGCGAUUUGCAUUGUUGAAGCUACAAUACUAACUCCACUAUUUUGGGUAGUUCGUAAGUCAUCUCGUUCCUUGGUAUGGUAUCGACACCCAUUAAUGACAUAUCCAUGAUAUUUAGAGACAUAAUAGCUAGGACCAUGAGCUAUCCACUUAAGGGUUUCAGAUAUAGGUUCAUUAUUACCAAUUGCAGCUUCAAUAUGUAAUUAUAAAUAAUAGUUAUUAUGUAUGUUAAACAUUAGUAAAAAGAAUACUUCACAUUUUAACACCAUUCCAAUACCUUUUUUCUCAACCAAUAAGUAAAAGUCCGCAGGUGUUCAUCCUGGAGCCACUUUUGUCUUUUUGAUUGACGAGGAUUUUUCAAUUUCAACCAUUCCAUGUGCUCUCUAUGUAAUUAUUUAUAAGAAAUUCAAAGUUAAUGUCUUAAAGUUAUUUUAAGUAUCAGACACAAAUAUUAAGUGUUAGUGGUUCUUACUCAAUAUAAGGUUGAACAAUAGUUGUAUUCUUUAAAACAUAAUGAUGUGCAUGUAACCACAAAUUGGAAUCAAUUGUCACAACUUGACCUCCAAGUAUUGGUGCCCCAACUUUUUGGUCAAUGUUUGCACUAAUAGGAAUCCCAAUCGCAUCCACAUUUGACAAAUACUCUAUACAAAAUUCAACAGCUUUCUCUGCAAUAUAGCAUUUAGCGAUACAACCUUCGGGCCGAUUACGGUUUCGUACAUACCCUUUCAAAACUUUCAUGAAUCUUUCAAAUGGGUACAUCCACCUUAGGUAAACUGGUCCACAAAGUCUCACCUCCCUUACAAGAUGUACAGUAAAAUGAAGCAUGAUAUCAAAGAAGGAAGGUGGAAAGUACUUCUCAAGCAAGCAUAAUGUCACCACCAAAUCAUUUUGUAACUUAUCCAGUGCAGACACAUCAACCACUUUGCUACAUAGAGCAUUGAAAAAAAACUCAAUCUACAAAUAGCAUGCCUUACAUGCUUUGGAAAAAGGGAUCGUAAUGACAUUGGCAAUAACUGUUGCAUUAAUGUAUGAUAGUCAUGCGAUUUAAGACCAUAAAGCUUCAAGUCUUCCAUUGACACAAGGUUUCUCAUGUUAGAGCAAUAACCUUCAGGAACCUUUAAUUGUGAUAAAGUUUGGCAAAAAACCUUUUUCUCCACUUUAGAUAACGUAUAACAUGCAGGUGGGAGAUAAGUUCGAUUUGAUUCAAACCUUGGCCCUAAUUCACACCUUAAGCCCAUCUCUAGCAAGUCUAGGCGAGAAUUAAGUCCAUCUUUCGUCUUACCUGGAAUGUUGAGUAAGGUACCAAUGAUGCUUUCACAAACAUUCUUCUCUAUGUGCAUUACAUCCAAGCUAUGACGAACAUGUAGGUAUUUCCAAUACUCAAGAUCAAAGAAUAUGGACUUUUUUUUCCAACAAUUUGUAGUAUUGACAUUCAACUUGCCUCGGGAGUUUUUAUUUUUUCCCCAUGAAUUAGAAAUGACAUCAAUUUUCCUUAGGAUUUCCUUUCCACUCAAUGGUUGCGGAGGUGAGCUAAACUCUUGUUUACCAUUAAAUGCCUUCUUUUGUUUCCUAAAAGAAUGGUUGCAAGGAAGAAAUCUUCUGUGACCUGUAUAUGAGUUCUUUUUCCCAUGCUUCAAUAUGUGAGAGAAUGUAUCUUGCCCACAUAUGGGACAUGCAAAAUAUCCUUUAACUACACAACCAGAUAAGUUUCCAUAUGCAGGAAAAUCAUUGAUUGUCCAUAGUAGAACAACUCUUAAUGUAAAGACCUUUUGCUGAUGCACAUCAUAACAUUCAACCCCUACAUUCCACAACAUUUUUAAGUCAUCCAAUAAUGGUGCUAAAUAAACAUCAAUGUCAUUUCCAGGUUGUCGUGGACCUGAUAUUAAUAAAGAUAGCAUCAUAAACUUCCUUUUCAUGCACAACCAAGGAGGAAGGUUGUAAAUGACCAUUAUAAUAGGCCAACAACUAUGUCUACUGCUCAUUGAACUAUGAGGAUUUAUACCAUCUGCUGAAAUGGCAAGUCUAAGGUUUCUAGGUUCUGAAGCAAAAUCAGGCCAUCUGUGAUCAACUAGCUUCCAUGAUGGGGAGUCAGAUGGAUGACGUAUUUUACCAUCAAAUUCUCUUUCUUGAGCAUGCCAUAUGAGGUCUUUUGCAAUUUUUGGGGACUGAAACAAUCUUCUAAAUCUUGGAAUAGGAGGAAAAUACCACAUUACUUUUGCAGGGACUCCCUUCCUCUUUUUAGUACCUGUUCCAUCUAACUUCCACCUUGAAGUUCCACAAGUAGGACAAGAAGUUGCAUCAUUCAACUCAUUUCUAUACAAUAUGCAAUCAUUGGGACAUGCAUGUAUUUUCUCAUAUUCCAUUCCCAAUGUAUUCAAUGUUUUUUUUGCUUCAUACAUAGAUAGAGGCAACUCAUUAUUUAGAGGCAACAUAUCUCCAAGAAUACUUAAAAGCUCUGAAAAGCUUUUAUCAGACCAUCCAUAUCGUGCUUUUAGGUUGUAUAAUUUGACCAAUGCAGAUAACUUUGUAAAGUUUCUACAACCAGGAUAUAAAGGUUUUUGAGCAUCUUCAAGUAAUGUUUCAAACAAUUUUGGGUCAUUCUUACGAUCAUCAUAUGCAACUUGAACUGUUUCUAUUGUACUAUCCACAUCGUUAAAUUCAACUGUAUGAUGCCAUUCUGCCCUACUAGUUGGUGGUCCACUUGGAGCAGCGUCUCCAUGCCAAUACCAUGUAUGGUAACUCUAAUCAAUUCCAUAGAAGAAUAAAUGUUCUCUAAUUUUUUGAGGAGUGUGGAAUAUCGUAUUACCACACUGAAGGCAUGGACAUUUCAUGGAGUUUUUAUAUGUGGAAUAUUGUAAUGCAAAUGCGAUAAAGCUUUCUACCCCAUCUGCAUAAUCCUUUGAUCUCCUAUCCUUUGACAUCCAAGAACGAUCCAUUUGAUGUACAAGAGAUAAACACAACUCCUAGAUACCACCAACAACUAAAGUUAUUAAUAAAAUCCUAUUAACAGGCUUAAAAUAUAUAAUCUACCAAAUUAAAAUUUCCCACAUUGUCACAAAACUUAGACCAAUCCAAAAAACGACAAUGUGCAAGUCAUCUAACAAUAAGCAAUAUGACAAGAAACAUAAUUAGUAUAUUAGGUUAUUCAAUAUUAGCAUAAAAAAUGGAUCUUAGUUCAUUCAUGAUGUUUGCUUUAUUCAUGAAUAGGAAUGAAAAGCAAGAUCUAACUUUUAGUCUUCUCUUAUAUUAUUGAAUACACUAAGUUUGAAAAUUUUAAAAACACAUAACCACAUGAGACAAUGAUACCAUGAACUAAAACAAUUAACGAAUGGAACUAAGAUUCGAAUGAAUAGAAGCAAGUGAUUUAUACAUGAUUUAGGCAUUCUAACAUCUCCAACAUCCUUAAUUAGGUGGUGGUUCCUAUCCCAUAUAGGAAUACAUAAUCCCUGUGUCAAUUGCCAAUAUACUUAAAUUCAUUUUAAAGAAAUUUCGGCAACAUUUCCCUAUAGUUCUCCAAGUACACAAAAUGGAUAAGGCACAAUAUGUGACCUUGUCCAAAUAUGCACCCAAAGAACAAGAAGAAAGACUACCAAAUUUUCUAAAAAUUGAAUUAAGAACAAGCAAUUAACUUCAUAGAUAUCAUGUUUUCCUAUACUGUCCAACUGGACAAUUCAAACAUCAUUUGCAGAGAAAAGAUCUUUAUCACAUGGAAGACAAAUUUAGUAGUUGUCAACUUGAAACUGGCUUAAAUAUACCCACAUUUCACAUUUUGACAACUUAUUGUCUUAGUAUGUAAUAAGAGAAACUUCUGUCUCACAAUGAUACUUGAAUGGGAAUUCUAAGGUUUCAUGCAUGCAUAGUUGAUUAAAACUAAAACAUAAAUACUUAUUAAAAUAUUACAUCUAGUUAUGUAUUAUAAAUUAUUCAUAUCAAUUGCAAUGGUGAGAAUAGGAAAAUAUUGUUUGUAAGCAUCACAUUUUAGGCCUAAGUUCACAAACUUUGCUAAAUCCAUUAAAGACCCACUACAUAAAGUUCAUGUUAAAAUUGGUUCAUCUCCAACCCCCAAAAUGAUUUAUCAAAGUUACUCAUUUUUUAGAGUCUUGAUUAAUUAGAUAAUCAAUAUAGAUACAUAUAAUUUGUAUUAAUAUAAUAUCAUGAUAUUUUUUUCAUUUUGUUAUUAGGCUUAGACUUGGGUAGAUUUCCCAAGUAAGGCUAAAGUAGAGCUAAGCUGCACCUUGACAUGUGUUCUACUUAUGUUGGGGGUGACCAUUCUAGUUUGGUGGAACAUCCAUGAAUGUUAUCGGUGGAACAUCCAUGAAUGUUAUCUUCUUGAUUUGGAGUAAGAACUUCAUUUUCUCAAUCGAAAUUGGCUGGAGCUUGCUGGUUCAGUUAGAGACAGAUUUGGUAAUGAAACUUGAGUGUGGGCAUCGGGUGAGGAAAAGGCUUUAUUACAUUUAUCUCUUUUUUUUAAUUGAAAAAUGUGAGUAAUUAUAAAAUGAACAGAAAAUGUCGCUUUUAAAAGCACCAAGGUUGAGGUUCUCCUACAAUGGCACUUAAAAAAGCGUCAUUAUUUGAAAUGCAUUGUACAAUGACGCUUUUAAAAGCGCCAAGGUUGAGGUUCUCCUACAAUGACACUUAAAAAAGCGUCAUUAUUUGAAAUUCAUUGUACAAUGACGCUUAAAAAAGUGCCAUUAUUUAAAAACGUCAUUAUUUCUCCCAUUAAAGCGCCAAGAUAAUGCAAGCGUCAUUAAUACCCAUUUUUGAGAAUAAAUAAUAGCACUUUAUAUAAGCGUCAAGAAAAAAAGCGUCAUAAAUUACAUUUUUUGUAGUAGUGACAAGAACUUGAUGGUCGCGGCAUUGUCGGCGACGCACGUGGCGGAAAGUCGACAGCCUGGACUAACUUUGAGAACCUUCGGCGAUGCCUCUCUCACCUCCGCUUUCUCCGUCAUAGUCUUCCUGAGGUGAAGAAGAAGAGCACAUGGCUGAAAGGCCCAAAGAGAAUGAGAAUGGAUUUGGGUUUUAGUAAGUUGGACCCAAAAGAGAAGCCCAAGUUUGUGAAGGCUUUAAUUGCCUUGGGCUUGCCCAUUGAUAUCUUUGGACCUGAGCUUGAAUUGGGGCACUAGGCCCAACUUGGUGAUGGAUUAUUGUAUUAGGUUUGCCCAAUGAAGACAUUGGACUUGGGCUUGAGUUGGAGCCCAAGCCCAGUUCGUGUGGAUGAUAGGCUCCAUGCCAAUCCUUCAAAUCAUUAUCCCAUAUUUAUUAUUUAUUCAAAGUCCAAUCUAUAAAAAAAGGUCACAUGUUUUAAUUUAAUUCUUCGAAUACUCUUUUAAAUCUCAUAUUUAUCAAUUAGAACUACUACCCUAUAUUCUCCUAUCUAUCUAUGUCAAUCCUUCAAAAAUCCUAAGAUUUAAUUUAAUUCUUGUUUAAAUCAUAUUUUCAUAAAUCAAAUCAUUAUCCCGUAUUUAUUAUUUAUUCAAAGUCCAAUCUAUAAAAAGGGUCACAUGUUUUAAUUUAAUUCUUUGAAUACUCUUUUAAAUCUCAUAUUUAUCAAUUAGAACUACUACCCUAUAUUCUCCUAUCCAUCUAUGUCAAUCCUUCAAAAAUCCAAAGUUUUAAUUUAAUUCUUGUUUAAAUCAUAUUCUCAUAAGUCAAAUCAUUAUCCUGUAUUUAUUAUUUAUUCAAAGUCCAAUCUAUAGAAAAAAGGUCACAUGUUUUAAUCUAAUUCUUCGAAUACUCUUUUAAAUCUCAUAUUUAUCAACUAGAAUUAUUAUCCUAUAUUCUCCUAUCUAUCUAUGCCUAUUCUUCAAAAACCUCACACUUUAAUUUAAUUCUUCAAGUACUUGUUUAAAUCUUAAUCUCAUAAAUCGAAUCAUCAUCCCGUAUUAUUAGUUGUUCAAAGUCUAAUCCAUUAAGAAAAUCCCAUGCCAUAAUUUAAUUCUUCAAAUACUCGUUUAAAUCUUAUGUCCAUCAAUGGGAAUUAUUAUCUUAUACAUUCAUUUAUUAUCUAGCCUAACCCUUCAAAAAUCCCAUGUUUUUUAAUUUACUUCUUCAAAUACUUGUUUAAAUCAUAUUUUCAUAAAUCGAAUUAUUAUCCCAUGUUUAUUUAGUUAUUCAAAGUCUAAUCCCUCAAAAAUCCCCUGUCUUAAUUUAGUUUCUCAGUAAUUCGUUGGAAUCUUGUUUUCAUCAAUUAUGAUUAUUAUCUCAUAUUCGUCUAUUUAUUUAAAAACUAGUUCUUCAAAAAUCUCAUGUCUUAAUUUAAUUUUUCAAUCCUAAAAAUUCUGCAAUUCAUCUAAAUUUUAUCCUCACUCAUUAGAAUCGUUAUUCCAUAUCUAUUCAAAGUCCAAUCUUUUGAAAACCCCCUGUCUUAAUUCAACUUUUGAUCCCAGAAAUGCCAUUAUUCGUCAAAAUUUUAUUCUUGUUAAUUAGGAUUCUUGUUCCGCAUCUAUUUAUUUAUAUAAGGUCCAAUUCUUGAAAAAUCUAAUUUCUGAAUUAAAACUUCAAUCCCAAAAAUUCUACUACCCAUCUUUAUUCGCCUAAAUAUUAUUCUCGUUAAUUAGUAUUAUAAUCUCAUACCUACCCAUUUAUUCAAAGCCUAAUCCUUUAAAAAUCCAAUGCCUUAAUUCAAAUUUUCAAUUAGAAAACUUCCACUAUUUUAUUCGUUCAAACAUUAUUUUUGUUAAUAAAUAUCAUUAUUCCAUAUUUGUUUAUUUAUUUAUUUCAAUCAUUAAAAUUCAACUCUUCAAAACCGGAUUUCCAAAUUUAACCUUUAGACUAAAAAACAAAAAAAUUCCACCAUUCACUUUUAUUAAUUUAAAUAUCAUCUUUGUUAUCGUUAUCAUAAAUUCCACGUUUACUUAUUUCUUUCUUCUAAAAAUUCCAAUAAUUAGAGUUUAAUUAUUCAGAGGUCCGACUUUCAAACUUAAUUCUCAAAAUCCCACUAUUCACUAUUCAUCCGUCCAAAUAUCGUUUUGAUUAAUUAGUAACAUUACUCCAUACUUACCCAUUUGUUUCUCUUAAAAAUCUCAAUCAUUAAAGUCUAAUUCUUCAAAUUCCGAUUUUUAAAUUUAGCUAUUUGAAAUUCCAAUUGUCCUAUCUCCGAACUUAAUUUUCAGUUUCCCAUGCUCCAAUUCCCGUAUUUAUCCCGCUACUUAUUAUUAUCAUUAUCACUAUCAUCUUAUUCAUUAUUUCUAUAAAUCCUACCUUCGAAUGAUUUCCAAGACCUCUAAUUUUUAUACAUCAACUUUCAUAAUUUCUACUUCUCAAAUAACUUACGAUUCUGAUCCCUUUCAAAAUUUAACUCCCAUAAUCCCAAUUUUUGUAACUUAGUUUUUCUUAAAAAUCCCGAACUUUCAAAUAAUUCUUCAAAAUCCCAAUUUUAUUUCAAAUUUAAUUUCUAAAAGUUCUCAUUCUUACAUCUAAUUCCUAAGAAUCCAAUUUUCAAAUAAUCUCUAAGAUUCCGAUUCUCAAAUGAAUUUCAAAAACCCAGUUUUCCUUCGAACAAUUUUAAUCCCUGUUUAGUGAUGCAUGUGAUAUGUUUUGUGCUCUAUAUGGUGUACUAACCCUCUCUAUUGAUAGCGCAUGGUGACUCGUUGCCCAGGUAUGUACCCAUUUUCCCUCUAAUCGUUGUCUAUGCAUGUCUCGAUUUUUAUGUGUGCAUGAUCAUUCAGAAUAUUCAUUGAUUUACUUAUCAAUUGCCACGUUAGCUUCAUUUUAUUAGUAGAGCCCCACUUUAGGGACUUAGAGGGGUGCUAUGGUCUUCACCGUACCUUCCCGAUAAGUAACCUGACCCCUAGCCCGAUCCGGUUUUUUAUAGAUCACCUUUUCCAAAAUAAGGAGUCGCACUUAGGGUUUUCUUUCUUAUUUUGUUUACCCUUUUUUUAAAAAUAAAACAAAAAUAAGUGGUGACUCCAAGUCAUUUUCUUAAUCAAUUAAAUUCUUUUGUUCAAAUUAAAAUCGAGCUCGCCAUCGAGUGGGAAACGCAUGAGCCGAAAUGUGGGGUCCACACUUGUACAUCCCAUAAAAUGACAUUAUGCUUUUAUCUAGAAGUAUUUGAUUUUAAUGUCAAUAAUUUAAAACCAUCCUUAAUAAUUAAUAAUAAAAUAAUAUAUAAUUAUAAAAAAAAUAAAUUUUUUAAAUUAAAAUCAUUUAUUUUGUUUUUAACUUUUACUUUAUAUAUAAAAGAAAUAAAAAAAAUUGAAUUUGGUUUGUAUUGAUUAUACAAAAUAUAAAAAUAGAUUUAUCAUGUACAACCAUAACAUUGUUAGUCUUCUUAUGAAAGCCUAAAAAUAAAUCCAAAUUCUAAAUGCAUAAGAUUAAAAGAAAAAAAACAAAAAAACAAAAAAAAAGCAUGAAAACAUUUGAGAACCAUAGUAUAAGUCUUCAUCAUACAAAAACAUAAAAUUUAAUCCUAAUUGUAAAUGUAUAAGAUAAAAAAAAUAAAAAUCAUACUUUUUUAAUAAUAUUAUAUUUUACUUUUAAUAUGUAUAUGAAUUUAUAAUAUAAUAAUUAACAUUUUAAUAAUAAUUUUCUUCGAUUCUUCUUCUUUUUUCUUUUUGUUAAUUUUCUUCUUAAUAUUUUUUAGAGAUAUACAAAGGCUAUGGAUCACUUCAAAGAAAAUAUAUAUUUUCAUAAAUUAUAUUAGUAAUUAUUAUAAUUCUAAAUAUAAUCUAUUAUAACAUUUUUUUCUUUUUAAAACACCAUAUAUUUAUAAGACCAAAAGAGAUUGGUUUCUUUAUAUUUAUCUUAUUUAAAAUAUAAAAUAUUUAAUCAAGUAUUUUUUAAGUAAUCUUGAAAUUUUUUUAAAAGAAUAAAAUCUCAAAAUAAAAACUUGUCCUAAAACUUGUUGUUUUAUACUUGGAAACUUUAAACCAAUUAUCAAAGUUUUAAAUAAUUAAUCUUUUAUAACAUUUUUACUUCUUAUAUAAAACACUAGAUAUCUAUAAAACUAGAAGAAAUUGAUUUCUUUAUAUUUAUCUUAUUUAAAAUUAAAUAAUAUUUAAUUAAGCAUUUAUGAAGUAAUCUUCAAAAUUUUGAAAAUAAUAAAAAUUAAAAAUAAAAAACUAUCCCAAAAUUUUUUACUUCAGAAUUGGAAAAUAUUUAAAGAAUUGGUAAGUAAUAUUGUAAAAUAUUAAAUGGAAACAAAAAUAAAAAAAGAAAUCAAAAUAAAAAGUUUUCCUAAACUCUCCACAAAAAUCCUCUAUUCUGUUUCUCCUUAAAUAGCAUCUCCAUUAUUUCAAGCCCAUCACCAUAUUCAUUGUCCAUCACCACAGACUGCCAUCAACUACUGUUGUUGAGCAUGGACUACUGUUGUUGCUGACCAUGGACUGUUAUGGAAUACUACUAUUGCUGAUUGUGGACUGUUGUUGUUGCUGACCUUGGACUGCUUCUAUUGAUCGCUUGUUAUCGUGGUCCCAUGGUGCUUUACAACAUUGCAAAAAAAGCAAAUCAGGUAUGUUAUCACCACUUUAUAUUUUUAUUUUAUUUAUUUUUAGAAUUUCUUGCUUAUUAAUUAAUUAGAUACAGAAAAAUAUUCUAUGAGCUUUUGAUUUUUACCUUUUCUUGAAUAAAUACUUUGUUGUGUUUUGAGUUAUGUAAUAGGAGUUGUUUGUGGCCUAUUAUUAAUGAAUUCAUCAAUGCUGUUAUCAACUUACCACCAAUUAUUCAGCCCUAACCAAUAUUUAAGAGAGUGAGAUCUUGAUUAUACAUCAUAAUAUCUAUCAUUAAAGUUGUUACAUACACACAAAUUUAUAUAUUAUUCUUUUAAGGGAAUUCAAUUAGCGAAAAUGAAAUAAAGAAAAUUAAAUUAAUAUCAUGUGUGAAAUAUUUUUUUUUUAUAUGGUUAUAGAUGAAAUGAAAAAUAUAAAGUUUUGUUAUUUUAUUAUUGUAGUUAUAGUUCAAUAUAUAAGCUCAUAGAAAAAUAUUCUAUGAGCUUUUGAUUUUACCUUUUCUUGAACGAAUACUUUGUUGUGUUUUGAGUUAUGUAAUAAAAGUUGUUUGUGGCCUAUUAUAAAAGAAUUCAUAAAUGCUGUUAUCAACUUACCACCAAUUAUUCAACCCUAACCAAUAUUUAAGAGAGUGAGAUCUUGAUUAUACAUCAUAAUAUCUAUCAUUAAAGUUGUUACAUACACACAAAUUUAUAUAUUAUUCUUUUAAGGGAAUUCAAUUAGCGAAAAUGAAAUAAAGAAAAUUAAAUUAAUAUCAUUUGUGUGAUAUAUUUUUUUUAUAUGGUUAUAGAUGAAAUGAAAAAUAUAAAGUUUUGUUAUUUUAUUAUUGUAGUUACAGUUCAAUAUAUAAGUAUAUUUAGAAACCCACUUUAUAAGUUAUUUAAAACAUUAAACCAAUUUUCCAUUAGAAUUGGUAAUAAGCGUAAAGAAUGAAUAAAGUAAAAAGUGUAAAUAAGGAAUAGGGUUGUUCGAAAUAUGCAUAUAAAAACAUUAGUAGGUCAAAAUAUAUGACCAACCAUGACUAGCUAUCCUUUUAUGUAAGUUAAUUUAUUUAUCUUGGAUAUUGAGCCAAUUGUCAAGGAAAAUAUAAAAUAUUUAUAUUUAGUUAUAAAGUAGUAAAUAAUGAAAUUCAUAUUUUAAGAUUGGAGUAAAAUGAAAUUUGUAUCAUUUUUACCUCAACUAUAUUGUUUUGAUAUUUAUAUUAAAUAUUGACACUAAUUUUGAAAAUUGUGGAUUUGAGAAAAAAAACUUCACUUUUUCAAAGAGGUUAUUUGUAUCAAAUUACAAUAAAAAACUAUUUAAUUAUUAUUUAUAGGCAUAAAAAAAAAUAUUUAUUGAAUAAAAAUUAAUUUAUCACCAGCUUGUUUGGCAUUUUAAUGCUCCUAUAAUUUGGGCUUGACAAAAAUUUACCUUUUAUUCCUUGUUUUAUAUAUACGUUUUUUUAUUUAUGUAUUGAUUUUUAUGAGAAAAUAAUUCAUAGACAUAUUUCCUACUUAUAAAUUCAAGAUAUAUAACAUAGAUUCAUAGUAUAGUUUAGACAUUUCAAAAGUUAAGAUUGGGGUAAAAUAAAGUUUUGUAUCAUUUGUACCUCAACUAUAUUAUUUUGACAUUUAUAUUAAAUAUUGACACUAAUUUUGAAAAUUAUAGAUUUGAGGAAAAAACUUCACUUUUUCAAAUAGGUUAUUUGUAUCAAAUUACAAUAAGAAACUAUUUAAUUAUUAUUUAUUGGCAUAAAAAAAAUAUAUUUAUUGAAUAAAAAUUAAUUUAUCACUAGCUUGUUUGGCAUUUUAACACUCCUUUAAUUUGGGCUUGACAAAAAUUUACGUUUUACUCCUUAUUAUAUAUAUAUAUUUAUGUAUAUAUAUUUAUUUAUGUAUUGAUUUCUAUGAGAAAAUAAUUCAUAAAUAUAUUUAUUUAUUUAUGAUUUUAAUUUAAAAUUUUUAUUUCUUUUAUAAUUAUAUAUUAUUUUAUUAUUAAUUAUUAAGGAUAGUUUAAAAUAUUGACAUUAAAAUCAAAUACUUCUAGAUAAAAGCAUAAUGUCAUUUUAUGGGAUGUACAAGAUUACGUAAAUAAUAGAUGCUUAUACUAUUAUAGAAUUAACUAAAACUUUUAUAAAAAUCUUUAUAAAGGAUUAAUUUUAAAAAAUAUAAAUUUAUUGUCUUAUAUAGUUAACAUUAGAAUUUUCUCUCUCUAAAGAAUAACCAUAAGAAAUAUCUAUAAAAAAUUAAGUAAAUGAGAUGAUUUUAUAGAAAAGAUGAGAUUGGUAAAACAUUAUAUUGUUAAAUUAUUAAAAGAGAAAUGAGUUUUUUUUUUUAUUUUUAUUUUUAUCAACUUUAAGUCAUAUAUAAAUUUUUAUAUUUCUUUUAAAAAAAUCAAUUAGAAAAUUAAGAAAAAAGAAGAAGAAUUGAAAUAAAUUAUUAUUAAAAUGUCACUAUCUUAUAAAUUCAUAUAUGAAUUAUAAUAAAAAUAUAAUAUUAUGAAAAAAUCAAUGUAAGUUACUAUUAAAAUUUUAUUAUCUUUUACAUUUAGAGUUUGGAUUCAUUUUUUCACUUUAAUACGAAGAAGACUAAUAGAGUUAUGGUUGUCAAACCCCUUUUUAUAUUUUUGUAUAAUCAAUUUAAUCCAAAUUUGACUUUUAUAGAUAUAUAAAAUAAAAAUUUAUAUACAAAAUAAGUUAUUUUAAUGUAAUAUUUUUUUAAUUUUUUUUAUACUUUAAUUUAGAAUAUUGACAUUGAAAUAAAUUACUUACAAAUAAAGACAUGAGAUGAUUUUAUGGGAACAACAAAAGUAGGUAAGUAAUAAAUGUUUAUACUAUUAACUAAAAUUAUUUUAUUUGUACAUUCGCAAUUUGGAUUGAUUUUUAUCCUUAAAUAACAUAAGGAGGAAGACUAAUAAAACUAGGGUUAUCACGGUAACUAAAUUUUUUAUUUUUGCAUCAUAUAAUCAAUUUAACAUCGAUGGUAAGAGUGGUAGGAAUGAUGGCUUCAGCAUCAGCAUCAAUCCAGAAGUCUAAAUCUCAGUAAGAGUGACAGCGAUGAUGGCUUCAACAUCAAUAGUGGCAAUCUACCCUCCUACUAAAACUCCACCAUGACUCGAUUAGUAACACCAUCAAGAGUAGUAACAUGAUCUUCAGUAGCUAGCUACACAAGCAAUUUCCAUUGAUUGAGCCUUUUCACCCUUCAUCACUUCUGUCUUAUCAACUACCUGAUGAUCUUUAGGUCCAAGCAUUGACUCCCAAUGAGAAGAAUCUGAGUCUACCUCAAUAAUAAUAACUGAGUCAACUUCCUUUGCAUGCUGCUCUUGCUCUCUAGUCUAAUUAGUACCUUCUUGAUGCUCUUCCUCUUCUCAUCUUCUUCUUCAGCUUCUUCCUUAGCUUGCACCUCAUUAACAUCAGCAGUAACAACAUCUGGAAUUCCCCCCACCUGAAGGUCUAUAUCAAAUGAAGGAACCUCAUGUCCUUUCCUUUAGCGAUAAGAGCUUCACACAGUCAGUUAACAGCUCUAUGGCCUGUCCAUCCUUUGCAUAAAUUGGAGCUUUACUUACAUAAAAUAUGGAAUAUCUCCUGAAGAUAAAGUGGGGACAGUAGAAAUAGUCGAAGGACCUUGUGUAGAACUUGUGACUAAAGGUACAUGAGCAACUGCCUCUUCAACUAUUCUGACCAUCUGCCUCAUCCUUUUCUUUGUACUUCUUUCCAUGAAAAUUCUGUAAAAUUUCCAAGCUUCCACUUUGUAAAAUUUUGUAGCGUCAUAUUUUUCCUCAUUCCCACUGAAUUUAAAACUCUUUCUAAUUGAAUAGCCAGUGAAAAACUUGGACAAUGCCAAUGCAUACUUCUUGCUGUGAGAAGUCUUGUUUUCAUUCACUUUUUCCACAAUAUAUAAAAACGUAUCCACCAUCAAUACAUGAGAUCACCAUCCCCCCUUACAUAAACAAUACAAUUCCUCUAAAGGAAAACCUCUCCUUUCUGUGACAUGUCUAUAAGGAGAGAAAUUGGUUCUAUACACCUGAUCCACAAACCAUAGCUCCUGUGAUGCCUCUAGUCUUCUGGCAGUUGUGGGAGAGCUAAAACCACAAGGCACUGAAGUGGCCACCAUCCUCUGGGAAGUAGGGUUAGUGUAAGGUAGAAAAUUUCCUCCUUAAGAUGGCAUUGUAGGCAACCCAAAAGCCUAUGCCAAAGAUUUUUCAGUGAUCAUCCCCUCUCUUUCAUUAAUGGAAAAAUGUAACACAGAUUUUCCAGGGGCUCUCCUCUCAAAGAUAGCAUAAAAAUCUCUCACCACAAUAGGAUAAACAUAAUCUAUGGAAUACACCAUAGGCUCUAUCCCAUAUCUCCUCAUUAGCUCCAUUGAACUCAUUGUCUCUGGAAAAGUAAUGUAUUCAUCAGGCACCAAAUAAUCACUGUCUGCCAAUAAGAAUGCAUUCCGGUUUCCUUUAGACUGGUAACUACAGCUUUUCCCUUCUUUUUUUCUGUCAAUUUCUUUGGCUAAACUUUUUCUAUUUCUUUAUCCUUCUUCUCAUCUCUUUUAGCUUUCUUUAUAGCUUCCUCUGGAGUCAUUUCAGUUCCAGGCUCUUUCUUCUGUCUGUUCAUAGUCUCUUUAUUUGGCUUCUUACUUGGUGUGGUUACUGCCACAUUCUUCUCCAUAGGAGACUUCCCUUUCAAAGGAGAUUUAUCCUCAGAUUGCACCUCUUUUUCUUUCCACUUUUUAUUCUUCACAGCUUGUAGUGAUUGUUCACUAGCUAUCAUCAGUCUAGGUGAUCCAUCAAUAAUGAUUCUUCCUAUCUGCUCAAUGACAGGUUGUACAUCAAUCCUUUUCAUAGUUGGGGCAUCUAAAUCUGAAUCAGUGGAUUCAGAUUCGUAGACCAUUAGUGCCUAACCCUUAUCUUUAUCCUUUUUUUCAUUCUGCAUUUUCAGAGUGCAAACAAAAAUCCGAAAACAUAUUACAAACAAGCUUGACAUUUCCAAAAACAGUAUAUAUUCAUUCAGAGUCAACAGAUAUUCAUAGAAAAUAAUUAAGGCAUAUUAAUGAAGAAAGGAUACAAAUGGCAGAGUUCAUCCAAACAUUCAUUCAAAGACGCAAAAUCUAUCCAGAAGGAUCAUUGCACAUGCAUAUGUUAACUUUGAUAUAUCCAUGUACAGAUUCUCAAACAAACAUCUGUUAUAGUAAAUAUAAGGGGUGCAAGUUAAAAACACUCCAAAAUUCAAUUUUAAGCACUGCAAGAUGACAAGUAGGAAAAAGCGCGACUAUAAUAUUUAGGUACAAAUCAAGUAGACAGCAGCACAUAGUAACUAUAAGGGGUGCAAAUAAAUCCUAUAGUUGCAGCCACGUGUAAACAUGGGACUAGAGGGUGUGAAACUGUAGCUGCGACCAUGUAUUUUCUUCUACUAAAGGUUCUAUUAGCUGCAGCUUCUCGUGGCCAUGACUACAAGGGUGUGAUGAAUAGGAAACUUAAAAAUAUAUUGUUUAUACACACGUGAUUUGAAAUUCAUUUCUAUGGUGAAAAAAUUUAUUAAAAUAUAAUUAUGUGAAGAAAAGAAACAAUAGUAAUUGUGAACCCAUUUUUAUUUAUAAAUUUCUGUUAUUAAUUAGUUCACUAUUUGAGUUUCAAACUAUUAUUUAAAGAAUACUAGACUCGUUAAUAAAUUCAAUGCAUGAAGUUUUGUUUUAUUUAAAGUUUAUUUAUCUAGUGAAAAAAAAAAAUUUUAAAUUGGUUUUAUGUAUAAGAAAAAAAAUAGUCAUUUUUGACAAUUUUUUGUCAAAAAAUUUCUAAUAUUAAUUUGAUCACUAUUUGAGUUUCAAGUUAUUUAUAAAAAUUAUUAGUUAUUAGCAAAUCUAAGCAUCAAGUCUUGCUUGAUUUGGACUUUAUUUGGGUAGUGAAUUUUUUUUUUUUUGCAAAAAUAUGAUUAUAUGUAAAGAAGAAACUAGUCCAAGUCAUUCAAAAUAAAUCCUAAUUUAUGACUUUAUAAUGUUAUUGGGUUCCAUGAUUAGUAAUUAAAUUGGGUUUUAACUUUCAAAUUAUUUUUACAAAUUAAUAAAUUUUAUAUAUAAAGUGUAAUUUGAUUUUGAAUUUAUUUAUUUAAUGGAAAGUUUUUAUUAAGGUAAAGGAAAUGUUGAAGGAGUCAAUGUUUUUGUUAUGGAUCUGUUGGGUUGUCCUAGUCUCAAGGUUAUCUAUUUUUUUGUUCUUUUGAUUUGUUGCAAAACAUGGUUGAAUUUACGUAGUUUAUAGGAGUUAGUCUUUACAUGGUUCAUGGUCUUAGCUAGUGGUUAAAAGUAGUGGAUUAGAGGUCUUUAUUUUCUUAGCAAUUUCCCAUUGGUGUACUGCCUCUUUAAAAGGCUAUUUGGUUGAUGAGAGAAGAUCAUCAAAAGUAAUUUUCUCUUCCAACUUUUCUAUACAUUUUUUAGCUUAAUCAAUUUUUUGUACUCUUCCAAGAUUUUUCCUCUACUUGUAAUAGUGGUAUCAGAGCUGGUUGAAAAUUGAGAAAGUGAGAAAAGUUAAGAGCCAAAAUAAAAAGAAAGGACGUGAGAUAAAGAGAAUUUUAGUAGCAGUUCUUAUUUCACUUUAUUUUGUUUUUGCAACAGCAACAGUAAGGGAUAGCCUCUAAAAACUUUGUCUAACUUAUAAUCCCAUACUUUGAUGGUCACUAUAUAUGACCAUUGGAGCAUGUUGAUGGAGAAAUCCUUUAAGGUCUAAGGAGUAUUGGCAGGUUGUCUUUGACAGAGUAGCAGAAUCGACAAAUAAUUUGUAGAUAGAGUACACGGACUUUUCAAGGCUUGAGCACUUGUCCUAAGGGGGUCAUGGUAUGUUUGUCUUCAAACCCUAGUGCCCAUGACCAACUAAUUGGUACUCAUAUAUUGACAUUGUGCUUGUUAUAAAAGCUAAGAACCAGUUAGCACUCUGAGGAAAUAAAAAUCUAAGAAAUUGUACCUUGUUCUAAAGAGAUUGGGGAGAAACCUUAAAGGGUAAGUGGCCUUUCAUCAUCCUCAAUACCUAGUGUCUUGGGAAGAAUCUUAGGAGUUGUCAAUUGAUCUUUACUAAGCUACAUAGAAGGAGCUUUCCUAGGAUGGACAUGUGAAAUAAAAAAAGAAAAAAGAAAAUAGAUAUGAAAAACAAUGGAAUGAAAAAGCAGAAAAUGAGAUAAAAUGGCGCUCUUCCAAAACUAGUCAUGAACAGUUUAUCUUAGGUAGAGGAAGGAAAUUCUUAAAAUAGGUGCUCCAUGAGGAUGCUCUUAAGCUAACAUUUGAGUUUUGUUAGGAAAUCACUUGUGAAGUUGAUGUCGAAGAGACUAAUGGAUUCUAAACAUUGAGGCAUGCUUUUGUAUACAUUUAUAUGGUGAGUGAAUCUUUUUGGAGUUAUGCUAUUUGACUAUGAGCUUAUUCUUGAAGGGAUAAUAUGUUUUCAGUAACUGAAUUUAUUGAAGCUAAUUCAUGCUAUUUAGUAGUUGUUGUCUUAAUUGCUUAGGAGUUUUACUCUUUAUUUAUUUCUAGAGACCAACAAAAUUUAGGUUGGGGAGGAAAUGAUUUGUGCUUUAAGUCAUGGGUUUUUUCUAUUCCCUAAAUGGUAGAUUCUAUAAUGAAAAAGAACGUAAACUACUCUCUUCAGUUUAUAUAUAUGCUAGUACCUAACUGGUCUGAGUUCUUCAAUUUCAUGUCCAAUGGAGAAAUUAAAGUUAAGGUCAAUCUCAGGAGAUUAAUAAUUGGCUCUGGUUUCAGAGAUAUGAAUAUGCUCUAGCUUGACAUUCUUGAAGUGGAUUAGCAGAGUGGGAUUCUCUACUCAGCUGAUUGCCUUUUCACUGAGUUCCAAGGAUCAAUAGGAGAUCGUGGAUUUGUUGACAUUCUCAUUCUGAGAGCAACUGCAUCAGUAUCAUACAUGUUUGCCAGUUGGCAAUAUAAAAUUGGUAUUUUGGUUCAUAUUUUCUACAACCUGAAAGCCACUAUCACUACCACCAACUAUAUGAAUAGGCAUCAAUUCUUCAGGACGAUGAAGAAGGUAGAGCAUAUCACUAGCUCAAAUGGAGGAAUGUGGUCCCAUAAUUCUUUAGGAAAUAAGUAUCUAGAAACAGGUAAAAAGAACCAAGAAUCUUGAAAGACUUCUUUCAUCUUGUUCAUGUUGCCUAAAGGACAACCUGUGGGCCUUUGAAUUAUGUAUUGAAACUAUCAAGUCAACUGGAAUAGAUUCAUUUCUGAAGCUGCAGGGUUUAUGGUCAACCAUAUACCAAACCCAAAGUUCUUCAGUAGUCUAUUGAGAAAAUCCCAUUUGGAACCUAACCAUGAGAAAGUCCCAGGUUUGUUUAAGGCUGGGCUGAACCUAUGUGCAACCUUCUGUCUUCUGGGACCUUCUCUAACUAUAGUUUCAUCAACACAACACAGCUAGCCUUGUCCCAGCUACUAAGGCUGGGUAAAACUAUUCUGAAUUAUUGUUCCAUGCAUAUCUUGUUUGUGAAUGAUCUCCACUAGGAUCGACUCUUAAGUAUGUACCGAUCAAGAAUCAAAUCUUGUUUGUGAAUUAUUGCUCCAUACAUUCGCCUGACCGUUGGAUGGGUGAAGAGGCAAUGCAGAUACUUGUCCUAUAUUCCCAUAGGUAUCAAACUUCAGUGCAGUAGUUGACACAUUGACUACCUUUCUGAGGUUAGGACAAGAUAAACUCAUUAGUGGAUGGAGAAUAGAAGACCAUAUACUAAUUUAUGUGGUUCAGAAUUUGAAUAAAGAUCAUGAUAAUAAGUGCGAGAUUCGCGCAUCUUUGGAGUGUUUCAAGUUGCAGCUAGAUUGCCUAUAUAAAGAGCAUGGAGGUUUAUAAUUUCCAGUAUCAGCAACAAAGAGCAGGUGUGAAUUAUAGAGAGUAAAUAGGGAAGUUGUCAACCUCCCUCAAAGGCUUCCAAUUUUCCUGGCUAAUUAUCAAGGUAAGAAAGUUGGAAGCCGGUGGGGGACCUUGAAAGCUUACCCCAGAAUCAAUAUUACUCAUCUGGUUAUUUGGUAUCAGUUUCCCUGAUCAUUAGGAAGACAGUAAGAUUGAUUUCAGGUGAGAUGUUUCCCCUUCUUCUCAAAAAAACUGCAAACUUUUUAGAGAUUUAUGCUUAUGGUAUUUUAAGAUCCCGUUUGAUAGUAAUUUUAAGAAGUGUUUAUAAUAUUUUUAACACUUAAAAAUUAGUAUCAUUCAAGUGUGAGAAAGGUUAAAAACGUUUUCUAAAAUCACUAUCAAACGCAAUUAAUCUAAAUCAUUUAUUAGAAAAUAGAUUUGGGAUAAGGUGGAAAACUCUUAGUACCACAUUAUUACCAAUCUUAUUUCAUUGCUCCUUUCACCCACACCCUCAAGAGUGUCAUCACUAGUUAUAGGGCAUUUUUAUCCUAUCAACUAAUGAUCAGGGUUUAUGAAGCAUUUUAAACACUGCCUUAUUAUGCAAUUAUUUAGAACCAUACCUUCUAUGGAUGAUCCCACAAUUUUGAUAGGGUGUUGUUUGGUUUUUGGGGUAAGUGAGGAGAGAAAAAAAUAAAUUAAAUUUUGGAGUUUAUGUUCUUACAUUUGGCAUUAUGUUUUAAUUGGUAUUAUUAAUAGAAAAAUAUUUAAGGACAUAUAGUGGAAUUUGAUUAGUUGUUUGUUUGAUCUAUGGGAGAAACGAGGAGAUAAGAAAAUAAAAUUAGAUUUUGGGGUAUAUUCUUAUUCUUACAUUUCGCAUGAAAGUAUAAUUUUUUUUCUUCUCUAGUUUCUCCAUGUUUGAAAUUGGUGUUUUAUUAGAAAAAAUGAAUUUAAGUUGAGUUUUGACCAAUUGUUGUUUGAUUUCUAGGAAAGGGAGGGAGACUAGAAGAAAGAAGGAUUUUGAAGCUUUCAUUUUAAGUAAUGCUAAUUUUACAUUUUUUAGGCAAACAAAGAAUUUCUAUAGGUGAUAUAAAUUCCUUAUUUGGUUGCUGAGAAAACAGAGGGAAGGAAGAAACAACAUAUAUACAUUUUGGAGCUUAUUUUCUUGUCCUAUUCUUGUUCUUACAUUUUCCAAGCAAGCAAAAAGGGUGUAUUUUUAUCUGGGCAAUAGAAGUUCAUCCUUUUUGUUUUUUUUUUAAUGUUUAUUUUGUUGUAACAAGUUCAACUGGAGUUAAAAAGGAGGUGUUUUGUGUGCAAUCCUGCACAUGUUUUGAGCUCUCUAAGAAUUUUGUGGCCUCUUUGUGCGAUUAGUAUUGGAAAUGAGUUAAUUAUAUUAUGCUUUGUUUGGAUGGGGAAAACUACAAGAGAAACAAAGCAAAUAUUUUCCUGAGUUCUAGGGCUUGUUUGUUGUCUUAGUUUUCAAAAGAUGAGAAGUUUUUCCUUCCUUGACUAAGGUGUUUGUUUUGAUAAUCAUAAGUGUUGAACUUUUUUUCUUUUGUUUUUUUAUCAGGUUUUGCAAGUUGAGGGAUUUCUCAUUCUUUUCUUGUAAUCUCUUAUUUUUAAAGAAUAUGUUUUUGUUUUUGAUAAAAAGUUCAUAAUUGUUGAAAAAAAAUGUGAAAAUCCCUACAAUCCAUUUAGUGCAUUUGAUCUAUGUAAAUAGAUUUAAUAGCUCCUUUUUCCUUUGAAAGCUCAAACUCUAGUGUCUCUUCUUAAGAUUUUUCCUUUUUAUUAUUUAAACUUCUCUUUUUUAAAUUAUUUAUACAUUUACAAUAUCAAGUUAGUUGAACAAAACAUUCAAUUUUUCUAUAACUCAACCAAACAUGUUUUUGUUGUUUUCGAGAACAAAAACUAUUUUCCAUAAUUUAGUUCCUAAACACAACUUUUUUUUUUUUUUUUUUUCUGAAAACACAAAAAACUGUUCUUAAAAACUAUUUUUCAUAAUAGUUUUCAAAGACACCAAUCAAACAAACCCUAAUAUUUUGACUUUAAGCAAGAAGAGUACCAAUCUCCACAUUUUGUAAUUUAAUAUCUAGGAGUUGCUAGAAACUUUUGCUCUGAUAUUUACAAUCAACCCUUGAGAAAUUGAGAUCUAUUUGGUUACCACAUGACUCAGGAGGUUUAUUAGGAUUUGGAUUAAGGUUGUUAUGGUUGAUAGCAUUGACUUAUCCUCAUGCAUAAUUGGCUUUGCUUGCAUCUAUUGACUUAUUGUCAUACAUAAUUGCCUUUGUUUGCUAGAAAAUUUUGCUGUAAUAUUUAUAAUCAACCAGUGAGAAAUUGAGAUCUAUUUGGUUACAUGUCUCUGGAAGUUUAUUAGGAAUGGGAUUAAAGUUGCUAUAGUUAAUAACAUUGACUUAUCCUCAUGCAUAAUUGGCUUUGCUUGCUAAACACUUUUGCUCUGAUAUUUAUAAUUAAUCCUUGAGAAAUUGAGAUCUAUUUGGUUACCACAUGGCUCAGGAGGUUUAUUUGGAAUUGGAUUAAAGUUGCUAUAACUGAUAACAUUGACUUAUCCUCAUGCAUAAUUAGCUUUGCUUGCAUCUAAUUUUUGUAAGUUAAAUAUUUUUUCAUGUUGAAAAGUUGGGUGCAUAGUUGCCUUUCAAAUAUAUUUGAAUAAAUAAAAAAUUUGAUAAAGCUAGAAAGGGUAGGCAAAAGGAAAUAAGAGGUUAUAUAAUACACCAUGGAAUAAUUAAAAUAUUCAAUAAAAUAUUUUUUUAAAUCCCCAAAUUUAGGUUUCAUAUCCACAUGGAAAGUUGUCAGAAACAACUUUAAUGUAAAAAAAAUUUAAGAAAAAUUACAAAAAAUUAUGUAAAUGUGAAAUGGAAUAGUUAUUUUAAAAAUAUGUUUACUACAAAUGGAGUUAGAAAGAAAAAUUAUUGUAGUUACAACAAUAAAUUGCUAUCAGGUUUUUAAAAAACUCAAAUUAUUAGGAUAUAAAUCAAACAAAAACAUAGUGAAUGAGGACAAAAAUUACAUAUUUAGUUAUAUUCAUUAUACUCAAAUAUAUCAAUAAAUUGUUUAAUAUUAAAAAUUUCUAUUUAUUAUUUAAGAAUACAAAAUAAUAUUUGAGUUGAAAGAAGAUUUUUGUAUUUCUUUUCUUUUUAUCUCAUUUAUGUAGAAUAAAAAUGGUAAACCUUACAGUGGGGGCUACUUGUGGCAUGUCUCAUAAAGUUGUUAUCUAUAUUUUUUUUCUCUCUUGGUUUGUUGAGGAGAAAGGACUAUAUCUAGUAUUGCAUCCCUAUCUAAUAGGAAUAAUAAACUUCCUUUACCCAUAUUGAAAAUCAAUCAAAUUUGAUGACUGUUUGAGAAUCAUAUAUAUAUUAAACAAUAUGAAAAACCAUAAAUGUAGGUGAAAGUAGGCCAAGAAGGUGAUGACCUAUAUAUGACCACAAAGACAAUAUAAUUAUUUUGCAAUUUUUAAUAAUAACACAAUUCCACCACAACUUGAAAUUAUUAUACAAGAGAGACCAACUUUACUAUAAAAUUAUAGAGAAGCAAAUUGGAAAAUGUGUACACAGCCACAUCUAAUCAACAUGAAGCAUUUUUUUUAUUGGAAACUAAUAGUCAAUUAUGAGUAGAAAUUUUAAUUUAUUAACUUACUAGUUGUAACUACUUUUCUUGUUAAAAUUUAAGUUUGGGAUUAUGAGUGCUUGUGGGUUGUUAUAAUGUUGGCAUAUAAAUGCUAGAUUCUUGUUUGAAACUUAAUAUUAUUUGUUGUGUUGUGACAAAUUUGCAGAUGAAAGUUUCCUUACACUAAAACUAAAUUUGGUUAAAUUUGAAAUUCAAAAUUUAAAUUACUUAUAUAUUACAUUUAUAAUUUGAAAAAUGUCUUAAAAAUGUAAGAUAUCUUACGAAAAUGUUGAUAGAAAUUUUGAUUUACUAACUUAUUAGGUUUUAUUUAUUUUUUUUAAAAAAUGGUUUUGUUUUAUUGUUCUUUUUCAUUCAUAUAUAGAAGAAGAUACUAGAGCACCAACACAAACCAAUAGAAAAGGAAGUUGUGAUCAUGACUGAGUUAGAAAUUUGUGAGAAAAGUGACCAAUUGGAGACCGUCCGUACUACAACAGUAAGAUCUACAACAUCAACAACCUUGCAUCAUCUAUGAUUAGACUAAGGGCCUUGAUUAUGCAUAUAAUGGAUCUUCCUUACCUUUUCUGUCUAUGUUGAUAUGGUUAUUUUGGGAUGGCAUUUUAUUAACCUAAUAUUUUAUUUUAUUAACAUACACAUUCUAAUCUUAUAAUCAUUUAAUAUUGUUACAUAUAUUAUCAACGAAGGUAUACAAUACAUAUUUUGAUUUUUGUAAGCAUAUUUUUUAAUGAAAAUUUUCAUUACAAUGUAUUAAUUGGGUACAAAUAGUACUAAAAAUAUAUAUAAUUACACUAUUGAAAUGAAGUAAUCCAAGUAUUCCAACAACUCCCCACUAACUUGCAAGGGCAUGAUAUGAGAUUUUAUUGAAUCCUAUUUAAACCUAUUACUUGUGGCCUUAAAGUUUUCUCAUUAAUUGUUCUUCUAAUUUUUUUAAUUUCCUUUUAUCACAAGGAUAUUGUUUGAAUGCUGCCAAAGCGGGAUAUGAUGUCUUGUUUCCUUUUGUAUGGUGUUGACCUAAUGUGAUCUCUAUUUCACAAGAUUAGAAGAAUGAUUAAAAUGUAUGCUGUUUUUCUCUUGCUUCACUUUUAAUGUGUAGCCUAUAUUGUACUCAAUCUUAGGUGGUGUUUGUUUUUUUACUUAAUUCUAAAUAGAACCUUAAUGCUUAAUAGUGUUAAAUAUUAGGUUGUUUGUUUUUAUAGUAUUUUAUUUCUAUUAAGUAUUAAAAAGUAAAAAAAAAACCAAUAUGUUAUUUUUUCUAUUUAGAAAAAACUACAUAUUUUGGCUUUUUCUAUUUAGUAAAAAGUUUAUAUUAAGUCAUGAAAAAGUAGAAAAACAAAUAAUCUAAAUUCUGAAAACAAAUUGCUUUCAGCAAAAAGCCAAAAAAACAAACACCACCUUAAUGUAAAUCUCAACCAUCAAUACAUCAUUUUAAUUUGUUAGAUAGGUUCAUGAAAAUUUCAUACGAGUUGCUAAUACUAUCGAUAUCUCUUGUACUCAUUUCAAUAUUCUUCAAUUUCUUUAUAAUUGGAUUCCAUUAAUAUACUCAGUAAGUCAUCAUUGACAGUUUCACCCACCUUCAUAGCUUUCUCUCUUUGGUCAAUAAUACCCCUUAACAAUUCUUGUAUCUCUUCGUCAGCUUUCUUUAUUCUUUUGUUUCCUUUCUUUUCGUAAAAAUCUACAUGUAAACAGUCUUGGUUGUAAAUGUCAUGACAUUAAAUAAUAAGAAAAGAUAACUGGAAAGAAAAUUUAUGGUAGUUGUUUAUCCAUUGCUUUAAUUUCUUCUUUUUUUUUCCUCAAUUUUCUUGGAAAUUUCAGGAAGCUUUAAAUUUGUUGAAACAUUUUAUGCUCACCACAACCCUGGGAUGUAAACUAUCAAAAAAAUCUUGAUGGUAAGCUAUGCUAGUUCUUCUUGGAGUAGUAAUAUCCUUCUUCCUUCUUCAUAGCUACUACCAAAUGUUGUUCAAGAAAUGAUAUGACCUUCCAAAUUUUGAAUAUGGAGCCAUACAUUCAAUUAACUUACCUGAACCUUUUGUGGAGACAAUCUCCCAUUUUCUUAUCGUAUUGCUAAAGCUUAAAAGAAAUGUAGGUAAAUAACAGUAAAAAAAAUAUUUAGCACCCAUAUUUUCAUGGUUGGAGGACCAGUCACUGCACAUUUGAAAUAAACAUCUUUAUCUAUGCAAUAUAACUUCCAAACAAUUUUCUUUUUAAAUAGCAUAAAAUAUAAUGUAUAUGAUUAAAAUUAAGAUGGAUAAGAAAACUAAAGAUGAAACUAAAAAGAUUAUAUAAUUUGAACUCUAUCUAUUAGGAUCUCCUUACAAGUAGGCUAAAAGGAAAAAAAAAAAGAAAGAAUACUUCAGUGAUCUUAGGAUGAUUCACAAGCUAAGGUUAGCUAGACGAUCAUUGCAAAGAAAGGAGCAUAAAAAAGAAAAUCCCUAAAACACAUUUUGAAUACAAUUUCAAACACUAUAGAGAACAAAGGCAAAAAAAAAAAAAGUUAGGAUUUCAGAUCCAAAGCAAGGAAAGGAAGAAAAGAAGUUAUUUUUUUCUUUUUUCAGGGAAAACUUCAAGUUGAGAGUUUUAUUUCAACUUAUUUUCCUUUUCCUUAGAGUAUAAUCGUUAGUUUCAUUUCCCAAAGAAUAAAAAAGAAAUAAUUAAUAGAAAAGUAUAUAGAUAGAUAAAUCGGCGUUUUAAUAAAUAUAGAAUUCAUAAAUCUUAAACCUGGAGUUUUUUUGAGGUUUUGAUAAUAAGAAAUUAACACUAUGGUGAAAAUAUCCUAUGGAUUUGUAUUUUUUAUUUUAGAGUGUUUUAAAAAAAGUGUUAGCAAUAAAAGCAAAUCCCACAUUCAUUGAUGUUUUGUUAUUGUGAUUAAAGCCAUAAGGCACUACAAGUGGAGACUAAGAUCAAAUCUCAUACUCAUUGAUGUUUUGUCAUUGUAAAGAAAUCCAUAGGAACUGUAUAUGAAGAUUAUAGGGUUAUUGUGGGGAAACUUUGAGAAUAGUACAAUAUGGUUACGAAAAUUUUUGAAAGUAUAUUUUUGAGGUUGGAAAAUAAUAAGAUGUUUCUUGGGAAUAAUAUGUAUUUGUAAGCCUAGUAGGUUGCACAAGUGUUUUUGGUGUGGUUUUAAGGUAUAGAAGAAUUAAUCUUAAUAAAACGUUAAAUAAAUGAUUUGGAUAGUUGGAUGCAAAAAAAAUUAGGAAAGCAAGUUAAGUCAACCUAAGUACAUGAAAUUGGAUAUUUCCCUAGAUGAAUUAGGGUUAAUUAAUAAAUAAAUAUACACUUAGAGCAGUAUUUAUCAAAACUUUAAUUUGAAUUAUUCCUUUAAAUCUCUCAAUUGAUUCAUAAGAAUUUUCCACAACUCUAUUCCUUUGGAUUUAUCUAUCUUGAGUAUAGGGAUUUUUUGUAAAUAUGUUUUUUUUUGUUAUAAAUAUUCAAAUGUAUUUUUUUUUGUAAAUUCUGAAACUGUUUAAAUACGCUUGAAAUACUAAACUUGAGAAUUAUUUUUAUUUGACUAUAUUUUUUUUCCUUAUAUGUGCAUUCUAGUUAUCUAGCCUAGUUAACAAGGGAAAAAAUGUUGACCUUUGUUACCCUUGGUGGGGCUAAAGAUGAUGUUAAAACCAAGUCAAUAGGGUGUUUAUCAACUUAUGAUAUACCAUUAGAUUGGUUCUGGUUCCAUUCACCAACAUGUAAGGAAUGUCUGAGGUUAGCCACUUCUAUAAGUCCCACUAUGAUGGGCUUUGUUAGGAAAUCGAGUCUUGUUUAUAUGUUGACAAUUUUGUUCCUUUUUAAUUUUGACCAUAGAAGUCUCUUUAGAUAGUGACUUGCUCUCCAUUGAAGAUCAAGAGUUGUUGUUUGUCCAACUGGGAAGUCACAGAUACAUUUAAAAAGGUUUGACUUGUGACAAUUUAGGCUCCUUCGAGGUAGCUACUUGGAGUGAAACGGACUUUGAUGAUAGUGCUUCCAUAGCUUUUGAAGAUGCAAGGUACGAUCUUAAUGACUUCUUAGCUUUUAUUGCAUCUGUGGAAUCUGUGCAUGAUAGUGAUUAUAAUAGUGAUAGUGAUGAUGAGUUUAAUGAUGAACAAAAGGCUGAAUUCUUGAGCAAUCUUGUUAUUGAGCAUGAAAAACUAAUUAAGAAUUAUUUAAAAGAUCAUGAUAUUCUUGAAGCUCAUAAAAACAAGACUGACAUUCUUAAUCUAGAAAAAAUUAAUUUACUUGAGAAAAUUAGAUUUCUUAAGUCUAAGGAUCAUUCUCUUCUUAUGAAGAACAAUACUCUCACUCUAAAGAUCAAGAGUAAUAAGCCUUCUUCAUUUGUAAAUGAAAUAUUUCACCCUAGAACUAAAGUGCUUAAUGAAAUUCUUGAUAAAUGUAAAACCCAUGGUGAUAAAAGAGGUUUUGGGGUAUAUUAACAAAGAUGAAACUCCCUCUAGUGGAGAAACUAUGUUUGUCAAAGGUAAAGAUGAAACCCUUAACCAAACAACAUCUCCUAAAAAGCCAUCACUAUGCAUACACUGUAACAAAACUAGACACUCUCAGUUUAGAUGCUACACUAGGUUCCUAGAAAGGUUUGAAUCUCAAAUGAGUAUGCUAAUGAAUGAUUUUAACUCCCUUAAAAAUAAUAUAUUGAAUAAUGGGAAAGGGAAUAAAACUAAUCAAAAGCUUAGAAGUCAACCUAAUUCCUUUAAGCCACCACCUAGGACUAAACAAGUUUGAUCGAGAAAUGAUAGGGUUAAAUGUCAAGUUGUGUUCAAUGCUCUUAAAGCUAAAUCUUCUUAUGACUGGUACUUUAAUAGCGGCUACUCAAGACACAUGAUUAGAGAUAAAACCUUUUCACAUCUCUUGAGGAUUAUAAUGGUGGGACAGUUACUUUUGGAGAUGGGCACUUAUCAUGUGUGAAAGGCAAGGGAAGUUUAUCUAUCCUUGGUUGUCCUAAGUUAGAUGAAGUUCUCUAUGUUAAUGGACUUAAGGCAAAACUACUAAGCAUUAGUCAAAUUUGUGACAAGGAGCAUAAGGUGAAUUUUUUCCAAGACUUAUGCAAGAUAGUUAGCAAAGAGGGAAAGGUCAUUGUCACAAGACAUAGGAUAGUUGACAACUACUAUGCAAUAAAUCCUAUAUUUAGAACACCUCUUAUGUGCAGUAGGACAAAGGUAGAUCCUAUUGAACUUUGGCAUAGAAGGUUAGGUUGCAUAAACAAUAGGGACCUUGUGCACUUAGUGAACAGUGAAAAAGUUAGAGGCAUCCUUAGACUUAGUGAUGAACGUAAACCCAUUUGUGGUGAGUGUAUGAAAGGUAAACAAACUAAGAGUUCACAUAAAAAGGUUAACCAAAUUAGGAUCGGUAGGCCUUUAUACCUUCUAUAUAUGGAUCUUAUGGGUUUAAUGCGGACUAAGUAGAGGUGGUAAGAAAUAUGUCCUGGUUGUUGUGGAUGAUUUUUCAAGAUACUCCUUUGUGAGUUUUCCUAGGGAAAAGUCAGAGACCGUUGAACAUUUGAAGUCACUAUUCAAUAGAAUACAACGAAAAAUAGGUCAUCCAAUUAUAAGGAUUAGGAGUGAUAGGGGGAAGGAGUUUGACAAUGUGGAUGGCCUCUUUUGCGAGUCUAAAGGAAUUAAACAUGAGUUUUCAACCCCUAAAACUCCUCAAUAGAAUGGAGUGGUUAAAAGAAAGAAUAGAUUGUUACAAGAAAUGGCUAGGGUGAUGAUUCAUAUGCAUAACACCCCUAUGCAAUUUUGGGUAAAGGCAAUUAAUGAAUCCUGUUAUACUACUUAUAUGGUUUUUCUUAUAAUUAUGGACUAGGAGAAAACAUAACCUUAAGUAUUUUAGGACUUUUGGCAGUGAGUGUUAUAUACUCAUGGAUGGGAGAACCUUGGAAAGUUUGAUGCUAAAUCUGAUGUAGGUAUCUUCUUAGGCUAUUCUAUUACUAGUAAAGCCUAAAAGUUUAUAAUCAAAAUUCAUAGAUUAUCUAUGAAUCCUCUAAUGUGGUUAUAAAUAAUGCUAGGUAUGAUCAGGAUAUAAUUGAGAGUCAAAUUUUAACCUAGGAUUUAAUUGAGUAACCCUAAAUAUGUGAAGAUCACGAAAGACAACCCUAAUGAUAUCCCUAAAAGAGACAUUGAUCCUAAUAAGGAUGAAUAUGUACCUCUAAAUGACACGUCUAAUGAAAUGAGGAAUAAGCAUAGAUCUAAAGUACUCAAGAACCACCUAAUUUAAAAUGUUAUAAGUAAUGUAAAUGAACGUGUGACAAUUGAUUAGGUACACAUUUGAUGAACGUGUACCUCUAAAUGAACAUGUACCCAAGAGCUACAUAGGUCUAGCUCGUAUACCUACGGUCUCUACUAAGCGAAUGGAGGAAAUCAUGACAAUUGAUUAAUUAAUCAAGGAUACCAAUAAUAGGACAACAAGACACAUAUAAGUCUUGAGGUGAAAAAAGUGUACAUAAGAAUGUACACAAUUAAUGAAUGUGAAAUGCACAAAAUAGAAUUUAAUUAUUUGUUAAAGUUGCAACAUUUCAAAGGAAGUUCAAAAGAAAUUUAUUUAUAUUGGGAACAAUUUUGAAUUAAAUUUUUCAAACUUAUUUAUUCACAAAGUUUCAAUUUAUUUACAAAAGAUUAUAUUUUUAUUCACAUCCAAAAUUAAUUAAAAAAAAACUUUUCUUGAUUUUAUUAAAAGAAUUUUGAUUGAAUUUGAAUUUAUUAAAGGGAAAAGCUCAAUUUGACCUUCUAUUUAUAAAGAAAUGAUUUUGGCUUACACUUUAUUUAAAAAAAAAAGAAAAAGAUGCCAUAAUUAUAACGAAACAUCAAUUCUAUUUUUGGAAAAGUGAUUUUUACAAGGAAAAGGGGGUUUACUUAUUUUAAUUAUAAGAACCAAAUUUCAAUUUACUAAGAAAAUAAAUUUUUAUAACUUUUAUUUACGAAAAAUAUUUCCAAAUUAAAUUUAUUCAAAAAGAGAUAUUUUUACAACUUUUAUUUUCUUUAGAUUUUUAUUAAAACAAUUUUCAGGAUUUUUUAUUAAAUCAAAAUUUGGAACUUUAUUAAAACUAUUUUGGAAUUCUUUAUUAAAAGAAAAUUUUGAAACUCUUAUUAAGCAAACUUUUGGAAAAUUUUAUCAGACACAAACUUAGAGAACUUUAACUUAAAAUUUUAAGAACUUCAAUUUAAAACACAUUUUAGGGAUUUUGAUUAAAAAACCAACUUUUAGAAAAUUUAUUAAAACACUGAGGAUUUUGGAAACUAACUUUGGGGGUUUUUAUUAAACAACUUUUAGAAGUUAAUAAGACAAACUUUGGGAGUUUAUUAAAAACAAAUUUUGUGAAUUUUUAAGAUUUAUUUUGAGAGUUUAUUAAGACAUGUAUUAAAACUUUUAAGACUUUUAUGGAAACAAACUUUAAGUAAAUUUAAAAGACAUACUUUGAGAACAACUAUUAAAAUAUUUAUUUUGAAAUCUUUAAUUAAGCCGAAUUUGAGAACUUUUAUGAUUUUUACGACUUUUAUGAAAACAAACUUUAAGAAUAUUUGUUUAAACACUUAUUUUGAGAAUUUGCAUUAAACAAACUUAUGAAAAAAAAUGACUUCCUAAAGAACAUUUAUCAACAAAUAAUUUUCAAUUAACAAACUUAUUAAAAUAAAAUGACUUUCUAAAGAAAAUUUAUUAAAACACACUUUUCAAAUAACAAACUUAUUCAAAAAAAAAAAAAAAAAACAACUUUCUAAAGAACAUUUAUAAAAACACAAUUUUCAAUUAACAAACUUAUUAAAAAAAAUGAUUUUUUAAAGAACAUUUAUUAAAACACAAUUUUUAGAAUUUUCAUUAAACAAACUUUUUAAGGGAAUUUCUCAAAUUUUAUGCCUCUUUGUCUUUCAAAGAAGAAUGUUUGAAAUUUUAUGCUUCAUUGGCUUUCAAAGAAUACUUUCACAGUGAGAAAAAUUGUAGAUAUCUAACUUUAAAUUUUGAAAGAUUUGAAAAACAAAUUUAAAAGUUAAAAAAAGAAAAGAAUUUCCCAAAUUUUAUGCCUCUAUCGCUUUCAAAAAAUAGUUUCAGACUUUGUUACAUAAGAAAAUUAGAGUGUGUUCGGCAAUAUUUUCAUUUUUUUUAGUGAAAAUAUUUUAUCUAAAAGUGUUUUCAAGGGAAUUAUUUAUAAAAUACUACAAGUGACUUUUCAAUACUAUAAGUAAUUUGUCAAUGCUACAAAACUGUUUCUUAACUUUUGUCAAACACCUUAAUUUUUUAUUUUUUUAUAAACACUUCUUAGGUUAGAAGUGUUUUUCAAAAACACUGUUAAACAAACUAUCUAACUUUAAAUUUUCAAAUAUUUGAAAAGAAAAAAGUUCAAAGAAUAAAAUUUAAAAGUUUGGCAAACAAGUUAGAAAUGUAAUCAAUUUGAGAUCAAGUAUUAAAGUGCUUCUUGCUCAAGCAAAGGACUAAGUCCUAGAUCAAGGCUUAGGUCCAAAGGUAAGCUAAUGUCACAGACUUAGUCUUUUCCUAAGCCCAUGUGGCACUUAGACAAGUCAAGACACUUUAUCUUGCUAAGUCAGCCUUACUCCCAAUGCUUAGCUUGCUAGGCUAAGAUGCUCACGACUCAGAAGCGUUAGAAGGUGUAGUAGGCAACUCUUAAAGAAUGGAGCUUUUAUUGCUCAAAUGAAGCUUUACAAGUGCUUUUGGGAACUCACUUGCUUGGUUGGUUAAAUUCUUGGGUGGUGCCUUGGCCAAAUGAGGGUCUCACCCAUUUAUAAGCACCAAUGGUACUCUCUAGAACCUUGUAGGGUUCUUUACAACUCAAGAAUAAUCUAGAACUUCCUACACUAGUCUUAUGUAAGGGUAUGUACAAGAUGACUUUGGAAUAUUCUAGAACACCCUACACAAUUCCAAUUCUCUCUUAGCCAAGUGUAGAGAUGUGUGGACAUCUCUAGCCCUCUCCAGAAGCUUCCAUACUCUUCCACUUUGUAGCUAAGUGUAGAUGUCUCCAAGGGUCUCUAGAAGCUUCCCACCUCCUAUAUAAGACCAUGGGAAGGGUCAUUUGAAGCAUCUUGUGACACUCUCCCCCACCUAUUAUUGUGCGAGCAAAAGCUUUGAUGCCAACAAUCACACAUAUGGUACACAAGGUUUUAACGUGGUUCGGCCAACCAUGCCUACGUCCAUGGAUGAGAGAGAAUGAUUCCACUAUACAAUAGAGAAUAUUAUAGAGGACAGAAUCAGAUACAACUUUUGGGUUCCCGCAACAUCCCAUGUUUCCCCACUCCUUGUAUCCAUACCCUACUACGAGCUCUCUCGCUCUACCGAGUACCUCCCGUUCUUUCUCACAUCUCUAUCCAACUCGUAUAGUCUCUACAUGUCCAUCUCCAUCUCAUGACUUUUUCCCCUUAUGACCUAGAAUAUUUAUAAAGAUAUUUUCAACAACCUUCCUUAUUCUAUAUGGAAGUCUAAUAUUACAAUAAUAUAUCAACCUAGAAAUAUUCUAUAUAAUAUUCUUUACAAAAAAAGGAAUCUAUACUAAUUAGGAAUUUGGGACACUUCCUAACAAUCUCCACCUUGGACCAAAUUCCAUGAAGUUAAUCUUCAAUCUCUCCAUGAUACAAACCUUUUUGUAUCAUAUCACCACAAAAGAGCAAUUGACUCCACCUUCAGUGAAAAUUCCUUUUGUUUUCAUUUUGUGUGCUUUGUGAUCUUUUACUCUUCUAGAAAUCUUCAACCCAAGACCAUACUAAAAAACCCUAAUUACAAAAAGCGGUUCCACAAUGGGUUAAACGAGUCUAUCGGCCCAAGCCUUUGCUCCAUGGACUAAGCCUCAAUAAAUCUCCCAUUAAAAAACCAUGCAAUAUUAUUCGGGUCAGGUCGUCAAACCAGAUCAAACAAAACUAAGCUCCACAAAGCCUAACAAAUCUCCCACUUGGAGACUAGUUCAAUCACCAACAUCAAACCGCUAUCCUCCAAGAGACAAUCCCUCAUCCCUGCAACUCAUCCUCCUAUCCUCAAGCUAGAAGACCAAUUGAAGUUGUGCACAACUUCAACUUCUCAAUAGUGACACCCUUAGUCAACAUGUCUGUCGGGUUCUUAAAUCCACAAAUCUUCUCAAGUAUUACUAGUUUAUCUUCAACAAGGUAACGGAUAAAGUGGUAUUUUUUUGUAUAUGCUUCAACUUUGAAUGAAAAGUCGAAUUUUUGGCAAGAAAAAUUGCACUAUGACAGUCACUAUGUAGAAUGUCCAUCUUCUACUUCUUACCCAAUUCAUCUAAGAAACCAUGUAGUCAAAUCAUCUCCUUUCCAGCUUCAGUUGUUGCAACAUACUCAACUUCUGUAGUAGACAAAGUAACAAUCUUCUGUAGAUUUGAAGCUCAUAAUAUAGUUGUACCACUUAGAGUAAAAACAAAACCAGUAGUACUCUUUCUACUAUUAAUAUCACCAGCAAAAUCAACAUCUACAUAACCCUGCAGUUUCAAACUUGCACCUGUGAAGCGAAGACAUGUAUCCAAUGAACCCUUCAGAUAUCUUAAUAUCCACUUGACUGCCUCCCAAUGCUGCUUUCCAGGCUUACUUAUGAAUUUGCUCACAACUCCUACUGCAUGUGCAAUGUCUGGCCUUGUACACACCAUAACAUACAUCAAGCUGCCAAUAGCUGAGGCAUAGGGCACCUUGCUCAUAUGACCCCUUUCUUCUUCCGUCUUCGGUGACUAUUCUUUGCUUAGUUUGAAAUGACUCCUCAAGGGUGUGCUCACUGGUUUAGCUUCAUUCAUGUUGAACAUGCUGAGAACUUUCUUCACAUACUCUGACUGUGAAAGCUUCAAUGUACCAUUAGCCUUGUCUCUAAUGAUUCUCAUACCAAGGAUUUGCUUUGCAACUCCCAAAUCCUUCAUUGCAAACUGUUUGGACAAUUGCUUCUUCAGAUUAUUAAUCUUCUCAAUGCCAGACCCUGCAAUAAGCAUAUCAUCCACAUACAAUAGUAAUAUGAUGUAAGAGUUAUCAAAAAACUUAACAUAGCAACAGUGAUCAGCUUCACAUCUCUUGAACCCAAUUCUAUGCAUAAAACUGUCAAACUUCUUGUACCACUAUCUAGGAGCUUGUUUAAGGCCAUACAAGCUCUUUCUCAGUUUGCAAACUAGAUUCUCUUGUCCUUGAACAAUGAACCCUUCUGGUUGAAUCAUGUAAAGGCCUUCCUCCAAGUCACCAUGAAGGAAUGUUGUCUUCACAUCUAAUUGCUCAAGAUGUAAGUUUUCUGCAACCACCAUUCCCAGUACAAGUCUGAUUGUUGACAUCUUCACAACUGGAGAAAAUAUCUCUGUGUAAUCAAUGCCCUCAUUCUGCUGAAACCCUUUAACAACUAAUCUGGCCUUAUAACGUUUGCUACCAUCAUGCUCAUUCUUUAUUCUGUAUACCCACUUGUUAUGCAAAGCCUUCUUUCCUACUGACAAUUCAGUCAGUUCCCAUGUCUGAUUCCCCAACAAGGAAUCCAUCUCAUCCUUCAUGGCUAACUCCCACUUGCUUGAAUUCUCAUCUUGUAAAUCUUCAUCAUAACACUUUGGCUCACUACCAUCACUCAACAGGAGAUAAUUUAAAACAGGUGAAUAACGCUGUGGAGGUCUAAUGUUCCUGGAAAAUCUGCGAACUUCAGCUACAGGUGUACUCAAAUCUACCUGAGAAUUUACAUUCUCCUUAUCUUCUUCACCCCCUUUUUGGACAGUACUUUCAGUCAAUUCAUCUAAGUUGAUAAACUCAGAUUUCUUUUGAUCUAUCUCUGUAACAUCUGACACUACAAUUGACAUGUCCUUGUACAUAACCUGUUCAUUAAAUAUCACAUUUCUACUUCUGAUGAUUUUCCUGUUUUGUUCAUCCCAAAACCUAUAGCCAAAUUUCUCAUCACCAUAACCAAUGAAAAAGCAUAUUUUAGACUUUGCAUCAAGUUUACUACGAGCAUCAGAAUCAAUAUGAACAUAAGAAACACAACCAAAAACUUUUAAAUGUGAAAACUUUACCUCUUUAUCGCUCUAAACCUCCUUAAGAAGUCUGAACUCCAUGGGAACUGAUGGUCCUUGGUUUAUCAGGUAGGCUACAGUGCUAACAGCAUCAGCCCAAAAAGUUUUUGGUAGUCCAACAUGCAACCUCAUACUUCUAGCAAGCUCAUUGAGAGUUCUGUUCAUGCGCUCAGCCACACCAUUUUGCUGUGGUGUCCCAAGAAUGGUCUUCUCCAUCCUAAUUCCCUGUGCAACACAAUACUCACCGAACCCUCCAUCUAUGUACUCUCCUCCAUUAUUUGACCUCAAACAUUUUACUUUCAAACCUAUUUCUGUCUCAACCAUGGCCUUCCAUUUCUUAAAAUUUUCAAAUACAUUAGAUUUAUUUUUCAGAAAAUAAACUCAUACCUUUCUGCUUGAGUCAUCAAUAAAACUGAUGUAGUACCUUGAACCUCCAAGGGAUGCAACCGGAGAAGGCCCCCACAAAUCAAUGUGUACUAGUUCUAAUUUUUUAGCCUUCAGUGUCCUGCCAGUUUUCAAGAAGCUCACAUUUUUUUUGCUUUCCUAAGAUGCAACUUUCACACAUGUCAAAAUCAAUGGACUUUAAUUCUGGUAGUUUUCCUUUUGACAACAACAUCUUCAUCCAUUUCUCACUCAUGUGACCAAGUUUGCGGUGCCAUAGGCUUAUAUCAGUACUUGCAUUAGCAACUGCAAUUGUGUCUCUUGGACAUGAGGUCAUAUACAGAGUACAAGUCUUCUUUCCACAAGCCAAUACCCUAGCUUCCUUUGUAACCUUCUAAGUACCACCAACAAAUAGUAUUGCAUGUCCUUCAUCAUCAAGUUGUCCAACAGAAAUCGGAUUCCUCUUCAGGUUAGGAAUAUCUCAAACCUUCUCCAGUAACCAAAUAAACCUAUUGGGCAACAAUAUUCGGACGUUUCCCAGACCCACAACAUCCAAGGCUGAACCAUCAGCCAAAUACACCUUACCAAAAUCACCCGCAACAUAAUUCUGUAUGAUUUCUCGAUGUGGAGUGGUAUGAAAUGAAGCUUCUGAAUCCAAAACCCAAUAAUCAAGUAGACUGUCUACUGCAAGAAGUAAUGCAUCUUGUACCUCUUCUGUUACAGCAUUAGUAGAAUCAUCUUCAUUCUUCUUCUUAAGACUUUUGUAUUGCCUUCUAAAGUGACAUGUUUUCCCACAGUUCUAUCAUAGUACUUGUUGGCCUGAUCUAGAUUUGCUUUUAUUUCGAUUAGAAUUUUUGGAUUUUGAUCUACCCCGGUUUGAAUUUUUUUCAUUACCUCUGUCUCUUGUCUCAAGGUUUAGGACAUAACUAGAUCCUGAGGUUUCGCUUGCAUCUCUUCGACGAAUCUCCUCAACUAGAAUUAAAUCUCAUAUAUCAUUGUACUUGAGUUUUUCCUUUCCCGUAGAAUUGCUUACUGCCAUCCUCAUUGCCUCCCAACUGUUUGGCAAAGAAGCCAAGAUGAUCAGAGCACGAAUCUCAUCAUCAAAAUCAAUUUCUACAGACGACAAUUGAUUUGUGAUUGUAUUAAAUUCAUUUAGAUGUUGUGCUACUGAGAUAUUUUCUACCAUCUUCAAAUUGAAUAAUUUCUUCAUCAGAUGCACCUUAUUGUUUGUGGACAGCUUUUCAUACAUACCAGACAAAGCCUUCAUCAGAUCUACUGUGGUCUUCUCUUUUACAACGUUGUGUGCAAUAGACCUAGACAGAGUUAACCUAAUAACUCUUGGAACCUGUCUGUCAAGAAACGCCCAUUCCUCAACCUUCAUACUCUCAGGUUUUGUCCCCAAAAGAGGCAGAUGCAAUUUCCUCCCAUAGAGAUAAUCUUCAAUCUACAUCCUCCAAUAUGCAAAAUCUGUGCCAUCAAAAUUUCUAUUAUAGACGCCUUUCCUGCUUCCUCUGCCAUUGCUCCCACUCAAACCUAACCCUAGGCUCUGAUACCAGUUGUUGUGCCAGUGAAAGCUUUGAUGCCAACAAUGUUAGUUCAAGAACACAAAGAUAAAACAAUCACACAUAUGGUACACGAGGUUUUAACAUGGUUCGGCCAACCAUGUCUUGAUUCAUGCCCAGUCGAUGUAUCAGUUGACUUAUGUCCAGCUGGUGCUCCUUGAUUGACGUAGUAAUCAACAAAAUUUAUAACCUAUUACACCAUGAACUAGGGUAGCAGAGACAAAGCUACUAUAGUAUAGUGGCUCUAGGAUCGUUCACUGGGAAGGGUUUUCAACUCAUAACUGAUACCAAUUCAAAGCUGAGUUGGUGCUUUUUCAUUUCAAGGUUAGCUUUAAAAGAAAACAUAAAGUUGUUUGAGUGAAAAGGGUUUGGUUUUAAACUAACCAAAAAGAAAGUAAUGGAAAUUACUUAUGAAGAAAAACAUUCCUUGAAGGUUUAGGUUCACAGGGGAGAUUCCUUAUACAAAACAGAGCUCCGGUCAUUUGGUUUGUUUCCUCGCAUUAGAGAAUUAACAUAUAGUCAAUUCUCUAACCGGUGUUGUACAGAUGUAACCUUUAAAUAGAUUCCAGCUCUAAUUCCCUCUCACUGAUGCAACUUGCAAUAACUCGUGCCUCUCAUCUAGCAUUUGCCAUCAAGGUGAUCUUUAACUUUGGAUUUCCCUUCUCAAGCUCGCAAGAGAUAACUAAUGGAAGUCUCCUCGGAGUCCAAAAGCUUACUAAAUGUUGGCAAUUCUAGAAAAUCCUACCUCCAAGUCACUUCCCAAAAGCUUGCAAGAGAUAAACAAGUGCAUCUCCAUGGACGAAGAUCACGUGUCUUACCAAGUACUGGCUCAAGUGAUUUGAAGGUGUUUUAAGUUAACUAAAAACAUAGAAAUCAUUAAAGGAUCAUACUUUCUCUUCAUUAAUCACUGAAACCACAAAGCUACUAAUUCUUGCACUUAGAACCUUUCCCUACAACCUUAACUCCAAGGAAUUAAAAGUCUAGCCACUCAUUCUUUGAGGAAAUUUCCUCAGAGCUUGUUUGGCUAGUAAGAAAACUAACAAGAAAACAAAUAUAUGAUAGAAAACCAGAGCAAGUGCUCUGGAAAUAUAUUUCUUGCUUUUCUUGAUUACAAUAUAGAUCGAUACUCUUUCGAUUCGAUAUCCUCUGUAAAGGAAAUUACAAACUAUUUAUAUGGGUUUAUUCACCCUUUUUAUUUACUUAAAAACUAAGGAAUCCCAUGAUAGGUGGAUUACAAGGAGAGUUUGGGAAUUUAGACAACAAAUAUCUAAAGCAAAAUAUCCCAAAAUAUCGCUCGAAAAUGUCAGGAAGGUUCAGGAGAACACCAUUGCACUAUACUGAGAGAAAAACUUUGCAGGUAAGCGUUAUCAGAAGGUCCGGAUAUGUAUAUCCGGAGAAGUCGAAGCGUCCUCCUCUCCCAUCCGGCUAUAGGAUAUUCGGAUGUAAAAUGUUGGCGCACGGAACGUCCUCCUUUCCCAUCCGGAUGUGAGAUAUCCGGAUGAAAAAUGUCGGCGCACAGAACUCGUGAAAAUCACACCCGGCUGAUAGCAUAUCUUAUUUGAAUAUGUUGUCCGGAUGCCCUUCGAUGGUAUAUCCGGACGCCCUGUCCGGGUAUACUCCUUGUAUGGAUUCCAAAGAACUCUCCUCAAUCUCAGAUUUGCUUUGGUGAUAAAAAAGCUAUCAAAACACCAAAACUUAACACAAUUUGAUUAGAAUUGAUUGCAAGGGUCCUUACUAUGUUAAUUGGGUUAAAAGGUGAUAACUACUACUCAAAAGUAUUUAAAAGAGUUAAUUACUGGUUAUCAAAUAGCACUUUUUGAGUAGUAAUCACUCCCCCCAACCGACAUAUUGCUAGUCCCUUAGCAAUGAAGGAGAGAAAAAAAAACAGUACUAUAAUUUACAACAUCAUGCUGAACAAAAAACAAUUUCCUAGCGGCAUGAUGAUCUAACUCUCACAUGGAACAUUAAAGAAAUAAAACUCAAACUUCAACAAGAGUUAUCAAAUAACUUGUCUAAUCACAAUUCUUAAAGAGAAGGCUUUAUGCAAAUUUAAGCUUUAAAAGAGUUUCCACUCCCAAAGGGUCAAACCUUACUCUUCCACAAAAAUCUAAGUGUUAUUUAUUAGCUUCCGAAUAUAGUAUGUAGAACUAAUCUCUCCUCCCAAUCUAGUUUUUUUUUUUCAAAGCUUAGCAAACUGGUCAACCUCCAAUAUGCUAAGAACGCACCUCAUUUUUUUCACAACAAUUUUUUUUUCAUUGUAGGAGUACAAGGCUUAAAGGUAUUAUUUUCUAACUUGUCCAUGUAACGGGGGUCCAUCGAUGACUCCCAACCAAUUAAGGUUUAGGGCAUCAAGCUUUAAGGAUAUUUCAACCACUAGCUCCUCGGAUUUUACCCCGGACUUUUGAGAAUGAAUUUUAAUACCCCAGCACCUACAGUAUGUUAGACUCCACCUAUCCACCCUUGUUACGAGCAUUGAGGUCGGUGACUCCCAACCAAUGAAGGCUUAGGGCACCUGGUUUUAAAGAUUUUCACCAUAUAUCCCUCAGACCUUGCUCGGGUUUCAAGGCAAGCAAACAUUUUUUCUUUCUUUUUCCAAAGGCUCAUUGGCCUUUUACAAGGUGUCCCAACACUAUUAAAUGAGGUCAAAGGUACCAAGUCUAAAAUUUUCCUAAGUCAAGAGGGAAAUAGUUUUUCAUCUUAUACUCGGAACCUAUUGUGCACAGUGUGUGAAUAGCUUAAAGUGGAAGACAUAAGCUUGACUUCAAUAGAAGUUUCAACAAUUCAUCAACUUUAAUAAGCAUAAUACAAACUCUAAGUCAAGUGAAAAGAUAAAAAUUCAAUUUCUCCCAUUCCAUUUUGAAAAUUUUUCCUUAAUAACCAUGGAGAGUAGAAUAAAAACUUUUAAAAAUUUUAAAAUUUAAGCAAAAAGCAACUAAAUUACCAAAAUAACUUAGCAUUAUUAAUAAAAACUUCCUUCCUCAACUCUCCCCCCAACCAAGCUCAACAUUGUCCUUAAUGUGACAACAGCGAUUGAAAAAUAGGGAGGAAGUGGUACCUCCUAAGUGACGUGGAAUGAUGGCUCAGCGGCUUCUCCUGUACUCCCAUUCCAUUUUGAAAAUUUUUCCUUAAUAAUCAUGGAGAGUAGAAUAAAAACUUUUUAAAAUUUUAAAAUUUAAGCAAAAAGCAACUAAAUUACCAAAAUAACUUAGCAUUAUUAAUAAAAACUUCCUUCCUUAACUCUCCCCCCAACCAAGCUCAACAUUGUCCUCAAUGUGACAACAGUGAUUGAAAAAUAGGGAGGAAGUGGUACCUCUUGAGUGACGUGGAAUGAUGGCUCAGCGGCUUCUCCUGUAGGAGGCUCCGGAUGAGGUGGGAAUGGUAUGCUCAGGAGCUGAUGUACUGUCAAGAUGAUGCUGAAUCUGCCUCAGGACGGCAGUGUGCUGGGCCUGAGUGGCAAGAAUCUGCUCCUGCUGAUUCUAAUCAUUCAAAAAGCUAGUUACAAUUAACAUAAUUUAAAACCAAAAUUACAAUCCAAUAAUUUACAAAACUUAAAAAUUAACAUAUUUAACAAAAUUAUGGACUUUGGUGAAACCAAGUCCAUCUAACCCUUCUCUGUUCAGGAUUUCUAUGGCUCAAGGAGGUUGAUUUCCUCCUUUUCUGGCUUGAACGGCUCAAUGUAUGGCUUGAGACGAUGCCCAUUCACUUUGAAAGUUUGAGUGCUCUUGAAGUUGAGUAGUUCCACUACUCCAUUUGAUUGCACGUCAUGAAUUAUGAAAGGACCCGUCCAUCUUGAUUUCAAUUUUCCCGGAAAAAGAUGGAGUUUAGAGUCAUAAAGCAAGACUCUUUGUCUCUUGAUAAAAUUCUUCUGAUUUACCAACUGAUCAUGCCAUUUCUUCAACCUCUCUUUUGCAAUUUUUGAAUUGAGGUAAGCAUCAUUCCUCAUUUCCUCCAAUUCGUUCAAAUGCAAAUAUCUCUUUAACCCGGCACUUGUCAAAUCCAUGUUGAGCUUCUUGAUCGCCCACCAUGCUUUAUAUUCAACCUCCACUGGGAGAUGGCACGCUUUGCCAUAAACAAGGCGGUAAGGAGACAUUCCAAGAAUGGUCUUAUAAGCAGUCUAUAAGCCCAUAAUGAAUCCAGGAGCUUAGUAGACCAAUCCUUCCUAUUCACAUUCACCACCUUCAUCAGGAUAUUCUUGAUUUCCCGGUUGGCUAACUCAACUUGGCCACUUGUUUGAGGGUGAUAAGGUGUAGCUACCUUGUGCUUGACCCCAUAUUUGGCUAGAAGAGUCUCAAACGACUUAUUGCAAAAGUGGGUUCCUCCAUCACUGAUAAUGGCCUUAGGCACUCCAAACCUUGAAAAUAUGUUCUCCUUGAGAAAUUUGAGAACCACCUUAUGAUCAUUGCUCCUACAUGGGAUUGCAUCUACCCACUUAGAGACAUAAUCCACUCCCACCAAAAUGUAGGAGUGUCCAAAUGACAUUGGAAAUGGUCCCAUGAAGUCUAUCCCCCAAACAUCAAAGACAUCCACUAUCAAGAUGGGGUUCAAGGGCAUCAUAUUCCAGCGUGUUAGCUUCCCAAGCCUUUGACACCAAUCACAUCCCUUGCACAUAGAGUGGGCAUCCUUGAAAAGAAAGGGCCACCAAAAACCUGAUUAGACCACUCUCAUGGCUGUUUUCUGGGAGGCAAAAUGACCUCCACAUGCACUAUCAUGACAAUGGGAUAGAAUUCCUGAUUGCUCUUGUUCAGGAACACAUUUCCUUAUGAUUUGAUCCGCACAAUAUUUGAAGAGAAAAGGCUCCUCCCAAUAAUAGGCAUGGAUCUUAGCAAAGAAAUGCUUCUUGUCUUGGGCACUCCACUCACUUGGAACUUCUCCAGUAACCAAGUAAUUUACAAUGUGAGAAUACCAUGGAGUUACCUCUAUUGACAUGAGAGACUCCUCAGGGAAGUCAUCAUUAAUAGGUAGACCAUGUGAGUCAUGUGCUAUCACAAGUCUGGACAAGUGGUCAGCUACCACAUUUUCUACUCUCUUCUUAUCCCGGAUUUGGAUAUUGAAUUCUUGAAGCAGAAGGAUCCAUCUUUUCAAUCUUGCCUUGGCAUCUUGCUUGGUUAGCAAGUACUUUAGAGCAGAAUGGUCAGUGAACACCACUAUAAAGGACCCUACCAAAUAGGCACGAAACUUAUCCAAGGUAAAAACUACUGCCAACAACUCCUUCUCAGUAGUUGUGUAGUUCCUUUGAGCCUCAUUCAAAGUUUUGCUUGCAUAAUAAAUCACAUAGGGCUUUCCAUCUUCUCUUUGCCCCAAAACAGCCCCCAUAGCAAAAUCACUUGCAUCACACAUUACCUCAAAAGGUAAUUUCCAAUUUGGGGCUCUCACUAUUGGUGCAGUUGUAAGGAAUUGCUUCAGUUCCUCAAAACUCUUCUGGUAUUUCUCAUCCUACACAAACUUGACAUCCUUUACCAAUAGUUCACAAAGAGGUUUUAAGAUUUUUGAGAAAUCCUUAAUGAACCUCCUAUAGAACCCGACAUGUCCUAGGAAUUGCCUAAUUCCUUUAACAUUUGUGGGAGGUGGCAACUUAACAAUUAGCUCCACCUUUGCCUUAUCUACCUUAAUGUCAUUCUUGGAGAUUAUAUGUCCUAAGACAAUUCCUUUUUGUACCAUAAAAUGGCACUUCUCCCAAAUUAGCACUAGGUCUUUCUCAAUACAUCUUUGGAGAACAGCUUCUAAAUGCAACAAACACUCCUUAUAAGAACAUCCAUAAACAGUGAUGUCAUCCAUAAAGACUUCCAUGAUGCGUUCUACCAUAUCACUGAAGAUGCUUAGCAUACAUCUUUGGAAAGUUGCAGGUGCAUUACAUAGACCAAAGGGCAUCCUCCUAUAGGCAAAAGUACCAAAGGGGCAAGUGAAGGUUGUCUUUUCCUGAUCUUCCAAAUCAAUUUCUAUUUGGAAGUACCCCGAGUAACCAUCUAGAAAACAGUAGAAAGGAUGCCCUGAGAUUCUCUCAAGGACUUGGUCCAUGAAAGGCAAUGGGAAAUGGUCCUUCCUAGUCGCUGAAUUUAACCUCCUGUAGUCUAUACACACCCUCCAUCCGGAGGUAAGACGUGUAGAGACUUCCUCCCCUUUUUCAUUCUGGAUCACAGUAAUUCCAGAUUUCUUUGGAACUACUUGGGUUGGGCUCACCCACAAGCUGUCUGUAAUGGGAUAUAUGAUCCCUGCUUGAAGUAGCUUCAAAACUUCACCUCUUACUACCCCUUGCAUGUGAGGAUUCAACCUCCUCUGGGGCUGCCUCACUGGUUUUGCAUCUUCCUCCAUGUAGAUAUGGUGGGUGCAUACCAAAGGGCUAAUCCCUUUCAGAUCAGAAAUUUGCUAUCCAAUGGCCUUUUUGCAUUUUAUGAGGACUCCCAAAAGGCUAUCCUCUUGAUCAGUGGUGAGCUUUGAAGAAACCACCACUGCACAUUUCUCAUCUUUCUCCAGAUAUGCAUACUUCAAAUCAACAGGAAGUGGCUUCAAAACUGGUUUUGGAGGGUCCUCCGUAGCUGCUCCUUGUGAGUCCUCCUUAUUGAACAAGGGCAAGAUCUCUUCCCUUCUCCUCCAAGGAGACAUGAUGGCUAAUGGUUCAAAGGGUUCAGGUAACCCUGCUUCAAGCACUCCAAUGCUUUCAUUCAAGCUUUCUUCUAAAUUCUUGUCACAAUGCUCUUCAACCAACGUGUUGAUCAAGCACACCUUCUCCAAUCCUUCCUCCUCUUCGGGUUGAAGAUGCCUCUUGCAUAGGUGGAAUAUGUUUAGUUCCAAGGUCAUGUUCCCAAAUGUGAGCUGCAUAACCCCAUUCCUAUAAUUGAUGAUGGCAUUGGAGGUAGCUAGGAAAGGUCUCCCAAGGAUGAUUGGCACAUAAUUUGGUUCCUUAAUAGUGAGAUCAGUAUCAAGCACCAAAAAAUCCACGAGAUAGUAGAAUUUGUCCACUUGAACUAGAACAUUCUCAAUCACCCCCCUUGGGAUUUUGACCGACCUAUCAGCUAAGGAGAGAGUGAUGGCUGUGGGCUUCAAUUCUCCAAGUCCCAGUUGCUUAUACACAGAGUAUGGGAGCAAAUUCACACUUGCCCCCAAGUCUAAUAGAGCCUUCUCCACAUGUGUCCCUCCAAUGUUGGUUGAAAUGGUGGGACAUCCCGGAUCUUUACACUUAACUGGAGACUUACUCUGAAUGAUGGCACUUACUUGCUCAGUGAGGAAUGCCUUCUUUGUCACAUUUAACCCUCUCUUAACCGUGCACAAGUCCUUUAAAAUUUUUACAUAUGUGGGGACUUGCUUGAUCAUAUCAAGUAAGGGUAUAUUCACCUUCACUUGUCUCAAAACUUCAAGAAUUUCUGAUGAAUUCUUGAUUCCCUUCUUUCCAUGUAAAGCUUGAGGAAAAGGGGGAGGCAUAUGUUUCUUCAUCAUAUCCUCUUUAAUCACUAUCCUUGGCUCUUCUUCAAUGCUUGAUUUAGAUGCAUUUUUCUUCCCACUCUCCUCUUCUUGGUUAUUGCUCUCUUUAACCAAGGUUUUCCUUGACAUGAAUUCUUCGUCUUGUCUCACCUUAGGCAAGGGUUGAUCAACCUCCUUCCCACUUCUCAAGGUGAUCACAACUUUGACCUUCCUCAACUUUGAAGACUCUCCAUCUUGGGUUUCAACUUCAUGAACACCCUUAGGAUUUUGGCUUGGUUGAGAGGGGAACUUUCCCUUCUCAUUCACUGUGUUGAGGUUGGUAAGCCUAGAGAUGGAGUAUUGACUAUUAUCUAUCUUCUGAGAUAGAUCAUUCUGCAUCCCAUCCAUUCUCUUAAUUUGAGAACUCUCAACAUUUUCAAUCUUUUGGUGCAAUUGGGAGUUGAUUGCCUUUUGUUCACCCACAAAGUCACCCAUGACUUUACUUAGGUUUACAAUGGCUUGCUCCACUGAAGAGGUUUGUUGAGGUGCUUGGGUUUGGGCUUGUGGUUGGUAUGGAGGUGGCCUUGGUUUCCAAGAAAAAUUUGGAUGGUUUCUCCAGCUUGAAUUAUAGGUGUUUCCAUAAGGUGCAUUGUUGUUGGGCUUAAAUUGCCCCACAACAUUGGCUUGAUCACCUAAGAUCUCCCUCACAGCUGGGAUGGUUGGGUACUCAUCUACCACAUGAUCACAUGAUUGGCAAAUGGUGUAUGGCAUGACAUGGACUUGUGUCUUUGAAAUGGCUUGGACUUCAUGCAUUUUUUUCAACUCAAGUUCUUCCAACCUCCUUGCCAUUGUUGCCACCUUAGUUUUCAUGUCCACGUCUUCACUUAACAUGUACAUUCCACCCUUUGGAUUUACAGGAGCUUUCAUCCUUCCCACUUCUCCUCUAUGCGGUUCAUCCCAUCCCCUUGAGACUUCAGCUACAUAACUCAAGAAAUCCAUAGCUUCCUCAGGAUUCUUACUCAUGAAAUCCCCUCCACACAUUGUUUCGAGGAGCUGCUUCAUUGAGGAAGACAUCCCAUCAUAGAAAUAACUUACCAACAGCCAUGUAUCAAAGCCAUGGUGAGGACAAGCAUUAAUGGCUUCUAUGUAUCUUUCCCAACACUCAUAGAAUUUCUCAUUCUCUUUAGCUAAGAAGUUUGAAAUUUGUCUUUUCAAGCUGUUUGUUCUGUGAGUAGGAAAAAAUUUCUUGAGGAAUUCUACUUGUAAAUCAGUCCAAGUACGGAUACUCCUUGGCCUUAAAGAAUUAAGCCAAAUCUUGGCCUUAUCCUUUAAAGUAAAAGGAAAUAGUUUAAGCCUCAUCAGGUCAAUAGAAGCUCCUCCCUCUCGGAAUAUAUUACAAACAUCUUCAAAUUCCUUGAUAUGGGAAUAAGGAUUCUCACUUUCCAUUCCGUGGAAAGUUGGCAGAAGUGGCACAAUAUAGGGUCUGAUUACUAGCUGUUCUGUAGGAGGCACUAUACAUGACGGUGCACUCAUACGAGGUGGAUGCAUAUGGUCCCUCAUUGAUCUGAAUUCAUUGGGAUUGUCCUGAUGAUCAUGGUGACUAUGCUGAUCCUCAGGUGUAGUUUCCAUGAUGUUCAAGAUUACUUCCAACUCCUUGUUAUGAGGUGUUUCAAUUUUAACAAGCCUUCCUCCACAAUCUCGUAUCCACUUGGGCAUACACAACUAGUAUCAACUGUAACAAAGAAAGAAAAAGAAAAACAGAGGAAAACAAAAAAACAAAACUACCAAAAAGAGUUCAAUUAACUAAAACUAAAUUCAAAACUAUGCUAGAAUAUAUAAACUAGUAAAAGAGAAAAAAAAAAAACUAAAAGAGUUAGUAAAAUGAGAGAAAACUCACCAAACUUGUGAUGAAAACCACAAGUUCCAUGAAAUAAUAUCAAUAUGAAGUUGGCACCUUCCCCGACAACGAAGCCAUUUGAUUUGUGCCCAGUCGGUGUAUCAGCUGACUUAUGUCCAGCUGGUGCUCCUUGAUUGAGGUAGUAAUCAACAAAAUUUAUAACCUAUUACACCAUGAACUAGGGUAGCAGAGACAAAGCUACUAUAGUAUAGUGGCUCUAGGAUCAUUCACUGGGAAGGGUUUUCAACUCAUAAUUGAUACCAAUUCAAAGCUGAGUUGGUGCUUUUUCAUUUCAAGGUUAGCUUUAAAAGAAAACAUAAAGUUGUUUGAGUGAAAAGGGUUUGGUUUUAAACUAACCAAAAAGAAAGUAAUGGAAAUUACUUAUGAAGAAAAACAUUCCUUGAAGGUUUAGGUUCACAGGGGAGAUUCCUUAUACAAAAACAGAGCUCCGGUCAUUUGGUUUGUUUCCUCGCAUUAGAGAAUUAACAUAUAGUCAAUUCUCUAACCGGUGUUGUAUAGAUGUAACCUUUAAAUAGAUUCCAGCUCUAAUUCCCUCUCACUGAUGCAACUUGCAAUAACUCGUGCCUCUCAUCUAGCAUUUGCCAUUCAAGGUGAUCUUUAACUUUGGAUUUCCCUUCUCAAGCUCGCAAGAGAUAACUAAUGGAAGUCUCCUCGGAGUCCAAAAGCUUACUAAAUGUUGGUAAUUCUAGAAAAUCCUACCUCCAAGUCACUUCCCAAAAGCUUGCAAGAGAUAAACAAGUGCAUCUCCAUGGACGAAGAUCACGUGUCUUACCAAGUACUGGCUCAAGUGACUUGAAGGUGUUUUAAGUUAACUAAAAACAUAGAAAUCAUUAAAGGAUCAUACUUUCUCUUCAUUAAUCACUGAAACCACAAAGCUACUAAUUCUUGCACUUAGAACCUUUCCCUGCAACCUUAACUCCAAGGAAUUAAAAGUCUAGCCACUCAUUCUCUGAGGAAAUUUCCUCAGAGCUUGUUUGGCUAGUAAGAAAACUAACAAGAAAACAAAUAUAUGACAGAAAACCAAAGCAAGUGCUCUGGAAAUAUAUUUCUUGCUUUUCUUGAUUACAAUAUAGAUCGAUACUCUUUCGAUUCGAUAUCCUCUGUAAAGGAAAUUACAAACUAUUUAUAUGGGUUUAUUCACCCUUUUUACUUACUUAAAAACUAAGGAAUCCCAUGAUAGGUGGAUUACAAGGAGAGUUUGGGAAUUUAGACAACAAAUAUAUAAAGCAAAAUAUCCCAAAAUAUCUCAAAAAUAUCGGUCGAAAAUAUCAGGAAGGUUCAGGAGAACACCGCUGCACUGUACUGAGAUAAAAACUCUACAGGUAAGUGUUAUUAGAAGGUCCGAAUAUGUAUAUCCGGAGAAGUCGAAGCGUCCUCCUCUCCCAUCCGGCUAUAGGAUAUCCGGAUGUAAAAUUUCGGCGCACGGAACGUCCUCCUUUCCCAUCCGGAUGUGAGAUAUCCGGAUGAAAAAUGUCGGCGCACAGAACUCGUGAAAAUCACACUCGGCUGAUAGCAUGUCUUAUCCGAAUAUGUUGUCCGGAUGCCCUUCGAUGGUAUAUCCGGAUGCCCUUCGAUGGUAUAUCCGGACGCCCUGUCCGGGUAUACUCCUUGUAUGGAUUCCAAAGAACUCUCCUCAAUCUCAGAUUUGCUUUGGUGAUCAAAAAGCUAUCAAAACACCAAAACUUAACACAAUUUGAUUAGAAUUGAUUGCAAUGGUCCUUACUAUGUUAAUUGGGUUAAAAGGUGAUAACUACUACUCAAAAUUAUUUAAAAGAGUUAAUUACUGGCUAUCAAAUAACACUUUUUGAGUAGUAAUCAUGUCUACAUCCACGACUGAGAGAGAACGAUUCCACUAUACAAUAGAGAAUAUUAUAGAGGACAGAACUAGAUACAACUAUUGGGUUCCCGAAACAUCCCAUGUUUCCCCACUCCUUGUAUCCAUACCCUACUACGAGGUCUCUCGCUCCACCGAGUACCUCCCGUUCUUCCUCACAUCUCUAUCCACCUCGUAUAGUCUCUACAGGUCCAUCUCCAUCUCAUGACUUUUUCCUUUUCAUGACCUAGAAUACUUAUAGAGAUAUUUCCAACAACCUUCCUUAUUCUAUAAGGAAGUCUAAUAUUACAAUAAUAUAUCAACCUAGAAUUAUUCUAUAUAAUAUUCUUUAUAAAAAAAAGAAUCUAUACUAAUUAGGAAUUUGGGAUGCUUCCUAAUACCUAUGCCAUCGACGUCCCCAUUGUGGCCUCUUCUUGAAACUUCUUGAUGUGUUUCCAAAACCUUCUCAAGGCAUCUGCAUGUUCCCAGCUUACUUGCCUCUUAGGUAGUCUUUUCCAUCGAACUAGAUACUCUAUCACAGGAAGGACCCCUUAUCUCUUGGUAACUUGUUCAAAUAGGAUAUUCUUCACCUCUUUCUCUUGUGAGGCCUGAGAUGAAUGCAAACACUUGCAUUUUCGAUGCUUGGAGUGCUGCUUCCUAUUGCUUAUUGAGUUCACCUUUUCCUUAGUGACCUUGUCCAUGUGUGUGUGGGCUACCACAACUCGCUCCUCUUUUGCCUCUUUUACUUGCACCCUUGAUAGUAAGAAGGUCUUAGGAAUACUAGGCUUUGGGUUGGAGGGUACCUAGUAGCUGCAUCAAGCCCAUAUGUGCUUCGCCUUCCUAUUUCCUCUCUUCGAUCAUGGCCUGAGCGCCUUCCUCUUUGGGCAAUCCUAUGCCCAAUGUGGAUCGUCACACAGGAAGCAUUUGAUUCUAGGCGUAAACUCCUUCCUUUUCGCCUUACGUCUUCCUUCCCGGAUGCUAGGCAUCUUGCCUGAUCCCAUUUUAGGAGCAUUAUAGUCUCUUGAAACCCCGUCUCCCCCACCCGUGGCGUGGCUAUUCUCUAAAGACUCAACCUUGGAGGAGUCUUCCCUCUUGUAAUGCGUUAAAGACUCUGCUACUACCAUAGCAGUGGCUAAGUCUUGAACACCUUGGCACCUUAAUUCUUACUCGGCCCACCCUUGUAGGUUAUCCAUGAAGUUGAAUAGUAGAUCCUCUUUAGUCAUGUUAGGAAUCUCAAGCAUAAGCGAAGAGAAUUCCUUGGCAUAGUCGCGUAUCGAACCUGUGUGCUUGAGACACCUCAUGUUUUUCCUAGUCAAGUAAGCCACGACCUUGGGGUAGAAUUGCCUCUUGAUCUCCCUCUUAAAGUCCUCCCACGUCUCUAUGGUGCAAAUGUCUUUUUCCAUAUCGGCGAACCUCCGACUCUACCAUAGAGUAGCUGUGUUAGUAAGGUAGGGGGGUUACAGUCCUUACCUUAGUCGCCUCAUCAGAUAGUGCGAUGGCCUCGAAGUAUCGCUCCAUAUGCCAUAAGAAGUUGUCCAACUCCUUGACAUCCCGCUUGCCACUAAACCCUUGUGGCUUCGGCACCUCCACCCUAGAUGCCUCUUGGGUGGGCAUGACCCAUGCCGACACAACAGUCUUGUAGAUGGCCAACUCCUACCUAACCUCCUGGUCUUGGGACUCCAUUCGAGUGGCCAAAGCCUCCAUCCUUGACUCUAUACUAGCAAGCAUGCUCAAGACAUUUUCUUGGAAGGACACAAACUCCUCGUGCGACACUGUCUAAACCUAUGAGACUAGCAUCUCCUCACGAAGGUCUUGGAUCUGUUCCCUAAGAUCUUUCAUACCCUUCUCCAUGCCUUGCUCAAUCAAGUCCAACCCCUCCCGAGUGUCUGCCAUGGCUAGCUCCACCUUAGCUAACCUUGCCUCCAUGUUAGCAACGACAUCAUGAGAUUUAUCCUUCCUACCCCUGCCCCGUGCAGUAGGCUCGGUCUCCCUCCCACGGGUUUGUUCACUAGUCUCAUCCACGUUGGAGCCCGACAUGCUUCCUUUACUAUGCCCACUUCAUAGCUACGCUUUGAUACCACUUGUCACGGACUUAAUCUUUUCCUAAGCUCGUGUGGCACUUAGACAAGUCAAGACACUUUAUCUUGCUAAGUCAGCCUUACUCCCAAUGCUUAGCUUGCUAGGCUAAGAUGCUCACGACUCGGAACCUAUUUAUAGGCACCAAUGGAACUCUCUGGAACCUUGCAAGGUUCCUUAAAACUAAAGAAUAAUCUAGAAAUUCCUACACUAGUCUUAUGUACAAGGGUAUGUACAAGAUGACUUUGAAGUAUUCUAGAACACCCUACACAAUCCCAAUUCUCUCUUAGCCAAGUGUAGAGAUGUGUGGGCAUCUCUAGCCCUCUCCAAAAGCUUCCAUACUCUUCCACUUUGUAGCCAAGUGUAGUGUCUCCAAGGGUCUUUAGAAGCUUCCCACCUCCUAUAUAAGCCUAUGGGAAGGGUCAUUUGAAACAUCUUGUGACACUAAGCUCAACUUAUGUUGGGCCUAAGUCCAAGCCUAAUAGCAUGUUUUAUAAAACUUAAUAUUUAAUACUUAUUACUUAAUGACUUAUGUUGACUUUAAGUUAAAUUGUUUGAUAAAAUUAUUUUAAGUUAUUAAAUUAACAUAUUUACCCCAUUGGUUGUAAUUAAUAUUUAUUAUUAAAAUUUUAACUAAUAUUUAUUUUUAUUAAUUUUAAGUAAUAAAUUUUUUUAUUAAACAUCCAUACUUGAAAGUAUUGUAGAUUUAUGUAAUAACUUUAAAAUAUUUAUUAGAAAAAAUGUGUCAUGGAUUUGGUUGUUAAAUAUAUUUUCAUUAGAUAUGAGCAAAUAAGACAAUAAAAAUUUAGGAUUAAGAAUAAGUUAACUAUUUUAACUUAAUAUUUAAAUUUAUUUUUAAUUUUAGGUUGUGAUAUGAAGUUGUAUUUAAAAGACAUGUUUAAUCUACUUAAUAACUUAAAUUAAAUUAUUAUGUCACUUUAAGGCAUUAAGUUAAAUUACCAAUUAAACAUCCUAUAAGACCAAAAUAAGACUCUAAUCAAAUAUAUAUAUAUAUAUAUAUAUAUAUAUAUAUAGAGAGAGAGAGAGAGAGAGAGAGAGAGAUUAUCAUUUAUAUUUGAUUACUAUAUAUACAAUAAAAAAUCAAUUUAGUUAUAAUUUUGAGAAAUUCAUGCAUAGAUUAAGGUGAUGUUUGGUAAAACUUAAUACCUAUUACUUAAUCAUUUAAGUUGACUUUAACUUAAAUUAUACUUAAAUUGUUAACUUAAAACUUAUUAUUUAAGUUUUACUUUAAGUAUUAAGGUUAUUUGAUCAAAUUAACUUAAAACUUAUUCUAAAUUAUAAAAUUGACAUAUUUGUACUCAUAAAUUAAAACUAGGGCAAAAAAGAUCGAAUAAUAGCGGAUGUUGUAGAGUAGCAAAAGAGAUGGUCUAGUUAAUUAGGAUAAAUAAGAGUAAAAAAGCAAAAUAAAUAUACGAACUUAAUUAUUUUUACUUAUUACUUAAAGUUAUUUUUAACUUUAUAUCACACCAUUAAAUUAUUUUACUAAUAAAUAAGAGCAAAAAAGCAAAAUAAAGAUAUGAACUUAAGAAUAAGUUAAUUAUUUUUACUUAUUAUCUAAAACUGUUUUUUACUUUAUGUCACAUUAUUAAAUUAUUUUUCCAAAUAUAAUUAAUGUAGUUAAUGAAUUAAAUUAAGUUAUCAAGUUAUUUUAAGUUAUUAAAUUGAUUUAUGAAACACACACUAAAUAAAAAACUUAAAUUUAUUUAUUUAUUUUUUUGUUGUCUCUCAUGAAUAAUUAAAAGAAAAGAAAAAGUAAAAUAUCACAUUUCCCAAAAUAAAGAAAUAAACAUACACUCCAAUAUUUUUCUUUUCACUUCAAUAGGCCCUCAAUAUAUCUUAAUCAUAUUGUCCAUUGUCUACUCUCUUCAACCCUUUUGGGAUAAUAUGUGAUGUCGGACAAUUACAUGAGUUGGGUUUUCACCGGGCAAUCAACUAUUUUAUAAUGGCAAUAGACCUCUGUCUUAAUUGAGGACAAAGCCUUGCACUUGGGAUCUUUUCCAAGGGAUCCUUCUAAGAAUCCAAUGAUUUCUAAACCAUUAACUUUUAUUAUAAGGAUAACCCAGUUCAUGACAAUGGGAUAUGGGCUACUUGGAUGUCUAUUUUUUUUCCUAAUUUCCACAUGCAAACUGACAAAUAGAAUGUGAACAAAAUAAGGAUAACCCAGUCCACGACAAUGGGAUAUGGACCACAUGGAUGUCUAUUUUUUCCUAAUUUCCACAUGCAAACUGACAAAUAGAAUGUGAACAAAAUAAGGACAGCAUGGUAAUAAUGAUUGAAGAAUAACAAAUUUAGUAUUCGAUGGAAUAUAUUUUCUUUUUUUUUAAAAAAAUACAAUAAUUUCUAUGUAAAAUAUAAUAAUUUUUUUAUUUAUAAAAAGGUUUAAAUUGAAAAUGUAAUGAUUUUUAAAAAUUAAUUUAAAAAAGUGAAGUGUUAAAAGCUUUUUACUACUUUAAAUUUUGAAAAAAAUCAAGGAUAUAAAAGUUAAUAUUUUUUUAUUAGAGUUUUUAUUUUUUAAAAUAAAAAAUAAAAAAUUAUAUUUAAAGAAAGCUUUGCUUUAUAAAUUAUUAUAAAAAGCCUCAUUUUUUAAAUAAUAAGAUCAUCUGGUCAUUCCAAAGUGUAUAUGGAUUGUACGUUCUUGAUGGUUAUUCUUCUUGGAAGAUAUCAUCCAUACAAACCACUGCCAAUUUUUACAAUGGCUUCGAGUGAUAAAUGACAAAUACAAGAAUGACGAAUAAAACUAUGUUAUAUAUAUAUAUAUUAUUAUCAAAAUUUUGUUUUGUCAUUGCCAGCAUUUAUCUGCUGGUGGUAGAAACUAAGUAUACAAGUGCCUCUUUUCUUUGUCACGGCUUAAAAAUUUUUAAAAAUAUUUAAUUUUUUUUCGAAAACAUUUUUUUAAGUUAAAAACCUUUUCUAGAAUUACUAUUAAAUGACUCUUAAAGUCCAUUUAGUAAUGAUUUAAACAUUUGUAAUUAAAAAAUAAAAAUUUUCAAAUGUUAAAGGUAAUAAAAAUACUUUUUAAAAUUACUACUAAACGUAUUUUUGGAGUCUGUUUAACAGUAAUUUUAAAAAGUUUUUUUAUUUUAAAAAACAUUUUUGAAAAGAAAUUAAGUAUUUGAGAAAAUUUAGGAAACAAUUUUAAAAAUCUAAAAAAUUACUUAUAUUUCUAAUUUUAUAUUUACGGUUUCAAGAGAGCCUUAGGCAUCGUUUGUAGUAACCAAUGACAUAAGCAAAGAUGGUGGUGAUACUACGAAAUUUUUGGAAUACUGAGAAGUUGAAAAGCUAAUAUUGAUAGAGACCAUUUAAGACAUAGUGUACAGGCUUUGAAAUGAUAACACGUGUUCCUAUCGUGAGGCAAUAAAAAAGUGGUGUAUAUUUGCCGGCCAUUCCUCGCCAGUGCAUAGGAUAAGAAGUGAUGGGGCUACUCGUAUAAAUUGGUUCUCUCAACUAUGAAGUAAUUCAGAGGUCGCUCCUUGAAGUCUCUUCCAAAGCGGAAAUGAAGCUUAGCUCAGUUGCAAUCUCCUUUGUUUUUAUUACUCUCUUGAUAUAUGCAUGGAGGUUAUUGAAUUGGGUGUGGUUGAGACCAAAGAAGCUAGAGAGAUGCCUCAGGCAGCAAGGUCUGACUGGGAAUUCCUACAGCUGCUUGUAUGGGGACUUUAAAGAGAUGUCGAGAAUGAUUAACGAAGCAAAUUCCAGACCCAUCAGCUUCUCUGAUGAUAUUGUGCAGCGAGUUCUACCAUUUCACGAUCAUUCCAUCCAGAAAUAUGGUAUGAAAAUGAGCUACUCUUUAUCAUUGCACUAAAAUAUAUUUAUUUGUGGAAUUUUCCCCAAGGGAUUGUUGGUCUUUGGUUUUUUUUUUAUUAGUUAUUUUUCCUAUCCAUUUUUUUUCUUCUCUAAGAAGUUAUAGCCCAAUGGAAUUUCAAUGGUAUUUCAAAUUUCUUUUUUCUACGUCGGAGUGUAAUUUUUAAGGUUUAUUUGAUUAAAAAGAAUAAAAUAAUCCCAAGUUUAGAAAAAUAUCGUUAUGAUAAAAAAAAAAACUCAUUUUCUAAAAAUAAAAAUAAAAAUACUUAUUGUUUUUCUUUUCAACCUAAAAAAUGACCUUUUUUUUUUAAUAAAAUCAUACCCCAAAAAAAUGUGUUUUCAUAUGGUAAAAAAAAAAAAUUACAAAAUAGGAACUCAAAUUUAUAAAAUACAAAUUUCAAACAACUAUCUAAAAAUAAUUACCAUUUUAUGAACUUUUUUAUCUAAUGUGCUACCUUUGAUCAUCCUUAGUACUAUCUUUGAUAGGUAUAGAGGAUUCCUAUUUUAUAAUCAUUUUUGCCUGAGUGUGUAAAAACUCAUUUGUUCGAAUAUACUUAUUGUUUUUCUUAUAAAAAUAACAAUUUUUUUUUUAAAAAAAUGUACAAAUAAAUUAUCAAAAUAUUAAGAGAUGUUUAUAUAAAAAAUGAACUAAUUUUUAAGUUGAAAUAUGAGAGGUGUUAGAUUUACAAAUUUAGGAUUAUUUUAUCCCUUUUAAUUGUGUAAUUCAAUUUUUUUAUAAGCUAUAUGUAGGUAUAUAUAGAUGUCAACUUUGAUAAAUUGUUUAAUCAUUGGGAAAUGUGAAUAGUCUUUAAAUUUUUAUGCUAAUUGUUUCUCAUCUUUUCAAAUUUUGCAUGAACUUCUGACUUUUGAUAAUUAAUCACAUCAGUAUACUUUUCUUUAGAUAUUUGAGCUUCUUCAAUCAGAGAGCCUUGCAUUUGACUCCUUGAGUAUUCAGGUCCUUUAGAUCCUUUCUGACAUUUAUCCAACAAUGGGCAUUAAAAAUGCAGGUAAAAAUAGUUUUACAUGGUUGGGCCCAAAACCAGUGGUAAACAUUAUGGAGCCUGAGCUGAUAAGGGAUGUUUUCUUAAAGCACAAUGCCUUCCAAAAAGUACCGCCACACCCUCUCGGCAAGCUGCUGGCCACUGGUGUUGUUGCAUUGGAAGGUGAACAAUGGACUAAACGUAGAAAGAUCAUAAACCCAGCUUUCCAUCUAGAGAAGUUGAAGGUAGUUUUAAACUUUUGAGGCACUAUUUUUUUGGUUAUGCAGCCAGACCCCAACUUGUUGCCUGGUUUCUCUGCAUAGCCCUCUUCUUAUAGGAAAGAAAAUAAAUUUCUGAAUGUUCCAUAAUUUAGUAGACAUAUUCACAAUUUUACUGCCUCUUGUAAUCUUUUUUCUUAUGCAUGAUAAAUUUUUUCUAAAUUUAUUAUUUGUGUUUGAAUUUGUAUAGCACAUGGUAUCGGCAUUCCAAUUGAGUUGUAGUGAUAUGGUCAAUAAAUGGGAGAAGAAGCUCUCCCUGGACGGCUCAUGUGAAUUGGACGUUUGGCCCUAUCUUGAAAAUUUGGCGGGAGAUGUGAUUUCUAGAACUGCAUUUGGUAGUAGCUAUGAGGAAGGAAGAAGGAUAUUCCAACUUCAGAGAGAGCAAGCACAUCUUGCAAUCCAGGUUACUCGGUCAAUCUAUGUUCCCGGAUGGAGGUAGGCAUAAAAUAUUUCAAGGGAUUAAUCUGAACCUCAGUACUAAUACCCAAAUGCUAUAACUUUCACAGUAUCAUCAACAACAACAGUAAUAAUAAAAAUAAAAAUAAAAAAGAAGAAGAAGGAGGGUUUGAUCCAGCAUGGGACAAAAGCAAGAAUAAAAUUAAUAACUGUUAUAGCAUUUAAGAACUGUAUGAUGUUUCAUUUAUUUUGUUAAUAUGGCUCUCGACUAAUUUUUGUUUUCCUUUAAGAGCUUUCUUUUUGUACAAAUUAAAGAAUAUAGCUGUGUCUUCAAAACAAAAAUCAAGUUCAAGUAUCCCCUUUUCUUUUAUUGGCAGAACAUCUUAGCAAGAUGCAUGGUGAAAUACUACUAUAAAAUAUAUGUAGACUCAAUGAAGUCAUGGAUGAAAAUGCAUUAGUUGUUUCCUGUAUUUCAUUGAUCUUCAUUUACUUGGAUUACUUCCAAGCAGGUUUUUCCCAACAAAGACAAACAGGAGAAUGAGGCAAAUUAGCAAUGAAGUCAAUGCAUUGUUGAAGGGUAUCAUUGAGAAAAGAGAGAAGGCAAUGAAAGUUGGCGAAACUGCUAAUCAUGAUUUAUUAGGUCUACUAAUGGAAUCCAACUACAGAGAUAUGCAAGAAAAUGAUGAGAGGAAGAAUGUUGGAAUGAGCAUCAAAGAUGUCAUUGAGGAGUGUAAGCUAUUCUACCUUGCUGGCCAAGAGACUACCUCGGUUUUACUUCUGUGGACGAUGGUUCUAUUAAGCAAGCAUUCAAACUGGCAAACUCGCGCAAGGGAAGAGGUUUUACGGGUUUUUGGUAAUAAAAAACCAGAUGGUGAUGGCUUAAAUCACCUCAAAAUUGUGAGUAUCAAUCCAAAAUAUAUUCAAUUUAGUAACUCUUCUUGAAAAUAAUAUAUUACUCUUUUCUUUUUUUUUUCUUUUUUUUUCAAUCUUGAGGCAAAAUAUGUUUUGUUUCUGUAUCCUUUUUACUUUAAUUGAAAACUAUAUGCAGAUACUUGGUAUCCCCAAUGGAAUUUUUCUUUCCUUAUCUACGCGCACAAUGCAUCAGCACUGGCCAAUUGACUUUACUGAAGAAGGGGCGGACUAUUCUUUUCUUUGCGUGAAUUUUUUAUUUGCUUGUUAGGUUGUUUUGAGUGUGGUGAAAACUUUAUGCAAAUACUUAGUAUCAAUCAUUUACAAUACUUUAUGAUAAUCUUGAUAUUUCCUCUUGCCAAGCGUGUUUUCUUGAAAUUGGAACUCUGGGCUAUAAUAAAUUUUCCGGGGGUUCUUAGUUUGUAUUCACCAGUUACUGUAUGGCCCUAUAUGUACAUGAAAGUAUGUCAUGCAAAAAUUUAAACAAUCUCUCUCAUUACUAUAUUCGAAAAGUUCUUUCAUGGUUUGAUGUAUGCUUCUUAGUAAUCAUUUAGUGUAUUUCAGUAAUGAAUUUUCAUGAUAAAAAUAUUUUCUAUAUUGCAGGUUACUAUGAUUUUUCAUGAGGUCCUUAGGUUAUAUCCACCAGUGUCCAUGCUUCUUCGAACUGUUUUUGCCGACAGCCAAGUGGGAGGAUUGUAUUUACCAGAUGGAGUGCAGAUUGCUUUGCCAAUCCUCCUACUUCACCACGAUCAUGAAAUUUGGGGAGAGGAUGCAAAGGAAUUCAACCCGGGGAGAUUUUCAGAAGGAGUUUCUAAGGCAGCAAAGACCCAAGUUUCAUUUUUUCCAUUUGGUUAUGGUCCUCGGAUAUGCGUUGGACAAAAUUUUGCAAUGAUGGAAGCAAAAAUGGCUUUGGCAAUGAUCUUACAACGUUUCUCAUUUGAACUUUCCCCAUCCUAUGCUCAUGCACCUAUUAGUCUUAUAACUAUGCAACCCCAGUAUGGUGCACACCUGAUUUUACAUGGACUUUAGCAUCAGAGUUCUUGUUAUCAGUGAGAGUUAGCAAGACCUUUAAACCUAGAUAGUGUUGAAUUUAAAAUGCCCACACUUCCUUUCACUUGAAAUGAGUGCUCUUUAAAGCCAUUAUAUUAAUAAAAUUCUCUUUUGUAUGUUUGUAAGAGAUCAUAUAUAAAAAUGAUCACUUUACAAGGAGAUGCAUUUUUCUCUAUUCUUGUCCCCCCAAAAUGAAAAGAAAAGAAGAACUGCUGACAAUCUAUAUUUGGAGAAUGGACAUACAUUGAAAUUAUUUCUGAUGGGUGACCAUGCAUGUUGUGAUAUCUACAAGGAAACUACCAUUCCAAUAAUAGGAGAAAUAUUCUCAUUUGUUCUUAUCGUUAUAGAGUGGUGUCUCAUUCACUAUAAUUGGGUAGUAGACUCUUACGGAAUUUUAUGGCUAGGUAUCUGUAAAGAAGUUCGUACUAAAUUGGGUAGCAAGAUAAUACAAUUUUGGAGUUACUACCUCUAAGAAGUUGUCUGCGUACACUUGAUUCCAAUCCAUGUAAUGACAAAUUAUAAACCUCAGGGGCCCGGUCCACCCCCUAUUUUUAUUGGAUCUACAAUUUUGCCAUUCUCCAAGAGUUUUAGACAACUUCACAAUGUUCCACAACCUUAACGAACCUUUUGGAUGAGCUUGAUGUGGUUGCAGUAGCUUUACAUGAUUGCUAUAAUCCCAUAUUGGAAGCUUAAGAAAGAGGAACCUCUCCUAGUACCUAUAAAAAGAGGACCUUGUAAUUUAUUGUUGAUAAGAGAUCGUAUAGAGAAGUUUCUUAUUGUUAUUUCACUUGAUUUCUUCAAGUGUAGUAUUCUUAUUUUCUUCUAGUUUCACUUCUGCAGCAAGCCAAACUCACUGGGAUGCUCAGAGUUUUUAGGUGCUCAAACACUACAUGGAUUUUUAGGAGAGAUCUUGGUCUACCAAAAGUGGUGGACUUGUUAGAAAGCACUAGCAAAAUAAAAAUAAAAAUAGAAAGAAAGAAAGAAAAGCGAAGAAAUCAUUGAUAAUAAAAUAUUCACAACUGAUCUUGACAUGUGGAUAAAUGAUUUCAUAAUCAAGAAGUAUUCACAAUUGCAAAACCAUCCACAAGCUUACAUGCAUGCCCUUUUAGCUUUGUGCUAUAUAUUUAGAAUUUUGGGAGAAGCAAAGAAAGAAAAAUGAAGAAUAUUUUUUAACAAUUGAAUUUAAAAUCAUGAUGCACUUUCAUCUAUUUAUAGCUAGGCAUAACAAUAAAUUAUAACAUUUUAUAUAUUUUAACUUUACAAAGUCUACCAAUGACUUUACACCUAUUCUAACAUUACAAUUUAUUUGUGAAUUUAUAAUGUAACUUCACAAUUAAUUUGUAACUUUAGAACUUUUGUUUCUAACUUCAUAAUCGAUUAUAAAUUUACAACUUUUGCAACUUCACAAGUUAUUGGUGUCUAUCUACUACCUUUUGUAACUUUAUAAUUCAUUGUACAUUACAAUAUUUUAAUUUAUAAAGUAAAUGUCUAUGAUUAAUUAACUUAUUUGUAUGUUAUGAACCCUUUAUAUUUCAAAGUUAAUUGUCUCUUAUCAAUAAGUUAAGGUGAGGACAUAUGGUAUGGGACCUUUGUGGGAUCUUUAAUUACAUCCUUAGUAAGUUUGUUAUGUUUGUUCCAAAUAAAUUUAUUAAUUAUAAUUAUAUUUAAAACAUAUUAUAAUUUCACCCCAAGAAUAGGAGAUAUAUAAGUCAACUUCCCACUUAUAUAUAUACAUAUUAAUCCUUCCAUUAAUUAAUAUUCAUAACAAGUUUAUUAGGUUGAACCAAGAUGACUGUCAUUACCCAAAUUACAAGUGCAUCACCUCUUAUAAUUGGAUCUUUAAGAAAAACAAUUUAAAAAUUCCUAAUAAACAAUAUACUAUAUUAUAGAUAUGUACACUUGAUAGAAUACUUAUUCUAAAUUGACCAACUGAUAUUUUAAUAUAUUUUGUAAGUGACACAAUAUUGAAUAUUCUCUCAUAAUAUAGUCUAUUAUUAGACAUCAACAACUAACAACAUCAAAGCUAUAUUUACAUAACUUGAUGACAUCCUUAAGCCAAAGGACUUUAUGCAACACUAAACAAAACAAGUUUUUGUUGGAAUAUCUAGAUUACUCCAUUCCAAGCAUCGUCUCAUGGAGUGCAUACUACUACAAUCCUAAGGAUACUAGAUUUAAUGCAAUGGAAGCAACAAAAACAAAAAUGUUAGAUUUAGGUGCUCCAGAAAACAAUACUUAUGAUUUGAACAGUCCUAAAUCAACUCUAGUUGGUCAAUAGUAUGAUUUAGAUCUUGAAAACAUUGCAAUUUUUUUUCUAAUGGCUCUCUCCUAAACCUUACAUGUGAGAAUGGUGGAAUCCUUUCUAUGGAGAUGAAGGCUAAGGCUCUAUCUUGUUUAAAGGUUGAAUAAUUGAAGUUAUAAGCCUUAAACCCUCAAUAGGAUUUAUAUAGUCUUUGUCUAUGGGCUUAAGUGGCUUGUGCCCAUCUUGGGUUUAGGUCGGUUAAUCUAGCCUAUUGGUUCCUAAUUAAUUAAUUAGUCAUAUUGGGAUACAAUUAUGCAACCUUGUGUAUUUAUCAAAAUACCCUUAUACACACAUAUGAACAAAAAACACCCUAAUAUCCUUCAAAUAAUUAAUGUGCCACCAAGGAAUAUGAACUUGAGUAGGGACUAUAAGGACCUAUAGGAAAAUAAUGGCCUUUUCAUAAUCUAAUUAUGAAGUUAACUCAACACUGUCAUGCUUCCUUGCACCCUUCUAUACACAUAAGGUUCAUUCUUGUUUUGACCAAAAUCAAGGGUCUUAAUUUCAUGUUCUAAACAUUUGUUCCAUGAGCAAGAAGCUUGAAUUAAUCCAAAAAUAGACUUAUGCAAUUUGCAUACUAGAUGCUCUCUGCCCUUUGCUAUGAAAACAUCUGGUUGUAUCAUAUAAAUGCUCUCAUCAAGGUAGUCAUUUAAGAAUAUUGUCUUGACAUCCAUAUGACAUAUCUCAUAAUUGAGAUAAACUGCAAUGUAUAUGAGUACUUCGAUGGAUUUGAGUAUGGCUACCAUAGAAAAAGUUUCCCAUAGUCAAAACUAGGUUUCAAACUAUAAACCUUUAGCUAUAAGCUUAGCCACAAAAGUCUCAAUUGUUAGGAUAAAGCCUCAAAAGCAUGAGAAGAUGUCAUAAAAAAAGUUUCCAUUUCUAUCAUUGAUUGCAUUAAUUUUUACCCGAGCAUUCAAAGCUCGUAUGAUUACUAGUCAAAAAGUGUUAUUUCAUAGCUUGUAAUUAACUCUUUUAAACACUUUUGAGUAGUAGUUAUCACCUUUUAACCCAAUUAACAUAUUAAGGACCCUUGCAAUCAAUUCUAAUCAAAUUGUGUUAAGUUUUGGUGUUUUGAUAGCCUUUUGAUCACCAAAGCAAUCCAAGAUUGAGGAGAGUUCUUUAGGAAUCCAUGGCAAAAGAUGUCCGGACAGGGUGUCCGGACACACCAUUAGAGAGCGGCAGAACAUGGGCUGUAGCAAGGCUUGCUCACUUUAGUCAAUGUUUUCCAUCCGGACAACAUAUCCGGAUAGGAUAUGCUGUCAUCCGGGAGAGGGGUCCCUAUACCUUGCACACGCAGACGGUCCCCCUUGCGCAGCAUAGCUCAGUCCACCCGGGGAGGAAUUCCGUCCGUCGACAUUUCACAUUCGGAAUUCCAUGCGCCAACAUUUUACAUCCGGAUAUCUCACAGCCGGAUGGGAGAGGAGGACGUUUCAACUUCUCCGGUCAGACAUAUCCAGAUCCUCUGAUAGCGUUCACCCGGAGAGCAUCUGCGGUCGACAUUUCAGAUUACCCGGAUUUUGCACAAUGUUGCAGUGUUCUCCUGAAGCUUCCCGAUAUUUGCCACCGACUAAGAUUUUUUCUCUUAAGAUAUUUUGUGUAAAUUUCUAUUUUCUCCUUGUAAUCAGUCAAAGAUAUUAUUGGGAUAUUUCUUAGAAAAUAACUUCUCUAUAUAUAUCUUUGAACCAUUGUAAAGAGGAGAGAUAUUAUAUAUAUAUAUAUGAAACCGAUGAACAGAGCACUUGCUCUGUUUUUGUUCUUCAUAUUUUUGUUUUCUUGUUAGUUUUCUUUCUAGCCAAUCAAACUCUGAGGAUUUUUCCUUAGAGGAUGAGAGGCUAGGCUCUUUGUCUCUUGGAGUGAAGAAAGCCGGGUAAGUUUCCUCAUGCAUAAAUUGGAAGUUUUGUUGUUUUAGUUUUUAAUGAAGAGAAAGUGUGAUCCGUUAAUGGUUUUUAUCUUUUUAGUUAACUUAAAACGCCUUUAACUCACCUAGGCCAACACUUGAUAAGGCAAGUGAUCUCCAUCCAUUGAGAUGCACUUGUUUAUCUCUUGCGAGCCUUUGGGAGGUGGUUUAGAGGUAGGAUUUUCUAGAAUUGCCAACACUUGGUAAGCUUUUGGACUCUAAGGAGACAUCCAUUAGUUAUCUCUUGCGAGCUUGAGAAGGGAAGUCCAAAGUUAAAGAUCACCUUGAAUGGCAAAUGCUAGGUGAGAGGCAUGAGCCAUUGAAAGUUGCAUCAGUGAGAGGGAUUUAGUGUUUGAACCCAUUAAAGGGAAGCAUCUGUACCACACCGGUUAGAGAAUUAACUAUAUGUUAAUUCUCUAAUGCGAGGAAAAGAAACAAGUGACCGGAACUCUCCUUUUUGUAUGAGGAACCUGAGCCUAGUGAUCUAAACUCCAAGAAACACUUUUCUUUGUAGUUAAAAUUAGUUACUAUUUUUUGUUAGCUUAAAACCAAACCUUUUUCAUUCAAACAUCUUUAUGUUUUCUUUUAAAGCUGACUUUGAAAGGAAAAUGCACCAAUUCAUCUUUGAAAUAAUAUCAAUUGUGGAGUGAAAACCCAUCCCAGUGAACGACCCUAGAGCCACUAUGCUAUGCUAGCUAAGGCUAUCCUAGUAUGAUUCAUUCUCAAUUGGUGUCUCAGCUGAUUCAUGUCCAACUAGUGCUCCUUGACUGAGGAAGUGAUCAAUAAAAUUUAUAACCUAUAUCACCAUGCAUUAGGAUAGCUUUAGCUAAUAUAGCAUAGUGACUCUAGGAUCGUUCACUGGGAAGGGUUUUCAACUCACAACUGAUACCAAUUCAAAGCUGAGUUGGUGCUUUUUCAUUUCAAGGUUAGCUUUAAAAGAAAACAUAAAGAUGUUUGAGUGAAAAGGGUUUGGUCUUAAACUAACCAAAAAGAAAGUAAUGGAAAUUACUUAUGAAGAAAAACAUUCCUUGGAGGUUUAGGUUCACAGGGGAGGUUCCUUAUGCAAAAACAAAGCCCCGGUCAUUUGGUUCAUUUCCUCGCAUUAGAGAAUUAACAUAUAGUCAAUUCUCUAACCGGUGCUAUACAGAUAUAUCCUUUAAAUGGAUUUUAGCUCUAAUUCCCUCUCAUUGAUGCAACUUGCAAUGGCUCGUGCCUCUCACCUAGCAUUUGCCAUUCAAGGUGAUCAUUAACUUUGGACUUCCCUUCUUAAGCUCGCAAGAGAGAACUAAUGGAUGUCUCCUUGGAGUCCAAAAGCUUACCAAGUGUUGGCAAUUCUAGAAAAUCCUACCUUCAAGUCACUUCCCAAAAGCUCGCAAGAGAUAAACAAGUGCAUCUCCAUGAACGGAGAUCACUUGCUUUACCAAGUGUUGGCUCAAGUGAAUUGAAAGUGUUUUAAGCUAACUAAAAACAUAGAAAUCAUUAAAGGAUCACACUUUCUCUUCAUUAAUGAUUGAAACCACAAAGCUACUAAUUCUUGCACUUGGAACCUUUCCCGGCAACCUUAACUCCAAGGAACUAAAAGUCUAGCCACUCAUUCUCUAAGGAAACUUCCUCAGAGCUUGUUUGGCUAGUAAGAAAACUAACGAGAAAACAAUUAUAUGAAGGAAAAACAGAGCAAGUGCUCUGUGAAAUAUAUUUCUUUCUUCCGUCGAUUACAUAAUAGAUUGUAAAGAAAAUUACAAACUAUAUAUCAGGUUAUUCACCCUUUGUUCUUACUUAAAGACUAAGGAAUCCUAUGAUAGGUGGGUUACAAGGAGACUUUGGGGAUUUAGAAAACAAAUAUCUAAAGCAAAAUAUCUCAAGAUGUCGGUCGGAAAUAUCAAGAAGCUUCAAGAGAACACCGCGGCACUGUAUACUGAGAGAAAAACUCUCUUAGUAAGCGCUAUCAGAGGAUCCGGAUAAGUCUGACCGGAGAAGUUGAAACGUCCUCCUUUCUCAUCCGGCUGUGAGAUAUCCGGAUGUAAAAUGUCGGCGCACGGAAUUCCGGAUGUGAAAUGUCNNNNNNNNNNNNNNNNNNNNNNNNNNNNNNNNNNNNNNNNNNNNNNNNNNNNNNNNNNNNNNNNNNNNNNNNNNNNNNNNNNNNNNNNNNNNNNNNNNNNAAAGCUGAGUUGGUGCUUUUUCAUUUCAAGGUUAGCUUUAAAAGAAAACAUAAAGAUGUUUGAGUGAAAAGGGUUUGGUCUUAAACUAACCAAAAAGAAAGUAAUGGAAAUUACUUAUGAAGAAAAACAUUCCUUGGAGGUUUAGGUUCACAGGGGAGGUUCCUUAUGCAAAAACAAAGCCCCGGUCAUUUGGUUCAUUUCCUCGCAUUAGAGAAUUAACAUAUAGUCAAUUCUCUAACCGGUGCUAUACAGAUAUAUCCUUUAAAUGGAUUUUAGCUCUAAUUCCCUCUCAUUGAUGCAACUUGCAAUGGCUCGUGCCUCUCACCUAGCAUUUGCCAUUCAAGGUGAUCUUUAACUUUGGACUUCCCUUCUUAAGCUCGCAAGAGAUAACUAAUGGAUGUCUCCUUGGAGUCCAAAAGCUUACCAAGUGUUGGCAAUUCUAGAAAAUCCUACCUUCAAGUCACUUCCCAAAAGCUCGCAAGAGAUAAACAAGUGCAUCUCCAUGAACGGAGAUCACUUGCUUUACCAAGUGUUGGCUCAAGUGAAUUGAAAGUGUUUUAAGCUAACUAAAAACAUAGAAAUCAUUAAAGGAUCACACUUUCUCUUCAUUAAUGAUUGAAACCACAAAGCUACUAAUUCUUGCACUUGGAACCUUUCCCGGCAACCUUAACUCCAAGGAACUAAAAGUCUAGCCACUCAUUCUCUAAGGAAACUUCCUCAGAGCUUGUUUGGCUAGUAAGAAAACUAACGAGAAAACAAUUAUAUGAAGGAAAAACAGAGCAAGUGCUCUGUGAAAUAUAUUUCUUUCUUCCGUCGAUUACAUAAUAGAUUGUAAAGAAAAUUACAAACUAUAUAUCAGGUUAUUCACCCUUUGUUCUUACUUAAAGACUAAGGAAUCCUAUGAUAGGUGGGUUACAAGGAGACUUUGGGGAUUUAGAAAACAAAUAUCUAAAGCAAAAUAUCUCAAGAUGUCGGUCGGAAAUAUCAAGAAGCUUCAAGAGAACACCGCGGCACUGUAUACUGAGAGAAAAACUCUCUUAGUAAGCGCUAUCAGAGGAUCCGGAUAAGUCUGACCGGAGAAGUUGAAACGUCCUCCUUUCUCAUCCGGCUGUGAGAUAUCCGGAUGUAAAAUGUCGGCGCACGGAAUUCCGGAUGUGAAAUGUCGGAGCACGGAUUUCCAGAUGUGAAAUGUCGGCGCACGAAAUUCCUCCCGUGUUGGACUGAGCUAUGUUGCGCAAGGGGGACCGUCUGCGUGUGCAAGGUGUAGGGACUCCUUUCCCGGAUGACACAGAGUGCGCAAGGCUAUCCGGAUCAACUCCAUCUGGAUUCCCCAAGAAGACAUGUGGUGCGCUCCCCUAUCCGGACUCCCUCAGGGAGAAGCACACGACACUCAUGAAUAUCACACCCAGACGAUAGCAUAUCCUAUCCGGAUAUGUUGUCCGGAUGGAAAACAUUGACUAAAGUGAGCAUGCCUUGCUACAGCCCAUGUUCCGCCGCCCUCCGAUGGUGUGUCCGAACGCCCUAUCUGGACAUCUUUGCCAUGGAUUCCAAAGAACUCUCCUCAAUCUCUGAUUGCUUUGGUGAUCAAAAAGCUAUCAAAACACCAAAACUUAACACAAUUUGAUUAGAAUUGAUUGCAAGGGUCCUUAAUAUGUUAAUUGGGUUAAAAGGUGAUAACUACUACUCAAAAGUGUUUAAAAGAGUUUAUUUCAAGCUAUCAAAUAGCACUUUUUGAGUAGUAAUCAUAGUACAUGGUGUAAUAGGUUAUAAAUUUUGUUGAUUGCUCCCAUCUGAGGACUGAAAUCAAGACACCAGUUGGACACGAAUCAAAUGGCACCACUGUCAGGGACCAUUGAGAGGACACGAAUCAGCUGAGACACUAAUUGGGAAUGAAUCAAAUGGCGCCAUUGCCGGGGAUGGUGCCACUUUACAGUGAUAUCACCUUUCCAUAGUACUUGUGAUCUUCAUCACAAGUGUGGUGACUUUUCUUUUCUUUUUACUAACUCUUUUUAUUUGUUUUUGUUUUUUUUCUUUGUUCAUAUUUUAGUAUAUCUUUUAUUUAGUUUUUGGUUAAUAUUAAUAAUUUUCUUUUUUCUUUAGAUUUUUUUUUCUUUUAUUUUCUUUUGUUUUCUCUAUUUUUAAUUCACAAAUUGCUAGUUGUGCAUGUCAUAUUGAAUAUGAGAUAGCAGAGGAAGCCAUGAACUUCAUGAGUUAUGUGGCUGAAGUUUCAAGAGGAUGGGAUGAACCAAAUGCUCGAGAUAUGGGGAGAAUGACGUCUCAACCUAAUGCUAAGGGUGAGAUGUAUAUUUUGAAUGACGACAUACACAUGAAAGCAAAGAUUGCAGCUAUGGCAAGGAGAUUGGAAGAGCUAGAAAUGAAGAAGAUGCAAAAAGUGCAAGCCAUCUCUCAGACACCAUUGCAAGCUAUGCCUUGUGCCAUUUGUCUAUCUUAUGAGAACUUGGUGGAAGAGUGUCCUACCAUUCCAACGGUGAGAGAAAUGUUUGGUGAUUGCAACACCUAUAAUUCCAAUUGGAGGAAUCAUCCAAAUUUUUCAUGGAAGCCAAGAGCACCUCAGUACCAACAGCCGACUCAACCAUCUCAACCAUCCCAACAAGCUUCAAGUCUUGAACAAGAAAUAGUGAAUCUCAGCAAGGUUGUGGGAGAUUUUAUUAAAGAACAAAAAUCCAUCAACUCUCAACUCAGUCAAAGAAUUGACAGUGUAGAGAAUAGGAUGGAUGGGAUUCAAAAUGAUUUAUCUCAGAAGAUAGAUAAUCUCCAAUAUUCAAUCUCAAGGUUUGCCAACCUCAACAAAGUGCAAGAAAAAGGAAACUCUCCUUCUCAACCUCAUCAAAAUUCAAAGGGUAUCCAUGAAAUAGAGGCUAAGGAGAGAGAUAAAAAGGUUGAUCUGCCCACAUCCAAGCUAGAGCAUGAGGUAGAGAGUGAAACAGAGAAAGAAAAGAGGGAGGAAAUCAAAGGAAAGAGAGAGGGGAAAAGCAUAGAGAAAGAUGACUAUAUAGAUGAAGAACCACAGAGGAUAGUCAUCAAGGAAGAAAUAAAGAAACACAUGCCUCCACCUUUCCCCCAAGCUUUGUAUGGGAAAAACAUACAAACCAAGUCUCAAGUGAGAGACACAAACUUCAUAUGGGAUCCGGGCAAGCUAAAUCAGGAUCAAAUUUUUUGAUGGACUUAGUCUUUCUAAAGACUAGCUAGUCCAUACCUUUUUGUUUUACUUAUUACUUGUUUUAAUUUUGAUUUCAAUGCUUUAAUUCUAAUUUGUUUUGAUGUAAUAUAGGUUUUUGGAUGAUCAAAAUCAGAACGGAAAUGUUGCAUUUUGCUACUGUUGGACACAUUUUUGAAGGCCUUCAUGGAGCUCAAAUUAUGCAUACUAUAUCUCUUUUUUAAUCUUGGGAAGUCAGGAGUCCAUAGCUUCAAACGGUGCUCGAUUUGGAGUUGAAACGAAGAAGUUAUGGCCGUUUGAAGACGAUCGCGCAAAGCACCAACGGGAAUUUCGCAGCUGCAAAAUGGGCUACAAAAUUCCCAUUUUGUUGCAGGAAAGCCCUCUCACUGAGAUCACACACACAAAGCCUCUUAAUCCAUUUCUUACCUCCUUAAAACCAUCAGAGCCCAUAGCUCCAGUUGAGGAGACUACCAAAGCAGAGGCCAAAGUCCUGAUCCAACCCACUCAAGAGGCCACCACAGAUGCAUCAGCUCCACAAGACCUUACCAUUACUUGAUCAUCUCUUUACUUUUUGUCUUUACAUAUUAUAUUAAUAUAAAUAAUUCCAUAUUUUGAUGUCUUAUAUUCUGGGAUUGGAUGUAUUACUGAUGAUACAUCAUAUAUAGACAUCAUUUUUUGUUUAAACUUGGCAUUUGUCUAUUUCCUCUACUCACUAACUCUUUUGUUUUUUUUGAAACAUGUGGUUUCUCCUAUACGACUCAGACUCCAUGUCACUAAGGAGGUACCACUUCCUCCCUAUUUUUCAAUCGCUUUUGUCACAUUGAGGACAAUGUUCAACUUAGUUGGGGGGAGAGUUGAGGAAGGAAGUUUUUGUUAUUAAUGCUAAGUUAUUUUGGUAAUUUAGUUGCUUUUUGCUUAAUUUUAAAAUUUUUUAAGUUUUUAUUCUACUCUCCAUGGUUAUUAAGGAAAAAUUUUCAAAAUGAAAAGAGAGAAAUUGAAUUUUUGUCUUUUUCACUUGACUUAGAUUUUGUAUUAUGCUUACUAAAGUUGAUAAAUUGUUGAAACUUCUAUUGAAUUCAACCUUAGUUCUUCCACUUUAAACUAUUCACACAAUGUGCACAAUAGGUUCCGAUUAUAAGAUGAAAAACUAUUUCCCUCUUGACUUAGGAAAAUUUUAGACUUGGUACCUUUGACCUCAUUUUAAUAGUGUUGGGACACCUUAUAAAAGGCCAAUGAGCCUGUGAAAAAAAAAAAAGAAUAGAGAAAGAAAGAAAAAAAUGCUUGCUUGCCUUGAAACCCGAGCAAGGUCCGAGGGGUAUAUGGUGAAAAUCUUUAAAACCUGGUGCCCUAAGCCUUCAUUGGUUGGGAGUCACCGACCUCAAUGCUCGUUACAAGGGUGGAUAGGUGGAGUUUAACAUACUGUAGGUGCUUAGGUAUUAAAAUUCAUUCUCAAAAGUCCGGGUUAAAAUCCGAGGAGUUAGUGGUUGAAAGAUCCUUAAAACUUGAUGCCCUAAACCUUAAUUGGUUGGGAGUCAUCGAUGGACCCCCGUUACAUGGACAAUUUAGAAAAGAAUACCUUUAGCCUUGUACUCCUACAAGAAAAAAAUUGUGAAAUGAGAGGUGCGUUCUUAACCUAUUGGAGGUUGAUCAGUUUGCUAAGCUUUGAAAAAGAACUAGGUUUGGGGGAGAGAUUAGUUCAACAUACUUGUAAACUCCCAUUUGGGGCUCAUUCCUUUGCAUCUCUACAGGUUAUAAUUUUUUGCAAGUGGAGGGCUCUCAAGGAGCCACGUGCCCAUUCAUGGUUGGUUGCUGUGGAAUCAGCUUAGUGGAGUUGAUGGACGAAUGGGAAAGCAACACGUAUGAAAGGAUAUGCUGGGGAUUUUGCAAGCCGUUAGAGGGAGCAGGCCAGCGGUAGGAGAGGGGAGGCGUUUCUGUUGAGGGGCAGCAGGCCAGCUGCAGGUGGUGCGUUUUUCUGGAGGUGGAGUGCUUUUCAGGUGGGGCUUUUCCAUUAGAGGGAGGCUGCAGAGAUCUUUGAGAGGGAGCUUUUGGUUUGGUUGUUUCGGGGAAGAAAGCUGGUGGGAGAGAGGGGAGGCCUCCAUUGACGAUUGCGAGAGAUAUUUUUGGGGCCUCAGGGAAAUCUUGACAGGAGGGAGCUUUUUUUUAUUUGGUGGUUUUUGAGCUUAGGCUGCCGGAGAGAUAUUAGAGGGAGAGUGUUUUCCUUCUGCAGAAGGAGGAGUUUUUUUUUUAGAGAGGAGAACGAGAGAGAGAGAACAGGGAGGUUUAAGGUUGGAGCAGAGAGGUGAGUUUUGGAGAGCUUAGAGGAGAGUAGAGAGAAACCCAGAGCAAAAAGGAAAUGACAUUUUGGUGGUUGUUGUAGUACAAGGAUGUUUUUGAGGGUGUUCAUUGGGCUUGAGGGGCAAGUUUGAGGGGAAGAGAUGAAAGAAGAUGCUGGAGGCAAGUCUUGCUGAGGGUUAUUUUUGUGAGAGGAAAAAGUUUUGAGGUUAAGGAAGGAGCCAUAGUCUGGAGCAGAGAUCUUGAGGAAAGUAAAUGAGCAGAGGAAGGAUAUCUUCAGCUGUUUAGAGAGAGUUCAUGAAAGCUGUUUGAAGAAAGACACAUAGGAAUAGCCUUGGAAGAGGGUGAUACAGGUAUUGUUCUUGUAAUAUGAGGAUUCUUUUGUGUUCAUGGCAUUUUAUUAUGUUUACUGGUUAUCAUGAGAUUCUAUCUUGACAUAUGAAUGCAAGCAGGUGAAACUCCUACCUAUGUUCUCUCAAUAUUUGUGUUCGCUCACCCUCAUCCUGCGUUUGGUUUCUAACUUGUCAUCUGGACUCUGUUUUAUGAGUUGUCGGUCAUUUUGAUUUAAUUUCUCUUUGCAAACUAUUUGAAACCUAUUUUUUUUCUUUAUCCACCUCUGCGUCGUGAGCUCGUUAAUUGAAAUAUGAAACGCAGCUUUCAUGAGCCCCUUUUUGUUCCUGCUCUGUGCUCUGUUUUUGCCACCCUCCUCUGUUCUUGGUAUUUGAUCAUGGGAGGUUGCCCCUUAUGUGUGAAGAAGAGAGUAUUGGCUUGAUAGGUCUGGAUUCUCAAGUCGUCCAUAGUGGUAGAGGACGUAUUCUGGGGAUCAGAUCCAUGACUUUGUUGCGUUUUUGUUGAUUGGAGGAGUGACAAUUUCCCAAGGGCAUGUAACGCAUGUGCUGGUGACUAUGGCAGAUGACAAUGAUGACAUUAACGGACUAUGACCACUAUUUUGGAGCCAUGGCUUGACACAUGGCAUCGCGUAGUGGAUUGGUUGAUACUAUUGAGUGGCCCAUUAAUAUCGAUUAUCCUGAUCAAUAACAAAGGGAAACUGAGCAUAUCAACCAGCUUAUCUCUUCUCUGUCUGAUGAGAUACCUCAUAUACAGACCUUCAAAGGGAAAUGGGCAGUUAUCAGAGGCAAGCUGAGUGAUCUCAGGACCCAAGUGGCUGAUUUUGGUGACUUUCCUGGGUUCAAGUCCAAUCCUCUUUCUAUGGAACUCAUGCAGUCCAUUUCGCAGACCCUACAAGACGCCGUUUUGGUGGCUUCGAGGUGUAGAGAGUCUGAGUUGUCUCAGGGGAAGCUCAAGACCCAAAGCGAUAUAGACUCGAUUUCCGCGAAGCUGGACCGUUUGAUCAAAGAUGGUGAGAUCUUGAUAGGGAGUGGAGUGCUUCAAGAUGGGGUAUUAGUGGGUUCGAAGAAAGAAGUAGUGCGUCACUUACAUGAAGACAUGCCUCAAAUUGUUGACAUCUAGCUCAUUGGGGAGACUAUCCGAGUUUUUGAGACUUACCUAGCUGAGUAUUGAUGUUGAAACGGAGAUGCGGUUUAGUAGGAGCGGCAGUCAUGAUUAGCAAGAAGGUGUGGUAUUGUCAUGCAAGUUCCCUGGGUUUGAGUUUAUGCUUUCUGAAAGGUGGUUGUUUAAUUAUGAUACUGUUCCACCAUGGACUCUUAGAUCUGGUGCAGUGAUAUCUGCUGCUUUUCUUUGGUUGAGCUUUUAGCUCAAUUAUUCAAGGAGUGAGAUGGGAUUGGACUUUAAAUUCUGAUUUGACCUUCUAUCCAUCCCAAUCAUGCAUGCAUAUAGGGCCAUCCUCCAUAAUACCCGCAUUCCCAUUCUUCAAAUAUCCAUUAUUCCACCCUUCCCACUACCUAUUCCACCCAUGACGCCCAUUUCCUCCAUUCAUUACACCCAUCUGCUAUAACCCAUUCCACAUAGCCAUAUCCUUUAUGCCCACCUUCUCACUACCCGUAUAUAUGCUUCAUAGCCUUCAUCCCUAUUCCCAUGCAAAUGCCUCACUAACUCUCUAAUGCCCAUCUCACUCAUUCUUUUCAUCACCACCCCACCUUCAUUAUUUCAUACCCAUUUCUAUUAUCACCAUUCUCUCUCUACACCACCAUGCACCAUGUCAUUCCUCAUCUGCUCAUCAUAUCCAUGUACCAUAGCUAACCCUACAACCAUAUUCACGUCAAAUUUUCUUCCAUGCAAACCCAUUUUCUAUAAAUCCCAUGCGUGUUGCUACCCUUACUCACCUACAUCAAUCUCUCCCCCUCAUUGUCAACACUGGUCAUCUGGAGUCUGUUGGUCCAUGUUCUUAGGCAGCCUUUCAUCACCGGAGUGUCACGGGUCUGGAAGUUGUUUCCCUUAUCACUCACAUUUGGAAAGGUAUAUGUAUUGGGCUACUUCCAUCUUUGUUGCAUUGGGCCUGUGUUGCUUCUUCUAUAUUUUGGGCGCAUGGCAACGAUGUGGUUUCGGGAAGGGAGACAGCAUGGACAUUGAAGUCACCAAACAAGCGGACUGCCGUUUCUCUCCAAUUUGAAUUUUGAGACUCGUCAUGAAGAUGAAGCAGGAGAAUGAUUGCUGUCGUACAGGGUGAAGUAAGCUCCUAAAAUGAAUCCAGUGUUUUAGGAUAGAUAUUGUUGUUGACGGGGUGGCAAUUAGAUGUAGUUGCGGAACUAGCUGCUCCCAAAGAAGAUAUGAAUCUGACUUGUUUGUUGAAUCAGCAGCUUGUGUAGCAACAGAACAACCCCUUGCUUGCUCUAUUAGGUCCAACUGGAAACAAAUUGAAGAGUAAGGGUGCUACUUUAAUCCUCAAAGCAUUGGAAGGAUACCAAGCACAGUUCGGCAAGAUCAGUUGCAAGCAAUCAUGGAUUUGACCUACUAAACAUCAAUGGUGAUUCCGCCAAAGUGUCAUUGUGUGAAAUAUAGGGGGAUGACUUGAGUCAAUACCUGGGCAACCUAUUGUUAAUCCACCCUCACCCCAUGCAAGUCUGGGCUCGUCUUUUAAUCCUGAAUAUAUUUGGGUCAAUGGACGCCUCCAGGGUAUUUUGAUGUACCCAUUAAUGCGAGCUGAUCAUCCACUCAAAGUCUCGAGAUGGCGGGUCAAUUUCUGGAAAGGGUAAUUGAAGAGGAAACUUGUGCAUAUAUAGACAGAAUGGGACUCUGUUGCAAGGAAAUUUAAUGAGGACGUGAACGUUAAGUUCCUAGGCUUCAAAGGAUUUGGAAACUUAAGUUGUGCAGAGAUGACACCCCCUAUUUGCCAGCAUUUUGAGACCAGAGGCACAAAAUCAAGGCGGAAUUGGAAAGUCUUUUAUUAGUGCCCAAGUCAAGGACAGUUGACAGUUAUUUGAUAUUCCGAGAAGCUUGGGAUAGGAUUCUUCCCUCAUGAUCUUGAAUGGGUACAUGACAAUAGUACCAGUCUUCAACCCCAGGGUAUUCUUACCCUGGACCCACUCUUUAAGCUUCUUAGUUGCAUGGCCACCUUUGGCAUGCAAUUUUGGACCACUUGUCCUUGCUCCAUUUUUUCUCUUUUUGAUUUUAAAAAUAAUCUUCCUGGAAUCAAAUACCAUCUUGUAAAUAUUUUUUUCAAAUUCUGAUUUUCAAAUGAUCCAAAAUUUCCCAUUUUCCAUCCUUAGAAUUUUUGGAUACCGAAACCUCAUUUUCAAUAAAAAUUCGGUUGCCAUUUUUUCUUCCGGCAAGCCACUUUUGCAUUUUCUUUAUUUUUAAAAUAAGUAAGAAUUAAAUUCCGUAAUUCCAAGUGAUGGAAGUUAUGGAAUUGAUUCAUGCAAAAUAGAUCGGGCUUUGGUGGGGGCCCAACAUCAAAUAAUUUUUCUUUAAAAUAAAAAUGAAUUUUGAGUGAAGUGUUAUGCGUGCCUUUGAUGAUUUUGUGCUUGAUUUUGUGACAUGUGAGUUAUGUUUAUACUCUUUGUUUUGCACUAACCCUUUCUCUUGAUAGCGCAUAGUGGCUCGCUGCACAAGUACACACUCAUUCCCACUCUGAUUAGUUUAUAUGCAUUUUCUGACUCUCGUAUGUGCAUGUUUCGCUCUGAGUAUUCAUUGAUUUCCUCAUCAUCGCCAUGUUAGCUUCAUUCUAUUAGUAGAGACCCGACUUUAGGGACUUAGAGGGGUGCUACGGUCUUUACCGUACCUUCCCGAUAAGUAACCUGACCCCCGAACCCGAUCCGGUUUUCACAGACCCCCUUUUCCAAAAUAAGGAGUCGCACUUAGGGUUUUUCUUUCUUAUUUUGUUUACCCUUUAAAAAUAAAACAAAAAUAAGUGGCGACUCCAAGUCAUUUUUGAAUAAAUAAAAUCAAUUUUUUCAAAUAAAAAUCGAGCUCGCCAUUCGAGUGGGAAACGCAUUCGAGCGAUCUAAAUGCGGGGUCCACAAUACUAUAUUUGGAAACUAAUAAAUAACACUUAGAUUUUUGUGGAAGAGUAAGGUUUGACCCUUUGGGAGUGGAAACUCUUUUAAAGCUUAAAUUUGCAUAAUGCCUUCUCUUUAAGAAUUGUGAUUAGACAAGUUAUUUGAUAACUCUUGUUGAAGUUUGAGUUUUAUUUCUUUAAUGUUCCAUGUGAGAGUUAGAUCAUCAUGGCACUUGAAAAUUAUUUUUUGAUCAACAUGAUGUUGUAAAUUAUAGUACUGUUUAUUUUUAUUUUUCUAUCCUUCAUUGCUAAGGGAAUAGCAAUAUGUCGGUUGGGGGGAGUGACUACUACUCAAAAAGUGCUAUUUCAUAGCUUGUAAUUAACUUUUUUAAAUACUUUUGAGUAGUAGUUAUCACCUUUUAACCCAAUUAACAUAUUAAGGACCCUUGCAAUCAAUUCUAAUCAAAUUGUGUUAAGUUUUGGUGUUUUGAUAGCCUUUUGAUCACCAAAGCAAUCCGAGAUUGAGGAGAGUUUUUUAGGAAUCCAUGGCAAAAGAUGUCCGGACAGGGCGUCCGGACACACCAUUGGAGAGCGGCGGAACGUGGGCUGUAGCAAGGCUUGCUCACUUUAGUCAAUGUUUUCCAUCCGGACAACAUAUCCGGAUAGGAUAUGCUAUCAUCCGGGAGAGGGGUCCUUACACCUUGCACACGCAGACGGUCCCCCUUGCGUAGCAUAGCUCAGUCCAUCCGGGGAGGAAUUCCGUGCGCCGACAUUUUACAUCCGGAUAUCUCACAGCCGGAUAGGAGAGGAGGACGUUUCAACUUCUCCGGUCAGACAUAUCUAGAUCCUGUGAUAGCGUUCACCCAGAGAGCAUCCACGACCGACAUUUCAGAUUACCCGGAUUUUGCAUAGUGCCGCGGUGUUCUCUUGAAGCUUCCCAAUAUUUGCCACCAACUAAGUUAGAUUUUUUCUCUUAAGAUAUUUUGUGUAAAUUUCUAUUUUCUCCUUGUAAUCAGUCAAAGAUAUUAUUGGGAUAUUUCUUAGAAAAUAUCUUCUCUAUAUAUAUCUUUGAACCAUUGUAAAGAGGAGAGAUAUAUUAUAUAUAUAUGAAACCAACGAGCAGAGCACUUGCUCUAUUUUUGUUCUUCAUAUUUUUGUUUUCUCGUUAGUUUUCUUUCUAGCCAAUCAAACUCUGAGGAUUUUUCCUUAGAGGAUGAGAGGCUAGGCUCUUUGUCUCUUGGAGUGAAGAAAGCCGGGUAAGUUUCUUCAUGCAUAAAAUGAAAGUUUUGUUGUUUUAGUUUUUAAUGAAGAGAAAGUGUGACCCGUUAAUGGUUUUUAUCUUUUUAGUUAACUUAAAACGCCUUUAACUCACCUAGGCCAACACUUGAUAAGGCAAGUGAUCUCCAUCCAUUGAGAUGCACUUGUUUAUCUCUCGCGAGCCUUGGGGAGGUGGUUUAGAGGUAGGAUUUUCUAGAAUUGCCAACACUUGGUAAGCUUUUGGACUCUAAGGAGACAUCCAUUAGUUAUCUCUUGCGAGCUUGAGAAGGGAAGUCCAAAGUUAAAGAUCACCUUGAAUGGCAAAUGUUAGGUGAGAGACACGAGCCAUUGCAAGUUGCAUCAGUGAGAGGGAUUUAAUGUUUGAACCCAUUAAAGGGAAGCAUCUGUACCACACCGGUUAGAGAAUUAACUAUAUGUUAAUUCUCUAAUGCGAGGAAAAGAAACAAGUGACCAGAACUCUCCUUUUUGUAUGAGGAACCUGAGCCUAGUGAUCUAAAUUCUAAGAAACACUUUUGUUUGUAGUUAAAAUUAGUUACUAUUUUUGGUUAGCUUAAAACCAAACCUUUUUCAUUCAAACAUCUUUAUGUUUUCUUUUAAAGCUAACUUUGAAAUGAAAAGGCACCAAUUCAUCUUUGAAAUAAUAUCAAUUGUGGAGUGAAAACCCAUCCCAGUGAACGACCCUAGAGCCACUACGCUAUGCUAGCUAAGUGUCACAAGAUGCUUCAAAUGACCCUCCCCAUGGCUUAUAUAGGAGGUGAGAAGCUUCUAGAGACCCUUGGAGACAUCCACACGUAGCCACUAGUGGGAAGAGUGUGGAAGGUUCUAGAAAUGCCUAGAGAAGUCCACACAACUCUACACUAUGGUAGAAGGCAUGAGAAGGGUCCAAAGCUUUCUAGAGAAAUCUAGAAGUCUCUUGAAUAUUCUAGAAUAGUGUAGGACAUUCUAGAAGUCUCUUGAAUAUUCUAGAAUAGUGUAGGACAUUCUAGAAUAUUCAUGAAUUGUAAGGAACCCUCCAAGGUUCUAGAGAGUUCCAUUGGUGCCUAUAAAUAGGUGAGGGCCUCAUUUGGCCAAGGCACCAAGCAAGUGAGCAUCCAAGCACUUGUAAAGGCUUUCUUGAGAUAAUAAAGCUUCCAUUCUUUAAGGAGUUGCCUACUAAGCUCUUAAGCUUUCGAGUCGCUAGUGUCUUAGCCGAGCAAGCUAAGCAUUGGGGAUCAAGGCUGACUUAGCAAGAUCAAGCGUCUUGACUUGCCUAAGUGCCGCACGAGCUUAGUGAACGACUAAGUCCGUGACAAGUGGUAUCAGAGCACGGUUACAAGGUGGGCAUAGCAAAGGAAGCAUGUCGGGUUCCAACGUGGAGGAGACUAGCGAGCAAACCCGUUGGAGGGAGACCGAGCCUACUGCACGGGGCAGGGGCAGAGGUAAGAAGGAUACAUCUCGUGAUGUUGUUGCCAACAUGGAGGCAAGGUUAGCCAAGGUGGAGCUAGCCAUGGCAGACACCCGGGAAGGGGUGGACUUGAUCGAGCAAGGCAUGGAGAAGGGCUUAGAGGAUCUAAGGGAGCAGAUCCAAGACCUUCGCGAGGGGGUGCUGGUCUCGCAAGUUCAGUCGGUGUCACACAAGGAGUUCAUGUCCUUCCAAGACAAGGUCAUGAGCAUGUUCGCUAGUGUGGAGUCAAGGAUGGAGGCCUUGACUGCACGAGUGGAGGCCCGAGACCAAGAGAUUCGACAAGAGUUGGCCAUCUAUAAGACCGUUGUAUCAGCUCGGGUCAUGGCCACACAGGAGGCAUCUAGGGUGGAGGUGCCGAAGCCACAUAGGUUUAGUGGCAAGCGGGAUGCCAAGGAGUUGGAUAACUUCUUAUGGCAUAUGGAGCGAUACUUCGAAGCUAUCGCAUUGACGGAUGAGGCGGCUAAGGUGAGAACUGCGACCCUCUACCUUACUGACACAGCUACUCUAUGGUGGCGUCGAAGGUUUGCCGAUAUGGAGAAAGGCAUUUGCACCAUAGAGACGUGGGAGGACUUCAGGAGGGAGAUCAAGAGGUAGUUCUACCCGGAGGACGUGGCUUACCUGGCUAGGAAAAACAUGCGGCGUCUUAAGCACACAGGCUCAAUACGCGACUAUGUCAAGGAAUUCUCUUCGCUCAUGCUUGAGAUUCCUAACAUGACUCAGGAGGAGUUGCUAUUCAACUUCAUGGACAACCUGCAAGGGUGGGUCGAGCAGGAAUUAAGGCGCCGAGGCGUUCAAGACUUAGCCACUGCUAUGGCAAUAGCAGAAUCUUUAACGGAUUAUAAGAGGGGAGACUCCUCCAAGGAUGAGUCUUUAGAGGAUAGCCACGCCAUGGGUGGGGGAGACGAGGUUCCAAGGGACCACAAUGCUCCUAAAAAGGGAUCAAGCAAGACGUCUAACGUCUGAGAAGGAAGGGAUAAGGCGGAAAGGAGGGAGUUUACGCCUAAAAUCAAAUGCUUCCUGUGUGACGGUCCACAUUGGGCACGGGAUUAUCCAAAGCGGAAGGCGCUCAGUGCCAUGAUCGAGGAGAGGGAGCAGGAGGACGAAGCACAUAUGGGCUCAAUGCAGCUACUAGGUGCCCUCCAAUUCAACUCGAAGCCUAGUACGCCUGAGACCUCCUUAUUAGCAGGGGUGCAAGUAAAGGAGAGCGAGCUGAGGUAGCCCUUACACACAUGGAAGAGGUCACUAAGGGAAAGGUGAACUCAAUGGGUAAGAGGAAGCAACACUCUAAGCAUCGGAAACGCACGGGUCUGCAUCCAUCUGAAGCCUCACUGGAGAAGGAGGUGAAGAAUAUCCUGGCUGAACGGGUCACCAGGAGACAAGGGGUCCCUCUUGUGAUAGAGUAUCUAGUCCGAUGGAAAGAACUACCUAAGAGGCAGGUAAGCUGGGAACAUGCGGAUGCCUUGAGAAAAUUCUGGAAACACAUCGAGAAGUUUCAGAAUGAGGCAACGACGAGGAUGUCGACGGCUUAGGUGGGGGAGAGUGUCACAAGAUGCUUCAAAUGACCCUCCCCAUGGCUUAUAUAGGAGGUGAGAAGCUUCUAGAGACCCUUGGAGACAUCCACACGUAGCCACUAGUGGGAAGAGUGUGGAAGGUUCUAGAAAUGCCUAGAGAAGUCCACACAACUCUACACUAUGGUAGAAGGCAUGAGAAGGGUCCAAAGCUUUCUAGAGAAAUCUAGAAGUCUCUUGAAUAUUCUAGAAUAGUGUAGGACAUUCUAGAAUAUUCAUGAAUUGUAAGGAACCCUUCAAGGUUAAUAACCUAAACAUCUUACCUCAAUAUUCUUUUAUGAAAAUUUUCAACUAUUGCAGGGUGUCCUUCAUGUCAUUGGUCAUGUUCAGGUCUGAAUAAGUAUGAGUAGUGGUGACAUACUUAAGAUAAUGACCUAUGUAUUUCAAUACAACUUGAAGAAUAUACAAUAAACAAUUUAGCAACAAAUUAGAUUCUUACAAGUUUUAACACAUUAAAUUCAAUAAGCAUAUUAAUUUCAAAGAAGGUUGGUAGCCAAAGGUAGUAAAAUAAUUGAGAUAAAGAAACGAAGAAUGAAGAGAAAUUAAUUUCAACUAAAACAUUAUAAUUAAAUUGAUCUUUUAACUUGACAUGUUAUGAAUCCAUGAAAAAUAAUACAUUGGUAAUACUUUAUUGAUUAAAAGAGUAAAAUAACACCAAAGAUAGAAAAAACUACGUGAUAUGGACAAAGGGUUUAUUUUUGUAACAAUGACCAACAGACUAAAAGUAAAAGGGCCUUGGUGGAGGAAAAAACUAUUAUGUCAAAAUGACUAGUUUCUUUCCUUACAAUUGUAUUUAGAUUAAGGAGCUAGCAUUCAAGUUGAUACCCUGUUUUAGAAAAGGAGGCUUUAGAGGCCUAUAUUAGGGAGAAUGAGGUGCUAUUUUUUUUUCCGUAGGCUUAUUUGUAAGAAGUCUUAAUCUAACUUCCUAUUUUUUAAUGUCAAAGAAAAUACAAGUAUAAGAUAUUUUAAACUUUAAGCCCAUUAGUUUAGGAGGAGGCCUCUACAAAUUUAGAUUGAAAAAAGUUAUAAAGCAAGUGAUCUUAAGGGUCCAAAAUGGUUUUUUUGAGGAUAAACAUAUUCCUAAUGCAUGCACAUGUAACAAGACUAAAGACUUUACAAAAAAGAGUUCGAAAAUGCAUGAAUUUUCAUACCAUUACAACACUAGGAUUUCUACCAAUCUAACUAAUAAGGAUGUGUACAGGAAAUACACAAAGGUUGUGACACCUACCAUGUCUAAUAGUCUUCACCUCUCAAUUUUCCAAUUACACAUCCAUCAAAAUAGAGCAACCAUUGCAUGAUCCAUAUUGAAAACACUACCAACUAGAAGUACCAAGAUAUACAUUAACAAAUCAUGACUAAGAAUAAAUUAUACAAUUAACAUUAACAAAAUAUUCACUAGAUAUUUAGAAUAAUAUGAAGUUAUAUUAGACUACAAGUCAUACAAGGUACCGUCAAGCAUGAGUAAUGAUUAAUUGACUGUUAAUUAAGAUGAGAUUGUCAAUUUGUAAUAAAUAAUAUUUAUGAUUCAAUAAUGUCACUCUUCCUAAAUUAUAGACUAAUAAAUUUUAUUCAUAAUUAAUUUAUUAUUUUCCAAAUAAAAACAAUAUGAAAUAGAAUAAAGACAAAAAGAAAAUUAGGAUUGUUGUUUAAUGUAUAAUCUAGGUUAUUUUGUCAUUUAUAAUCAUUUUAGGAAAUAAGAAAUUUUUAGAAAAAAUAAUAUUUUUUUCAAAUUCGAUAUGAUGGUGACUUCACAAAGAAAGUCAUUCUAUAAAUUAAGGGAUGACUUUAAUAGCUAUUAAUUAUCCUAUUGAUGGCUGUCAUUUCAUCACGUUUUACUAAUGAUGAUCCUUGUAGGUUUAUUUUGUCUAACAUUAAGUAUAUUUUGACAAGUUGAAAACAAAACAUAUAUAUAUAUAUAUAUAUAUAUAUAUUUAAGAAUGUAGGCAGCAUAUUAAUUACCAUGAAAAAUUAAAACCUCCAGCUCACAUCACACUAAUACCUUCACCCAUAUCUUUUCACAUUAGUAAAUACAGUUCAAAUACAAUACCAAAAAACAUGUACAUGCAUGUACUUAGCCAAUAUAAGUCAAUCCCAUUAUUUUAUAUUUUGAUCUCAUUACUUAUAUUUGAUCUUAAUUUCAUUUUGAUUAUUUUAAUCUUAUUACCUAUACCAUCAUCCAACUGUUUACAUUUUAUCCAAAAUUUUUAAUGGUUGGGAUGUAAAAUUCAAUAUGUAUUUCUUUAAGAUUUUCCUAAUAAACGCAUAAUUUCAUAAUAGUAUAGUGGAACUAUAUAGGGAUAUAAACAGGUGGCUCAUUUAGGCUCACUUAGGCCCACUUAGGCACACUCAGCCCAUUUGGACACCCCUAGGCCCUAUAGGCACAUUUGGCUCAUCUAGACUCACUUAGGUCCAUUUAGGUACACUUGGCCUAUCUAGGCUCACUUAGGCCCACUUAAGCCCACUUAGGCCCACUUAGGUUUACUUAGGCCCACUUAAGCUCACUUAGGCCCACUUCGGCCCACUUAGGCUCACUUAGGCCCACUUAGGCACACUAAGCUCAUUUGGACACUCCUAGGCCCUUUUAGGCACAUUUGGCCCAUCUAAACUCACUUAGGCCCACUUAGGCACACUAAGCCCAUUUGGGCACCCCUAGCUUUAGGCACAUUUUUUAAAUGGAGAAAUUAAGUUUUAAAUCAAAAAAUCAGGAUAUUUUUUAAACAAAGGAGUUGACACUUGAAUGUUUAAAAAUAAAAAUAAAAGAUUAAGUUUUUAGAUUGGAAAAUCAUUUUUUUUUAAUAAUGGAAAGGAUAAAUUUCAAAAUAUGAAAAUGAAAUUUUGGAAAUUUGGGAGACUUUUUUGUGGAGGGGAUAUGGAAUUCUAAGAGAGGAGGACUCCUCCAAAGAUACAGGGUUGCCAAUUGCCAUAGAAAAUGGGGGUUGGUGGUUUUGGAGAGUGGAGGAAUUUCUUUUAAAAGGGACUUUCAACACGCACGGGAGGGGGGAAUAGAAAAAAAAGGAAAGAAAAGGAGUGAGAAGACACAGCCGGGAAGAAGGACAUCUUUAAGGGUGGAGAAAACACACAGCCUACCUUGGGAACUUUCCACUACUAGCCGCCACAAGAAAAAUAAAAAAAAGAUCAGAACAUAAGACUCUACAAAAUAAAUCUAAAACAAAUAUCUAGAAGUUAAUUUUUAUCCUGAAAAUUUUCAAAGAACAUCUCCUAUAUAUCUAGUUUACCAUCUAAGUGACCAAAUCAAUUAACCAACCCUCAUUUAGUACCAGAUUUCAUAAUAAUGAUAAAUAGGUCCAGAACUGGGCAUCUUUUUAAGGUGUUCAACAAUUGAUUUUUCUAACUAAAUUCAAGAUGUCCUAAAAUCAUAAAAAAAUUUACAUAGCUAUCUUAAUAUAUAUAUAUUGUAUGAAAAAUAAUCACAGGGCAAUAUCACAUUCAUAACAUACUUAAAAAUAAAUAAACAUCUCUCCACUCCAGAAGAGCAUAUGUGUAGUGGGUGCAAGAAGAAAGAAAUUAUAUCUCUCAUUUUAGAAAUUAUUUAUUGAUAUUUUAGGCAUAAACAAUUAAAUUAAGAAGUCUAGAUUAAAAUAAAAAUAUUCAAAUAAAUCAAAUAAACCAUUUAUUAAUUUAAUUUUUCAGAACAAUACUAAGUGUAAAAAAUAGAGUGAAAAUUGAACCUUCCGAAAGAUUGAUUUAUAUCUUCUAAUUGGAAAACCAUAUUUGACCCAAGAAAUAUUCAAAAAUCAAGCUCAAGGAUUCUAGAAUGUCAUAGAAUAAUUAUACAAAUUUUAAAGGGUUUUUAAGUUACCAAAUUCCAAUUUACGAAUGCAAAAGUACAGUGAAUUAUCCAUAAUUUCAAUAAAUAAAUACAAACUUUGUUUUGAAAAAGACUUAGUAUGUAGGGAUCUAUUAAAUCCCAUUUUAAUUUCCAUGAAUUUAUCCAUGAAGACUCCAUUGAUUGGAGUUAUGAAAUUUAAUUCACGUAUAUUCAAAACCAAAAUUCAUUUUAAAUUUUCUUUUUCAAACUAUGCAUACCAAAUAAAAUUGGUUGCAUGAAUUUUUAGAAAAUUGAAUUUUCAUAACCUAAGAAUGUCCAAGACAAAUUUGGAAAAUUGAGAAUUAAUUUUUAGAAAGGUAGCUUGAUAAGAAUUUUGAAAUUACUAGCAAACACAAAUAAUCACAUAAAGUCCCACAACCAAAAGAAGAAAAUUCUUAAGGAGACAAAGUGGUGUGUGCCAAGGGUGAGUGAAGCAUGUUGACUUGUGUGUGAUGACAAUGAAAGUGUGGCUGUUGUGUGUGUGUUCAUAGUAACAACCUGGUGGUCUACUUUUCUAUGCAGCUAUGCAUGCCUUUCUUUAUCAAUUUAGCUAACGUUUGUUCUCCAAAAUUCAACUAGCGGUGUUGGUCUUCACAAGCUUAUGCAAAUUCUCAAAAUUCAGCAAUCUGAUGUGUGCUUGGGCUAGCAAUCUGGUGGUUUCAAAAUCUAAUAGUGUGAUCAUGUGUGAUACGUUCCCAAUUGGUGUCUCAGCUGAUUCAUGUCCUCUUAAUGGUCCCUAACAAUGGAACCAUUUGAUUCGUGUCCACCUGGUGCUCCUUGAUUGUGGUCCUCAGAAGGGAGUAAUCAACAAAAUUUAUAACCUAUUACACCAUGUACUAGGAUAGCCUUAGCUAGCAUAGCAUAGUGGCUCUAGGGUUGUUCACUGGGAUGGAUUUUCACUCCACAAUUGAUAUUACUUCAAAGAUGAAUUGGUGCUUUUUCAUUUCAAGGUUAGCUUUAAAAGAAAACAUAAAGAUGUUUGAAUGAAAAAGGUUUGGAUUUAAACUAACCAAAAAUAGUAACUGAUUUUACUUACAAAGAAAAGUGUUUCUUGGAGUUUAGAUCACUAGGCUCAGGUUCCUCAUACAAAAAGGAGAGUUCCGGUCACUUGUUUCUUUUCCUCGCAUUAGAGAAUUAACAUAUAGUUAAUUCUCUAACCGGUGUGGUACAAAUGUUUCCUCUUAAUGGGUUCAAACACUAAUUCCCUCUCAUUGAUGCACCUUGCAAUGACUCAUGCCUCUCACCUAGCAUUUGCCAUUCAAGGUGAUCUUUAACCUUGGAUUACCUGUCAAAAGCUCGCAAGAGAUAACUAAUGGAUGUCUCCUUGGAGUCCAAAAGCUUACCAAGUGUUGGCUAUUCUAGAAAAUCCUACCUUCAAACCACCUCCUAAAGGCUCGCAAGAGAUAAACUAGUGCAUCUCAAUGGAUGGAGAUCACUUGCCUUACUAAGUGUUGGCCCAGGUGAUUUAAAGGUGUUUUAAGUUAACUAAAAACAUAAAAACCAUUAAUGGGUCACACUUUCUAUUCAUUAAUAAUUGAAACAACAAAACUUCAAAUUCUUGCAUUUGGAAACUUACCCGGCUUUCUUCACUCCAAGAGAUGAAGAGCCUAGCCUCUCAUCCUCUGAGGAAAAAUCCUCAGAGUUUGAUUGGCUAGAAAGAAAACUAACGAGAAAGCAAAAAUAUGAAGGAAAAAUAGAGCAAGUGCUCUGUAAAAUAUAUUUCUUCCUUCUGCCGAUUACAUGAUUUUUGUCUCUGAGAAAAAACUCCUGAGAUUCGAUUAUAUAUAAGGGGUUAUUCACCCUUUGUUCUUACUUAAAGACUAAGGAAUCCUAUGAUAAGUGGGUUACAAGGAGAUUUUGGGGAUUUAGACAUCAAAUAUCUAAAGCAAAAUAUCUCAAAAUGUCGGUCGCAAAUAUCAGGAAGCUUCAGGAGAACACCGUAGUUGUGCGUGCAAGAGGGCUGUGAAAUUUCGCAGCAAAAGGACAACAUUUUCGCAGCCCAAGGCUGAUUUCACAGUCGUGCAAAAUCUGCCUUCAGCUUGGAGUGAUUGGCUUCCAAUGGCUGUAACUCCUUCAUUUCAACUCCGAAUCAUGUACCAUUUGAAGUAUUAGAUUUUUGACUUCCUGAGAUUCGAAACGACAUAUAGCAUGCAUAAAUUGAACUCCAAGAAGUGCUCCAAAAGUGGCUGACAUGACUGUCAUCUAGAAUGCUUCAUGUUAUAUUUCUCUUUGCUUCCCCUCCUUGCAUUCUGGAUUUGCUUAUGGCAAAGGACUUCAAAGCUUCGGUUCUUCAUGUUUCUGAGUUCUUCAUUGCUUUGCCAUGGAUUCUAAAGAACUCUCCUCAAUCUUGGAUUGCUUUGGUUAUCAAAUUACUAACAAAAACACCAAAACUUACACAAUUUGAUUAGAAAUGAUUGCAAAGGUGCUUAAUAUGUUAAUUGGGUUAAAAGGUAAUAACUGCUACUCAAAAUUGUUUAAAAGAGUUAAUUACAAGAUAUAAAAUAGCACUUUUUGAGUAGUAAUCAAUGUGCUUGUUGCUUUUCUCCUCACAACCAUGCACUAUCAACUUACCUUUCUACCAUUAACAAUUCGUACACAAUCAGUUUGCCUUCCCAAAGUUCUAAAGACUUCCCUUUAAAAUUUCUAAUAAUUAUUUUAUUCCCAUCAAAUUUCAAAUAUGCCACUAACUGCUACCUCUCUAAUACCUUCUCAUCUUCUUCGCUUCAAGCCAAAACCAUGCACUAAAUUUAUGUGACUCUCUAGAACCUUUUGUCAAUUUUUUUUUUUUUACAAACUGUGCACCAAACGAUCUUCAUUCUAGAAAAAACCGGUGCUAACACCAAUCCCCACCAUGUCCACAAUCAACUCGGGCGUUCCCUAUGGUGUGUGUUUGGAGCCCUUUUCAAAGGUACAAAAUUGUUUCUCUUUUAUGGCAGUAUGCUAGCGUGAAUAGAGAUGCCCUCUAACAAUCAACAAGAGAAUAGUUCCUAAGCCUUCCUAUCAAGAGUUUUCUCAAUCUACAUAAAUGGUAAUUGUCUACACUAAUUUCUAAAUACUUAGCCCCUCUGAUUAUGGGUUGAUGAACACCCAUUUGAACAUAACGACCACUUUCCCUACCUUACGUACAAUUUUGCAGUUUCCUUUCUCUAUAAAUACUAGAUUUGGACCAGAUGUGACAUUUGGCAUGCCCAAGGGCAUGGACUAGAAGCAAAGGAAAGCAACAAAAAAUAGGGCAUGAAUGGGUAAAACAAAAUGAACUAACAAAAGCCACAUUUCAUACCUAAUCAACAAAUCAAGAAUAGGUAAUAAAAACUGAGAGAAGUAAUAUGAUUAUCAAAUACUAAACCUAAAGGUAAAUUUAUCGAUUUACAAAGGGAAAUCAAAGAAUCCAAAAUGUGACCAAAACAGAGCAUGUAUGUAGACAAUUAGAUUCAGUCAAACCAACCAAAUAACUUUUGAUGUCCACACCAAAUCAACAAGACAACACUCAUAAAUCUGCAUAAAAUAAAAUAAAAUAGUAUUGAAAAUGAGGAAGAAAUGAAGAUCUUACUUGGAAGGCUCCCUCCUUGAAGUUGUUGCAUGUUGAAGAUCUUAGAGUGAGCAGUGUUUCUUCUCCACUAUAGCCCCUAUAAUUAGGGCAUGAUUUUCAAGGGGAAACUCAACCAACAUCAAAGCACUUGCAAUAAAUGAGGAAUAUGGAGUUGAAAGAGUGGAGAAUCACUUGAUUUUUUGCUCAAUGGUGGAAUUUGUAAGAGAAGAAAGGAGUUUUAGUGCUUAUUCUCUAUUAUGAGAGUCACAAAAUGGAGAUUCAAAAAUGAUUUCCAGAUUUUUAUACUCAAGAUCUCACACUAGGGCUUGGAAACGCACCGUGUGACAAGAUUUCCAGUGUCAAGAGCCUCAUCUAGAGUCAUUGAUCGAUAUUGAUUGUAGUUAACUAGGCUCCAAGGGUUUGUCGGGGUUUUGAAAAAAUGGAGGGAAUGUUUGGCGUACUAUGAAGUCGUGGGUGAGAAUGGGAAAUAUGUGAGCCAUAUAUAAAGGUGUUAUUUUGAUGUCACUUUUAUAGAGCACCAAGGUAAAAAUAAAUAAUAAAGACACUUAUAGAAAACCUCGUGCUAUAGGAAGCAUCAUUAUCCCUCAGCAUAAAGCGCCAUGGUCUAACAUUUUCCUUUUAAGCGUCAACUUCGACCACUUAUUUACUCAAUUGCCCCUCUAAAAGCCAAGUGACGACAUUUUUUUUGAAGCGCCACAAAUUGUGUUUUUUGUAGUAGUGUGGAGGUCUUCCUAUACCCUAUUUAACAUAAUAUAACCUUGCGUACAUGCUUUAGAAAAAUAAGUAAAAGUUUAGAAAAGUAUUUACAUUUGAUUUGAGUUGAAUCAUUCCCUUAUUCGACCUAUUUUGGGUCUAAACUUUAACUUAUGUAAGCCUCGUGAUGCUUUCCUAAACCUUAUUUAGCAUGGUAGAACCCUAGAUACAUCAUUUACAAAAAUAAGUACAUUCUUAAGAAAAAGUACAUCAUUUACAAUAAUAAGUAUAUUCUUAAAAUAUCUAUAUAUACAUACAUUCAUAAGGAAAAUACAUACAUUUGAUUUGAGGUUAAUCAUGACCUAAUUCAACCUAAUUUGGAUCUAAGAUUUGACUUAUGAUGCCUCAGAAUGUAUUUUAUGCCUUCCAAAACUCCGUUCAACAUGAUAGAAGUAUAGGUACAUUCUUUAGAAAAAUAUGUUCGAAAUCUGAAUUUUCCUAUUUGAGGUCUCUUAUAUAUAUUUAUGUAAUAUAUAGUUGUAAAUUAGAUUAGAAAAAUGUGUAUAACUGUAAAUUAUAUUAGGAAGAACAAUCUUUGAUUUAUAAGGAUUUACUUGAUUUAUAAGGAUUAUUAGUUUUCUUUUCCUUUAAUUUUUUUUGUAAAUAUAAGAUAUAAAUUAAGAUCGUAACAAGUAAUUGAAUAAGAAUCUUUUACCAUUUUCUCUCACAUGGUAUUAGAGCCACUUUGACAUCCUUCAUUAGCCUUCAUUGUUGAUUUUAGUUCAAGUUUUUUAGCCUUCACUGUUGAAGAUUUCAAGCCUAAUUCUUUCAACCUUCAUUGUGUGUUUUGUUUAUUUCUUUUUACAUAUUUCAUCCAUUCUACCUGCAAUUUCUGGGAUUUCACCAUGUCUAAGAUGUAUGAUAUUUCUUUUAAAACUAAUUUCAUAAUUUAAAUUAAUGAUUUAAAAAAAUAAAAAUGUUACGAAAAUAAUUUUUAUUUAUUUUUAAUUCCAUUUAAAUAUGAUUUUUUUAAUCUCUACUAUUAUGUUUAUAAGAGCAAAAUAGUAAAAAUAUAUAUUCCAUUUAGUUUACUUGUAAUGAACAAUUCAAACAUGAUUAAUUUUAAUUUUAUUUCCUAUGAGUUAAUUUAGGUAGGGAAGGUCUUAAUGGCAUAGUUUGGUUUUUUUUUUUUUUUUUUUUUUUAAAAAUGUCAAGUUCAAGUUGUUUAAAAAUUGUACAAAACCUAUUAGGAGCCUUGUACACCCUUGUACACUUAACACAUUUCCUUUAUAAAAUUAGUGUAAUACCCUUGUACAGUAAUGCAAAUUCCAUAUCCCUCCUAAGUUAUGUGUCCAUAUAGGUGUGUUAACCAUAUUUUCAAUGGUUUGGUUGAGAAAAUGAUGGAUGACUUAGGGUCAAACAUCAUUAUUGGGGAAAACAUUGGAAUUCCAUGUGGGAUUUAAAUAAAGUACAUGACAUGGGUAUACAAUCCUUCGGCGACAAGGAAAAUAAAGGAGUGGCUCAAAAUUGAUUGAAAUCUUUCAUAAAGGGUAAUCUUGUACACCUUGUACACUUAGUAUAUUUCCCUUGUAUAGUUAGUGUAACACCCUUGUACAAUGACACAAAUUCCAUAUCUCUCCUAAUUUAUCUGUCAAAGUAGGUGUGUUAACCAUGUUUCCAAUGGUUUGAUUGAGAAAAUGUUGGAUGACUUAGGAUCAAAUUUUUUUCCCUAAACAUCAUUACUAGGGAAAGUAUUGAAAUUUCCAUGUGAAAGUUAAAUAAAGUGUAUGAUAUGAGUGUACAAUUCGUGGGUGAUAAGGAAAAUAAAAUGAGUGGUUCAGAAUUGAUUGAAAUCUUUUACAAAGGGUAGCCUUGUACACCCUUGUACACUUAGUGUAAUACCCUUGUACAGUUCGUGUAAUACCCUUGUACAGUAGCACAAGUUUCACAUCCCUCCUCUUAAGUUACACAUAAGUGUGUUAGCCAUGUUUCCAAUGGUUUGGUUGACAAAAUGGUGGAUGGCUUAGGGUCAAAAUCUUUAUCCCAAACAUCAUUAUUGGGGAAAGUACUAGAAUUUCCAUGUGGGAGUUAAAUAAAGUGCAUGACAUGGGUGCACAAUCCGUAAGUGAUAAAGAAAAUAAAUAAGUGGUUCAUAAUCGAUUAAAAUCUUCCACAAAGAGUAGCCUUGUGCACCCCUUAUACAGUUAGUGAAUGCCCUUAUAUAGUGACACAAAUUCCAUAUCCUUAUAGUGAAUGUGUGCUUAUAGGUGAAUUAAACAUGACUCUAGUAGUUUGGUUAAGAAAAUGGCAGAAAACUUAAAUUCAACUUUUUGUGUGAAUAUAUUAUAUUUUUGUGAAAAAAAAAAAUACACAAUUGGCCAAUUCCUUUGUUUAAUUGUGAACAAAUUAUAUUUUUAUUUUAUUAUUAAAAUAACUAAUAAAAAAAUAAAAAAGAAUAAUUAAUAAAUGAAAUUUAAUUCUUUUUAUUGUUUUCAUAUAAAAAUAGUACUAUACAAGGUUUUCAAUUUUCAAAUUUAAAAAUAGUUUUUGUUUUUUUAAUUAAAUGUAUUUUCAAAAAGAGACAAUAUAGAAAAUAAAAAAUUGUUUUAAAAAUAAAAAUUAGAAAAAUAUUUUAAAACCAAACUCAAACAUAAUCUAUAUAAUUUUUAACUACUUGUUUUCAUCUAAAAUGAGUAAAUAUAUCAUUCAACCCUUUUAUAUAAGAAAAAAAAUCAAUCUCUACUAUACUAUAUAUUGAUAUAAUUCACUUCUAAAAUUAGGUCAUAUGAAAACAUUUUAAUUAGAUAUUUAAAAUAAAAACUCUCCAUCCAUCCUCUUUCUUUCUUUUUCUUUUUCUUAUUUUGAUAAAUUUUCAAUUAAUUCAAAUUAUUAAAAAAAAAAUCCUUAGUAAACAAAUUUGCAACAUUUCAUAUAACUUAUUACCAAAAGUCAUCUUCAAAAAGUUAUUAAAAUAAGGAAGGAAGAAGAUUAAAAGAAAAUUUAAACUUUUUAUUUUAUAAUAGUAAAAAAUAAAUUUUAAAAUACUUUUUAGUAUAAAGGGAAAGAAAAUAGUGAAUAUUUUUAUUUUAAAUAGUAUUUUAAUCAUUAAAUUAUUUACUUCUAAAAUGUAAAAGAUAUUUUUUAUUUAUUUAAAUUAACAUUUUUUGAGAAAGUAUUUUCCAAAAUAGUUUUUGAAUCAUUAAUAUAAUUUUGGUUUAUUUAUAAUUUUAAAAUAGAAAAUAAUGUUGAUUUUUCAAUUAUUUAUAAAAGAGUUUAAAAAAAUAAUGAAAAAUAAAAAAAAUGGUUAAAUAAAGAUGAAUUUGUUAAUAGUAGCAUAUGGAGAGUUGUGGAAUGAAGACAAAAAUGAGUUAAAAUGAUAUUUUUGUCAAUUACUAUUUCAUAUCCUUGUAAUCAAUUAUAGGUGAGAGGAAUACCUUACAUCAAUUAUCAAACACCAGCACAAUUCUCCCCUAGAUCUAUAUUGCCCAUAGAUUUGUAUGCUAAUACUAAAUAAAAUGAAAAUAUAUUUAUCACAUAAUUUUUAUGUUUAUGUUAUAUUCUGUUUUAAAUUUUUGUUAAAAGAAAUCAUAUUAUGACAAUAGUAAUAGAUGAGAAAAAAACCAAACAUAAUACAUAUGGUUCACUCUCAAAUGUGGGAGACUUGUCACUUUGUUGUUCCAAAAUUUCCACUAUCAUAAAAAAAAAUAAAAAAUAAAAAAUGUGUGAUCUCACCUCUUACAUGCCUCCUCUAUCAUAAAAUCAAAAUAAUUGAAUGUGGUUCUGGCUUCACCAUGGUUCUAGUUUUUUUGCUUGAUUAAAAUUUUAAGUUUUCUGUUUAUAUCAAAAUAAAAUAGAAAUAUAUUUUUUCAUAAAAAAUUGUAUUAAAUAUUUUAUAUUAAUUUUCUUUUAGUUUUAAAAUAUUAUUACAACUCUCUACUCUUAAAAAAAUAAAAGACAAAAGAUUUAGUUUCAAUUUGGUAACUAUUUUAAAAAAUAAUUGUUUUUUUAAAAGAAAAACCAAGAAAACAUGUUUGACAACUAAAAAAAAUAUGAAACAAUUUUUUUUUUUUUAUCUUAAAAACAAAAAUAUGGUAUUUUUUGAAAACGUCUUUUAGUCGUUUUCACUUGGGUUUUUAGGGCUAUUUUUUUUAAAAUAAGUAUACAAAUAUGGAGAAUGAUUAAAAAUAAAACACUACAUAUAAAAUUUAUUGUUAAAAUGUAUUUAAAAACAUAGAAAACAAGUUAAAAAUAUUUCAGGUUUCAAAACAAGCUUUUAGUCUACAAAAUAUCAAAGACCAAAUUUCAAUAACUGUUCUUAAAAACUAUUUUUUAAAUUUUUUAAAAAAAAACACUUCCUAAACAAAGCUAAUAUAACUCAAUUUUGCUUCACCAAAAUUUGAAAAAAUAAAAUAAAAAUUUUAUAUUUCAUUAAUUUUAGUUCAAAAAAUAAAUAAUUGAUUUAUUAUUAAGGAAAAAGGUUUACUAGUAAUAUUAAAUGUUUAUAAAAUGUCAACCAUUAUAAGAUAAUGAAAUUAAUUAAAAAAAAAUAUACAUCUAAUAUGUAAUUCUAAUUUGUAGAAAAUAUUUUUUAAUCAACCCCCUCUCUAUUAUUAAUUUAAAUUUUUUAAAAUUGUGUAAAAUUAUUUUUAUAAAUAAUUUUUUUCUUUAACGUAAGGGUAAGGCCACCAAGUGUUUGUUUUUUUUAUUUAUUUAAUAUUUUAUGAUUUUUUUUUUCCUUUUAAAUUAAUGGUAAAUCUUUUUUUUUUUUUUUUUUUUUGAGGUGUUAUACUUUUUUAGGGUGAGUAGUAUGAGAAAAGAAGGUUGAUCUUAAUUAGGAAAACAUUUAAGAUGGGGGGAGCAAGGUUGAAUUGAGUUUUUAAAAUAUCCUUAUUUAAACACAACAAAUUCAAGAAAAGGAAGCACAAAUAUAAAGAGAUAAAGUUAGAGGAAGCAAACAUAGAUUUUAUAGUGGUUCGACACUCCUUGCCUACGUCCACUCCCCUCAAGCUCCUAACUGAGUGAGGGUUCCACUAUCCUUGAAGCUUCAACCAAGCUUCCAACGUCUUUACACUUGAUUCCGAUUCCAAUGGCUCUUACACAAUCCUUCAAGUAUUCACUAACUUGAAGCUUUCUAUUCACACAAUCUCACUUUAAAAUAAUGAAGGAAACUCUUAACCUAGCUUAAUAAAGGCUCAAAUACAAUCGAAAUGCUAGGAAGAAUGACAAGAGUGCACUAAAGAGUAUAAAAGUAAGGAUUUAAUGCAUCAAGGAGAGAAUGAGAUCUUUUAAGAGAAGAACAUGUAGUUAAACAAUUGAAUGCAGGUGUUCUCAUGUUCAUAAAUGAAGUAAAACUCUCAAUUUAUAAGUUUCUAACCACGGGAGCCAAAACUGCCAAAAUGUUAACCUCGACUGGUCAAGUUAGGGGUCAACUGGUUGACUAGUCGUUGGGCAAUAAAUGUAUGGUAGGUGACCGACAGGCCUCGACCACACCUUAACCAGACCUCAACUAGGAAAACCUAUCAUCGAUCGGGAAUGCAUAGCUACUGGAAGAGAGAGAAUACUUUUUGCAUCCCUCAAUCAAUCCUUAACUAGGAAGGCUUAAUCGAUUGACUGGUACCCUAACCAAUUGAGCCGGUUGGAUAGUCCCUUGAUUGAUACACCUAUUUUGGUCCGAAAACCUAUUUUUUUCUAUUCCUUUCAUUUUUAACACUUAGGCAAAGUCUUUAGGAGUAUUAAUAGAUUAAAUUUAAAGCAAUUUGCAUAAGGUUUGUAUAAGAAAACUCAAGGUUUAAUGGAAAUUUAAUUUUAAUUAAUAAACCAAGUUUUUAAAGAUGCAUAAAAAGAUAUGAAAAUCCUAAGUGUACAAAUGCAUUCAUCUUACAUAUGUUUCUUAAGAUUAGAAGGCCUUCUAUAUGUUUCAAUGAUUACUACUCAAAAAGUGCUAUUUGAUAGCUUGUAAUUAACUCUUUUAAACACUUUUGAGUAGUAGUUAUUACCUUUUAACCCAAUUAGCAUAUUAAGUACCUUUGCAAUCGUUUCUAAUCAAAUUGUGUAAGUUUUGGUGCUUUUGAUAGUAAUUUGAUCACCAAAGCAAUCCAAGAUUAAGGAGAGCUCUAUGGAAUCCAUGGCAAAGUAAUUGGAAACUCAUUUACAUGAAGAACCUAACCUUUGAAGCUUUAUAGUCCUUUGCCAUAAACAAAUCAUGAAUGCAAGGAUGAAAGCAAAGAGAGAAAUCUAACAUGAAGAAUUCAAGAGGACAUCAACUGUUUAACACUUUUGGAGAACUUUUUGGAGUCCAUUUGAUGUAUACUAUAUGUCGUUUCGAAGCAUGGGAAGUUAGCAAUCCAAUGCUUCAAACGGUGUGCGAAUCGAAGUUGAAAUGAAGAAGUUAGAGCCAUUGGAAUCCGAUCACACCAAGUUGAAGGCCAAUUUCGCAGGCUACGAAAUAAUUUUGCAGCCAUCUUGUACGUCUGCCAAAUUUCGCAGCCAUUUUGUGCGCCUGCGAAAUUCUCCUGAGUGCUUCCAGAUAUUUGUGACCGAUAUUUUUUGAUAUUUUGCUUCAGAUAUUUGAUGUCUAAAUCCCCAUUUUCUCCUUGUAAUCCACCAAUUAUAGGAUUCCUUAGUUAUUAAGCAAGAAAAAAGGGUGAAUAACCUGAUAUAUAUUGUUUUUGUAAUUUUCAUUGCAGACAUCUCGGGAGCUUGUUCUCAGAGACAACUUUUUGUAUAGUUUUUGAAAGGAAGUAAAAUAUAGAGCUUUGCUCUGCCUUACCUACUCAAUUUGAUUGUAUUUUUCAUUACUAGCCAAACAAGCUCUGAGGAUGUUUCCUCAGAGAAUGGGUUGCUAGACUUUUUGUCUCUUGGAGCUAAGGUAGCCGAGGGAGGUGCCGAAUGCAAGAAUUGAGAGUUUUGUUGUUUCAGCUGUUAAUGAAGAGAAAGUGUAACCCGUUUAUGGUUUCUAUGUUUUUAGUUAACUUAAAACGCCUUCAAUUCACCUGGGCCAACACUUGGUAAUGCAAGUGAUCUCCGUCCAUUGAGAUGCACUAGUUUACCUCUUGCGAGCCUUUGGGAGGUGACUUGAAGGUAGGAUUUUCUAGAAUUGCCAACACUUAGUAAGCUUUUGGACUCUAAGGAGACAUCCAUUAGUUAUCUCUUGCGAGCUUGAGAAGGGAAGUCCAAGGUUAAUGAUCACCUUGAAUGGCAAAUGCUAAGUGAGAGGCACGAGCCAUUGCAAGAUGCAUCAGUGAGAGGGAAUUAGUGUUGAAAUCCAUAAAAGGGGAGCAUUUGUACCACACCGGUUGGAGAAUGAACUAUAUGUUAAUUCUCCAAUGCGAGGAAAAGAACCAAAGUGACCGGAACUCUGUUUUUGCAUGAGGAGCCUGACCCCAGUGAUCCAAAAACUCCAAGAAACGUUUUUCUUUAUAAGUAAUUCCCAUUACUUUCUUUUUAGUUAGCUUGAAACCAAACCUUUUUCAACUAAAGUUUAUGUUUUCUUUUGAAGCUAACCUUGAAAUGAAAAGGCACCAAUUCAACUUUGAAUUGGUAUCAGUUGUAAGUUGAAAACCCUUCCCAGUGAACAAUCCUAGAGCCACUAUGCUAUACUAGCUUAUGCUAUCCUAGUGCAUGGUGAUAUAGGUUAUAAAUUUUGUUGAUUACUCCCAUCAGGGGACCAAAAUCAAGGUACACCAGCUGGGCACGAAUCAAAUGGCGUCAUUGCCAGGGAAGGUGACAACUUCACAGUGAUAUUAUUUCAGAGUACUUGUGAUUUUCAUCACAAGUUUAGUGACUUUUCUUUCAUUUUACUAAUUUUUAAUUAUUUCUUUUACUUGUUCAUAUUCUAAAUAUCUUUUAAUUAAGUUUUAUUUCAUUUUAGUCUUUUUUGUAGUCUUUUUUUUCUUUUGUUUUCUUUUGUUUUUGUUUUAGUUACAAUUGAAACUGGUUGUGUAUGCCAAAUUGGAUACGAGAUAGUGGAGGAAGGCUUGUUAAACGUGAUACACCUCAUAACAAGGAAUUGGAAUUGAGCUUGAAAAUCAUGGAAGCUACGCCUGAAGAUCAGCAUAGUCACCAUGGUCACCAGGACAAUCCCAAUGCUUUCAGAUCAAUGAGGGACCGUAUGCAUCCACCUCAUAUGAGUGCACCAUCAUGCAUAGUGCCCCCUACAGAGUAGCUAGUGAUCAGACCGCAUAUUGUUCCACUUCUACCAACUUUCCAUGGGAUGGAAAGUGAGAAUCCCUAUGCACAUAGAAUUUGAAGAUGUUUGUAAUACAUUCCAAGAAGGAGGAGCUUCAAUCAACUUGAUGAGGCUUAAGUUAUUUCCUUUCACUUUAAAGGAUAAGGCCAAGAUUUGGCUUAAUUCUUUAAGGCCAAGAAGUAUCCGUACUUGGACUGAUUUACAAGCUGAAUUCCUCAAAAAGUUUUUUCCAACUCACAGAACAAAUGGCUUGAAAAGGCAAAUUUCAAACUUCUUAGCUAAAGAGAAUGAGAAAUUCUAUGAGUGUUGGGAAAGAUACAUGGAAGCCAUCAAUGCUUGUCUUCACCAUGGUUUUGAUACAUGGCUAUUGGUGAGUUAUUUCUAUGAUGGGAUGUCUUCCUCAAUGAAGCAACUCCUCGAGACAAUGUGUGGAGGAGAUUUCAUGAGUAAGAAUCCGGAGGAAGCUAUGAAUUUCUUGAGUUAUGUGGCUGAAGUUUCAAGAGGAUGGGAUGAACCAAACAAAGGAGAAGUGGGGAAGAUGAAGUCUCAACCGAGUGCUUUUAAUGCUAAGGUUAGGAUGUACAUCUUGAAUGAAGAUGUUGAUAUGAAAGCAAAGUUUGCAGCUAUGACAAGAACAUUGGAGGAGCUAGAAUUGAAAAAGAUGCAUGAAGUACAAGCUGUUGUUGAAACACCAGUGCAAAUACAGUCGUGUCCUAUUUGUCACUCUUAUGAACACUUGGUGGAGGAGUGCCCUACAAUUCCAGCUGUAAAGGAAAUGUUUAGAGAUCAAGCAAAUGUUGUUGGACAAUUCAAGCCCAAUAACAAUGCUCCAUAUGGAAAUACUUACAACUCAAGUUGGAGGAAUCAUCCAAAUUUCUCAUGGAAGCCAAGAGCACCUCAGUACCAACAGCCGGCUCAACCAUCUCAACAAGCUUCAAGCCUUGAACAAGCAAUAGUGAAUCUCAGCAAGGUUGUGGGAGAUUUUGUUGGAGACCAAAAAGCCAUCAAUGCUCAACUCAGUCCAAGAAUUGACAGUGUAGAAAAUACUUUGAAUAAAAGGAUGGAUGGGAUGAAAAAUGAUUUAUCUCAAAAGAUAGAUAAUCUCCAAUACUCAAUCUCAAGGCUCACUAACUUGAACAUAGUGCAAGAGAAGGGUAGAUUUUCUUCUCAACCUCACCAAAACCCCAAGGGUAUCCAUGAAGUGGAAACUCAUGAGGGAGAAUCUUCACAGGUGAGAGAUGUUAAAGCCUUAAUCACUCUAAGGAGUGGUAAAAAAGUUGAGUUGCCAACACCCAAGCCACAUGUUGAAGAGGAAGAAGAAAAAGAGACAAAGAAGAGGGAGGAAAUCAAAGGAAAGAAGAAAGAUAUCAGUGAAGGGAAAGAGGACCAUGAUUCAAUAGUGAAUGCAAAUCCGGAGAAAAUACUUAUUAAGGAAGAAAUUGAAGAAACACACCUCUCCACCUUUUUCUCAAGCUUUGCAUGGGAAAAAGAGGAUAAAAAAUGCAUAAAAAAUUCUUGAAGUAUUGAGACAAGUGAAAGUCAAUAUUCCAUUGCUGGAUAUGAUUAAACAAGUUCCAACACAUGCAAAAUUCCUAAAGGACUUGUGUACUAUCAAAAGAGGGUUGAAUGUAAACAACAAAGCCUUCUUGACUGAGCAAGUAAGUGCUAUCAUACAAUGCAAGUCUCAUUUGAAGUACAAAGGUCCGGGAUGUCCUACCAUUUCAGUCAUGAUUGGAGGAAAGGUAGUGGAGAAAGCUUUGUUAGACUUGGGAGCAAGUGUGAAUUUGCUACCAUACUCUGUCUACAAGCAAUUGGGACUUGGUGAAUUGAAGCCAACAUCAAUCACUCUAUUUCUAGUAAAUAGAUCAGUGAAAUUUCCAAGGGAGGUAAUUGAAGAUGUCUUAGUUCAAGUUGAUAAUUUCUACUAUCCAGUAGAUUUUGUUGUUCUUGAUAUGGACCCUACUGUCAAGGAAGCUAAUUAUGUUCCUAUAAUCCUUAGAAGGCCAUUCCUUGCUACCUCAAAUGCAAUCAUCAACUAUAGGAAUGGACUCAUGCAACUCACUUUUGGCAACAUGACACUUGAGCUCAAUAUCUUUUAUAUGUCUAAAAAGCAAAUCACUCCGGAAGAAGAAGAAGGUUCAGAGGAGGUAUGCAUUAUUGACACUCUAGUGGAGGAGCACUGUAAUCAGAAUAUGCAAGACAAGUUGAAUGAAAGUCAUGGGGAUCUUGAAGAAGGGUUGCCUAAACCCUCUAAUGUGCUUGCUACUCUACAAGGUUGGAGGAGGAGAGAAGAGAUUCUACCUUUGUUCAAUAAAGAGGAGGCACAAGAAGUUUCUAAAGAAGAGAUCCCAAAGCUCAAUUUGAAGCCUUUGCCCAUGGAGUUGAAAUAAACAUACCUGGAAGAGAAUAAAAAAUGCCCUAUUGUUAUAUCUUCAUCUCUUACUAGUCCUCAGGAAAAGUGUCUACUUGAAGUUCUCAAGAGGUGUAAGAAAGCAAUAGGAUGACAAAUAUCUGACUUGAAAGGCAUUAGUCCUUGAUUCGACUCAUGGUAGCUUAGCUUUAAAGGCGUAUCAACAAAAUUUAUACCUUAAAUACUAUUACUAAAGUAGCCAAGCUACUAUAGCAUAGUGGUUCUAGGAUCGUUCACUGGGAAGGGUUUUCGCAAACACAAGUGAUAUUCAAAUUAGGAAAAUAAGUGAUUUUCUUAUGGAUGUUAGCUUUAAAAGAAGAUGUAAAUGUUUUAGAAAGAUUUAAACUAAUCUAAGCUAACAUUAAAGACUAAAAUGAAAGGGUGUAAAAACAAGUUUCUCAAAGAUAGGAUAGCUAUGCUCUGGCUCUUAUGCAAAUUGGAAAUCUCAGGAUAGGCUCCUCGCGUUGGGGUUGCAACUAUGGUGAUGCUUGCUUCCCGAACCGGUAUGGAUUUAGCAAAUCAAGUUUUAAUCCUUUAAAAUGACAAAACAGAUGGUAGUGAAUUUCAUCAAUGGUUAUUCACCUUAGACUUCCUUUGAAUGGCUCGUAAGAGAUAACUAAUGGUCUAAAGCCAAAAGCUUACCAAAUAUUGGCAACUCAAAGUCAUUCCAGGUGAUAAACUCACCUUUCAAUGGCCAUUGAAAUUGGUUCUAACGGAUUAAUGCAAAACUUGGAAUUGAAAACCUCACCUUCCAAUAGCUCGUAGGAGAUAACUAAUGGAUAGAAAUCCAAAAGCUUAUCAAGUAUUGGCCGUUGGAAGUUGUCCAAAGGAAAUAAAAACCAAACUUUGCAUUAAUGAACCUUUAAUGAAAAACGUCUACCUUACCUUCCAGGUGCGAGAAAUUUCCAUGGGAUUGCAUCCAAGCCAUCACAUAACCUCCAUACUUUGAGAAACUAAAAGUUUUAGCCAAUCAUCCUUUGAGGAAAAGCCCUCAGAGGCUGUUUGGCUACUAAGAAAAUAGAAAUAGUAAAGAGAAAAGAGAGACGAGAGAGCUCUGUAUAUCCCUCAGUGUAAAACGUAACACGCAUGUUCUUUAUCUUCCAAGAGGUGAUUUCCACCCCUUAUAUAGUCUUUACAAAAGCAAAAGCUUGUGAUUGGUUAGUUACAAGGAUAAGAAAGGAAAUUACAUCACAAAAUACAAAGGAAAAUAUCUAAAGUGGAGUCGGCAAAAACAGAGGAAAAUUCGCACCACGCAUGGGUUAUGCGAAUUUUGAAGGUGUUAUGCGAAUUUCGCAUAACACCUUGUGUUGUGCGAAAUUUUCGCACAACCUGGAGCAGUUGGCUUCCGAAGGCCAUAUCUUCCUUAUUUCAGCUCCAAAUCAUACACGGUUUAAAGCGUUGGAUUCUUGACUUCCUGAGCUUUGAAAUGGUAUAUAGUAUGUAGAAAAUGGACUUCGGAAAGUGCUCCAAAAGUGCGAAAGAAGACUGAAGAUGCUGUCCUCUUUGCUUCUCUUCAAUUUGCUUCACUCCUUGCAUACUUUGAACGACUUUGGCAAAGGGCUAUGGAGCUCCAAAGCUUGGUUCUUCAUGAAUUUGAUCUUCCAAAAGCUUUUCCAUAACUUGUCCAAGUAACUCCUCCAUCAUUUGGCAUGCUUGAAUUGAUUCAUAAGCUGAUAAAAACAUGUAAACUUGCCACAAAAUGGUUAAAACCAAUUACUAAGGACCUUAAUAAAUUAAUUGGGUUAAAUGAAUAUGAUUACUACUCAAAGGUGCUUAAAACCAUUAUAAUUAAGUCUACAAAAUAGCACUUUUUGGUAGUAAUCAGUCCUUUGGUUUGUACACAUCAUAUAUACAUGGAGGAAGAAGCUAAACCAAUUCGUCAGCCUCAAAGAAGAUUGAAUCCUCAUUUGCAAGAGGUGGUGCGAGUUGAAGUGCUGAAGCUACUUCAAGUAGGUAUUAUCUACCCCAUAUCUGACAGCCCUUGGGUGAGUCCUACUCAAGUGGUACCAAAGAAUUCAGGGAUUACUAUGGUUCAAAAUGAAAAAAGAGAAGAAAUUACUACACGCCUCACUUCAGGUUGGAGGGUGUGUAUAGAUUAUAGAAAAUUGAAUGUUGUGACAAGGAAAGAUCAUUUUCCAUUGCCAUUUAUUGAUCAAGUCUUGGAGAGAGUCUCUGGCCAUCCUUUCUAUUGUUUCUUGGACGGAUACUCCGGAUAUUUCCAAAUUGAAAUUGAUGUUGAAGAUCAAGAGAAGACCAUUUUCACAUGUCCACUUGGAGCAUAUGCCUAUAGAAGAAUGCCUUUUGGUUUAUGCAAUGCACCUGCAACAUUCCAAAGAUGUAUGCUAAGUAUCUUUAGUGAUAUGGUGGAGCGAAUUAUGGAGGUUUUCAUGGAUGACAUCACCAUAUAUGGAGGUACAUUUGAAAAAUGCUUAGUCAACUUGGAAGCGGUUCUUAAUAGAUGCAUUGAGAAGGACUUGGUGCUUAAUUGGGAGAAAUGUCAUUUUAUGGUACAUCAAGGAAUUGUCCUUGGCCAUAUCAUCUUCGAGAAAGGCAUUGAAGUUGAUAAAGCAAAGGUGGAACUUAUUGUCAAAUUGCCAUCCCCAACAACUGUAAAAGGAGUAAGGCAAUUCCUUGGCCAUGCAGGGUUCUAUAGGAGAUUUAUAAAAGAUUUCUCUAAGCUUUCAAAGCCUCUUUGUGAACUUUUAGCUAAAGAUGUUGAGUUUAUAUGGGAUGAAAGAUGUCAAAAGAGUUUUGAUCAACUGAAGCAAUUCUUGACAACAACUCCAAUAGUGAGGGCUCCUAACUGGCAACUGCCCUUUGAAGUAAUGUGUGAUGCCAGUGACUUUUCUAUAGGAUUUGUGCUUGGCCAAAGAGAAGAUGGAAAGCCCUAUGUGAUCUACUAUGCAAGCAAGACAUUGAACGAAGCUCAAAGGAACUACACAACUACAGAGAAAGAAUUGUUAGUUGUAGUGUUUGCCUUAGACAAGUUUUGUGCUUAUCUAGUAGGGUCUUUCAUCAUUGUUUUCACUGACCAUUCAGCCUUGAAGUAUUUAUUGACAAAACAAGAUGCAAAAGCAAGGUUGAUUAGAUGGAUUCUCUUAUUACAAGAGUUCGAUCUCCAAAUCAGAGAUAAGAAAGGAGUGGAGAAUGUGGUAGCUGACCACCUUUCAAGGUUAGUUAUAGCACACAAUUCCCAUGUCCUACCUAUUAAUGAUGAUUUUCCUGAGGAAUCACUCAUGUUGCUAGAAAAAACUCCUUGGUAUGCUCAUAUUGCUAACUAUUUAGUUACUGGUGAAGUUCCAAGUGAGUAGAAAGUACAAGACAGGAAGCACUUCUUUGCAAAGAUUCAUGCUUAUUAUUGGGAAGAGUCUUUCCUUUUCAAGUAUUGUGCAGAUCAAAUAAUAAGGAAGUGUGUCCCUGAAGAAGAGCAACAAGGAAUCCUCAGCCAUUGCCAUGAAAGUGCAUGUGGAGGCCACUUUGCCUCUCAAAAAACAGCCAUGAAGGUGUUGCAAUUAGGGUUUACUUGGCCAUCACUCUUCAAAGAUGCCCACAUCAUGUGUAGGAGCUGUGAUAGAUACCAAAGGCUCAGGAAGCUAACAAAAAGAAAUCAAAUGCCUAUGAACCCCAUUCUAAUAGUUGAUUUCUUUGAUGUUUGGGGCAUUGACUUCAUGGGACCUUUCCCAAUGUCUUUUGGUAACUCUUAUAUCUUGGUGGGGGUGGACUAUGUUUCUAAAUGGGUUGAGGCAAUCCCCUGUAAACACAAUGAUCACAAGGUGGUUCUCAAGUUUCUCAAAGAGAACAUCUUCUCAAGAUUUGGGGUGCCCAAGGCCAUAAUCAGUGAUAGAGGUACUCAUUUUUGCAAUAGACCCUUUGAAACCCUAUUAGCCAAGUAUGGAGUGAAGCAUAAGGUAGCUACACCUUAUCACCCUCAGACUUCCGGGUAAGUUGAGCUAGCAAACAGGGAAAUCAAGAAUAUAUUGAUAAAGCUGGUGAUUACGAGCAAAAGAGAUUGGUCUAUUAAGCUUUAUGAUUCACUAUGGGCAUAUAAAACAGCUUACAAGACUAUUCUUGGCAUGUCUCCAUAUCGCCUAGUCUAUGGCAAAGCAUGACAUCUCCCUGUGGAAGUUGAAUAUAAGGCUUGGUGGGUAAUCAAGAAGUUAAACAUGGACUUGAUCAGAGCCAGGGCAAAGAGGUGCUUAGACCUUAAUGAGAUGGAGGAAUUAAGAAAUGAUGCUUACAUCAAUUCCAAAGUUGCAAAACAGAGGAUGAAGAGGUGGCAUGAUCAAUUAAUCUCCAAUAAAGAAUUCCGGAAAGGACAAAGAGUCUUACUCUAUGAUUCAAGGCUCCAUAUCUUUCCUGGGAAGCUUAAGUCAAGGUGGAUAGGCCCUUUCAUUAUUCACCUAGUGCAUCCCAAUGGAGUGGUGGAAUUACUGAAUUCCAAUAGCACUGACACUUUUAAAGUCAAUGGUCAUCGUCUCAAGCCAUUCAUUGAGCCAUACAAGCAAGAAAAUGAGGAAAUCAACCUCCUUGAGCCAUAGAAAGCCUAAUCAGAAAAGGGUUAGAUGGGCUUGGUUUCACCAAAGUCCAUAUUUUUGUUAAAUUUUGUUAAUUUAAAAGCUUUAUUAAUUCUUUUGAUUUUAAUUUUGGUCUUAAGUUUUGUUAUUUAUAUGUAACUUAAUUUUUUUGAAUGAUCUAAUGUAGGAGGAAUUGCAAAGAAAAUGAAGAAAGGUCUCUUGGAGCUAAAAAGGAGUUCAAAACCAAGGGAAAAUUCAUGGCCUGCGAGAUUUCGCAGAAAAAUGAGGCCUCUGUGAAAAUGGCCCUUGCUGCGAAAUCAUUUCGCAGCCCCAUGCCCCCUUCUGCGAAAAUUUUCGCAGUUGCGAAACCCCCUCUUGGCACACGAGUGCCAUUUCGCAACACAGUACCCCCAUUUCGUAGCUGUGAAAUGGCUGCUGAUUCGACUCAUGGUAGCUUAGCUUUAAAGGCGUAUCAACAAAAUUUAUACCUUGAAUACUAUUACUAAAGUAGCCAAGCUACUAUAGCAUAGUGGUUCUAGGAUCGUUCACUGGGAAGGGUUUUCGCAAACACAAGUGAUAUUCAAAUUAGGAAAAUAGGUGAUUUUCUUAUGGAUGUUAGCUUUAAAAGAAGAUGUAAAUAUUUCAGAAAGAUUUAAACUAAUCUAAGCUAACAUUAAAGACUAAAAUGAAAAGGUGUAAAAACAAGUUUCUCAAAGAUAGGAUAGCUAUGCUCUGGCUCUUAUGCAAAUUGGAAAUCUCAGGAUAGGCUCCUCGCGUUGGGGUUGCAACUAUGGUGAUGCUUGCUUCCCGAACCGGUAUGGAUUUAGCAAAUCAAGUUUUAAUCCUUUAAAAUGGCAAAACAGAUGGUAGUGAAUUUCAUCAAUGGUUAUUCACCUUAGACUUCCUUUGAAUGGCUCGUAAGAGAUAACUAAUGGUCUAAAGCCAAAAGCUUACCAAAUAUUGGCAACUCAAAGUCAUUCCAAGUGAUAAACUCACCUUUCAAUGGCCAUUGAAAUUGGUUCUAAUGGAUUAAUGCAAAACUUGGAAUUGAAAACCUCACCUUCCAAUAGCUCGUAGGAGAUAACUAAUGGAUAGAAAUCCAAAAGCUUAUCAAGUAUUGGCCAUUGGAAGUUGUCCAAAGGAAAUAAAAACCAAACUUUGCCUUAAUGAACCUUUAAUGAAAAACGUAUACCUUACCUUCCGGGUGCAAGAAAUUUCCAUGGGAUUGCAUCCAAGCCAUCACAUAACAUCCAUACUUUGAGAAACUAAAAGUUUUAGCCAAUCAUCCUCUAAGGAAAAGCCCUUAGAGGCUGUUUGGCUACUAAGAAAAUAGAAACGGGAGAACAGGAGAAGAGAGAAAAACAGAGCAAGGCUCCGUCUGUAUAUAUGCGUCUAUGUCUUCAAGAGGUGAUUUCCACCCCUAAUAUAGUCUUUACAAAAGCAAAAGCUUGUGAUUGGUUAGUUACAAGGAUAAGAAAGGAAAUUACAUCACAAAAUACAAAGGAAAAUAUCUAAAGUGGAGUCGGAAAAGGCAGAGCAAAAUUCGCAACACGCAUGGGUUAUGCGAAUGUUAUGCGAAUUUCGCAUAACACCUUGUGGAAUGCGAAAUUUUCGCAUAACCUGGAGCAGUUGGAUUCCGAAGGCCAUAUCUUCCUCAUUUCAGCUCCAAAUCGUGCAUGGUUUGAAGCGUUAGAUUCUUGACUUCCAGAGAUUUGAAAUGGUAUAUAGUAUGCAAAAAAUGGACUUCGGGAAGUGCUCCAAAAGUGCGAAAGAAGACUGAAGCUGCUGUCCUCUUUGCUUCUCUUCACUUUGCUUGCUUUUCCUCUUUGCUUCUCUUUGCUUGUGCUCGUGUUUCCACUUGAAAUUCAAGCCUGUAAAUGUCCAAAAUCCUUGCUUUAACUUGUCCAAGUAGCUCCUCCAUCAUUUGGCAUGCUUGAAUCAAUUCAUAAGCUGAUAAAAACAUGUAAACUUGCCACAAAAUGGUUAAAACCAAUUACUAAGGACCUUAAUGAAUUAAUUGGGUUGAAUGAAUAUGAUUGCUACUUAAAGGUGCUUAAAACCAUUAUAAUUAGGUCUACAAAAUAGCACUUUUUGGUAGUAAUCAGCUGCAAAAUCCCCAAAGCGUGAAAUCUCCAAUUUUCGUAGCCAAAGCCCCAUUUCGCAAGGUGUUUCGCAGUUGCGAAAGACCCCCUUGGCACACGAGUGCCAUUUCGUAGCACAGUAGCCUCAUUUUGCAGUUGCGAAAUGGGCUGCGAAAAGGGCCCUCCGCUGCGAAAUCCACCCUCCUCUGCAAAAAUUAAAACGACCCUUGGCAUCCAAUUUUUUAACGGUAUAAAUUCCACAUUUCUAAUAAACCGGUCAUUUGAACUUCAAACAGGUGCCAGAGAAGAGCCAAAACAGAGCAACCUUCCAUUUUCUCCCUCCUAUAUGAGCCUAAGCUACGCGUGCCUCCGCCCAUCUCCUUCGGUCAGCCAUGGCAAGAACCCGAGGAGCUAAGUCUUCGUCUCUGUCAAGCCGCAAGAGAGCCGCAAAUGAGACCCCUGUUCAAGGCUCCAUGUUCGAGCCUCCGCGACCACGAGUCGUCCCACCUCCAGUUGAGGACGCACCGAUGAGUCCUCCGGUAAGGCGCUAUCAAACCAGGUCAAGUAGCCAUCCCCCGAAGAAGAAAGCUAGGGUAUCCGAGCCAAAGCUAAUUGACUUAUCAAAGCCGUCUUCAGAGCCUCUACAAGAGCCUCACCGUUCUCAGCCACCAUCCAAAGAGCCUCAACUGUCUCAGCCACCAGCUACAAAUUCUCAGAUUCCCUCAGGCAUGACUCCUGAGAUGCUUAUUAGGCGUCCCAUGCUCACUCAGCCGCCCAUUGAGGGUAAUUUGGAUUGCAGGGCUAAGCCAUUCCACUCUGAGAUCUGCUUCGACACAGCCACUUUCAGACUUCAGCUCGAGCUCAGGGACUCCUUCCAUCUGCUACAGAGGUACCAUAUGGAGCAUUUGCUAACUCCCAAGGAUUUUUUCUGUCCCCGUGUAGCAAUGGACUUCUAUCAGUCCAUGACCACACACCAGGUCUGAGAUCUUACUGUUAUCCACUUCACCAUAGACGGACAUCAUGGCAUUCUGGGAGCUAGUACAUAGUAGAGGCAUUGCGUAUUCCCUACGAGCCAGCCCAUCCAGAGGAUUAUCGAGUCUGGACUCAUCCUGCCCAGAGCGACAUAGUUCAUAUUCUGUCCAGAGGAGCAUCCUCGCGCCAGUAUCUAUUGAGGAAGGAGCUCCCUCAUAGCAUGUUUUUCAUAGAUGCACUCCUGCGCCAUAACAUCUUUCCACUUCUGCAUUGGGUGCAGAGGAGAGGAGUUUUGCUAGAGGCAUUGUUCAAGAUAUCUAAGGGAUUCUUCUUUGGCCCUCAUCAUCUCAUUAUGGCCGCUCUUCUGUACUUCGAAGAGAAAGUCCAUAGGAAGAAGCUGCUCAGAGCGGAUGCUAUUCCACUUCUCUUCCACAGAUUGCUAUGUCAGAUUCUGGAGCACUUGGGGUAUCCAUCUGACCCUCAGCUUGAGUGCAAACGUAUUUGCCGAGAGAUAUUCACUCUCAAAAAAUGGAUGAAUAUGACAGCCUAUAGUGCAGACCAGGGAGCCCCAACUGGAGCAGAGCAUCCAGAGCAGCCAGAGGAGCCACAGCCGGUUGAGAUACCAGCUGACAUGAGAGCACCUACCCUUGCAGUGCCCUCUACAAAGCCUAUACCAGAGGUUGCACCCUCUGCUCCUCCUACCACACCACGGACUCCCCCUGUUAUUCCAGCUACAUCAGAGCCCUCUCCUUCAUCUGAGCCUAGGAUUGCUAUAUUCAUUUCCGAGUACAGAGGUCUAUGUCACACUUUACAGGCAUUGACCACUUCUCAGAGCAUCCUUACUUAGGAGAUGACAGCUCUUCGUGCUCACCAAGAGCACAUUAUCGCCACUCAGACUAAGCAUACUACCAUCUUGAGGCAGAUUCAGCACCACCUGGGUAUUCCAUCAGCUCCUGAGCACCCCAUUCCUAUCUUCUCAAAGCCCACAAAGCCAUCACAGGCCCCUCUUUUCGUAAAGCAGGCUUUUCCCUCUGAGGAGCCGACUACAGGAGAUGCAGAGACAUCCACCUGAGCCAUCAUCAUCUUCCCUCUAUCUGAUCAUUUCCAUACUUUUCUUUAUGUAUUUGCAUUUGUAAUCCCAUGCUUUUGAUAUUUUAUAUAUUGGGAUUGGUUGUAUUACUUGUUUACCUUUAUAUUGUACUUUCAUGAAGUAAUACAAAUCUAUCAAUUUUUUAGCACUCUUAGCAUUGUUUUAUUUUAAUUCCUCUACUCAUAUCUUUUGUUGUUUUUGAAACAUGUGGUUUCUCCUAAUCUAAUCGAACUUCAUAUCACUCAGGAGCUACCACUUCCUCCCUGUAAUUUCAAUCGCUCAUGUCACAUUGAGGACAAUGUUCAGCUUGGUUGGGGGGAGAGUUGAGGAAGGAAGUUUUUUGUUGUUAAUACUAAGUAUUUUCGUAAUUUAUUUUAUUUUUGUUUAAUUUAAAAAUUUUUUUGUAAGUUUUUAUUCCACUCUCCAUGGUUAUUAAGGACAAAUUCUCAAAUUAAAAUAAGAGAAAUCGAAUUUUUGUUUUUACUUGACUUAGACUUUGUAUUAUGCUUAUUAAAGUUGAUGAAUUGUUGAAACUUCUAUUGAAUUCAACUUUAGUUCUUCCACUUUAAGCUAUUCACACACUGUGCAAAAUAGGUUCCGAGUAUAAGAUGAAAAACUAUUUCCCUCUUGACUUAGGAAAAUUUAGACUUGGUACCUUUGACCUCAUUUAAUAGUGUUGGGACACCUUAUAAAAGGCCAAUGAGCCUUUGAAAAAAAAAGAGAAAGAAAGAAAAAUGUUUGCUUGCCUUGAAACCCGAGCAAGGUCUGAGGGGUAUAUGGUGAAAAUCUUUAAAACCUGGUGCCCUAAGCCUUCAUUGGUUGGGAGUCACCGACCUCAAUGCUCGUUACAAGGGUGAAUAGGUGGAGUUUAACAUACUGUAGGUGCUUGGGUAUUAAAAUUCAUUCUCAAAAGUCCGAGGUAAAAUCCGAGGAGUUAGUGGUUGAAAGAUCCUUAAAGCUUGAUGCCCUAAACCUUAAUUGGUUGGGAGUCAUCGAUGGACCCCCGUUUCAUGGACAAUUUAGAAAAGAAUACCUUUAAGCCUUGUACUCCUACAAUGAAAAAAAAAUGUGAAAUAAAAGGGUGCAUUCUUAGCCUAUUGAAUUUGGUCAGUUUGCUAAGUGUUGAAAAAUAACUAGGUUAGGGGGAGAGACUAGUUUAGCAUACUAUAUUCGGAAGCUAUCAAGUAACACUUAGAUUUUUGUGGAAGAGUAAGGUUUGGUCCUUUGGAAGUGGAAAUGAUUUUAAAGCUUCAAUUUGCAUAAUACCUUCUCUUUAUGAAUUGUGAUUAAGUAAAGUAUUUGAUAACUCUUGCUGAAAUUUGAGUUUUAUAUCUUUAAUGUCCCAUGUGAGAGUUUGAUCAUCAUGCCACUUAAAAAUUUUUGAAGUGAUCAGCAUGAUUUUGUAAAGUAUAUUACUGUUUAGUUUAUUUUUUUCUCUCCUUUAUUGCUAAGAGACUAGCAAUAUGUCGGUUGGGGGGAGUGAUUACUACUCAAAAAGUGCUAUUCAAUAGCUUGUAAUUAACUCUUUUAAACACUUUUGAGUAGUAGUUAUUACCUUUUAACCCAAUUAGCAUAUUAAGUACCUUUGCAAUCGUUUCUAAUCAAAUUGUGUAAGUUUUGGUGCUUUUGAUAGUAAUUUGAUCACCAAAGCAAUCCAAGAUUAAGGAGAGCUCUAUGGAAUCCAUGGCAAAGCAAUUGGAAUCUCAUUUACAUGAAGAACCUAAGCUUUGAAGCUUUAUAGUCCUUUGUCAUAAACAAAUCAUGAAUGCAAGGAUGAAAGCGAAGAGAGAAAUCUAACAUGAAGAAUUCAAGAGGACAUCAACUAUUUGACACUUUUGGAGCACUUUUUGAAGUCCAUUUGAUGCAUACUAUAUGUCGUUUCGAAUCUCGGGAAGUCAGAAAUCCAAUGCUUUAAACAGUGUACAAAUCGGAGUUGAAAUGAAGAAGUUAGAGCCAUUGGAAGCCGAUCACACCAAGUUGAAGGCCAAUUUCGCAGGCUGUGAAAUAAUUUCGCAGCCAUCUUAUACGUCUGCGAAAUUUCGUAGCCAUUUUGUGCGCCUGCAAAAUUCUCCUGAGUGCUUCUAGAUAUUUGCGACCGACAUUUUUUGAUAUUUUGCAUCAGACAUUUGAUGUCUAAAUCCCCAUUUUCUCCUUGUAAUCCACCAAUUAUAGGAUUCCUUAGUUAUUAAGCAAGAAAAAAAGGUGAAUAACCUGAUAUAUAUUGUUUUUGUAAUUUUCAUUACAGACAUCUCGGGAGCUUGUUCUCAGAGACAACUUUUUGUAUAGUUUUUGAAAGGAAUUAAAAUAUAGAGCUUUGCUCUGCCUUACCUACUCAAUUUGAUUGUAUUUUUCAUUACUAGCCAAACAAGCUCUGAGGAUGUUUUCUCAGAGAAUGGGUUGCUAGACUUUUUGUCUCUUGGAGCUAAGGUAGCCGAGGGAGGUGUCAAAUGCAAGAAUUGAGAGUUUUGUUGUUUCAGCUGUUAAUGAAGAGAAAGUGUAACCUGUUUAUGGUUUCUAUAUUUUUAGUUAACUUAAAACGCCUUCAAUUCACCUGGGCCAACACUUGGUAAUGCAAGUGAUCUCCGUCCACUGAGAUGCACUAGUUUACCUCUUGUGAGCCUUUGGGAGGUGACUUGAAGGUAGGAUUUUCUAGAAUUGCCAACACUUGGUAAGCUUUUGGACUCUAAGGAGACAUCCAUUAGUUAUCUCUUGCGAGCUUGAGAAGGGAAGUCCAAGGUUAAUGAUCACCUUGAAUGGGAAAUGCUAAGUGAGAGGCACGAGCCAUUGCAAGAUGCAUCAGUGAGAGGGAAUUAGUACUGAAAUCCAUAAAAGGGGAGCAUCUGUACCACACCGGUUGGAGAAUGAACUAUAUGUUAAUUCUCCAAUGCGAGGAAAAGAACCAAAGUGACCGGAACUCUGUUUUUGCAUGAGGAGCCUGACCCCAGUGAUCCUAAAACUCCAAGAAACGUUUUUCUUUAUAAGUAAUUCCCAUUACUUUCUUUUUAGUUAGCUUGAAACCAAACCUUUUUCAACUAAAGUUUAUGUUUUCUUUUGAAGCUAACCUUGAAAUGAAAAGGCACCAAUUCAACUUUGAAUUGGUAUCAGUUGUAACUUGAAAACCCUUCCCAGUGAACGAUCCUAGAGCCACUAUGCUAUACUAGCUUAUGCUAUCCUAGUGCAUGUUGAUAUAGGUUAUAAAUUUUGUUGAUUACUCCCAUCAGGGGACCAAAAUCAAGGUACACCAGCUGGGCACGAAUCAUUUAAUCUUGUAUCCAUUGGGUCCUUUGAUAAGUUUCUUGGAUAUCCUUUUGAAUUUCCAAACUAAAACUUGAAAUUCUUUUAAUUUAAAAUAAUUAGCAACUUAACCAUGGUUUGUUAUCAUUAAAACACGAUUAGGAGAACCUUUGGGCUAACAUAGUAUGUUAAUGAGCCUAUUUAUUUUUCAAAUUUUUUAUAUGAUUAUUUAAUAAGAUUAUUGUUAAAUUACUAUGGAUGCAAUUUAGGGAAGACAAAGACCCUAAUUGUUUUUUUUAUUUUUAUUGUUUGCAAACUUAAUGAAUUAUUUUGAGUUAUGUUAUUUAAAUUGUUGGAUUAAUUUUACAUAAUAUAUUAUUGUGACAUUAUAAUAUAAAAAUAAGUAAUAUCAUUUAGUUACCUUCAAUUCUAUUACUAUAGCUAUUUGAUAGACAGUAUUAAUUUAGUAAUGUUAUUUUAAUAGUUUAAACCAUAGGAAAUAUAAUCUAAGCUUAAAAUAUUAAUAUUUAUGUUUUUUAAAUGAUAUAUAAUGUACUUAUUUUUCUAAGGAAUGUAUUUAUUUUUAAGUUAAGAUGUACUUAUUUUCAAAUAGGAUGCACUUAUUUUUUCCAAUGACGUACCUAGUAUCAAAGCAUGAUAGAUGAGAUGUGCGAACAUCAUAAAUGCAUGCCUAGACCUAUAAAAAUGGAUGAUCUUGUCCAAUAUCUUGUUCAAUAUGCUUUGAUAAAAGGUACAUCAUUGGCAAAAAUAAAUGUAUCCUAUUUGAAAAUAAGUACAUCUUGUUUAAAAAUAGGUACACCAUAUGUAUAUCAUGCAUGUGACUCAUUUGCUCUAAUUUGGACAUGAUCUUCCAUUUUUGUAGGCCUAGGCAUGCAUUUAUUGACAUAAGCUAUAUUGGACAAGGGCUUUCACUUUUAUGGGCCUUGGAAUGCAUUUGAAGCUUUUAGCCAUCCCAUUUUGCAUCCUAGAACCCUAGGUACAUCAAUUGGAAAAAUAGAUACAUGGCAUUGAAAAAUAAGCACAUCUUCACAAAAAAUAAGUACAUCUCAUUUAAACUAUAUACCUAACGCAUUUGUCCUAUUUUGGACAUGAGCUUUUACUUUUAUAGGCCUCAAAAUGUAUUUAGGGUCUUCCCACAUCCCAUUUUGUAUCCUAGAACCUUAGGUACAUCCCUUGGAAAAAUAGGUACAUUGUGUUAAAAAAUAUGUACAUCUUUUGAAAAAUAAGUACUUUGCAUUUAAAUUGUAUAACUGACUUAUUUGGCCAAUUCUAAGUAUGAUUUUUCACUUUUAUAGGUCUUGAGAUGCAUUUGAGGCCUUCACACAUCCCAUUUCACAUCGUAGAACUUUGGGUAUAUCCUUAGGAAAAAUAAAUACAUCAUAUUGCAAAAUAGUACAUUCCCUUAAAAAAUAAGUACAUAUUAUUUUCAUUCUAUGGGUGACUUGUUUGGCUUAUUCCUAUCAUGCACUUUCACUUUUAUAGGUCUCAUAAUGCUUUUGAGGCCCUCACACAUCUCAUUUCUCAUUCUAAAACCUUGGGUACAUCCCUUGAAAAAGUAGGUUCAUCUUGUUGAAAAAUAAGUAUAUCAUCUUAAAGCAUAAGCACAUCGAAUUUACAUUGUAUAACUGAUUCAUUUCACUUCUUAUACACAUUCAUUAUUUAUUUGAGUUAUAGGUUCAAGUGACUAAUUCUGGAACAAGCAUAAAGCAUAAUCAAGUUGCUUAACUUUACUUAUGUACUACUAGUUAAGCAUGACACAUUAUGGUAUAUCAUUCAUGAAUAUGAAUAGGUAUAAGACUCAUCAUUCAUUCUAUAGGAAAAAGGGAACAUUUUAUGAACACUAUGUACACAAGUCAUUUGAUAGUAAUUAAGACAACAUGUAUGUUCUUUGUCCUAUCACGCAUUAAAAAAAAAUUAGUUUAGUUUUUAAGAUCAAUUUCAUUAUUAUUUGGUUUCGAUGUUAUGUAGCUAUUUUUUUCCUAUGGAUGCACAAAAGGUUCCAUGAUAUACUAAUUUUUCCUUGUCCAAAAUAGGCCAAAUGAGUAUUUUAAUUUAAUGUAAAUGCAAUGUACUUAUUUUUUAAGUGAAUGUACUUAUUUUUUAACAUGAUGUACCUAAUUUUCCAAUGGAUGUAACUAUGGGUUCUAGGAUGUGGAACAAGAUAUGGGAAGACCUCAAAUGUAUCUUGAGGCCUGUAAAAGUACAAGCUCAUGUCCAAAAUAGACAAAUGAGUCACCUAUACAAUUUAAAUAUUUAAGAGGGUGUAAUUAAUUUUCAACACAACGUACCUAUUUUUCCAAGGGAUGUACCUAGGUUCUAGGAUGCAUAAUGAGAUAUGGGAAGACCUUAAAUGCAUCUUAAGGCCUAUAAAAAUAAAAGCCCAUGUCCAAAAUAAGCAGAAUGUCACCUUUACAAUGUAAAUGCAAUGUACUUAUUUUUUAAGUGGAUUCACUCAUUUUUCAAUGGGAUUUUUUAACUUUUGUAGCAAUUUUUAAAAAUAAUUAUUAAAAAAUGGUAGUUGGGAAAAUAUUAAUAGAUCUACGGCGGUUUUGGCCACGUGGAAGGUGUCUUUUGAAGAGACACCUUCCACAAUUUUCAAAAUCAUGAUACUAAUUUAAAAGAAUUGAAUUUAAGCUAAAGGUGUCUCUUCAAGAGACACCUUCUACAAUCCCAGAAAAUUGGAUUUAUAUUAAAGGUGUCUCUUGAAAAGACACUUUCCACGUGGCAAAAAAUCCAAUAUGAAUUAAAGGUGUCUCUUCAAGAGACACCUUCUACAAUUCCAAAAAAUUUUAAUUUAUACAAAAUGUGUCACUUAAAGAGACACUUUCCACAAUUCCACAAUUCCAUAAAUUCCAAUAUAUAUUAAAGGUGUCUCUUCAAGAUACACCUUCUACAAUUCCAAAAAAUUGGAUUUAUACUAAAGGUGUCUCUUGAAAAGACACUUUCCAUAAUUCCAUAAAAUCCAAUAUGUAUUAAAAAUUGUGGAAAUGAUUUUAAAGCUAAAGAUGUCUCUCUUCAACAUAAAUUCGAAAUUUUCCACUGUGUAUGGAAAUUGUGGACAAUGUCUCUUCAAAAGACACCUUUAGUAUAAUUCCAUUUUUUGAGAAUUGUGAAAGGUGUCUCUUCCACAAAUUUAAAAAAAAUUGGGUUUAUACUGAAGAGACACUUUCCAUAAUUUCAAUUCAAACAAUGGAAAAUUUUGAAUUUAUGCUAAAGGUGUCUCUUCAAGAGAUACCUUCCACAAUUCCCAAAAAAAUGGAAUUAUACUCAGACGCCUUUCAUAAUUUUUAAAAAAUUGGGUUUAUACUGAAAGUGUCUCUUCAGAAGAGACACUUUCCACAAUUUUCAUACACAGUGGAAAAUUUCGAAUUUUGAAAAGACAUAUUUUACAAUUCCCAAAAAAUGGAAUUAUACUAAAGGUGUCUCUUGAAGAGACACCUUCCAUAAUUUUAAAAAAAUUGGGUUUAUACUGAAAGUGUCUCUUCAAGAGACACUUUCCACAAUUUCAUACACAAUAGAAUAUUUCAAAUUUAUGCUAAAGGUGUUUCUUCAAGAGACACCUUCCACAAAAGGAAAAAAAAAUUAUAUCUCUUAAUUAGUAUUACCUGCUAUACAACCAAAUGUUUAAAGUUUAUCCCCUGUAUACAUUAUAAUCAAUAUUUUGACAUUCAAUCCAAAACCAAUGAAAAUAAGUAAACCAAAUGUCAAUUAAGUCAACACAUUUCCAAAAUAGUAACAAUACUAUUUUGUGUAAAAUAAAUCCAAAAUAGAUAGAAUACUAGAGAACUUACGUUAAUAAAAAGUUAGUUUAUCCAAAAUAUAACAAGUAUAAAUAUACAUCUUGAGUAUUUGUCAAAAAUAAUGAUAUGCAAAAUACUAACAGUAUCCAAAAUACAAGUCAUAUGUAGUAACAUCCUCAAUGUGUACCGCAUGAAGGAGCCUUCCUCUUCCAUUGUGGACAUCCAUGAUAUGCAUGCUCCACUAUUGGCUCUAUGGGGCUAACAUGUACCCCUCUAUGAGCUCGACAACCACGUCUCCUACCACGUCCUCAACCAUGUCCUCGACCAUGAUCAUUCUUUUGUCCUUGUUGAUCAUCAUUUGCUAUAUGAACUAACUUCUCAUCAACCAAUGUAACCUCUAUCGAUUGUGGUGAUGAUGCAACAAGUAGUACUAUAGGUGGGUUAGAUGGCACCUCCAUAUGUGUAAUACGAGUCUCCUCAACAGGUGGCGGGCUAAUGUCAGUCGAUGGUGCAUUUCUAAGAACAAAUGUAUGCUUAGUCACUCUCGUAUAAGCCCCUCUCCCUCUAGUCCGUACACCUCAUGAUCAAGUAAUGGAUGAUAUCAGUUGCUGAUGAGGUGGUGGAUUACAAUAAAGUGGACGUACCAUUAUGGGAAAUAGCACAUCUCAUUUGAAGAAGAGAGUCCUUUUGAUAUAAUCUAGGCAUUAAAGUUUAUCAUCGAGAUCAACUCAAAUGAAUCGCUACAUGAUUUGUACGCUCCCUUAAUUUUAUUUUCCUUAUAUUUUUUUCCUUCAUAUUAAUUCCACCACCAAAUCUGAUAAAAUCAAAAUUAAGUUUUAUAAGCCUCUAAGUGAUAAAUAAAAAAAAAAAAAAAAGCCUUCUAUCGAGAAAGGGGGUUAUUUCUGAACAUGGAGAGUCGGCAUAGAAGACCUUUAUUGAAAAUGGUGUUGAUGCUUUGAAAAGUUUGAAUGGACGAGACUCUAAGUUGAGUUGAUGGGAAGAGCAAGAGACGCAGUUUAUUGGGACUUUAAGAGAAAUAUUUUUCUCUUCCACACCAUCCUUUGACAUCAGUCACUUGUAACUCAUCAAUUGACCAACUUCGUUUAUAUGAUUUAUUAUUAUUUUUUUCCAGUUUUCUAAUGAAAAUAUUUCUUUGGUUUGAAGAAAUAUUCAUGUUAAUGGUUCGGAUAGAGAAAGAUAAGAUUGAAUCAAAUCAAAUUUAUUUUAAUUAAUCAAAUUCAAUUUAAUGUAUUCAUUUUAUACAAGAUAAACUAUUUAAUUUUAACAAAUAAAAAGAUAGUAUAUCCAUUUUUAUAUAUGAUAACUUGAUUUGAAUAUAUAUAAUUUUUUUUUUUGUAACCCCUGUUUGAUUCCAAAGAAAAUCCAUCCCCCAUUCGAUUUCCAAAAAAAUUCAUCCUCAUUUGAUUUAUGAGAAAAUCCAUGCAAAACCCCCAAGGAAAACCAAAAAAAUUGCUUUUUUUAUUUAUUUUUUUGCUCUCUAUGCUUUAUGGAUUUAUUCUAGGGGUCUCUGUGGAUGUACUCAACGUCUUAUGCAAUCAUGAAAUAACAUGAAUUGAGUGGAUGUUAUUGCAUAAUAACAUUGAUAGACAAGACUAUUAGAAAAGAGAGCACCACUUUUAUAUAUAUAAAGUAACAGUUAAGUGUGCUAAAAGUACCACCAUGCUAAAAGUGUAUUACACUUUUUAUGUACUACUUUUUCAUAAAAUAAAAUAAAUGGUACCCUCUUUUCUAAGGAUUGUGUCAAUUGGUGUUAUUGUGCAAAACACCCACUCAAUUCACAUUAUUUUAUCAUCACAUAUGACGUCGAGUAUGUAACAAGCGAUAAUAGAUCUUACCCUAAACCAAAUAAGAGAAGUACAUUCUUCCCACCACAAUGAAACUAAAAAAAGAGUGACAUAUUCUUCCCACCACAGUACUACUUUUAACAUAGUACAUUUUUCAUUCAUGAGUGGUACCAUUUUUUUUCAAAGGUUGUGUUGACUGUUGUUAUUGCACAAUAACAUCCACCCAAUUCAUGUUAUUCAAUCAUUACAUAAUACAUUAAGCAUGUAACGGGUGGUAACAUACCUUAAACCAAAGAAGAGUGAUACACUAUUUCCACCAUAGUGGUACAUUUAUCACACUUCAGUGGUAUUUUCUUUUUAUAAAUAAAUGGUAUGCACUUUUCCAAAGGUUGUAUUGAUCAAUGUUAUUAUGAAAUAACACUCAUUGAAUUCAUGUUAUUUCACCAUUAAUAAGACAUCUAGCAUGCAACGAAUGGUAACAUACCUUUGCUUAAACUAAAAAAGAGAGAUACAUCCUUCUUACCACAAUAUUACUUUUAGCAUUUUUAGCAGUACUUUUUUUCAUAAAGGAGUGGUACUAGGGAAAUGCAACUUAAGUUGCGCAAUGGUUUGAGGUGCACCAACUUAGUGUUUUAGGAGGGUACACUAUUUUUUUCUUAACACAUUUAAAAGGUAUGCAACUUCAAUAUACAAAAAUUUUAAUUUUUAAUAAAAUUAAGAGAAAAUCAAUAUAAACAAUUGAAUACAAACUUUUUAUGAAAAUACAUAUUUUUAUUUUAUAUAACUAAAAAUUAAAAAUUUGAACAAAACAAAACUUUAGAAUCACAACCAUGUUUUUAUUUUAUAUAAAUUAAAAAUAUUAAACAUUUCAACCAAGAAGAAAAUUAAAACUAUGGUCAAGUUACAUCCAUAAGAAAAAAGCUAAAACCAUGAUCAUCAAUUUUGAUUUUCACAUGAAAAUUUAAAAAUUUUUAAAAAUAUAAAAAAAUUAAAUAAUAUGACAAUAUAAGAAGAUUUAUAAAAUAAAUAAAUAUUUUAUUUAGGAGGAAUAUAAAAAGUCUUAUAUCCUAAACUUCUAAAUUUGUUAUUAUGUAUUUAUUUUUAUAUUAAAUUUGUUCUUAUUAAUUAUUUAUUAUAUAUUAUUAAUUUUUAUUUAAAUAUCUAUAAAUAAUUAAAAUCAAUAAAUAUGAACAAAUGAAAUAGUGAAAAAAAAUUAAAUUAUAAAAUUUUCAUGAAGCCAAUACAUUAAAAAUAAAUAAAAAAUAAAAAUAAAAAUAAAAAUAAAAGCAAAAAUGUGGAGAUAUUAUGGAGGGAAAAAAAAUCAUGUGACAUAGUAGAUUGUUACAUAUCAAAGUUUUUUUUUUUUUUUUAAACCAACCACGAUUAGCACUUUGACUUAUCAUGUCAAAGUAUAAAAAUAAAAAUUGUGAUAAUUAAUGUCAUGAUGAGAAAAGGGUUAGUCGUUUUGAAAAUACAUGUUUUCAAGACAUAUAUAUAUAUAUAUAUAUAUAUAUAUAUAUUGUGAAAAUAAAAAACCAAUCUCCCUUUUGAAACAGCAGAAACCUUUUGGCAAAAAACCGUGUCUUUCAUUCAUAUUUGCACGAGUAUAAAUACACACAUAUAGACUAGAUUCAAGAAGGAAUUACGACUAUAAUUGUGGGUCUGACUUUUUAUAUAUAGUAGGUACAAAUAUUAUAUGGUAUAACUGCAACUAUUAUAGGAUUGAAUCAGAGGAUGAGUUGGUCAAAGGAUACGAUAUAACUGCAACAAUCACGGGCUUGUCUCAAAGUAUGAGUUGGUCAACUAUUUUCCACAAAGACCACAUGCCGAGAAAUGAACAUUUUUGAGGUGGAUGGGUCAUAACAUCUAUAGGAAUUAUGUGAGAGAAUAGCCAAGGAAAACACAGGGUCGAGACUUGGGAUCCAAUUUAUGGCAUGUGUAGGGUUUUAGCUAGGGGUAACAAAGGCAACCAAAGAUUUUAAGUUCGAGAUAGUAGGGGGAAGGGUGAAAGAGGGUCUCAAAAGGAGAUUUGUUAUCUAAAAGUGGGAUUGGCAUCUGAUUAAUGAGGUAAAUUAUCGUUUGACAGGCAACAGGCCAAAAUUGAAGACGAAUGGAGGCUUGAUGAAGAAGAGUCAAUGUCAUCUCAAGAUUAUGUCUAUGUUGUCUUUCAGCAAUCCCUACAAUUUGUGAAGUGUAUGGAGGAGAAUAGGGGUGUUAAAUUCCAUGUUUUGGAGAGUGUGGGAUGAAGACCUGCAUAUUCCCAGGAUUGGGGUUUUGAAAUAUUUUUCUACUAGUUGCUUGAAGUUUUCAAAAAUACAAGUGGUAUCUGAUUUGUUUUUUAGAGGAUAAAGCCAUAUGUAUUUGGUGAAAUGGCCAACAAAAAUCACAUAAUAUAAAAAAUUAUCAAGGAUGUGAUAGGAGCAAGUCCCCAAAUAUAAUUAUAAAUAAGUUUAAGGGGUUUAGAGCUUAUAAGAGAAGAUGCACCAAAGGAAAGUCAAUGACUUUUAUUACAUAAGCAUGAGUUACAAGAGUCUAGAGACGACUUGGACAUUGAAAGUGAAUGACUUGAGAUGACAUGUCAGAGAAUACGUCGAUUGGGAUGAUCAAGACAACGAUAACAUUUAUUUAAGGAUGUUGGACUGGUGGUGGUGUUGUAGGCCUGAGGUGUGGAGCUUGAGUAGGGAAAAGAAGUCGGACACUCAUACAGAUUUCCCUUAAACGAGUGUUGCCCCCGUGCUCAAAUCCUUCACCAAAAAGUAAGUAGGGAAAAAUUCAAUUGAUGUACAAUUAUGUUUGCAAAACUGAGAAACAAAAAUUAAGUUUUUAUGAAUAGCUGGAGCACACAAAACAUUACCAAACAUAAAAUUUGAAUUUUUAAUAAUUAAAUUAGUAGAAUCGGUAUGAGUGAUAGAAAUACCAUUACCAUCACCAAUAAUUACAUGUCUGUACCACCAUAUUCAGAAUGAAUGGAAAGAUUCUGAAGAUCUGAAGUAAUGUGGUGUGAGGCUCCGGAGUCUAUUACCUAAUUGGCAUUAUGAGUUGGUGGUUCUCGAGCCAUGAAAUUUGCUUGUGGUGUGGAAUAGGAGGAUGGGCGAGACCUGCAGACCCUGGCAGUAUGUCUAGCUUUGUCACAUAGUUGACAAACAACACAGAUUUGAGGGGGAUUGAAUGGAGGACGCCCUUGUGGACCAAGAAAUCUAUUCCCUUGGUUAGGGAACAUGUGUCCAUGAUGAUUCUUGUUGCCUUGAUAAUUAUUUCCAAAUUGAGAACUUUGUCCUUUCUUAUUGUUUGAGUUGUUCCCCUUUUUGCCAAAGUUGUUUGAGCCCUUUUGAUUAAACUGAGUUGUAACAGUAACACUAUCCUUCUUGAAUUCUUCACGUUUUAGGAACAUUUCAUGAUCUGCUAGUUUGUCAUGUAGUUCUUCAAAGGAUAUGGAAGAAUCUCAAGCUCUUAUUGUUGCACUCAAUUCCUUGAACUCAGAUCCUAAACCUUUGAGAACACUUAUCACCAUUUCUUCUGCACCAAGAGGGGAUCCAACAAUAGCCAAUUCAUCAUCGCUCAUAGUUUUGAUUACUGUCAUAUAUUCAACAACAGAUUUAUUUUCUUUGAUGAGUUGGCUCAGCAUCUCUCGGAGUCCUAAGAUCCUAGUCUUCAAUUUGCUGGCAUAUGUGGUGUAUAGACGAGCCCAAGCCUCUUGAGCAAAUGUAGUGGAUGCAACAAGAGGGGCAAUGGUGGAAUCAACUGAUUCCAUGAUAGCAUGCAGAAGUAGGCUCUCUUGGCGUUUCCAAAUUUUGUGCUCCGGAUUGGGUGUGAAAGUGUCACCCAUUUUUAUCAUUUCUAGUGGACUUGGAUAUGUUCCAUCAACAUACCCAAUCAGAUCAUAGCCAUAAAGUAGUGUUGAGAACAUUGUUCUCCAAGAGGGAUAAAUGCUGCUACCGAUGAGUUUCAAGGGGAAGUUGUGUUGCUGCAUUAAUAGACACCAGUGCGGUUGAAGGAGUGUUUCCACAUGACAUGAUGACUCUGUGAUAUGGGAAGGGCCCGGAGGAGUAGGAGUCUUCAGCCAUAGGGAUAGGAAUAAAAGGUGGUUUCAAUGAAGAGACUACAAGAUUUGGGUGGCUGCUGGAAUAGUGACUGUGGAGUUUAUGGCUUUGAUACCAUGAAACAGCAGAAAGAUUUUGGCAAGAAACAAUAUCUUUCAUUCAUAUUUGCAUGAGUUUAUAUACACACAUAUUGACUAGAUUCAAGAGGGAAUUACAGUUAUAAUUGUGGGUCUGCCUUUUUAUAUACAGUCGGUACAAAUAUUAUAUGGUAUAACUGCAACUAUUGUGGGAUUGAGUCAGAGGAUGAGCUGAUCAAUGGAUAUGAUAUAACUGCAACAAUCACGGGGUUUUCUCAAAGUAUGAGUUGGUCACGUGAGCUGUCUAUCACCUUCUUGUUAGAAUAACUAGGGACUCACAUAAAUUAAUAAUUGUUUAUGACUGACUCAUGCCCAAUUGGUGUCUCAGCUGAUUUGUGUUCAGCUGGUGCUCCUUGAUUGAGGAAGUGAUCAACAAAAUUUAUACCUAUAACACCAUACACUAGGGUAGCAAAUACAAAGCUACUAUAGUAUAGUGGCUCUAAGGAUCGUUCACUGGGAAUGAUUUGCAAGCAAUCAAGGAUACCAAUUCCAAGUGAAUUGGUUUUGUUUCAUUUCACGGUUAGCUUAAGGAAUAAAACACAAACUUUGAUUUGUAAAGGUUGAGACUUAAACUAACUAACUUAACAGAAGUUUGGAAUAAUUUAGGAAGAAAAGCAUUCCUUGGAGAUUUAGGUUCACUGGGGUGGUUCCUCAUGCAAAAGACAUAGCUCCGGUCAGAUGGUUCAUUUCCUCGCAUUAGAGAUUCAACUUAUAGUCAAUUCUCUAACCGGUGAUGUACAGAGACUCCUUCAAUUAGAUUUCACUUUAAUUCUCUCACUGAUGUAACUUACAAUGGUUCAUGCCUCUCACGAGCACUUACCAUUCAAGGUGAUCUUUAACCUUGGAUUCCCCUUCACAAACUCGCAAGAGAUAACUAAUGGAUGCCUCCUAAGAGUCCAAAAGCUUACCAAGUGUUGGUAAUUCCAGAAAAUCCUACCUUGAAGUCACCUACCAAAGGCUCGCAAGGGGUAAACUAGUGCAUUUCCACGGUUGGAAAUCACUUGCCUUACCAAGUGUUGGCCCAGGUGACUCCAAAGUGUUUUAAGUUAACUAAAAACAUUGAAAUCACUAAAGGAUUUCACUUCCUCUUCAUUACUAGCUAAAACCACAGAGCUUUGCAUUCUUGCACUUGGAACCUUCCCCGGCAACCUUAGCUCCAAGGAAUUGGAGGUUUAGUUACUCAUUCUCUGGGGAAAACUCCUCAGAGAAUUCAUAACUUAGAAAUAAAAUGAAAAUACAAAGUGAUAAGGUAAGGCAGUAGAAAGAAAAGACCUUUACUUCCUUACCAAAUGGUUACAGAAGGAACUCCUCUCUGAGGACAGGCUCCCGAGAGGUAUUUAUAGCAAACUAAUAUAAAACUAAUUCUUACAAAGAUAUUUGGUCUUUUUACUAACUUAAAAACUAAGGAAUCAUGUAAUUGGUGGUUUACAAGGAGUAUUUUGGAAUUUAGACAACAAAAAUCUAAUGGAAAAUAUCUCCCAAUGUCGGUAGCAAGCUUCGGGAGGCUUCCGGAGCCAUUUCGCAGGAGAAAAGUGAGGUCUGCGAAAUUUCGCAGACACCCAAGAGGGCUGCGAAAUUAUUUCGCAAGACCAAGCUGUCUUCAUAGGGCUACGAAGUUGGCUUCCAUCUUGAAGUUUCCAGCUCCCUUCUCGCGGCAUGGUUCGUGCAUCGUCAGAAGGAGAAACACCUUGCUGUACAAAAGUGCUGCGAAAUUCUCGCAACAAAAGGCCGAUUCCGCAACACUUUAGAGUGACUGGCUUGUAAUGGCUGCAACUUCUUCGUUUCAACUCCAAAUUGCACACCGUUUGAAGCAUUGGAUUGUUGACUUCCUGAGCUUUGAAAUGGUAUAUAGCUUGCAUCAUUUGGACUUCAGAAAGUGCUCCAAAAGUGGCUGCUACGACUGUCAUCAAGAAUAUGCUCCAUGACUGAUCCUCUUUGCUUUUUCUCCUUGCAAUCCGGAUUCACUCUUGGCAAUUGAAUUCUAAGCUUUGCCCAUGAUUCCUCAUAGUUCUCCUCAUUCUUGACUUGCUUUGGUGAUCAAAAUACUAACAAAAACACCAAAACUUGCACAAAGUGAUCAAAAUUGCUUUAAAGGAUCCUUAACAUGCCAAUUGAGUUAAAAGGCCUAAACUACUACUCAAAAGUGUUAAAAAGGAUUAAUUAAAGGCUAUCAAAUAGCACUUUUUGAGUAGUAAUCACUCCCCCCAACCGACAUAUUGCUAGUCCCUUAGCAAUAUAGGAGAGAAAAAUGAAAAUAAAUAGCUAAUUAUACUAAAAUUUACAACAUCAUGCUAAACAAAAUCAAUUCUCAAGUGGCAUGAUGAUCUAUUUCUCACAUGAAUCAUUAAAGAAAUACAAACCCAAAUCUCAACAAGAGUCAUAACACCUAUGCUAACCACUGUCAAUCAAGGGAGUGCAUUAUGCAAACUGAAGUUUUAAAAUCAUUUCACUUUCUGAGAACUAAACUUCGAUCUUCCACAAAAAUCUAUGUGUAUUGGUUCCUUAGGUUCCGAGAAUAAUAUGCUACUAAUCUCACCCCCCAACCUAUCUCUUUUCAACACUUUAGCAAACUGACCAAAAUCAAUAAGAAAAGAACACACUUUCAUCCUUUUUUUUUUUUUUUUUUUUUUUUUUUUUUUUUUUUUUUCAAGGUAGCUUUAUGGGGUACUCUUUCUGACUUGUCCAUGUAAUGGGGGUCCAUCGAUGACUCCCAACCAAUUAAGGUUUAGGGCACCAAGUUUUAAGGAUCUUUCAACCACUAACUCCUCGGAUUUUUCCCCGGACUUUUAAGAAUGAGUUUCUAAUACCCAAGCAUCUACCAUAUGCUAGCUCUACUAUUCACCCUUGUAACGAGCAUUGAGGUCGGUGUCUCCCAACCAAUUAAGGCUUAGGGCACCAGGCUUUAAAGGCUUUCACCAUAUGCCCCUCAGACCUUGCUCGGGUUUCAAGGCAAGCAAACAACUUUCUUUAUUUCAAAGGCUCAUUGGCCUUUUGCAGGGUGUUUCAAUUUUUAUCAAAUGAGGUCAAAUAUACCAAGUCUCAAAAUUAUUCUAAGUCAAGAGGGAAAUAGUUUUUCAUCUUAUAAUCGGAAACUAAUGUGCACAGUGUGUGGAUAGCUUAAAGUAGAAGAACUCAAUUCAAUUUCAGUAGAAGUUUCAACAAUUGAACCACUUUAGUAAGCAUAAUCCAUACUCUAAGUCAAGUGAAAAACAACAGUUCAAUUUCUCUUGGUUUAAUUUGAAAAUUUUUCCUCAAAAUUCAUGGAGAAUAGAGUAACACUAGUAAAAAGUAAAAACUACAACUAAUUAACCAAUAUAAUUGCAAUACCAAAAAGGUUUAGAAUACUUCCUUCCUCAUACCCCCCAACCGAACUGAACAUUGUCCUCAAUGUGAUUUGAGUGACUGUAAUAAAAGGGAGGAAGUGGUACCUCCAUGCUGAUAUCAAAUUCGAAUAUUGAUUGGGGAAAACCACAUGUUUCAAAAAGAAUAGAAUAUGUGAGAAAAGGAAAUAAUAAUAACUUAAUGUUAACUUUUAACAAGAAAUAGUCAACUUGUAUUACUUUGAGUUCAUUUGAUUACAAUACUAAAGACAAGUAACACAAGGAAUCCCAUAUAUAGUACCAAAAUAUUGGGAUUUCAUUGCAACUAAAACAAAAUAAACAUGCAUAAAAACAUAAACAGCAAAUAUAUAUAAUGUCUGAUAAGUGGGGUGAUAGUUGCUAGGCAGAAGGAUCUGCCUCCUCAGUAGGUGGAUCAGCUGGUGCUUCGGGUUCUGGAGGAUGAGACUCUGAAGGCUGAGAGUGUGGCUCUGGUGGAGUAGGAAUGAAGGGCUCUACAGCUUGUGGCAGAUCGAAAUGGACUUGAAGCUGCCUUAGGAUGGCAGCUUGUUGAGCCUGAGAGGCUAACAUCUGCUCCUGGCAUGCUUUGAUGGCUGCCAACUCCUGAGCAAGAUUGCUCUGGGAAGCUGUAAGAGUCUCCAAUGCAUGGCACAGCUCUCGAUAUUCAGAUAUAGGGAUGGCCAUCCUAGGCUCAGCUGAUGUGGAUGGUUGUGAUGGAGCAGGUGCAGCUGGUGGAGCUCGAGGGAUGGCAGGAGUAGCAAGUGUGAUAUCUUCAGGUGCAUGUCUUGGGGAGGCUCUCCUUGCUGCUGGCUGAGGCUGCCCAGGCUGAUCAAUUUUGUAGGCCGUCAUAUUAUUCCAUUUAUCAAGGGUAAAUGGCUCACGGCAUAUUCUCUUUCUUUCCUGCUGAGGCUCAGAGGGGUAUCCGAGAUGUUCCAAAACUUGGCAUAGCAGCCGUGGGAAGAGGAGUGGAAUGCAAUCUGCUCUUUGAAGCUUCUUCUUAUGAACCUUCUCCUCAAAGUAAAGAAGGGCUGCCAUGAUCAGAUGAUGAGGCCCAAAGAAGAAUCCUUCAGACAUCUUGUAUAGAGCUUCCAAGAGAACUCCCCUUCUUUGGGUCCAAUGCUGCAAGGGAUAGAUAUUAUGCCUCAAAAAGGCAUCAAUCAAAAACAUCACUGGAGGUAGCUCCCCCCUCAGCAGGUGUGAUCGAUUUGCAGCUCCUCCAGUUAGGGUGCUAACCAUCUCUAACUCAGUAGGAUUUACCCAAGCUUUAAAAUUGUCAAAUUGGGUUGGCUCAAACGGAAUUUGCAGGGCUUCAGCAAUAUGUCUUGCUCCCAAAAUACCAUGUCUUCCAUCAAUUAUGAAAUGGAUCAGAGUUGGAUUUCUUACCUCUUUGGUUGUCAUGGUCUGGUAGAAGUCUGUGACUACCCGGGGAUAGAAAAAAUCCCUUGGAGCUAGCAGAUGCUCCAUAUGAUAUCUCCUCAGCAGUUGGAAUGAUUGGGCAAGCUCUGGCCUCACUCUAAAUGCUGCUAAAUCGAAGCACAAUUCAGAAUGGAAUGCCCGAGUUCGGCAAUCCAGGUUUCCUUCGAUUGGGGGCUGGGGCAGCAUUGGCCUUCGGAUCACUUCUUCCAGAGGUGCUUCAGCUGCAAUUUGGGGCUCUGGAAUUGGCGCUUGAGGCUCCUGAGCUUUUUCUUGGGGGGCCGGAGAUGGUACCGGCGAUGGAAUUGGAGUUGCUUCUGGUGAGGGAAUUGGCGAGGGAACCGGUGACGGCACUGGAAUUUGUACCGGUGAAGGAUUUGGUGAUUUCUCAGGGGAUUGCUCAGUCAAAUCAAUUGGUUCAGAGCUCUCAACCCUGGCUUUCUUCUUCAAUGGCUGACCACCUGACCUGGUUAAAUAUCGCCUUGCCGGCGGCUUUGGUGGCGCCGGCUUCACUGGAGAAGGUUGUGGUCUCGACGGCGAAGGCUUUGGAGCAGGUUCUGGAACAGAGCCUGAACUUGGCUCCUUUCGCAGACUCCUUUUGCGGUUCGAAGGGGAUGAAGACUUUGCCCCUCGCGUUCGUGCCAUUUUGGAAUAUCGAUCUUUGGCCGGCGCUGCUAAACGGAGAAGACGACCGGAGGUUCGGACGGCGUGGCUUGGCGAAGAAGAUGAAGGGGCUGCGAGAAUGGUGCUCUGAUUUUUGAAACCCUUUUCGCAGCACUUUUGACCGGUAUAAAUAGGAAAAACGGAAGCCCAGGGGUCAGAUUACGUUUCGCAACAAAACGCCAAUUUCGCAGCAACUUGCCAUUUUCGCAGCAACUUCGCAGUGAGUUUCGCAGCUGCGAAAUUGAUGUCACUGUGCUGCGAAGUGGCACUCGUGUGCCAAAUCCACUUUCACAAUUGCGAAAUGCCCUGCGGAAUGGGACUUUUGGUGCGAAAUCACGCUUUUUCAUUUCGCAACGCGUUUCGCAGCUGCGAAAUGGAUGCUACUGUUCUGCGAAGUGGCACUCGUGUGCCAAAUCCACUUUCGCAAUUGCGAAAUACACUCGCAGAGGCUUCUACAGUGCUGCGGAGCGGUUUGGCAACAAAAAUCACAUUUCGCAGAAGUUUCCUUCACUCUGCGAAAUUUCGCAGAGCUCUGUUUUUCCCCUGUUUUUGCUCUGUUUCGGCUCCAAUUUCGACCCGAUUUUUUUUCUUUUCAAUCCCCUUGAAAUUUCUUCCACCUGGGAUCAUAUAACAUGAUUAAAACACACCUAAAAACAUGAUUUAAGAUCAAAAACUAAGAUCAAAAGUAUGAAAACAACUUGAAAAUUUACAAAAUUUACAAAAAUUUUGGACUGUGGUAAAACCACGCCCAGCAAACCCUUUUCACUUAAGCUUUUUGAGGUUCAAGGAGGUUGAUUGCCUCCUUUUCUGAUUUGAAUGACUCCAUGAACGGCUUAAGACGAUAUCCAUUGACUCUAAAGCUAUCCUUGCCAUUGGAAUUCAAUAAGUCCACCACUCCAUUGGAAUAUACUCGGUGAAUAACAAAUGGACCAAUCCACCUUGACUUGAGCUUCCCAGGAAAGAUAUGGAGUCUUGUGUCAUACAUCAAAACUUUUUGCCCUUCCUGAUUCAGUUUGCCUGGAUCCCAUUUGAAGCUUGCAUCCUUCACUUGAGACUUGGUUUGAGAUGAAGAUAUUACGACAGGACAUUGAUUAUUUUCUUCAAGAUAUGUAUAAUUCAGCUCCACAGGUAAAGGCUUCAGAUUGAGUUUUGGAAUUUCUUUUUCAACAGCUGCCUCCUCUUCCUUAUUGAACAAAGGUAAAAUUCCUUCUAUCUUUCUCCAACUUUGUAGAGUAGCAAGCCUAAUAGGAGAUUCAGAAAAACCUUCCUCAAUAUCCUCAAGACUUUCAUUCAACUUGUCUUGCAUAUGUUGAUUGCAGUGCUCCUCCACCAAAGUAUCAAUUAUACAUAGCUCUUCUGGACCUUCUUCUUCUUCCGGAGUGAUUUGCUUUUUAGACAUAUAGAAAAUAUUUAGAUCCAGUGUCAUAUUACCAAAAGUGAGUUGCAUCAGCCCAUUUCUACAAUUGAUGAUUGCAUUUGAAGUUGCAAGAAAUGGCCUUCCAAGGAUGAUAGGAACUAAAUUAGCUUCCUUUACAGUUGGAUCAGUAUCAAGAACAACAAAAUCUACAGGAUAGUAGAAAUUAUCUACUUGAACCAAUACAUCCUCAAUUACUCCUCUUGGAAUUUUCACUGAUCUAUCUGCCAAAGAUAAAGUGAUUGCUGUUGGCUUCAACUCUCCAAGGCCCAGUUGCUUGUAGACAGAGUAUGGAAGCAAAUUCACACUUGCUCCCAAGUCUAGCAAGGCUUUCUCCACUACCUUUCCUCCAAUCAUGACUGAAAUGGUAGGACUUCCAGGGUCUUUAUACUUCAAAGGAGACUUACACUGUAAGAUUGCACUUACUUGCUCAGUCAAGAAGGCUUUCUUGUUUACAGUCAACCCUCUUUUGAUAGUACACAAGUCCUUUAGGAAUUUUGCAUAUGUUGGAACUUGUUUGAUCAUAUCCAGUAGUGGAAUAUUAACUUUCACUUGCCUCAAUACUUCUAGGAUUUCAGCUGCAUUUCUAACCCCCUUUUUCCCCUGUAAUGCUUGAGGAAAAGGUGGAAAAGUUGAUUUAUUCAGCAUUUCUUCCUUCAGAAGCUCCUUCUCUGGAAUUACUUCCCUUGUUGCAUCAGAGUCCUUCUUCUCUUCACUGAUCUCACUGCCUUUAUCUUCCAUUUCCUUCCCUUUCUUCAUCUCUUCUUCUUUCUCAACAUGUGGCUUGGGUGUUGGAUGCUCAAUUUUUUUACCACUCCUUAGAGUGAUCAAAGCUUUCACAUCUUUCACCUGUGAUGAUUCUCCCUCAUGGCUUUCCACUUCAUGGACACCUUUGGGAUUUUGGUUAGGUUGAGAAGGAAAUCUUCCUUUUUCUUGCAGUGUAUUCAAAUUUGUAAGCCUGGAGAUUGAAUAUUGGAUGUUAUCAAACUUUUGAUUCAUGUCAUUUUGCAUUCCAUCCAUUCUUUUGUUCAACAUACUCUCCAUUCUGUCCAUUCUUUGAUCCACUCGAGCAUUGGUGGCUUCUUGCUUUCCCACAAAAUCUCCCACUACCUUGUUGAGAUUGGCUAUUAUUUGUUCAAUACUUGAAGAUUGCUGAGAUGGUGGAUCCGGCUGUUGGUAUUGAGUUGCUCUGGCCUUCCAUGAGAAAUUUGGAUGAUUCCUCCAACUAGAAUUGUAGGUAUUUCCAUAAGGAGCAUUGUUAUUGGGCCUGAAUUGUCCAACAACAUUUGCUUGAUCUCUAUACAUUUCCCUUUCAACUGAAAUUGCAGGGCACUCCUCCACCAAAUGUUCAAAUGAUUGACAAUUGGGACACAGCUUCACUUGCACUGGUGCUUCAGCAACAGCUUGCACUUCAUGCAUUCUUUUCAGCUCCAGCUCCUCCAAUCUUCUUGUCAUAGCUGCCAACUUUGCUUUCAUGUCAUCAUCUUCUUUCAAAUUAUACAUCCCAGCCUUUGCAUUGUAAGCAUUCAACUGAGACUUCAUCUUUCCCACUUCUCCUUUGGUUGGUUCAUCCCAUCCCCUUGAAACAUCAGCUACAUAGCUCAAGAAAUCCAUAGCUUCCUCUGGAUUUUUGCUCAUGAAAUCUCCUCCACACAUUGUCUCGAGGAGUUNNNNNNNNNNNNNNNNNNNNNNNNNNNNNNNNNNNNNNNNNNNNNNNNNNNNNNNNNNNNNNNNNNNNNNNNNNNNNNNNNNNNNNNNNNNNNNNNNNNNAACUUAUAGUCAAUUCUCUAACCGGUGAUGUACAGAGACUCCUUCAAUUAGAUUUCACUUUAAUUCUCUCACUGAUGCAACUUACAAUGGUUCAUGCCUCUCACGAGCACUUAUCAUUCAAGGUGAUCUUUAACCUUGGAUUCCCCUUCACAAACUCGCAAGAGAUAACUAAUGGAUGCCUCCUAAGAGUCCAAAAGCUUACCAAGUGUUGGUAAUUCCAGAAAAUCCUACCUUGAAGUCACCUACCAAAGGCUCGCAAGGGGUAAACUAGUGCAUUUCCACGGUUGGAAAUCACUUGCCUUACCAAGUGUUGGCCCAGGUGACUCCAAAGUGUUUUAAGUUAACUAAAAACAUUGAAAUCACUAAAGGAUUUCACUUCCUCUUCAUUACUAGCUAAAACCACAGAGCUUUGCAUUCUUGCACUUGGAACCUUCCCCGGCAACCUUAGCUCCAAGGAAUUGGAGGUUUAGUUACUCAUUCUCUGGGGAAAACUCCUCAGAGAAUUCAUAACUUAGAAAUAAAAUGAAAAUACAAAGUGAUAAGGUAAGGCAGUAGAAAGAAAAGACCUUUACUUCCUUACCAAAUGGUUACAGAAGGAACUCCUCUCUGAGGACAGGCUCCCGAGAGGUAUUUAUAGCAAACUAAUAUAAAACUAAUUCUUACAAAGAUAUUUGGUCUUUUUACUAACUUAAAAACUAAGGAAUCAUGUAAUUGGUGGUUUACAAGGAGUAUUUUGGAAUUUAGACAACAAAAAUCUAAUGGAAAAUAUCUCCCAAUGUCGGUAGCAAGCUUCGGGAGGCUUCCGGAGCCAUUUCGCAGGAGAAAAGUGAGGUCUGCGAAAUUUCGCAGACACCCAAGAGGGCUGCGAAAUUAUUUCGCAAGACCAAGCUGUCUUCAUAGGGCUACGAAGUUGGCUUCCAUCUUGAAGUUUCCAGCUCCCUUCUCGCGGCAUGGUUCGUGCAUCGUCAGAAGGAGAAACACCUUGCUGUACAAAAGUGCUGCGAAAUUCUCGCAACAAAAGGCCGAUUCCGCAACACUUUAGAGUGACUGGCUUGUAAUGGCUGCAACUUCUUCGUUUCAACUCCAAAUUGCACACCGUUUGAAGCAUUGGAUUGUUGACUUCCUGAGCUUUGAAAUGGUAUAUAGCUUGCAUCAUUUGGACUUCAGAAAGUGCUCCAAAAGUGGCUGCUACGACUGUCAUCAAGAAUAUGCUCCAUGACUGAUCCUCUUUGCUUUUUCUCCUUGCAAUCCGGAUUCACUCUUGGCAAUUGAAUUCUAAGCUUUGCCCAUGAUUCCUCAUAGUUCUCCUCAUUCUUGACUUGCUUUGGUGAUCAAAAUACUAACAAAAACACCAAAACUUGCACAAAGUGAUCAAAAUUGCUUUAAAGGAUCCUUAACAUGCCAAUUGAGUUAAAAGGCCUAAACUACUACUCAAAAGUGUUAAAAAGGAUUAAUUAAAGGCUAUCAAAUAGCACUUUUUGAGUAGUAAUCAAUGACUAGGCUAUCUAUACAUAUUUCAAUUUAUAUUUAUUAAGUACGAGUCACCUUGUGAGUAGAGCCCAAGUCACAUGUCUUACAUGAUGGGCCUAAAACACAUGAUGGGCCUAAGACACAUGUGGCCCAACAGCCCAAUGGGUAUGCUCUCCAACCUCCCAUCACAAGAGAGAAAACAGAAAAGUGGUUUCCUCCUCUAUUGCCUUAGAAGAACCAUAUUUCUUCAAAAUCAACAAUGGAUUCGCGUUUGUCUACAUUCUCUAAUCUAAUCGACAUGUUUUUUUUAUUAUUUAACAUGAGAUUUCUGGUUUUGGGUUGAUAAAGAAUUUGGUAAUCUUUAAAAAUGUUUUACAACACUUCUAUCUAUGGGGCAUGAUAUCUUUAUAGACUACGCAUCUGAUCAACUUUGUGGCAUGUCUCAUCCAACUUAUUUUAAUGCUUGUUUAUGUGACAUGAUACAAUGGAAUGGUAGUUAAAAACUCUUUUAUUUCUUUAAUACAAGAACACGUCUCUAGUCCAAAACAAAAGAAAACAAAUUGGAAACAUGUCUUUCCAGCCCUCAGGAAGGGAUUUAAACCGGAAAUAUUAACGAUACAUUUUCAAAGCAUACUUAAAGCAAACACUCCUCUCAUAUUACCAAUGCAACACGAUUCAAAAGCCCUUUUAUUCUACACGAAACUUCUUUCUGAUCCACAAGACAAAGCCAUGGACCUUCUGUGGGUCUUCGAUGGGAAGACCCCCACACAUGAUGUUCCCCUUUUACUCUAUACCAAGCUUCUUCCUCAUCUCCAUGACAAAGCCAUGGACCUUCUGUGGGUCUUUCAGAGAAGACGACACACUCUCCUUUUCCUUGCACCUCUUGGUCCAAGCGAUCAACUUGGGGCACUCCACCUCUAUGCUGAAGUUACCAAAGCUCUCAUACGCAUAAAACAAGGUUGAGAAAGUCACCAGAGCCACAUCCACAAACCCAAAUUUCUCACCACCAAAGUAAGGCUUCUCUCCAAGCUCUCCUUCCAAAAUCUUAAGGUACUCUAUGAAUUCAUUCUUGGCUGUUUCCUGCUCUUCUCCUUUGGUUGACCAUAUCCUCCUUCCAAGUUCAUAGAGCUGUGGAAAGUAAUGGAGUCAAAGAGAGAAAAGGCUUGUUUUUUUUGGAGCAUUUCAUCAAGUUUCAAACUUUCUGUAUAGUUGGACAAGUUUAUUAACGACCCUUCAGCAUAGAAAUCUCGUAUCCUAGGAAAAAUAUCAGAAUCAGCUGAAAGAAUGUAUCAUUUGCUAAAGUUUUUCCCCUCAAUUUGGGUUAAAGAAAUGAGAAGAAAGAGAUCAAAAAGACAGAACACAUAUUAAAACAACUGUUGUGCAAAAUGUUGAACAGAAGGAUAACAAAAAACCAAAAUCUGUUCUUUAAAAUCUGGUUUAUGUAUCCCCUUUCUUGGGGGAAAACGUAUUCUUGAGAUCUGCUUUUUUGGAUGGAACGAACAGACUUCGGAUUCAACAGAACAAAGAAAUAAAAACCCAUAUCAGAAAUGCAGAGUGGAGUCUUGUUGAAGAAACAGCAAAGAGAAUCAGUAAAGUUCUAGUUUGGGACACCAAAGCCAACAAAACUAAAUAUCAGAAGAGAAUAUGUGAAGAACCAGAAUUUUGGAUAAAUCCCUCACCAUAAUCAAAAUGUGAGUCAAUCGCCAUGAAUCAAUGGAAAAGAAUGCUUUAAAUCAACAGAAAAGGCAUACCUUCUUGUCUAUGUAGUCCGCCCAGAACCUGGCCUGAGCUCUCUGGUAUGGGUCACUAGGCAACAAGGGAGAUUUUUCGUUCCAAACCUCAUCAAUAUACUGAACUAUUAUCAUAGACUCACAAAUGGGCUUUCCAUUGUGGAUCAGAACUGGGAUUUUCUUAUGAAUCGGGUUCAUCUCAAGAAGCAGAGGACUCUUGUUGCUCGUGUCCUCCUCUCUAUAUUCAUACUUGAGACCCUUCUCUGCCAGGGCAACUCUGACCCUCAUACCAAACGAGCUAGGCCAGAAAUCCAACAAGAUAAUCUCGUCUGCCAUUGCUACUACUGUGAUUGAUAAGAUUCAAACUCAAGCAUUGAUGAACUCAAGGGAAAUUGUUAAGUAUUUAUAGCAAACUUCAGAGACGUGGGUUAGAUACUUCUAGGAGGUGAUGAUGCUCAUUCCCUAGCUUUCAUUUUCAUUUUCCUUAAUUAUAUUCUUAUCUCCGAUUCGUAGCUCUCCAGGAUUCCCAUAUUUUGAGUUUAUUUAUUUAUAAGCCAAGUGUUUUUAAUUAAAUAUAAUGCUUUCGAAAUUCUUUGAAAAUUAGAAAAAAUAGUCAUAUUUGAUCAUUUUAAUUUUACUACUUACUUUUAAAUCCAAAAUAGAAAGAAAUUUAGUGUUAUUUUGAAAAUUUAGUGUCAUUGUUACAUUUUUUAUUGCCAUUUUAUGAUUCAAAUUAUCCAUUUCUUUGAUGUUGCUUCUCCCUAUCCAUUUUCGACAUUGGGAUUAAAACUAUUCACUAAAAAAUUGAUUGAUAUAAAAUUACAUUAAAUUUAAAUUAAAUUCAGAUUGACGGAUUAUUUGUCACUAUGCAUGUCAUGUUGCUUGCAAAAACUAUCCAUUCGAUCUCCUUUGCGGUGGUGAUCGCGACAACAAAAACAUGGAAGGAAAGGAAAAACCUUAAUGUUGUUAGCAAGAAAUGAAAGAAUUGGGAGGUUGUGAAGUCUACUUAUGAUCUUAUGAUCUUGUCAAAUAUGAUCAUCAUACAAUACUUGGUAACAUUUAAUUAAAAUAUAUAGUAUUUUUGAGUGACAUUCCCUGCUUAUUACCAACAUAUGGUAGUCACUAAAACCAAUGUCUUUAGUAUAUUUCUUAAUUUAAAACAAUAAAAAGUUAUAAAAAAAUAAUAAAAUGAAAAAUAAAUUUAAAUUCAAUUAACAUUUCUUACAUGUUUCAACAAGACUAUCUCUUUUCUUUUCUUUUUUUUCUAUUCUACAUAAAGAUUGAAAUUUUUUUAUUAUAUUUGAUUUUAUUUUAUACCUUUGAACUAAAGAGAAUUUAGAUUUCUUUCCAUCUCUAUUUUUUUUCUUCAUUUAGUACUUUUUGUAAUCCAAUGGGCUAAAUAUAUUUGUUGCUAGAAAAUUUUACAUUCUCCGUAUUAAAAUUAUGAUCAUCACUACUAGCACUCAAGUAAAAUCUCUCACAAGAAAUAUGUGUAUUAUAAGAAACUAUCGGUUGUAGGAAUUACUCACUAAUUGGUUAAUAAGUAUGGCAAUCUUAUCUUAACACUCAUGGUAGGAUUUUACAUUCCAGUAUGGAAAAAAAACAAGUGACAAGAAAGGAUCACGUACGGAAGAUGCCCAAGCAAGUUCUUGUUGUUUGGUCUAUAUUUUUGGAAUUUUCUUUUUUCUUCUUUCAUGAUUGUGGGCUGUAGUAUAAAAACAUUACUUCUCAACCCCUUUUUCUUCUUUCAUGAUUGUAGCAUAGUUAGAAUCUUAAGAAUCCUUGCUUUGUUGCCUUCUCAUUUGUGAAAAUUUUCAAUAGUAUUAAAAACGAAAGUCAAUGGGUAUUAACGGUGUUACGAUAUUCUUUCCUUUUUUUAAUGGGUAUUGAUUUUGUCCUAAAUCAAACUUCCAAUUCAGACCAUUCAAAUGCAUAAUGAAAUCUAGGUCAUUGGGUCGGGCCGCCCAUUCCGUGGCUCGACACGCCACAAGGUCAGGCGGGGCCAUUACAGGCCAACACUGUAGCAAGCUGGGCUAGCAUGACCCAAAGGAGCAGGCCAUGCUAGGCCUAAAGAAAUAGCCCAUCGGCCCAUCGUGUUGGCCCACUUGGCCCUUUUAAAUUUCACUUUUUACUUUUAACUUUUUAUUACAUGUCAAAUGUCUAUAAUACCCAUCUCAACAACUAUAUUACGACUAGUUUGAGGGGUAAAAAAAGUAAAUCAAUAACUAUUUUUACUUUUUUUAUGUCAAACUUUAGAGGAUGAACUUAAAGAAGCCUUCAAGAAAUUGCAUCUCAAUGCAAACAAUGAUGUUCAAGAGAUUUAUGAUGAUUGAAGAUGAAAAAAUAAGAAUGAAGAUUGAAUAAGAAGACAAAAGUGAAUAUGAUAAUUGAAAAAUUAUAUGUUGUUCGUUUCUUUUAAAUCUAUUAAAUGUAGUUAAUUUUUAAAGGUUAAGUAAUGCAUAUGAUUGAUAGUUGGGUGGGUGUCAACCUGGAUGGGAUGUACUCAAACUAUAAUGACGCAAUUCUCACUUUUGUUUUUUUUUUCUCCUUAUUUUUUCAUGUAAUUUGUUGAAAUAUAGAAUAAAAGAAUUAUUUUUUUAUAUUUCAUUUCCUUUUAUAUUCCAUUAUUUUAAAUUUAUUGUUAUUUUGAUUUUAAAAAAAAUAAACAAAUUCAAAUAUAAUUUUUUUACUAUUUUUAAAAACAAAAAACUAACAUUUCUAUAAAUUUUACAAUUACAAACUCAAUAAAUAUAAAUGUAAAAAAUAAAAAGUAUAAUUAUUAGAAGUGUAUAAAAAAUAAUAUAUAUAAUUAUUAGAGGUGUUUCAAGUAACAAAAAGAAAUUUUAUUUAAUAUUAAGGAAAAAACUUAAGAAAAAAUGACUUAAAAAAUUAAAUUAAAAUUUUUAACAAAGUGAGUGGCCCAUGGGCCAUGGCCCACCGGCACAGCACGGCCUGACCCAGCACGACACGAUUAGCCCACGGACUUAUGGGUCAUGCCAAGCCACCUAUUUGGCUUGCAUGGGUCGGCCCAACCCAACACAUUGGCCCGUAAUGGCCCGAUCAAUAUUAGGCCAUGUCGGCCCAACACGACCCAUUGGGCAUCUCUAUAUACAAGAUUGAAAACCCUUCUUAUCAUGAGAUUUUUCAAAUCCGUUAUUUAUCUUUCAAAGUAAGACUUGUUUGCUAAAAAAAUUGCUCUCUUAGUCUUUAUUUUUGAACUAUCCAUAUCCAAAUAGGGGUUUCCUCCUUAUCUAAGGAGGAGAGAGCCUGAAGGACCAUCCUAGGUAUGGUGUAGUAGCUUGGAGAAGCAUCUAUACCAAAAUCAAAAUGAUAGUUCCAAAUGAAUAAGAUUCUCAUUAGCAACAACCAAUUCAAAUAUAUAAUCUUGGAAAAAUCUUUUCAUGAAAAUUUACUAAGAAUACCAAAACAUUUUUCUUUAGGUUUGAAUACUUAUUUUGGUAACCUUCUUAAUUAUAAAUUAUCUAUUAUGAAUUUUCAAAAUUAACUUAUUUUCUUUAAAUCCAAACCUUGUGCAAAAUAAGAAAAAUAUUAUUUUAUAAAGAUUUGGAAAAACAAGAGUUUUUUUAUUAAAAGAAAGAUUUUAUUCUUAGAGAUCUCGAAGAUCUAAGAAAAUUUUAAAUAAAAUUAAAAUCAUUAAGAAUUAAUUUUUAAAAGGAAUGGAAACUCUUAAUUCUUUUCUAACUUAUCUUUUCUUAAAAUAAAUUUCCUAACAAUACACAUUCCAAUUUAAAUAAGUUUUCCUAUUUUGAAAAACUCCAUCAAAAUUUAUAUCUAAUUAAGAAUACCAAAUUAUCCUAUUUUAGGUCACAUAUGCAAGUAAUAAAGAUAACAUAAAAUAAAAACAAGGAAAUAAUUAAAUAAAUAUUUCUCAUGAACUUUAGGGAUCCUAUUGCAUAUUUGGUAAUUAAAAAUUGGAUAAAAUUCAAAUUAUCAAAAUAUUCUUGCAACCAAAGAUUAGUUAGUAAAAAUUGAAAAAACUCUAAAAAGUUGAAUUUCCACAAAAAAAAAAAAAAAAAAAAAAACCUAAAAAAGAAGCCCAAAAUCAAGCCCAAAUAACCGAAAACAAUUUGGCCUGAACUCAAUUCAGAAAUAGCAUGCUCUUUGCACAACCUUACUACAAUUGACUAUAUAUUCCUCAUUUCAACUCCGAAUAGAAAAUUGUUUGAAGCAUUGGAUUCCUGACUUCCUAAGCUUCAAAAUCAUAUAUGAUUUGUUCCAAUUUUGAGUCAAAUUAGGAUCUAAAUCAAGAACUUCCAAGAAUCUUUCUUUUUUCUUAAGUCACCAUAGGAUCUCAAAAAUGAAAAUUUAAGAAUUUUUCCUUUCCUUUUGGGUCACCAUAGAUGGAUGAAAAAAAACAAAUUUUUUUACAACCAAAAAAAUAAAAAUAAAAAUCUUAUACCCCUCAUGGGGUGUACAACCCAACCUAGAGAAUAAAAUAGCAAAGAUCAUAUCCAUUCAUAUUCAUUCAUUCAAUUGAAUUAAUAAAAGCAUUUCAUUGAUUCAUCCUUAGGGUCUAUGAGAUGAAUAAAAAAACAACCCUGCAAAAUAGAUGUGAGCGCAACUUAGAAUAAAUCUAGCAUGCAAGUGUAGACCUUCCAUUUGUUCCAUUAGCACAUGCCCUAUUAAGUGCUCUUUUCAUACUUUGCAAUAGUCUCCUUUGGUGGCCCAUUUUCUACUCACACAACUUACCUUUUUUAGCCAUCUCAAAGACUCUAGUUGAGAGAUUUAUCUAGCCCCUCAUUGUGAGUGACCCUUGGCAACCCCAAGUUAGAUCUAGGAUUUUCUUUUUCUCUUUUUAUAAUAGCUCCUUUUUAAGUGCUCCUUUAGGACAACAUACUUAGACAUAUUCAAGUACACUUCUUAGGUCACUUAAACACACCCUAGGUCACCUAAGCACCUUCUACCUUAUAUAGACUCACUCUAGGUCACUUAGGCACUUUAUAAACUCACAUUAGGUCAAUUAGGCACUUUUAUGAUCACCUUAGGCCACUUAGGCACUUUUCUUAUCACUUUGGGUCACUUAGCACUUUUUUUUAUCACCUUAGGUCACUUAGGCAUUUUUUUUUAUUAUCUUAGGUCACUCAAGCGCAUUUUUGAUCACCCUAAUCCACUUAAACACAUCCUAGGUUACUUAAGCACUUUUCUUAUCAUCCUAGGUCACUUAAGCCCAUCUAGACACAUCUAGCCCAUUAAGACACACUCUGACUUAUUUAGACAUGCCUUAGUUAAUCUAGGCACAUCUAACCUAUUUAGACAUACCUUGAUCCAUAUAAGCCUAUUUGGUUCAUCUAGGCACACUUAGCCCAUCUAGGCACACCUGACCCACUUAGGUACAUACAUACUCGUCUAAGCACACACCGGUCCAUCUAGGCACACACCAGCCCAUCUAGGCACACCUUGACCCAUCUAGACACACCCUGGCCCACCUAGGGUUACUUGAGCCCACCUAGGUCACCUUUUAGGUAAUUUUUGCUUGCAAGACAUCUUUUUCUAUUUAGUAAUUUAUUUUAUUUAUUAUUUUGUGUAUUUUCUUUCUUUGUUUUUUAGUUUUUUUUUUUUUUUUAUAUUAACAUUGUAACACCUUUUUAUUCAUUUAUUAAAUCUAAUAUUUUUUGUGCUUUUGUAGGGAAAAGUUUGGAUAGGAAAGGAUCCUCUUUUGGAGAGAGAGAACUAGCCAUCUUUGAAGAUCACAAACAACCUCCUGAUAAGAUGAAAAGUUUUAGCUAUAUAUAGGGACUAGUUUUGAAAACUUGAAGAUAUACAAAUAAUGAAAGAGGUGCAUCACAUUAAGAGUCUAGAGAAGAAAGGUUUUUUUACAUAAGAAUGUAAAAAGAUAUGGAGGUAAGAGGGAUUUGGAAUAUAGUUGGUUGCUACCUUGGUUUUGGAAAGAGAUACUCAGCCAUAAUGGGCUCUUAGAAAGUCCUUGAAAGGUUAGAAUUCCGCAUAGGGAUUUUGAGGUUUUUUUUAUUUUUUAUUUUUAGGGGAUUAUGCUGGUUUUCUAGAGGGAAUAUCCAACAAUGUAAAAAAGAGGAAUCAUGUAGCGGUUUUUUUGGGAAGGAAGAUUUUAACAUGCAAAAGGGAGGUUCAGUUGCGGUCUUUGAAAUAAAAUCAUUCAGAGCGUGUGACGAACGAAAAAAGGAGAUUCGGUCCGUGGUGAGGAUGAGAGAUACAGUCCGCGUUUUGAAGACGUUUCGGGAGGGUUUUGAAAGAAUAUGGAGAUAGAGAGAUAUUCAACUCAUUUUGGGAGCACAUUCAGGCCGUGUUCUGGGGAUAUUCAGAGCGUGUUUUGGAGUCACAUUCAAGCCGUGUCUGAGAGUAAGAGGGAGCGUGUUUUCGAGGGUCACAUUCAGUCUGUGUUUUGGGAUCAUUGAGAACACGUUUUGGUUCCCAUUAGUAUGCAUCUAGUACAAAUUGAACCUACCAAUUCGCCAAUUAUGAGUUGGGCGCUUUAACCAUUCAGCCAUGGAUGCUUAGUGGGGAUCCUCGUACAUGGUGAAUAACCAAAUUCUAAUUGAAAUGAAAUCUUUAGGAUAAAUCAAUGUAAUUUAGGAGGAAUAAUGAAAGGACAUCAAUUCAAAUCUUGGAUUUUCAAAUUGAGAGAUAUUGAGAGAGAUCAAUAAUUCUCACUAUUUCUUAGAUUCAUGGACCCAAUUCACUUCAGUGGGAUAUUUCAUUCAUAUUUUUUUCCACCAAGAGAGCACAUUCAGGCUGUGGUCUGAGGGGAAGAUAAGAGAAGGUAAGAAAGGUAUCAUUUGGACAUUGUUUCAUUUUGAAAAUUUGUUUUGACUUUGUUAGUUUUUUGCGGAAUUUUGGAAUUAGGAUUAGAGAUAAGGGUGAUUUCUUUGAAAGUUUGAAUGAUUUUAAUAUCUGGACCUUUUGCUUUUAUUCAUGUUAUUUCAUUAAAAGCUUCAUCUUGAAAAUUUUGGUUAUGCUUUAAAUUUUUUUGGUUCUGAUUCAUGUUAUUAGAAUGUUAUUUCAUUAAAAGUUUCAUCUUGAAAAUUUUGGUCAUGCUUUAAAAUUUUCUGUUUAUGAUUUAUGUUAUUAGAAUGUUAUUUUAUUAAAAAGUCCCAUCUUGAAAAGUUGGUUAUAUAAAAAUUUGGUUAGGUUUUAAAUUUUUCGGAACAUAUUUCAUGAUAUUAGAAUGCUAUUUCAUUGAAAGUCUCAUCUUGAACAUUUUGAUUAGGUUUUAAUUUUUCUAGUUACUAUUCAUCUUAUCAAAAUGCUAUUUUCUUAAAAGUCUUAUCUUGAAAAUUUUGGUUUGGUUUUAAAUUUUCUAGCUAUCAUUCAUGGUGUUAGAAUGCUAUUUUAUUAAAAAUCUUACCUUGCAAAGUUUGAUAAUUUUAACGUUUAUAGGUUAUUCCCAUACUAUCAAAAUUUUCAUGUUUCAAUGAUUAGUUCUUAGGGUUUUUUUAUAUUCUCUAUUUAUUAUGCAUGUUAGUUGAUUGGGUUAUUGGAUUAAAUUGGCAAUGGUAGUUUUUAGGGGUUUUAGAUUCUCUUGUUACUAUGCAUGUUAUUUGAUGGGUUUAUUAGAUUAAAAGUUCUUAUCUUUGGAAACGGUAGUUCUUAGGUUUUUAGAUUUUUCUUGUUAUUAUGCAUGAUUAUUUGAUUGGGUUGUUGAAUUAAAAGUUGUCAUAUUUAGAAAUGGUAGUUCUCAAGUUUCUAGAUUUUGAUGUUAUUAUGCAUAUAAUUUGAUUGGGUCGUUGAGUUAAAAGUUCUCAUCUUUGGAAGAACCAAAUGAAUCAACCCAAGCUCUAAAGAAAAAUCUAAUAAAAAAUUCUUUUGAACUUUAAAAUGGGUUGGAGUUUCCUAGGAAACAAACACACCCACUCUUUGAAUGGAAGAGGAACUCAAUGGAGUUUGUCUGACUGUUGUAGGGGAGGUGUUCCCCUAACCCUAAAAAUCAAUUUUUGGUUCAAAUAGGUAAGAAAACCCUUAGGAAAUGUAAAUUUACAACCACAUGAAGUAUCAUUCUUAAUGCUACUUCAAUUUUGAGUCAAAUAAAUUUGAGUAAAAAUAAGACCAAAAUACCUACCAUGUCCUUGACUAAUUCAAAGGUCAACCUAUUCCAUAUAUUAAUGAACAACAAAUAAAGAAUGCUUGCGAUUUCUCAAAUAAUUCAAAGGCAAGACUUGACUCAAAGGAGUCAAAUGACACAUUAUUUUCUCAUAUGCAUCAUGACAAUAUUUGACACACAGAGUCAAUUGGCAUGUCUAUAUCAAUUUUUUUUUUAGUGCAAAAUGGAAUGGUGGUUAAGAACUUUUUUACCUCUUUAAUACAACUAAUACAAACAAAGCAUAUAUCAAAGUCUCACAAGAAAAAGCAAGGUAAAGCUCAUAAGCUUAUUGUGUGAACAAGUUGACAAAACAUGAAGGCCAAAAGUUUUGGCAUUACGAGGUCCAUUGGGAGGGCCCUACAAAUGCACAUUACAUUUGACCCAAAUUCUUCAAAUUUGCUUUUGAAAAGUUUAUCCAGUUAAAAUGACUACUAGCAUUGAAUAUAAAUUAAAUCAUUUAAGAUUAUCUUUUGCCAAACAUAUUAAUUAUAAAAUAAAAAAUCGUUAUAAAAGUGAUUUAAAAACCAUGCCCUAUCACAUUCUAUUCAUGGAGAAUGAUGUAAUCAUGCAACAACUAAAAAAUCCAAAAAAAAAUUUAAAGUUUUAAAUUUAAAAUUUUAAAGUACAUAGAAAAAUUAAUUCUAGAAACAUGUAUUUCAAUAGUGAAAUUAUCAAAAUUUUAAAAUUACACUGUAACCCUCGAUCUCAUUUCGCAAUUAAUUACUGCAAAAAAAUUUUAUUUUUUUCUUUUUACUUUAAUGUGACAAGUUAAAGAGCAAGUCAUUGUUGUCUUUUAAAAAACGAAAAGAAAAAAAAAUUGACUCAUGGUAACCAACCAUGUCAUAUGAUUUUUCUUUUUUCUUUUUCCUCUCCUUCGUAAUAUCUUUACCUUUCUGUUUCUUAAUUUCUAAUGUGUUGACUUCAUGAAAUCUUUUUAAUUUCAUUUUUCAUUAUUUCAUCUUCUACAUUUAUCGAUUUCAAUUAUUUAUGGAUAUUCUAGACACAAAAUAAAAAUAUAUAAUAAAUAAUUAAUGAAAACAAAUUUAAUAUACAAAUAAAUUCAUAAUGAACAAAUUUAGAAGCUUAGGACAUAAGAUUUUCUAUAUUCCUCCUAAAUAAAAUAUCUAUUUAUUUUAUAAUCUUAUUGCAUUGUCAUAUUAUUUUAUUGUUUAUAUUUUUAAAAAAAUUGUUAAAUUUUUAUGUGAAAGCACCUUUGAGUAGUAAUCAUAUUCAUUUAACCCAAUUAAUUCAUUAAGGUCCUUGGUAAUUGGUUUUAACCAUUUUGUGGCAAGUUUACAUGUUUUUAUCAGCUUAUGAAUCAAUUCAAGCAUGCCAAAUGAUGGAGGAGCUACUUGGACAAGUUAUGGCAAAGCCUUUGGAAGCUCAAAUUCAUGAAGAACCAAGCUUUGGAGCUCCAUAGCCCUUUGCCAAAGUCGUUCAAAGUAUGCAAGGAAAGAACAAUGGAAAAGAGGAAAAGCAAGCAAAGUGAAGAGAAGUAAAGAGGACAGCAGCUGCAAUCUUCUUUCGCACUUUUGGAGUACUUCCCGAAGUCCAUUUUUUACAUAAUAUAUACCAUUUCAAAGCUCUGGAAGUCAAGAAUCCAACGCUUCAAACCGUGUACGAUUUGGAGCUGAAAUGAGGAAGAUAUGGCCUUCGAAAGCCAACUGCUCCAGGUUAUGCGAAAAUUUCGCAUAACACCUUCAAAAUUCGCAUAACCCAUGCGUGUUACGUUUUACACUGAGAAUAUAUACAGAGCUCUCUCGUUUCUCUUUUCUCUUUGCUAUUUUAUUUUCUUGGAAGCCAAACAGCCUCUGAGGGCUUUUCCUCAGAGGAUGAUUGGCUAAAACUUUUAGUUUCUCAAAGUAUGGAUGUUAUGUGAUGACUUGGAUGCAAUCACAUGGAAAUUUCUCGCACCCGGAAGGUAAGGUAGUCGUUUUUCAUUAAAGGUUAAUUAAUGCAAAGUUUGGUUUUUAUUUCCUUUGGACAACUUCCAACGGCCAAUACUUGAUAAGCUUUUGGAUUUCUAUCCAUUAGUUAUCUCCUACGAGCUAUUGGAAGGUGAGGUUUUCAAUUCCAAGUUUUGCAUUAAUCCGUUAGAACCAAUUUCAAUGGCCAUUGAAAGGUGAGUUUAUCACUUGGAAUGACUUUGAGUUGCCAAUAUUUGGUAAGCUUUUGGCUUUAGACCAUUAGUUAUCUCUUACGAGCCAUUCAAAGGAAGUCUAAGGUGAAUAACAAUUGAUGAAAUUCACUACCAUCUGUUUUGCCAUUUUAAAGGAUUAAAACUUGAUUUGCUAAAUCCAUACCGGUUCGGGAAGCAAGCAUCACCAUAGUUGCAACCCCAACUCGAGGAGCCUAUCCUAAGAUUUCCAAUUUGCAUAAGAGCCAGAGCAUAGCUCUCCUAUCUUUGAGAAACUUGUUUUUACACCCUUUCAUUUUAGUCUUUAAUGUUAGCUUAGAUUAGUUUAAAUCUUUCUAAAACAUUUACAUCUUCUUUUAAAGCUAACAUCCAUAAGAAAAUCACCUAUUUUCCUAAUUUGAAUAUCACUAGUGUUUGCGAAAACCCUUCCCAGUGAACGAUCCUAGAACCACUAUGCUAUAGUAGCUUGGCUACUUUAGUAAUAGUAUUCAAGGUAUAAAUUUUGUUGAUACGCCUUUAAAGCUAAGCUACCAUGAGUCGCAUCACAAAGCCCACAAAACUCAAUAUCAGAAGGGAACGUGUGAAGAAACCCAGCAUUUUGGACAACUCCCUCGCCAUAAUCAAAAUCUGAGUCAAUCGCCAUGAAUAAAUGGAAAAGAAUGCUUUCAAUCAACAGCAAAGGCAUACCUUCUUGUCUAUGUAGUCCGCCCAGAACCUGGCCUGAGCUCUCUGGUAUGGGUCACUAGGCAAAAGCGGAGAUUUAUCGCACCAAACCUCAUCAAUAUACUGAACUAUUAUCAGAGACUCACAAAUGGGCUUUCCAUUGUGGAUCAGAACUGGGAUUUUCUUAUGAACUGGGUUCAUCUCAAGAAGCAAAGGGCUCUUCUUCCACAGGUCCUCCUCUCUAUAUUCAUACUUGAGACCCUUCUCUGCCAGGGCAAGUCUGACCCUCAUACCAAACAUGCUAGGCCAGAAAUCCAACAAGAUAAUCUCGUCUGCCAUUGCUACUAAUGUGAUUGAUAAGAUUCAAACUCUUUAAGUAUUGAUGAACAGCACGGGAAAUUGCUGAGUAUUUAUAGCAAAUUUCAGAGAGUGGGUUAAACCCUUGGAUACUUCUAGGAGGUGGUGAUGCUCAUUCCUUAUCUCAGCUUUCAUUUUCAUUUUCCAUUCUAUCUCGGUUUCGUAUCUCUCCAGAAUUUGUGAAUUAUGGAAACGUUUGUUAUGGCAUGGUAAAAUAUAGAAGCGUCCCGAUAGUUGGUUGCUUCCACGUCAUCUCAUUGCUUUGAUCAUUCCACAUCAUCGCUUUCGCCAGCCCUGUCAAUUAAGUACACUGGUCCUCUGCAUAAUUUCCACCACAAAAAUGAUGUUGCAAGGAAAAGAAAUGAUAUUGUAGGGAAAAGAAAAUAGAACUUGUAUAUUUUUAGAUCGACAAGUCACUAUUGGUCCCUUCCUUAGUUCUUAGAUUCCUGAAAUUAAAUAAAUAUUUAAACUUUAUGUGUAUUAUAAAUAUUUAAAAUUUCAGUGGUGAUUGUAUUUUUAUCUAAGAUCUAUUUUUUUUUAAUUUGAAUAAAUUAAGUAUUGUUAAAUAUUUAAAUUUUUUAUAUUUUAAUUAUUAGUAAAUGUUAAUAAAUAUUAAAUAACUGAUCUUUUACAUUACAAAAAUAUUUAUAAAAUAUAAUAUUUUAUUUCUUGUUAAAUUAGUUUGCAAUCCAACACAUUUUUGAAUAUUUAAAUAUCAUAAUUCAUUAACAUAUUAAAAUUUUAUAAUAAAUAAUUAUGUAAUUGAUAAGAAAUUGGUAGUUUGAUAAUAAGUAUAAUUAUGGGGUAUUUGGUAAAACUCAAUAAUUAUUACUUAAUGACUUAAGUUGAUUUUAAGUAAAAUUAUAUUUAAGUUAUUGACUUAAAACUUAUUACUUAAUUUUUAAUUUAAAUAUUAAGGUUGUUUAAUAAAAUUAAUUUAAAAUUUAUUCUAAAUCAUCAAAUUGAUAUACUUACCCCCAUAAAUUAUAAUGAGGAUAAAUGAGAUCGAGUAACAAUGGAAGUUGUAUAAUAACAAAAAAAAUCGUGGAACUAAGAUAAAUGAGGGUAAAAAGAUAAAAUGAAAACAUGGAUUUAAGAAUAAAUUAAUUAUUUUUACUUAUUAGUUAAAGUUGUUUUUUACUUUAAGUCAUACCAUUAAAUUAUUUUACCAAUUAUAUUUAAUUUAUUUAAUAACUUGAAUUAAGUUAUUAAGUUGAUUUACCAAUACCCACUUAGACUUGUUAGAAACUAUUAGAACUUUUCUAAGUUAGUAUAUGUUUAGAUUUGAAGAUUUGUGAUUGAAAUAUGUAUUCUUUUUAAAAUUAAUUCAUUGAUUUUUGGAAUUUUAUCUCCAAAGGAGUAUCAACUUUUAAUUUAUAUUUUUUAAAAUUAUUAAUUCUAAUAAAUAUUUAGAUGAAUGUGAAUUAUGCUUUAGAAUUUUGAUUAAAAAAAAUCUUAUUAGAAUUGCUAACUAUUUUUAUUUUUUAUAAAGCUGAAUUUUUAUUAAAUAUUUUUCGAAUUUAAAUUUUAUGAUUUUUAGUAUAAUUUAUUUUUAUUUUUGAAUGAGUAAUCAAUAAUAAUUUGUGGAAUUCAAUUUUAUUGAGAAUGGGAUAAAUUAUGGGGUAAAAAUAAUGGAAACAUGUGGGGAUUUGAAAUUUUGUAAAUUUAUCUUUUAGCUAUCAAUUUAUGAGAAAAUUUUAAAUCUGAUUUUUCUUUAAAAAAAUGAAAAAUGAAAAUGAAAAAAAAAAACAAACAAAAAAUCAAAUAUAUUUGAUGCUUUUUGUAAAUGACAACUUUGUUAAUUUAUAAUAAAUUUAUUUCUCACUCAAAUUAUAUAAAAUUAACAUAGUUUAACUAUUUUUUAAAACAAGUUAUCUAUUCUUUUUUAAAGGAAUUUAGUUUAAAUUUUUGUGAAAAUUUGUAUUUAAGCAAGUACUCUUAAUUAAUGAUUAAAAGCUUUUUUAUUUUUUACUUUUUCCCCAUAAAUAAUUAAAUAUUAUAAUUAAUCCUAGUUUUUUCAAACUCUUAUAAAUAGGAGACUUGGGUCAAUGAAAUGGAUACCUCAAAGUUAUUUUAGAACUCUAUCUCUUCUCUAAUUCUAGUCUCUCCAAAAGAAAACUCUUAUUAUAAGUUUUUGUAUAAGAUUCAAACACUAAAAGGACAAACUUAUUCUCAUAAAAUAUCUUUUUUAUCAUCUAAAAGGUAUGUGAUAAACUUCUACUUUUAUAUUAUUUUCUAUUUAAUUUAUCCUUUCGAUGAAGAAACUAGAAAAUAUUUUUUUUUAUAGACAAAAAUUAUGAAAAAAAAAUUGCAACUAGAAGUUAUAAAAAAAAAAUGUAAAAUAUGUACAAUUGUAUAGCCAAAGGUUAUAUGAGAAAUUAUAAAGUUAUAAAAAUAUAAAGAAUGACUUACAUGUAAUUUCUAAUUUCUUUUAAUCAUAAUGAUAUAACCAAAUGUUACACAAAACAAAAUUGUAUUGUCAAAAGUUAAAUAAUGAAUAUUUCAUAGCCUAAAGAUGUAUACAAAUUUGCACAUUUUUGUUAUGAUAAAAAUAAUCCAUAGCCAAAAACUAUGUAAGCAAUCAAUUCGUACUUUUUAUUUUGUUAAUGCUACAUGAUGUUCAUGCAUUUUUUUUUUACCAUAUUUAUAAUAAUCCUUUAGCAAUAAAAUAUAACAAAAUCUUAAAUCAUUAUGCUUUUAUUAAUGAAUAUUAACCUGAUAAAAUAUUGUUAGAUAAUUUUAUUCAUUUAUUUUGGUAAAUUGAAAUAUUAUUCUAAUUAAAUUAUUUCAAAUAUAGUUUUCAAAUAAUGUCAAAUCUUACCAAGUUUGAGUUUGUUACAUUCCCUAUUUCGGGCAAAACUAUUUAUCUAGAUUCUAAAUGCUAAAAUUCACCUAAACGAUAUGAAUCUUGAAUAGACCAUUAAAGAAUAAAAUGAGGCAUCCUCACAAGAUCGCACUAGAGCAUUAAUAUUCCUUCAUUAUCACAUUGAUGAAGGAAUAAAAGGUGAAUUCCUUACAAUCAAAGAAUUUUCAUUCUUUGAAAUAAUCUAACGGAAUGAUACUUUGAUCCUUUGGAAUAAUAUAACAAAAUGAUAUGGCCACCACGAGAUUAUAAUCCUUCCAAAAGAACAUCAUGAUUGGAUGCACUUGAGAUUACAAAAUUUCAAGUUUGUCAAUGACCACAACUCGACUUUAUUCAAAAGUUGUUCACAAUUUAUAUGGAGAAAAAAUCAUUAAAGAAUAUAUCCUUGAAAAGACAUUUACUAUUUUCCAUGCCUCGAAUGUACUCCUAUGGCAACAAUAUCAAGAGCAUAAUUUCACUAAAUAGUUUGAAUUAGUUUAAUGUCUUCUUAUGGCUAAACAAAAUAAUGAACUUCUACUAAAGAAUCAUCAAUCUCAUACUAUUAGGUCUAUGUCAUUGCUUGAAGAAAAUGUCACAUCCGUCCAAGCUCCUAGACAUUGAGUUGGACUUGGACAUGAACAAGGCUAAGGACACAGUCAUGGUCGUGGUAAACAUAAUUCUUGGUACCAUGGUAAUUAUAGUCAUUAGAAUAGAAAAAACAAUUCAAACCAUUAGAAGUGGAAUAAUUCAAAGGUACAACCUAAAAAGGAUAUAUAUAUAUAUAUAUAUAUAUAUAUAUAUAUAUAAUCACAAAACAAACAUGAUAGUAAGAAUGAAUGCUAUAGAUAUGGUAUGAAAAGACACUAGUCAUGUACCUAUCAUAUUUCCAUAUGUUAAAAAAAUUGUACAUAGGUUUUAGAAAUGCCCAAUCGGGUAAGGGAAAGCCUCAAACAUUCCAACACUUCCUUAUGUUAAUAUUUAAAUCCUAAUAAGGAUGUAUAUUGUCAUGGUUCACCUUAAAAAAAUUGCAUGUAUGUUUCUUAAGGAUGUAUGUAGGAUUUAGAAAUGACCUACGACGAACAGGAAGGCCUCAAAUUCAUUAUGAGGCUUCUAUAAUUUAAUAUUUAGACCCAAAUAAGAAUGACUGGAACUAUGGUCCACCUUAAAAGAAAAGGUUUUUUUUUUUUUUUUUUUUAAGAAUUUACAUACUUUUCUUAAGAAUGUAUGUAUUUUUCUUAAGGAUGUACGUAGACUUUGAAAAUAACCAACGAGGAAUGGGCAGCCUCAAAAUUAUUACAAGGCUUCCAUAAAUUAAUAUUAAAACCUAAAUAAGGUGAAAUAAGGUCACAAUCUGCUUUUAAAAAAACGCACAUAUUUUGUUUUUUUAAGAAUGUACAUGUUUUCCAUAAAAAUAUAUGUAUUUUUUCUUAAGAAUGUUCUUAAGGUUUAGAAAAACCUAACAAGGUAAGGAAAGACCUCUAAUUCAUUCUCAGGCUUCCAUAAGUGAAUACCUAGACCUAAAUAAGGUCAAAUAGGAUUAUAGUCUUAAGAUAGAGUUCUUAAAAGCAUAACAUGGUGUAUUAAAUUUGAAAUUCAUUAUUUAUUUAAUGAUGUUCCCAUUUCACUUUUAUCUAUCUUUAUUCCAUGUAUUAUAUUUUAUGAGAAGUCUUGUCAGCAUCUUUUGCAUUGUACAUGACUUAGGUGCAUUAAGAGUUGCACAGAAGAUCUUUAAGCCAUGGGUUCCUUGCAAAUAAUUGACUUGUUCACAACCAGUUUAUGGGUCUAGGCAACCCAUUAGAAGUUGUAGUGCACCACCUCUUAAUUAGAGGGAUGGUUGGUCUCCGUUAUCGGGAUGAGUUUCCCAUGGUGAGUACACUACUGUGUAUGAUUUACACAUUAGACAAGACCUACGAUGAGUCAUGACUUAAUACUAUCAAGUAGUCAUGACCUCACCAAGCUACUUCAUUGUGUUAUCUCUCAACCUUGAGAGAAUAUCGAGAAAAUUAGCAAUGAAUUUUACCUAUGAGUGAGAUUGUAAGUUGAUCAUAUAUUCCCUAUGGAUUGGGUCACUGUUGAUGGAAGUCAGUAACAAUAGGUAUUCUUAAUAGACACCAUGAUAUCUCAUGGGAUUGAGACAACAUGUCCCCUUGGGUGAUCCUAAGGGGAUGUGUUCAUGGAAACUAUGGCCAUAAUAGUUCCUUAAGUAGAACUUGACAUAGGCUCUUUGAGAGCUAAGACAUGUCAAUUGAAUAUACAAUAGGAGGAUUCGUAACUCAAGGAUAGUAGAGGUAGUCUUGAAAGGUUGAUAGCUUUCACCUUGUUAGGCUAGAACACCAGUUCAUGGGGAGACUGAACACAAUGGAUACUAGGUCACAGACCCGAGCACGUAGUGUCUCGUUGUUAUUUACAUAAGAUAUUGGAGUUUAGUUUAUUCUUUGUAAUAAGAUGUUGAAUCAACUUCAUAAUUGGAUCCUGAGGGAGUUAGUACUCUUAUAGAUCCUAAUGGUCCCUGCUCUGAGCUUAUAUAUCUUUUUGGCAUAGUUAUGAGUGUCGAAUUGACUCUAGGUUCACUUUUGUGCAUAAGGGCAUUUUGGUAAUUAUGCAAGAUUGCAUAAGGGUAAGUGAACAAAGUCUCUAGAUUGAGCUAAUUAAUUAAUUAGUAGGCCCUAUUGGGUUAAUUAAUCAAUUAGGAUCCAUUUUGGGCUAAAUUAAGUUACCCAAACCCAUGUGGGCUCAAGUCACUUAAGCCUAGUUAGGAACCCUAUAAAUACCCCCUAGGGGUUAGAGUCUUCAUCACUUUUGUCUUCCACCAUUUAGAGAGAAAGAGGGCAAUAGCCUCCACCUUUCUUUCUUCCCUAUCGAAAGUGUGCCAAGAAUAAAGUUGAGUCAUUAGGCAAAAGACCAUGGGUUUACAAGACUUCCAACAACUUCAAUGUCAUCUUCAACACUUGGAAUUUAAGGUUUGAAAUAUCCAAACCUAAAGGUUGCACUUUAACCCUAAAGAUCAAUUUUAAAAAAUAAAUAAAUAAAUUGGUAUUGUUUCCAUUCCUUAGAUCUACUAUGCCAAUACACAAUUCGCUUGAAAAAAAUGUAAGUAUUUUCUUCAAAAUAUAUAUAUUUGUUAAGAAUGUAUGUAUUUUUGUAAAAGAUGUACCUUAGGUAGGGUUCCACCAUGUUAAAUGAGGUUUGGGAAGCUCUCAAAUACAUUUCGUAGAGUACAUAAGCCAAAUCUUAGACCCAAAUGAGUGUGAAUCUAUCAUGUUAAGUUGAAAUCAAAUGUACAUAUUUUUCUUAAGGUGUUAUAUUUUUCUAAAAAAUGAACUUGUGAGUGUUUAGCUAGGUUGGAAAUUCCAAAAAAAAUUCCAAAGGGUCCCCUAACUUGGUUUACCAAUCCCUCUUUGGACUACUUGACCUUUGAAGAUUAAGACUUUGCUAAGAGGUCGAGGUAUGUAGCUGAAUCUAUGGUGAUUGAAUGUGAAUCAACCCUAUUUUUUCAUUUUUAAAUGAGUAAAGAAAGCUAAGAGAAAUAUUGUUGGUGCAAGGCUUUUGUUCCCUUGUUUCUGGAUCGAUCCAGGUAUAGGGGCAAAUCGAUCCAACUAACCUGUUUUUCAGAUCAAUUUUCAACAUUUGGAUUAAGGUUUCACUCUCAUUUAAAAUCAAAUCUCCCCCAUUUUUGGAAGUGGUGACUGUAGUAUCCGUGAGAGAGUUUUUUCUUUCCUCACUAUUUAGAGGGUGUUUACCUAUGAAGAAAAUCCAUCCAAGUUUUCCAAGAAUUUUUUUUUAAAAUGGAUUUUCUGAAAAUGAACAUGGGUUGAUUUCUAAAACAUUCAUAUCUCGUUCUCUUGGUUUUGUGCAAAAACCCAUUUUCUUCUUGUCUAAAUUCAAGAGGAAAUCGAGCUUGGUGCCAAACUCCAAGUGUGCCCCGAAAGAAGAAGCUAAGAAGCUGAAAAUGAAUGUACUAGUCAAGUGGUUUGGGAAAGAUUGGUUGGUUUGAGCAAGGUAAAACUUUGUAUUCAGAUUUUAUUUUUCAUAGUGGAUGUUUUCAAUCAGUAAUAGGCCCAUGGUUUUUUAUCUCUUCGGAGAUUUUUCAUGUAAAUUUAUGGUGUCUCAUUGUCUCUCUUUCUCUUCUUAGCAUCAGUUUUCAGUUUCAACAAUUUAUUAUAAUUUUGAUUGUCUACUAUUUGAUUGAAUGAUGAAGAGAAAUGACUAUGAAUCAUCUUUGAAGCUGUUUCUAAUUGUUAAUCAUUGAUAUUUUGAGGUAUAUUGAUCUUGCUUUUAUCAGAAUUUAGUUUAAGUUGAUUUGGGUUUGGGAGCGUUAGAUCAUGUGCAUGUGAAUUACAUUUGAAUAUUGUUGGGGAGUGUUGUUGCAUUCAUAUAUGCAUGUGAUUUAUAAUUUGUGUUUUUGAGAUUGUGUGAAGAGAAGAAAAAUAUUAAAAAAGUUUUAAGGUUUUCUAAUUUGAGUUGAGAUUUUGUUUAAUUAGUCAAAACACCUAUUCAACCUCCCUUAGGUGUAUUCUAUUGAGAUUCACCUUUUCAAUUGGUAUGAGAGAGGGUUUUUAAAGCAAAAAUCAUUUUCAAUCCUUAAAUCUCAAUCAUGGAAUCUCAUUAAGAGGGAGCUUCCAUUAGGAGACCACCAUUCUUAACCAGUGAAAAUUAUUCUCAUUGAAAAGUGAGAAUGCAAUAUUUUCUCAAAAUGCAAAGUGACAAAAUUUGGAAUGUCGUUGAAUUUGGUUAGUCUCCACCUAAGGUGUUAGAUAGAGAAGGUAAACUAACAAAUGUUAUCAAGCCAAAAUUGGAAUGUGAUAGAAGUGAAAAUGAAGCAAGUGAGAAUAAAGCUAGAGCCAUGUACUCCAUCUUCAAUGCCAUUAGUACGAAUGAAUUUUGUAGGAUUGCCACAUGCACUUUGGUUAAAGAAGGCUUAGGAUAUCCUCCAACUGACUCAUGAAGGAACUAAUGUUGUGAAAAUGUCCAAGCUUCAAAUGUUGACAUCUAGGUUUGAGACCAUUAGGAUGAAUGAUCAUGAAACUUUUGGAGAAUUUCAUGCAAAAUUGAUGGAUAUAGUGAAUUCUAACUUCAAUCUAGGUGAAUCCAUCUCUAACUGUAAGGUGGUUAGAAAAAUUUUAAGAUCUCUUCCAGAUAGAUUUAGAGCUAAGGUUACCGCCAUUGAAGAGUCUAAGGAUGUGGAUUCCUUGAAGAUAGAUGAACUUGUAGGUUCUCUCCAAACCUUUGAGAUGAUGCUUGUAUCACCUAGAAAAGCUAAGGGAAUUGCUUUAAAAGCUAUUAAAGAAGAGUCCCUAAGUUCCGAAAGUGAGGAUGAUGAGAAAAUGUCAAAGGGUGAGCUUACUAAGUUUACUAAAAAAAUUAAGAAGUACAUGAAAUUCAAAAAAUUCAAGAAAGAAUCAAAUGAUGGUAAAAAUGGAGGAACUCUAUUAGAAAAAAAAAAAAGAAUAUGGAGAAAUGUGUGAAAAAAGAGUUGGAGAUUGAGUGCUUUAAAUGUGGAGGAAAUGGGCAUUAUGCCGCCAAAUGUCCCUCAAAGAAAAAAAAAAUGAAAGAAGGUCAUGCAAGUCACUAGAAGCAACAUAGAAUCUUGGCAAUCAAGUGAAAAAGAAUCCAAUGGAAGUGAAGAAUACACUAACUUCAUAGCCUUUGCUGCAAGUGUCAAUGAGAAACCACUUAAGAAAGAGGUCUUAAGUGAGUCGUGAGUCAAGUGACUCCAAUGAUGAUGACAUGAAUUUUGACACAGCAUAUGAGACUUUGUAUAAGGAGUGCUUGAGCCUUAAACAAGACCAAGUCAAGUGGAAGGCUUCUAAGAAUAUUCUAAUCAAUGAGAUUGAUGUCUUGAAGGGAGAAAAGAAGGCUUUGCUUGACAAAAUUGGAUUUCUUGCAAAUGAACACUUGGAAGUGAAAAAAAAAAUAUUAUGUAUUGAAAAGUGAAUCAAAUGUUCAAGGAUGAGUUUAAGUCUUAAGAAGGAAGAAUCACAUCCUAGCUCUAAGAGACUUAAUGAGUUUAUCAAUUUAGGGCGUAAAUCUUUUGAUAAACAAGGCUUAGGAUUUGUUGAUGCAAAUACUACUCCAAGUAGUGGUAAAACAAUUUUUGUUAAGCCUUGUGAAAAAUAAUAUCCUAAGAAAACUCAUUCUCAAAUCAAGUUUCAUUGCAAUCAUUGUGGCAAAAUGGGGCACACUUUUGAUAGAUGUUGUGCAAGAUUGUUUGAUAAUUUUCAAAGGAAGUUGACCAACCUAAUGAAUGAAUGUUAUUCUUUGAAGAAUAGGUUAUUGAAUGAGAACAAGAGAGUGUCCAAGAAGUGCUCAAAGAUCCCUCAUAAUGGUGAGUUGAAAGGAAGCACUUUGAAUGAAAAGACAAGUCUCAAAUGUUAAACAAAUUUGGGUGUGAAUGAAUGAGUUGAAGUGUUUUGUUGUCCAUACCGCACUUAGAGCUAGUGAGUCACACUCAUGGCAUCUUGAUAGUAGAUGUUCACAUCAUAUGACUAGAAAUAAAUCUUUGUUCACUUCAUUCAUUGAAUUUCAUGGAGGAAAUGUGACAUUUAGAGAUGGUAAUGUGGCUAGGGUGAAAGACAAAGGUACCAUUUGUGCCCCUAACAUUCCUAAUCUUGAAGAGGUCUUAUAUGAAGGUUUAAAGGCUAACUUAAUUAGCACAAGCCAAAUGUGUGGGAAUGAGUUCAAUGUAAAAUUUUCACAAACUUUUUGCAAGGUGUUUGACUUGAAUGAUGUAUGUGUGAUAAUUGGCUUGAGAACUUGUGAUAAUUGCUAUGUUGUUAGUAAAAAAUCUCCUUCAUCCUCUUCUCUCGUGUGUAGAAGUUCUAAAAUUGCAUAUGUUAAUCACUUGUUGCAACAUAGAUUGUUGCAAAAUGAAAAAGAGCAUCCCAUUGUAAAAGUUAGGAUUGGUGGGGGGGAUUUGAUGAUGCCAAUGUUAUUGAUAGGCUAAAGAACCAUGUUCUUCAUUAUAGACAAAAAUAUGUGGACAUUAAGCAUCACUGCAUUCAAGACUUGGUAGAAGACAAGGUUGUUUACAAGAGGUUUACCCUAUAGAGAGUCAAAUUGCUAACAAUGUUACUAAACCUUUGGACAUUUCUAGGUUUGAAUCACUUAGGAACCCCAUAGGUUUAUAUACUCUCUGUUUAACUACCUCUAGAACUUGUCUAGGACUCCUCUUGCAUAUCCUUGAGUCCUAGUUGUCUUCCUAAGUUCCCAAAUAUCAUCAACUUGAUGUUCUUUUUGUUUUGGUUCAAUAUUUUCUCCAUUUUUCAUAAAUUUUCAACAAUUGUUGAGUUCAUGAGAGUGAUAUGCUUAUUCAUUUUGUUUAAAAGUUAAAUUAAAUCAUAAUGAUCUUAAAAGCUUCAAGAUGUAUUUAUCUUCAUGGCUUGUUUGAUAAACAUGAUAUUGAAUCCUUGCUAUUUUGAUUUGGUUAGAUAAACUACAAAUGAUUAGCUUCAUUUCUAUUAAGUGAGUAAGAGCUCAUUGUUGGACCUUGUGUUUGCAUAAUGGUGAAUAAUGCACUUUAAAGUCUAAAUGUAAACUUAUACCCAUUUAAUGAGCUUUAAAGAGUGAGUAAAGACACCUGGAAUAUCCUUGAGAGGUUGAGAUGAUCAAUCCUUGAUUGUUUGUCCUCUCUUUGAAAUUAAAUUUGUUUAAAAAUGAAAAAGAAAAGAAAAAGAAAAUAUGAAGUUUCCCGAAAUGGAUAUGGCUAUGUGGAAAUGUUUCAAGAAUUAAAAAGCCUCAAUUGCAAGAGUGGGACAUCCCUUAUGUUGUUAUGUUGUAAAGGCAUCCUUCGAGAUCCUCAAGUCAAAAAUUGAUCUUAAGGGUAAAACAUAAAGCUUUGUAUUACUUUCAAUGCUAAAUGUGAAAAGCAAAUAGUGUAUGAAUUUUAUUAAAGGGAUGUGAUUAGGUCAUGUUAAACAGAAAUCUAGCCAAGAGAGAUGCAAAUUGACUUUGAUUACUAAUCAAAAAGUACUCUUUUAUAGCUUGAAACUAACUGUUUUAAACACUUUUUGAGUAGUAGUUAAUACCGUUUAACUCAAUUGGCACAUUAAGGAACCUAGCAAGGGUUACUAAUAAGUUUUUCGCAAGUUUUGGUGUUUUUUGUAGCUAUUUGAUCAUUGAAACAAGCCAAGAAUGAGGAAGAAUUUUGUGAAAUCCAUGGCAAUGUAAGUUAAAGCUCAAAUACAUGAGGAAUCCAAGCUUUAGAGCACUUCAUAGCCCUUUGCCAAGCCAAUCAAAGAUGUAAAGAAGAAAACCAGAGGAAGAAAUCCAACAACCAGCAUUUCCGCAUGGUUGUGCGAAAUUUCGCACACCAUGCAAAACCACUUGAGGCAGCCAAAGAAUUUCGCACAACAUGCGAAAUUUCGCAUGGUAUGCGAAAUCUUCCUGUGCACCGACUCCGUUAGAUUUUUAUCUCUAGAUAUUUUGUGUAAUUUCCUAUUUUCUCCUUGUAAUCAACUUCGAUAUUUUCAUAUAUAUUUUUUUAUAUAUUUGGUGUGUGUAACAUCUUUUGAUAUAGACACACAGGGAUGUAAUCAGAGAACACUUGUAAAUUCCCCUUUAUAAGAAAUAUACAGAGCUUUUGCUCUACCUUUUCAUCUCAUUUUGUUUUCACUCUUCUUUCUAGCCAAACAACCUCUGAGGAUGAUUUAUCAAGGGAUGAGUGGCUAGGUUUUACGUUUCUUGGAGUGAUGGAAGCUAGGUGAAGGACCCGAAUGCAAAGAUGGGAGUUGUCCUUGCUUUAAAUGAAAGUAGUUGUUAACCAUUAAUGGUUUUUAUUUUAAGAUUUAGCUUUAAAUCCCUUAAAAGCACCUUGAAUGGCCAAUACUUGGUAAGCUUUUUGGAUUCUAUGGAUGCUUAUUGCUAGAUCCAUGGAUGUCUAUUAGUUAUCAUUUAUGAGCCAUUGGAAGGUGGUUCAAAGUGAGAGUCUUUAGUGUUUCAAGCCAUUAAUGGGAAGCAACUAUUAUUUUUCAUGAACCCUUUGGAUCAAAUCUUAAUAUCUAAAUAUAAAACCGGUUCGGGAAAUAACCAUCCUUUAUAUUAUUGUCCCCAAUGUGAUGAGAAGAUCCGGAAUCUCCCCCUUUGUCUAAGGAACCCGAUCCUAGUGACCUAAAGCUCUAAGAGACCUUUUCUUUGUAGUUAACUUCACUUAUUAUUUUUGCUUAACUUAAAAUCGAUCUUUGCAAUCACAAUUCCAUUUUCUUUAAAAGCUAAUUUUCAUAACGAAAAAUAUUAUUUUAUUUCCUUCACUAAAGUCAAUUGUACAAUGAAAACCCAUCCCUGUGGACGAUCCUAGAGCCACUAUACUAUGUUAGUUAUGCUACCCCAGUGUGAGGUGAUUUAGGUUUUAUAAAUUUUGUUGAUAACACCUAUCUGAGCCAGAGUCAAAUGGCAUGACUACAAUGGGGAUGAAUCAAAUGGCACCGUUGCCAGGGAGAUGAUGCCAAAGUACAUUGACAUGACUUUUGGUGAACACUUGUGAUCUUCAUCACAAGUUUGGUGAUUUUUCUUUUACUAAUUCUUUUUCUUUAUCUCUAUUUUAGCUUAUCUUUUAUUUAGUUUUCAGCUAACCUUAACUUUUUCCUACAAUUGUAUUUCUUUUGUUUUCUGUGUUUUUGUUUCAGUAAUUUUUAGUUGUGCAUGCCUUAUUGGAUAAGAGAUAUUGAGGGAAGACUUGUGAAGAUUGAAACUCCUCAAGAAACUGAGUUGGAAGUGUGCUUGAACAUCAUGAAUGUUCCACCUAAAGACCAAAAUAGCCAACAUGGUCAAGAGGAUAAUUUCAACGCAUACCGAUCCAUGAGGGAUCACAUGCAUCCACCUCGUAUGAGUGCACCAUCAUGCAUAGUGCCUCCCAUUGAGCGACUAGUAGUCCGACCUCACAUUGUGCCACUCUUACCUCCUUUCCAUGGGAUGGAAAGUGAGAAUCCCUACUCGCAUAUUAAGGAAUUCGAGGAGGUUUGUAAUACAUUCCAAGAAGGAAGAGCUUCAAUUAACUUGAUGAGGCUCAAGCUAUUUCCUUUCACCUUGAAGGAUCAGGCCAAGAUUUGGCUUAAUUCUCUAAGGCCAAGGAGUAUCCAAACUUGGACUGAUUUGCAAGCCGAGUUUCUCAAGAAGUUCUUCCCUACUCAUAGGACUAAUGGUUUGAAAAGGAAAAUUUCAAAUUUCUCGACUAAGGAGAAUGAGAAAUUCUAUGAGUGUUGGGAGAGGUACAUAGAACCUAUUAAUGCUUGUUCUCACCAUGGCUUUGACACAUGGCUCUUAGUGAGCUAUUUUUACGAUGGUAUGUCUUCUUCAAUGAAGCAACUCCUAGAAACUAUGUGUGGAGGAGACUUCAUGAGUAAGAAUCCGGAGGAAGCCAUGGACUUUUUGAGUUAUGUGGCUGAAGUUUCAAGAUGAUGGGAUAACCAAACGCUAGAGAAGUGGGAAGAAUGAAGUCUCAACCUAAUGCUAAGGGUGGGAUGUAUGUUUUGAAUGAAGACAUUGACAUGAAGGCAAAGGUUGCAGCUAUGGCAAGGAGAUUGGAAGAGCUAGAAAUGAAGAAGAUAUAAGAAGUGCAAGCUAUUUCUGAGACACCAGUGCAAGCUAUGCCUUGUUCCAUUUUUCAAUCUUAUGAGCACUUGUUGGAGGAGUGUCCUACAAUUCCAGCAAUGAGAGAAAUGUUUGGAGAUCAAUCAAAUGUUAUUGGUCAAUUCAAGCCCAAUAACAAUACUUCAUAUGGCAACACCUACAAUUCAAAUUGGAAGAACCAUCCAAAUUUCUCUUGGAAACCAAAGCCACCGCAGUACACACAACCUGCUCAAGCACCUCGGCAAGCCUCGAAUCUUGAACAAGUUAUUGUGAACCUUUGCAAGGUUGUGGGAGACUUUGUGGAAGAUCAGAAGUCCAUCAAUGCUCAACUAAAUCAGAGAAUUGACAGUGUGGAGAGUACAUUGAACAAAAUGAUGGAUGGGAUGCAAAAUGAUCUGUCUCAGAAGAUAGACAAUGUCUAAUACGCAAUCUCAAGGCUUACCAACCUCAACACAGUGCAAGAGAAAUUAAAGUUUCCUUCUCAACCUCAUCAAAAUCCCAAGGAUAUCCAUGAUGUGGAGGCUCAAGAGGGAGAAUCUUCAAAGGUAAGGGAAGUCAAAGCAGUUAUCACCUUAAGAAGUGGUAAAGAGGUUGAUCUGCCCACAUCCAAGCCAAAGCAUGACGAAGAGAGUGUAGCAGAAAAAGAAAAGAGUGGAGAAAAUAAAGGAAAGAGAAAAGGGAAAAGUACAAAGAAAGAUGACCAUGAGUCUAGUGUGGAUGAAGAACUCGAGAAGAAAGUGAUCAAGGAAGAUAUGAUGAAGAAACACAUGCCUCCAUCUUUCUCCUAAGCUUUGCAUGGCAUAAAGGGAACCAAUAAUGCAUCAGAAAUUUUUGAAGUGGUGAGGCAAGUGAAGGUCAAUAUCCCUUUGCUAGACAUGAUCAAACAAGUGCCGACAUAUGCAAAAUUCUUGAAGGACUUGUGCACUAUAAAGAGAGGGUUAAAUGUGAACAAGAAGCCUUCUUGAUUGAGCAAGUGCCAUCAUACAGUGCAAGUCUCCAGUGAAGUACAAAGAUCCGGGCUGCCCUACCAUCUCAGUGAGUAUUGGAGGGACUUGCGUGCAGAAAGCUUUGUUGGACUUAGGAGCAAGUGUAAAUUUGCUACCCUACUCUGUCUAUAAGAAGUUGGGACUUGGAAAGUUGAAGCCAACAUCCAUCGCUCUAUCUCUAGCAAAUAGAUCAAUGAAGAUUCCAAGAGGGAUGAUCGAAGAUGUCUUGGUUCAAGUUGACAAAUUCUACUAUCCAGUGGAUUUUGUUGUUCUUGAUAUGGAUCCAAUUGUCAAAGAAACUAAUUAUGUUCCUAUCAUACUUGGAAAACCAUUCCUAGCUACAUCAAAUGCAAUCAUCAAUUGUAGGAAUGGAGUCAUGCAACUCACGUUUGGCAACAUGACAUUGGAGCUCAACAUCUUCCAUUUGUGCCAGAAACAUAUCCAUCCGAAAGAAGAAGAAGGGUUAGAGGAAGUAUGCAUGAUUGACGCUUUAGUGGAGGAGCAUUAUGAUCAGAGAAUGCAGGAGGAUUUGAUUGAGAGUUUUAGGGAUCUUGAUGAAGGGUUACCUGAACCCUUAGAUUUGCUUGCUACCCUGCUCCCUUAGAGGAGAAGAGAAGAAAUUCUACCCUUAUUCAAUGAGGAGGAAACGCAAAGAACUGCUAAGGAGGAGUUCUCAAAGCUUAUUCUUAAGCCACUACCCACAGAGUUGAAGUAUGCAUACUUGGAAGAAGACAAGCAGUGUCUUGUUGUUAUAUCUUCAGAUCUUACCAUUCAUCAAGAGGAUUGUCUACUUGAAGUCCUUAGAAGAUGUAAGAAAGCAAUAGGCUGGCAAAUUUUUUAUUUGAAAUGGAUCAUCCCUUUAGUCUGCACCCAUCAUAUUUACAUGGAGAAUGAAGCUAAGCCAAUUUGUCAACCUCAGAGAAGGUUGAACCCUCACAUGCAAGAGGUGGUGCGAGUUGAAGUCUUAAGCUACUUUAGGCCAGUAUUAUUUACCCUAUAUCAGAUAGCCCAUGGGUGAUUCCUACUCAAGUUGUGCCAAAGAAGUCUGGGAUCACGGUGGUGCAAAAUGAUAAGAGAGAAGAUGUCUCUACGCGCCUCACUAUAGGUUGAAGGGUGUGUAUCGAUUACAGGAGGUUGAAUGUAGUGACAAGAAAGGACCAUUUCCCAUUGCCCUUUAUUGAUCAGGUACUUGAAAGGGUCUCUGGGCAUCCUUUUUAUUGUUUCUUGGAUGGCUACUCCAAGUACUUUAAGAUAGAAAUUGAUGUUGAAGACCAAGAGAAGACCACUUUCACGUGCCCAUUUGGCACCUAUGCAUAUAGGAGAAUGCCUUUCGGCCUAUGCAAUGCACCUGCAACUUUCCAAUGAUGCAUGUUAAGCAUUUUCAGUGAUAUGGUGGAGCAUAUUAUGGAAGUCUUUAUGGAUGACAUCUUCAUAUAUGGAAGUGCAUUUGAUUAAUGCUUAGUCAACUUAGAAGUUGUUAUGAACCGAUGCAUUGAGAAAGACUUAGUGCUUAACUGGGAGAAGUGUCAUUUCAUAGUACAAUAAGGGAUUGUCCUUGGGCACAUCAUCUCCAAGCAAGGCAUUGAAGUUGACAAAGCAAAGGUUGAACUCAUUGUCAAGUUGCCAUCCCUAACAAAUGUCAAAGGAGUAAGGCAAUUCCUUGACCAUGUCGGGUUCUAUAGGAGGUUUAUCAAGGAUUUCUCUAAGCUUGCAAGGCCUCUUUGUGAAGUAUUGGUGAAGGAUGCUAAAUUCAUAUGGGAUGAUAGAUGCCAAAGGAGUUUUGAAGAAUUGAAGUUAUUUCUAACAACCGCACCAAUAGUGAGGGCUCCCAACUGGAAACUGCCCUUUGAGGUAAUGUGUGAUGCCAGUGACUUUGGAAUAGGAGCUGUUCUUGGGCAAAGAGAAGAUGGAAAACCCUAUGUGAUCUACUACGCGAGCAAGACAUUGAAUGAGGCGCAAAGAAACUACACAACCACCAAGAAAGAAUUGUUAGCUGUAGUUUUUGCUUUGGAUAAGUUUCGUGCUUACUUGGUGGGGUCCUUCAUUGUGGUUUUCACUGAUCACUCUGCUUUGAAGUAUUUGUUGACUAAGCAAGAUGCUAAAGCAAGGCCAAUUAGAUGGAUCCUCUUGCUUCAAGAGUUCAAUCUCCAUAUCAAAGACAAGAAAUGAGUGGAGAAUGUGGUAGUAGACCACCUUUCAAGGCUAGCUAUCGCACAUAAUUCCCAUGGUUUGCCCAUCAAUGAUGAUUUUCCAAAGGAGUCUCUCAUGUUGGUGGAAGUUGCUCCUUGGUAUGCUCACAUUGCUAACUACCUAGUCAUAGGAAAAGUUCCAAGUGAGUGGAAAACACAAGAUAAGAAGCACUUCUUUGCAAAAAUUCAUGCCUACUAUUGAAAAUAGUCAUUUCUAUUCAAGUAUUGUUUCGAUCAAAUAAUAAGAAAGUGUGUUCUUGAAAAAGAGCAACAAGGGAUCCUCAGUCAUUGCCAUGAAAAUGCAUGUGGAGGCCACUUUGCUUCUCAGAAGACAACCAUGAGAGUAUUGCAAUCGGGUUUCUGUUGGCCAUCACUUUUCAAAGAUGCCCACACCAUGUGCAAGAGUUGUAAUCGAUGUCAGAGGCUUGGGAAGUUGACACGCAAGAACAUGAUGCCUUUGAACCCCUUUUUGAUAGUUGAUCUUUUUUAUGUUUGGGGCAUUGACUUCAUGAAACCUUUCCCUAUGCCUUUUGGCUACUCUUACAUCUUGGUGGGAGUAGAUUAUGUUUCUAAGUGGGUUGAGGCAGUCCCAUGCAAACACAAUGACCAUAGAGUGGUUCUCAAGUUUCUCAAGGAGAACAUCUCCUCAAGAUUUGGGGUGCCCAAAGCCAUAAUUAGUGAUGGGAGUACUCAUUUUUGCAACAAGUCUUGUGAAACUCUCCUAGCCAAGUAUGGGGUGAAGCAUAAGGUAGCUACACCUUACCACCCUCAAACUAGUGGGCAAGUUGAGUUAGCAAACAGGGAGAUUAAAAACAUAUUGAUAAAGGUGGUGAACACAAAUAUAAAAGAUUGGUUAGUCAAGCUCCUCGAUUCACUAUAGGUAUAUAGAACAACUUACAAGACCAUUCUCGGGAUGUCUCCUUAUCGCCUAGUCUAUGGUAAAACAUGUCAUCUCCCUGUGGAAUUGGAAUACAAGGCUUGGUGGGCAAUCAAGAAGCUCAACAUGGAUUUAAGCAGUGUUGGGUUGAAAAGGUUCUUAGACCUUAAUGAGAUGGAGGAAUUGAGAAAUGAUGCCUACAUCAAUUCAACAAUUGUAAAAGAGAAAUUAAAGAGGUGGCAUGAUCAGUUGAUUUCCCGCAAGGAUUUUAAAAAGGGAAAAAGAGUCUUGCUCUAUGACUCUAAGCUCCCCAUCUUUCCAAGCAAGCUAAAAUCAAAGUGGAUAGGUCCUUUUACCAUUCACCAAGUUCAUUCAAAUGGAGUAGUGGAACUACUCAACUCCAAUGGCACCAGGAGCUUUAAAGUGAAUGGCCAUCAUCUCAACCCCUUUGUGGAGCCUUUUUCUCGCGACAAGGAGGAAUUCAUCCUCCUUGAUGCACAUCAAGCUUGACAAGACCAGUUUUCUUAACGGACUUAGUCUUUCUAAAGACUAUUGAGUCCAUAUCUUUUUAUUUUAUUUUUUAUUUAAGAGUUUUCCUAUAUUAUUACUUGUUUUGAUUUUGAUUUCUCGUUUUAAUUUUAUUUUAGUUUGAUUUAACUUAGGUUUUUGAUGAUCAAUUGCAAAAGGGGCCUCAAAGCAGUUGGGUGUGUCCUUAAAGACUUCAAACAGAGGAAAAACCAAGAUAAUUCAAGCACCCUGCGAAAUUUUUGCAGGGCAUGCGAAAUUAAUGAAUCAUUUUGCAUGGGGUGAGAAAAUUUCGCACACCCUGCGAAUCAAUUUCACACACUAUACGAAAAUGAAAAGACCUUGCUAAAUCAUUUCAAACACUUUGCGAAAUUUUCGCAGAGCAUGCGAAAAAUUUUGCACACCCAACACCGUUUCGAAUGCUGUGCGAAACCCUAAGGGGUCUACAAAACCAUUUCGCACCUCCAAAGCCAUUUCGCACGCUGUGCAAAAAUCAAGAGGCGUUGUGCGAAAACGAAAAGUAGCCUUACUAUCCCUUUUUAAACCCCGAGCUCUAACUUCUCCAUUUCGCAAACACCAAACACCCUGCAAAUCCCUCAUUUUCCUCUACCACCUUGUGACCUCGUCCCUCUCCAUUCAACACCCCGUCCCGCACAUCUCAUUUUGAAGACUCGCACUCUGCGGCCCCUUCGAGCACGGCUCACUUUCCAUUUUCUACAUGGCGCUAACUCGAGGAGCCCUUCCCGCCCCUUCACCGAGACACACUCCGAGGCAGAGAGCCUCCUCUACUUAAGUGCCUAGUGAUUCUCCAUCUUAGGCCGCAGAGGCCUCGUGGAUUCCACCUCCUGAGAAUGGAGUAGCCAUUGGUCCUUCCUCUCCUGCUCCUCAGCGCAAAUAUGAGACAAAGAGACCACCUAUUACACCAAGGGCAACUACUUCGCUCCUUGAGAGUUCAGUAUGAUGUCCUCCUGCCAAGAGAGCCAAGACUUCAGGCCCAAGCGAGUCAUCCAGAGUUUCAUAGCCUAAGGCUCUUGCAGAUUCUGAGGUUCCUUCUGACUUAUCACCGGAGUCUAUUAUCUGACGCCCGAUGCUCACAGCACCACCCAUUAAGGGCAACUCAGAUUGCAGAGCAAGACCUUUCCUCUUGAAGCUAUAUUUUGAUCAAGAGGCCAUGCAACAGCAGCUUGAGCUCCGAGACUCUUACGGCCUACUGUAGAGGUACCACCUUGAGCACCUUAUAACUCUUUGUGAGUUCUUUUAUCCUAGAGUAGCACUAGACUUCUACCAGUCCAUGACUACUCUUGGCGUCCCGAGUCUUACUGUGAUUUACUUCACCAUUGAUGGACAUCAUGGUAUCCUCAAGGCUAGACAUAUUGUAGAGGCUUUACAAAUUCCUUUCAAGCCAGUGGAUCCAUCUGCUUUCCGCCAGUGGUCCUAGUAUCUCAGAGGGACAUGGUCCGCAUUUUAUCCAGGAAGACCUCUACAGAUUCGAUCCUUCUACGGAAGGAGCUUCCACCUAGGAUGCUCCUUGUAGAUAUGGUGCUACGCUCCAACCUCUUUCCCUUACAGCAUUUAGUACAGAGGCGAUGAGCUAUUUUGGACGCUUUAUUCUGUAUAUCGGAGGGCUUCUACUUUGGCCUGUUCCACUUGAUCAUGGCCUCCCUCAUCCACUUUGAGGAGAAGGUCCAUAGGAAGAAGCUUCAAAGGGCGGACACCAUUCCAUUACUAUUCCCGAGGUUGUUGUGCCAAAUCUUGGAGUAUAUGAGCUUUUCUAUUGAGCCUCGGCUCGAGCGUCACCGCCUUUGUCGAGAGUGAUUCACUCUGGACAAAUGGAAUCAAUUGACGGGCUAUUAUGCACCUCUAGGAGCCUUUCCUAUGGUAGCACCUCCAGUGCUCCUAGAACCAGAGCAAGGCGAGCUCCCGACAAAGACUGCACCACCAGUGCCCACACCUGAGGCUACUUCUACUGCUCCGCCUACGACUCUUACUGUUACACCAGUCGCGCCUACUACAUCCGAGCCUUCCAUCACCAUAUCGGCUUUAGAGUUUCGCUCCCGUGUGCAUACUUUUUAGACACUUACCACCACACAUGCUACUCUCUUUCAGCAAAUGGCUGAGAUGCGUGCCCAUCAGGACCAGCAGACUGCUAUACUUCGCCAGAUUCAGCAGCACUUGGGACAUCUACCUCUGCCUCAACCUGACCUUUCUGCAUCAUUAGAGCCUUUAGCUCCAGCUAAGGAUACUAUUCCACCUGAGGACACUACCACAGUAGAGGUCCGGAUUUCGCCACCUCAGAAGGCCACCACAGCUACACCAGAGGAUUCUUCAUUUCUACCUGAGGCUCCCACUACUUGAUCAUAAGAAAUCUCUUUAUCUUAUUGUAUUUACAUAUUAUAUUACUAAAGAUUUGUCCUUGUUUUGAUGCUUUAUAUUCAGGGUUGGAUGUAUUACCUGAUCAUAUCUCAUAUUGUACUUUCUCAUAUUAAUAUAUAGACAUCACAUUUUUUUAUUAUAUUUAAAAUUUUUCUAUUUAUUCUACUUGUCACUCUUUUGUUUUUUGACUCAUGUGGUUUCUCCUAUACGAAUCAGACUCCAUUUCAUUCAGGAGGUACCACUUCCUCCUUUUAUUUUCAAUUGCUCUUGAAACAUUGAGGGCAAUGUUGAUCUCAGUUGGGGGGAGAGUUAAGGAAGGAAUUUUUGUUAAUAAUGCUAGAUUAAUUUGUUAAUUUAGUUACUUUUUGCUUAAUUUUAAAAGUUUUUUACCCUACUCUUCAUGGUUAUUAAGGAAAAGUUCUCAAAAUGAAAUGGGAGAAAUCGAAUUCUUGCAUUUUUACUUGAAUCUUAGAGUUUGUAUUAUGCUUAUUAAAGUUGAUGAAUUAUUGAAACUCCUAUGGAAUUCAACCUUAUUUCUUCCACUUUAAUCUUAUCACACUAUGCACAUUAAGUUCCGAUUAUAAGACGAAAAACUAUCUCACCCCCUAAACUUAGGAAAAUUUCAACUUGGUACAUUUGACUUCAUUUUAAUAGUGUUGGGACACCUUAUAAAAGGCCAAUGAGCCUUCGAAAAAAAAAAAAAGAACAAAGUGUUUCGCUUGCCUUGAAACCCGAGCAAAGUCCGAGGGGUAUACGACGAAAGUCUUUAAAACCCGGUGCCCUAAGCCUUUAUUGGUUGGGAGUCACUGGCCUCAAUGCUCGUUACAAGAGUGAAUAGGUAGAGUUUAACAUAUUGUAGGUGCUUGGGUAUUGAAUUUCAAUCUCAAAAAUCCGGGGAAAAAUAUGAGGAGUUAGAGGUUGAAAAAUCCUUAAAGCUUGAUGCCCUAAACCUUGAUUGGUUGGGAGUCAUCAAUGGAUCCCCAUUACAUGGACACUUUAGAAAACAAUACCUUUAGCAUUGCACUCCUACAAUGAAAAAAAUUGUGAAAUAAAAGAGGUGUGUUCUUAGCCUAUUGGAGGUUGGUCAAGUUGCUAAGGUUUGAGAAAAAACUAGGUUGGGGGAGAGAAUAGUUUGACAUACUAUAAUCAGAAGCUAAUAAGCUUAACACUUAGAUUUUUGUGAAAAAAUAAGGUUUGAAUCUUUGGGAGUGGAAAUUCUUUUGUUGCUUAAAUUUGCAUAAUGCCUACUCUUUAUAAAUUGUAAUUUGGCAGGAGAUUUGAUAACUCUUGUUGAAGGUUGGGUUUUGCAUCUUUGAUGUUCCAUGAGAGAGUAUAAUCUGCAUCAUGCCACUUGAAAAUUUUUUGGAGUGAUUAGCAUGAUUUUGUAAAUUAUUUUACUAUUUAUUUUUCUUUAUCUCUCCUUCAUUGCUAAGGAACUAGCAAUAUGUUGGUUGGGGGGAGUGAUUACUGCUCAAAAAGUACUCUUUUAUAGUUUGAAACUAACUGUUUUAAACACUUUUGAGUAGUAGUUAAUACAUUUUAAUUCAAUUGGCACAUUAAGGAACCUAGCAAGGGUUACUAAUCAAUUUUUCGCAAGUUUUGGUGUUUUUGGUAGCUAUUUGAUCAUUGAAACAAGCCAAGAAUGAGGGAGGAUUUUGUGAAAUCCAUGGCAAUGUAAGUUAAAGCUUAAAUACAUGAAUAAUCCAAGCUUUUGAGCACUUCAUAGCCCUUUGCCAAGCCAAUCAAAGAUGCAAGGAAGAAAACCAGAGGAAGAAAUCCAACAUCCAGCAUUUCCGCAUGGCUGUGCGAAAUUUCGCACACCAUGCAAAACCACUUGAGGCAGCUAAAGAAUUUCGCACAACAUGCGAAAUUUCGCAGGGUAUGAGAAAUCUUCCUGUGCACUGACUCCGUUAGAUUUUUAUCUCUAGAUAUUUUGUGUAAUUUCCUAUUUUCUCCUUGUAAUCAACUUAGAUAUUUUCAUAUAUAUUUUUGUAUAUAUUUGGUGUGUGUAACAUCUUUUGAUAUAGACACACAGGGAUGUAAUCAGAGAACACUUGUAAAUUCCCUGUAGUAAAAAAUAUACAGAGUUUUUGCUCUGCCUUUUCUUCUCAUUUUGUUUUCACUCUUCUUUCUAGUCAAACAACCUCUAAGGAUGAUUUAUCAAGGGAUGGGUGGCUAGGUUUUACGUUUCUUGGAGUGAUGGAAGCUAGGUGAAGGACCCGAAUGCAAAUAUGGGAGUUGUCCUUGCUUUAAAUGAAAGUAGUUGUUAACCAUUAAUGGUUUUUAUUUUAAGAUUUAGCUUUAAAUCCUUAAAAGCACCUUGAAUGGCCAAUACUUGGUAAGCUUUUCAGAUUCUAUGGAUGCUUAUUGCUAGAUCCAUGGAUGUCUAUUAGUUAUCAUUUAUGAGCCAGUGGAAGGUGGUUCAAGGUGAGAGUCUUUAGUAUUUCAAGCCAUUAAUGGGAAGCAACUAUUAUUUUUCAUGAACCCUUUGGAUCAAAUCUUAAUUGCUAAAUAUAAAACCGGUUCAGGAGAUAACCAUCCUUUAUGUUAUUGUCCCCAAAGCGAGGAGAAGAUCCGGAAUCUCCCCCUUUGUCUAAGGAACCUGAUCCUAGUGACCUAAAGCUCUAAGAGACCUUUUCUUUGUAGUUAACUUCACUUAUUAUUUAUGCUUAACUUAAAAUCAAUCUUUGCAACCACAAUUCCAUUUUCUUUAAAAGCUAAUUUUCAUAAGGAGAAACACCAUUUUAUUUCAUUCACUAAAGUCAACUAUACGAUGAAAACCCAUCCCUGUGGACGAUCCUAGAGCCACUAUACUAUGUUAGCUAUGCUACCCUAGUGUGAGGUGAUUUAGGUUUUAUAAAUUUUGUUGAUAACACCCGUCUGAGACAGAAUCAAAUGGCAUGACUGCAAUGGGGAUGAAUCAGACUUAUUGGAACAUUAUCUUGAAUUUCUUUAGGAAGGAAGAGUAUCUUGAAAAUGAUUUUUGGCUCAUAAAUGAAUAUAGGUUUCUAAGUGGAAAUUAUUUAACAUUCUCACCGUUUUAUGGUGUCAUGAGUGAGUUUUUUUUAGCUUAAGCUUCCUUGUUAGAGUGUUGAUAAUCAUUUGUUUUUUACCUAUUCAUUUGAUAAAUUUGGAAAGUACUUCAAUCUCUAUGUUUAUUAAUUUUGUCUAUUGUUAAGUUCUUGGAAGCAUUUUUGUUCAAUGUGAAUCAAUUCUAACUCAUUAAUUGAAAGAUAAGUAUGUCAUCCUAUUGUAUCUCAUCUUUGGUCGAUCAAUUUUCAGUUUUUGGAAAGCUUAUUGGUGUAUUUCUUGUGAUUUUUCGAUAGUUUUUGCCUAAGUCAUUUUUCAAUUGGGUGUCGAUCGAUCUACUGAAUUUGUGGAUCGAUCCAUUGUGUGCACAAUGUAGUGACCGAGAGCCCUUGAAUGAAUCUUGGAUCGAUCCACCAAGAUCGAUACCACCUAGUCCUUGUCUCUCACACACUUAGCCAUUUUUUUCAAAUUUGGUCUAUUCAAACCUAUGUGACUAUGUAUCAUCGAGAGCACAAUUGAAAGCUGGAUCGAUCCACCCAGAUCGAUACCACUUAUGCAUUUGUGAAAAAUUCCAUUUUUGCCCCCAACUAGUUAUACUCAUAUGGUUUAAUGGAUAAGGGGUAUUUUCAUAAUUAAAAGUAAAAAAUUGAAAAUUUGAAAAAGUCAAAAUCCCUAAAUCAGUUUUUCCCAAUUCAUUUCUUUCAAAAACCCUAGGUUUUUUGUUCCAAAGAAGAGAACUUCUCUACUCUAAGCUUCUCUUUAGCCAUCAUUGUCAGUCCAUCAUUCCUACCACUACCAUCAAAAGUCUCUACCACUGGAAACCUUUAUCGUUAGACUUCCCUAUCUGGUGAGCGUUUCAAGUCUGGCCAAUCCCACUAGACAGCCUCGUCAAAUAGCCUAGAAUUGUUGUGUUGCUCAGCUCAUGUCGUCGGCCUGUGUGUCUUUUCUUAAUGCGUCGAUGUUUUAGAAAAUUGUCUUCUACAUAGUAUGUGUUGGCUAGGACCUCCUGUGUGCAUCACUAGAUUGUAUCUUGUGCAAUUAGGAUUUUGUUCCAACAGUUGGAAAUUCCAAUCUGCCCUUAGGACUGUGUUUUUCACCGCACAAUCAACACAACGCAAUCUACACUUCUGGAAAUUGUGUUCUACAUAGCCCAUUUCUCUUGUUUUUUGCUCUACUAUUUUCCAAUGUUCGUGUCUUUAAUGCAACUUAUUUGCAAGAGUUCUCAUUUUUGGCAACCAUUAUUGUUUGAUUUAUCCAUUCUUCUCUCUUCUAUUAGUCUCAUUUGGAUUUUUUAUUUUUUAUUUUUUUAUUUUUUUUAUAGAGUCCUCUCACAAUAGUUUUAAUAGUUUGAGAUUUCAUUUUUGCCUUGGAGUGUUCCUAGUUUCUAGGAAUGCUAAUCCUAGGCUUUGGUUAUUCAUUUUGAGUGGUCUUCAUACAUUUUCAUGCUUGAAAUCUAUUUUCAUGGUGAUAAAGCAUUUUUUGAAAGUUUUUAAUUGAAACCAUGUGAUAGGAUUUAGGAGGAGAUUCUUAUAUCCUGUGAUGGGAGUCAAGGGGAGAUUCUUGUAUCCUAUAUUUUUUUUUUCUAGAAUGUUGAUAUGGAUACUUGGUGAUAUGUGAAUAUUUGAUUUUUGGGUAUUUGACAUUUUUGUUGAAAAGUAGAUGUUUGUUGAUUUGGAUGUGAGAUAUUCUGCUAUUGAAUUCUCAUCCAUUUAUCUUUUUUAUUGGAUAGAAAAUGGGAGAUUAUGACUUUUUGUCUCCUAUUGGGACAAAAAGGAGAAAACAUUUUACAUGGAUGUUGAUAUGACAUGUAGUUGAUCAUGACGGUUUCUUUGUGUUUUGUUGCUUUGGAUAUUUGAUAUGUUGAUCAUGAUCACCUUUUUUGUAUAUCGAUGGAUAUUUGACACGUUUUUGAACUCAUGAAUGCAUAUUAACUAUCUUUAGACAAGUUAUUUUUGUGGAUAUAUGUGGAUAUUUGUGUGUCAAUUCAUUUGAAACUUAUGGAAUUGUCUUGGUAAUAUGUGCAAGUGCUACUAAUGUUUUUUCUUGAGAUUUAUUUACAGGAUUGGUAGUACCUUUGGUUAGGUUUUGAGUGAGUGAGUGAGUGGCCUUGUAUGAGAGUUGGGUGGGACUUACUUGUAUUCAUUCGUGUUGUAAAGGGUUUUGUCCCAGAAUUUCCAAAUGGGGAGAUUGUGAGUGUUUAGCUACGUUGGUAAUUCCAAACAAAAUUCCUAAGUGUCCCUUAACUCGGUUUACAAAUCCCUCUUCAAACUACUUGACCUUUGAAGAUUAAAACUUUGCUAAGAGACCGAGGUAUGUAGCCGAGUGUGUGGUGAUUGAAUGUGAAUCAACCCUAUUUUUUCAUCUUUAAAUGAGUUAAGAAAAUAGGGAGAAAUAUUGUUAGUGCAAGGCUUUUGUUCCCCUUAUUAUGGAUUGAUCUAGGUGCAGGGGCAAAUUGAUCCAACUAACCCACUUUUAAGAUCAAUUUUCAACCCUUAGAUUAAGGGUUUCUUUCUCAUUUAAAAUCAAAUCUCUCCCAUCUCUAGAAGUGGUGACUACAACAACUGUGAGAGAGUUUUUUCUUUCUUCACCAUUUUAAGGGUGUUUACCUACGAAGAAAAUCUAUUCAAGUUUUCUAAGAAAAAAUUUUUAAAAUGGAUUUUCUGAAAAAGAGCAUAGGUUGAUUUUUGAAACAUUCAUAUCUAAUUCUCUUGGUUUUGCGCAAAAACCCAUUUUUUUUCUUAUGUGAAUUCAAGAAGAGGCCGAGAUCGACCUUGGUGUAAACUCCAAGCGUGCUCUAAAAUAAGAAUGUGAGAAAGUGAAAGUGAAGGUACUAGUCAAGUGGUCUGGGAAGGAUUGGUUGGUUUGAGCUAGGUAAAACCUUGUAUUUAGUUUUUAUUCUUCAUAGUGGAUGUUUUCAAUUGGUAGUAGGGCCAUGGUUUUUGAUCUCUUCGAAAAAAUUUCAUGUAAAUUUAUGGUGUCUCAUUGUCUCAUUUUCUCUUCUUAGCAUCAUUUUUUAGUUUCAACAAUUUAUUAUAAUUUUGAUUGUAUAGUAUUUGAUUGAAUGAUAAGGAGAAAUGGCUAUGAAUCAUCUUUGAAGUUGUUUCUAAUUGUUAAUCACUGAUAUUUUGAGGUAUAUUGAUCUUGUUUUUAUCAUAAUUUAGUUUAAGUUGAUUUGGGUUUGGGAGUAUUAGAUCAUGUGCAUGUGAAUUUCAUUUGAGUAUUGUUGGGGAGUGUUGUUGCAUUCAUAUAUUCAUGUGAUUUAUAAUUUGUUUUUGAGACUGUGUGAAGAGAAGAAAAUAUUCAAGAAGUUUUAAGGUUUACUAAUUUGAGUUGAGAUUUUGUUUAAUUGGUCAAAACACCUAUUCAACCCCCCCUUUAGGUGUAUAUUCCACUAUUGAGAUUCACUUUUUCAGAACCUAUACUUCUACCGAGCUACAUGAAGUUUUGUAAGGCAUAAAAUACAUUUUGAGGCAUAUAUAAGUCAAAUCUUAUAUCCAAAUUAGGUUGAAUUGGGUCAUGGUUAACCUCAAAUCAAAUAUAUGCAUUUUUCUUACAAAUGUUUAUAUAUAUAUAUGCAUUUAAGAAUAUAGUUAUUAUUGUAAAGGAUGUACUUUUUCUUAAGAAUAUACUUAUUUUUGUAACAGAUGUACCUAGGGUUCUACCAUGCCAAAUUGGGUUUGGGAAUGCAUCAUGAGGUAUAUAGAAGUUAAAAUUUAGACUCAAAAUGAAUAAGGGAAUGAUUCAACUCAAAUCAGAUGUAAAUACUUUUCUAAACUUUUAUGCAUUUUUUUAAAGCAUGUACGCAAAGUUAUAUCAUGUUGAAUAGGGUAUAAGAAGACCUCAAAUGCAUUCCGAGACCUACAUAAGUGAAAUCCCACACCCGAAUUAGGUUGAAUGAGGAUAAGAAUCCCCAAUGAAAUGAAAUGUACAUGUUUUUAUACUAGAUGUACCUAUUUUUCUAAAUGAUGUACUUAUUUUUUUUAAAAGAUAUAUGUAUUUUAAGAAAUAUAAAAAUUAAUUAAAGAAAUGUUAAUACAAUUUUUAUGAAAAUAAUUUUUUUUCUAUUUUAUGUUUAUAAAAAAGUUAAAGAUUUUAACCUAGUAAAAAGUUAGAACCAUGAUCAAUUUUAAAUCAUAUGAAAAAUUAAAACAAAUGUUAAUAUGAAAGUUCAAAUUUUUACAUGCCCUUAUCAAUGUCUCAUCAAAUUUUUUUAGUACAAAAUGGAAUAGUAAGUGAAUACUCUUUUAUUUCUUUAAUACAAAAAAUACAAACCAAGCAUCUCUCAAAAUCUUGUUCCUUGCUCUUGAAUAUAAAGUAAGAUAAGCUCGUGAACUUAUUCACAGUAAAAGUUUUGCUAACCUACAGUCACGCAACACAUGAAGGCAUUAUUCGACUUUAUUUAGGCAUCGAACACAAUUCGGUGAAGCUACUAUAUGCCUUUUGAAGUGAUUUUCAUUUGUCAGCAACUUGUUGUGCAAAGCCAGCCACAAAAAGGAUCUAAUCCUUUGGGGACCCCUUCAUUUCCACAAGGCCAUCCAAUUCUUAUUCAGCUUUGUCCAGCAACUCUCUUCAAUCAGUUCGUAAGCCGACUUGGUAGUUGACAACGUUGACAUAAAGGCCAAAAAUAGUGGAGGAUUGUACAAGAGCACAUAGCACUAACCCAAAUUCUCAAAAUUUGCUAUUGAAAAGUUUUUAGCCUAUUUGGCCAUUUCAUUAAAAAAUAAUUUUUGUUUUUAAAAAUUAAAAAAAAACUAUUUUUAAAAAUUCAUAAAAUUGUUUGUUAGUUGUUUUCUAUUUGUAAUUUUUAAAAAUAAAGUGAAAUAAAAAACAUAUUUUAUAAAACAAAUAAAAAUUGUUUUCACCAAUUUUAAAAACAAAAGAAAAAUAUAGAGGAAUUAAAAAACUAUAAAAAGAAAAUUGAAGAUGAUAUCAUUCUUCUUUACCUCUUUCUACGAUCUAAUAUCGAUACUGAAAAUCUUCAAAUAUAAUAUUCUUUUAAAUUACAUGUGUUUUUAUCAAUUUCAUUUAAUUUAAGAAAAUUUUCAUUGAUAAAAUAAAUUCUAAAUCAAAUUAUACUUUAUACAUAAAAUUUACUAAUUUUUAAAAAUAACUUAAAAGUUAAAAACUGAUUUAGUUAGUACUAUAAAGUCAUGAAACUCACUAACAUUAGAAUGACAUACACCAAAAUUCAUUUGAAUGUCUUGGCUAGUUUUUUCUUUGCAUAUAAUCAUAUUUUUACAAUUUUUUUCACUUAGUAAAUAAUCACCAAAUCAAGUAUGACUUAAUGCGUUGAAUUUAUUAACAAGUCUAAGUAAUUCUAAAAAAUAAAUUGAAAUGCAAAUAGUGAUCCAAUUAAUACCAUAAAUUUAUGGACAAAAAUUGAACUUGAAUGACUUUAUUGUUUCCAAUUUUGUUUCAUUGGACAAAUAAACUUAAAAUUAAACCAAACUUAAUGUGUUGAAUUCAUUAAUAAAUUUAGUAAUUUCUAAAAAUAACUUAAAACUCAAAUAAUGAUGUAAUUAAUAUUAAAAAAUUUAUGGAUGAAAAUUGGUCUAAAACAACUUUAUUAUUUUUCUUCUACAUGGAAUCAUAUAUUCCCAAUUUUAUUUUACUAUAUAAAUAAACUCAAAAUUAAACAAGACUUAACAGUCUAGUAAUUUUUAAAUUAGAAUAAUAUUUGAAAUAAUUUAAUUAGAAUAAUAUUUUAAUUUAUUAAAAUAAAUCAUAAAUAAAUGAAUAAAAUUAUCUAACAAUAUUUUAUCAAGUUAAUAUUUGUUAAUAAUAAGGAUUUAAGAUUUUGUUAGAUUUUAUCGCUAUAGGAUUAUUAUAAAUAUGGUUUUAAAAAAAUGCAUGAACAUCAUGUAAUAUUAACAAAAUAAAAAUUACGAAUUGAUCGCUUUCAUAGUUUUUGACUAUGGAUUAUUUUUAUCAUAACAAAAAUGCGUAAAAUUGUAUACACCUUUUAGGCUAUGAAAUAUUCAUUAUUUAACUUAUGAGUGUACAAUUUUGUUUUGUCCAAUAGUAGUGCAAUUAAUAUUAAAAAUUUAUGGAUAAAAAUUGGGUUUUAAUGAGUCUACUUUUUUUCUAUACAUACUUAUUUAUUUAUAAAUUUUUUUAUUAAAGAAUGAACUUCAAAUCAAGUAAUUGAAUUUACUAAUAGGUUAAUUUUUUAGUUUUUUUAAAGUUACAACCUAGUAAAUAGAUCUAAUCACUAUAAGAAAUAAUAUAUGAAAACUAAUUGUAGACCCCAAAAUUUGUCAUAAUUUUAUUUUUACAUUGAUAUUGAGUUCAAUUUUAUCCUUAGAUUUAAAUUUCGAUUACAUCUUAAUUGUUUAACCCACUUACACUAUUUUUUUAUUUUUUUUAUUUUUUCUCUCCUCUCUCCUCUCUCUUCUCUCUUCCUCUUUCUCCUCAUUCUACCUAUUCCACCUACUUCCCUUACCCAUUUCCUUCUCGUCUAAGCCACUCCCCAUACCCCCUCCAAGUUUUUUUUUUUAAAUUUUUUAUCAUCUUUCUCUACUCUCCUCUCUUCACUUUUUUUUUCUCUCCAUCAUUUCUUCUUCGGGUUCCCUUCCAACACCACAACCACUCCACAACCCACAUACCAGACACGGUCGACUCCCCCAUCUCCUCUUUUUUUUUUUUUUCCUUUCCCCCAACUCUCACACACGACGGUCCCCAUUUUCUCUUCCAUUUUUUUUCUCUUUCCCACAGUCCUUCCCUCUACACUGCCAUUUUCCAAAGACUCCCAUUAUCACACGCUCCCCAUCUUCCUUCAUUUUCUUUUUUUUCUUUUUUUUUUCUCUUCCUUUUUCUUUUCUUUUCCCCUCCCCACACUCCAUAGCCACUACCGGCCCUCCACUGCCCGCCACUACCAGCAGCCACUGCCAACAACCACCACCCGCUACUAUCUGCCAGUCAUUGCCGGCUAGCAAUCCUACCAUCCAUAGUUCUAAAAAAAAUGGGUAAAUUUCCUUUUUACUUUAUUUUAUUUUCAUUUUUUUUAUCUUUAUAUUUUUAUUUUCAUUUGCAUAGUAAUUUAUUUAGACUUGGAUCUAUUGCUUAUUGGUUAUUUAUUUGGACUUAUUGGAUUGGGUUUGAGACAUUAUUUUCUUUGGUCAUGUAUAUUAUUAAUGUGGGUUUGUUAAUUGAUAUGAAUUUUUGACCCAUAAUGUGAGUAUGAAUUUUGGGCCCACAAUGUUGGUGGAAUUUGAUUGAUGACUUGAAUAUUUGAUAUGAGUUUGACCAAUUUGAACUAUUUAAUUUGGAUAUGGGACAAUUAUGAUGUAUAUUAAAUUAGGCUUGGAUUAUGAGAUAUUAAAUUUAGGCCUAAUUGAAUUUAUUUUAUUUUGUGAUAUUUUGGGCUUGGCUAAUUGUGUUGUAUUUUGGUUAUUAAUUUGAAAAUUUUGGAUUAAGAUUUAUAGCAUGUGAGAUGUUUUUGUUAGGUUAUAUUUGUUAAUUUAUGCCCAUUUUGAUUGACAAAAUUUAUCAGACUAAUUUGAAAUUUGAAUUUGAGUUUGAAUAUUUGUUUGGGAUUUUGUACAUCUUUGGAUAUUUACAUUUGAGCUAUUUUGUUUUUGCAUGGGUUUAUUUUGCAAAUUCUGUUGGCUGAAUACAAAUUUAUGACACGUGGAGCACGAAAUUUUAUGGAAGAAAGUGAGAAUCAAAAGGUUGUAGGAACACAUUAAACUUGUUAUAAGCUUAUUUUGGUACACAUUUUAUUUCCCACUUUUAUUUGAUUUUAUUUCUAUUAGUUCUUGUAAAUAUUCAUUUGUAUAUAUUUAUUGAGUGUGUACAGAAUUGAAUAUUUAACAAAUCAAAAUUUUCAUUUAAAUAAGAGGAAUAAUUCAGUAAAUAUGUUCUAAUAAAAUAAUAAUUUUAAAAUAUUCUUCUUCAUAAAAGAAAGUUUUUUUAUUAAUAAAAAUUCAUAAAAAUGCUUUUAAAAAAAUUCAAAAAAAAUUGUUUUUAAUAGAAUUUGAUAAAUUAUUUUUAAUAAUAAUUGUCCAAAAAUGUCUUUGUUUAAUAAAAAUUGUCCAAAAAUUGUUUUGUAAAUAAAGUUGUCCCAAAAAUUCUUUUGCAAAUAAAGUUAUAUUCUUUUUAAUAAUUUGUACAAGUCACUUUUCUUAAAUGAAAACAAAUUGAAAUACUUUUGUAAAUAAAAUUGUAAUUUUUUUGUAAAAGCGAGUAAAAAUCAUUUUUGUUACCAAAUUGAAAUUUUGUAAUAAAUUAUUUUGAUAUAAUAAGUGAAAAUAACUUUUUUGGAAAAUUAACUACAAAUUAAAUUGAAUUAAAUCAUUAAUUAAAAAUAAAUUGAAACUUCUUUUCUGUAAAUAAAAAAAAUUAAAAUCAUUAAUUUAAAAUCAUUUUUAAUAAAAUCCUUUGAAAUUUCUUGAAAAUUAUUUUUUUAAUAUUUUUUUAUUUAGUUCAAUAAAUCAUUUUGCAUAAUUCUCUUGUUAUUUAUUUUGUAUAUUCUUGUAAUUAGAUUUCAUCAUUAUUUUUAUGUAUAUUGAUUUUCAUCAUGACUUGCACAUACUCAUUUGCAUAAUUAUUUUUCUUGGUAUCCAUAAUUAAUUAAUUAAUCAUCGCAAUUUCCUUAAUUCAUUUAGUAGAGGUCGUAUGUAUACGAGCUUAGAGGGGUGUUACAACUCAUUACCAUACCUUCCCAAUAUGUAACGGAGGACUCAAACUCGAUUUUUCACAAACUUGUUUUUACUUCAAGAGUCACACUUAAGGUUUUUCUUUUUUAUUUUGUUUUUCCCUUAAAAAAUAAAACAAAAAUCAGUUGACUUCAAGUCUUUUUUUUAAAAUCAUAUUUUUCACCAAAUAAAUAAAAAAUGAGUCUCGCUGUCGAGUGGAGACGCACAUAAAAAACGUAGGUCCACACCAAUAUAUUAUACUAUUUUUUAAUUUAUUUAUAAUUUAAAACUAAUUUCAUUUUUUAUAAGACCUUAAUUAAAUUUCUAUUAAUUAAAUUUAGAAUAUUUUUACAAAAUCAACAUAGAAAAAUUAUUUAAAAAAAAAACCAACUUUAAAAUAACUUGCCAAACAUCCUUAUUUUAUAAAAUUUUUAAAACAUAUUUUUAUUUGUUUAACAUAAAAGCAACUUUCAAAAACAAACAUUAUGGAACGUGAUUGAACUUUUCUCUUAUUUCUUUUUCAUUUUCUUGUUACUUAAAAUGACCGACAAAGGAAGAUGAAUUAAAUUAUUGAAGAACAUCUUUUGCCAAACAUAUUAGUUAAAAAAAGUGAUUUAAAAAGCGGGCCCUAACCUAUUCUGGAGCCCAUGAUAUCUUUGUACGUUACCAUAAAAGGCCACACGCCACACGCCUCAGCAAACCCACCAACCCUCAGAAAGGGGUUUCAACUGCAAAUAGUAACCAUACAAUUUCAAAGCAAAAAGCCAAACACUCACAUAAAUCUAAUAUUACCACAGCAACACUACUAAAUAGUUAAUAGCCCGUGAUGUUUCCUUUUUAUUCUAUGCCAAGCUUCUUUCUCAUCCCCAUAACAAAGCCAUGGACCUUGUGUGGGUCUUCCAGAGAAGACGACACGCUCUCCUUUUCCAUGCACCUCUUGGUCCAAGCUAUCAACUUGGGACACUCCGCCUCUAUGCUGAAGUUUCCAAAGCUCUCAUAUGCAUGAAACCAGCAAGAGAAGGUCACCAGAGCCACAUCCACAAACCCAAUUUUUUCACCGCCGAAGUAAGGCUUCUCUCCAAGCUCUCCUUCCAGAAGCUUGAGGCACUCUAUGAAUUCCUUCUUGGCUGUUUCCUGCUCUUCUCCUUUGGUUGACCAUAUCUUCCUUCCAAGUUCAUAGAGCUGUGGAAAACAAUAAAGUCAAAGAGAGAAAAGGGUUAUUUUUUUGGAGCAUUUCAUCAAGUUUCAACUUUCUGUAUAGUUGGACAAGUUUAUUAAGGACCCUUCAGCAUAGAAAUCUCAUAUACUAGGAACAAUUUAAAUGAAGGGCCGGUGGAAGAAAAAUAUCAGAAUCAGUUGAAAGAAUGUAUCAUUUGCUAAAGCUUUUCCCCUCAGUGUGGGUUUUAGAAAAUGAGAAGAAAGAGAUCAAAGCAACAAAACAUGUAUUAAAAGAACUGCUCUGCAAAAUGUUGAACAUCAGGAUAACAAAAAAAAACCAAACACUGCUUUAAAAACUGGUUUUUGGAUCCCCUUUCUUGAGGGAAAAGGCAUUCUUGAGAUCUGCUUUUUUGGGUGGAAAGAACGGACUGAAAACCCACAUCAGAAAUGCAAAGUGGAGUCUUGUUGGACACACAGCAAGGAGAAUCAGUAAAGUUCUAGUUUGAGACCCCAAGGCCCGCAAAACUCAAUGUCAGAAGAGAAUGUGUGAAGAAGAACCCAGCAUUUUGGACAAAUCCCUCAUCAUUAUCAAAAUCUGAGCCAAGCGCCAUGAAUCAAUGGCAAAAAAAUGCUUUAAAUCAACAGCAAAGACAUACCUUCUUGUCUACGUAGUCCACCCAGAACCUGGCCUGAGCUCUCUGGUAUGGGUCACUAGGCAAAAGCGGAGAUUUAUCGUGCCAAACCUCAUCAAUAUACUGAACUAUUAUCAGAGACUCACAAAUGGGCUUUCCAUUGUGGAUCAGAACCGGGAUUUUCUUAUGAACUGGAUUCAUCUCAAGAAGCAGAGGGCUCUUGUUCCUAAG